CCAUCUUGGUUGGUAAAAGCACACACAAACCAAAUAGAAACACAUGAACACUUAAUUAAGCAGAGAAUAACAGCUUCUGCAAUCUGCGUAUCGCAGCUUGAUAGUCUGAUUAGUUCUUUCCUUGAGAAAUGAAAAUGAGAUCACUUUGAGACAUCCAAUGGCAUGCUUCACUUUGGCCAGGAGAAGUUUUCAAUAUCUUCAAGGCCACAUGAUCAGGGGACCAGCCUGAAGUAUCCAUAUGACAUACCACCGUGACUGUAUUAACUGGAACUUUGGUCCUAGGUUCAACAACAUCUACUGCAUAGACUUCAAUAUUGGACAGCAAAUGGCAGAAAUAUGUUGCAAAAGGAAGAAAUAAUUGAUGACAUGCCACAGUUUUUCCAUAUUUAAGCUUUUCCACGCGUCCAACCAUCAAUUCUUUUCUAGAACCCUCUGUGUUUUUCGAUGCCAAUGCCACCAAAUUCUUGUCACCUAUGGCAGUUUUUGAAAAUUCAAUCAUUUCCUCAAGGGAUUUUGCACAGCUCUGAGGCUCUUCCUUAAGAGCAGGAGUAUUGCAAUAAAUAAGGGUGUAUUGAAUGGCAUCUUUUGUUUGCGGGCUUUCAAAGGAUUGAGGAAAUAAUUUUCGUAGGUCAUUUUCCGUAACAGAGAUCUUUGAUGCCGUUUGAGAAGGAAGAAAUGACUGUUGGGGCAAUUGGUUUUCCAAGCUUGAGAGAUGCACCAUGUUUCCUUGUUUGAGAAGUGAGAGUCUGAAGAAAGAAAAAGGAUCAACAUGUAGGACAACAUUUGGGCUAAUUCUGCCAUAGCCGUAAUUAUUCUUGUCCAAGAAACUAUCAACACGUGCUUUGGAUAAACAAGCUAGGUUUGCAAGAGAGCAAAGAUUUGCAUCAAAUGGAAGAUUUUUCUCGGACGCUAAUGAAGUGAAAUGUUCAGCUUGUUCCUUGCUCAGUGGAGAUAGUUUGGACAGAAGAUUUCCAGGCAUGGUGCCUUGGACAUUUUCUGACCAAUAUUUGAGCUGAUUCAAUGCAGUGAAUGAAGAAGAUGAAAUGUGUGCAGCAAAAUGGGACGUAGGAAACGUGAGGGCAAUGACAAAGAGAACGAUAGCAAACGUUGAAGAGGCCAUUGGUUUCAUCGACACUAAUAUUGAGCUAAUUUUCUUCAGUGGAUGAAGUGCUGAUGACUUUGCUAGUGCAGCUUCUAAUUUAUACUAGUGCUCGAGCCUGGACACAGGGCCUCACCUGCCCAUUUCAGGAUAAAAUGGUUACUCUAAAUUUUUUUUACAUCUUGUUUUAGUUGGUAUAUAUCUUUACUUCAAUUUAUUUACAUCCCACUCCAACUUAUUUGUACCUUAGUCUAAACCGGUUGGAAAUGGAACUUGUGAGGCCUCAUCCCCCACUCUAGCCUUGUGUUUGCUCCAGCUAUAAUCUCUAAAGGGAAACCGUUCAAAAUGUUCCUUAUAUUUUGUCAUAUAAAUUUUUUCCUUCUUGUUGUCCCUAAAAAUUAUCAAUCCUCAAUCAUUAUUGUCCCUAAAUAAGUAGAAUCUAAUCCAUACCAUGUUCAUUUUUCUCCAUAAAAAAGUGGAAUAUGACCCAAUCCAUAUUUAUUUUUGCCACAAAAAAAUGGGAUCUACCCUUUUUGGACAUAAAAAAUAACUGUAUAUAGGUCACAUGGUGAUUUUAAACUAGUCAGAUAUUUAGGUUGGAACUAAAUUUUGCUAAUUUGAAUUUUUAAGUGAUUUAAUUUGAAGUUUAUAUUUUAAAAGUGAAGAACGAAAAAAUUUAUUUGAUAAAAUGUGUGGCAUGUUUUGAAUGAUUUUCUCAUCUUCACAUGUAUAUAUUGUACAAUUAAUCCAAAACAAAACUCCAAAUGUACCUGUGUUUACUAAUCCAGAAAAAAAGAGACAAAAUUGAAAAAUAAAUUUAUUUGAAUAGACAAUUUGCAACUUGUUCCACGUUCGCAUUUGAAUGGGUUAAAUACACUAAUCAUACAUCCACGUUAGACAAUUUGCGGUUGUCCCAUUUUAUGCUCUCAGCUUGCGGUCCAUAACCUGAGAUAUGUGGUAGUUAAAAAGACAAUAUUUGUAAUCUCGAAAGUGACGGACAAUACAGUCCCGCACAUUUAGUGCGUCUUGUAGGUAUAUAUGGACAACCGCAGCAAGGAAUUACAUCUCCAAAUACGAAAAUUUCAUGAAAUGAGAUGUAGGUGUGUGUAUAUGUAUAUAGGUAUAUAAAUAUGUAUGUAAGUUUGGUUUAUAAAAUAUUAGUCAAUACUAAUCGUUCAAAAUGACCAACAAAUUUCUUAAUAAAAAAACAUUGAUAUCCUUGGGGAUACUUUUUUAUCCAAUAAAGCAGCUGAAAAUUGUGUAAAAAAUGCAUGCUUCCUAUAAACAAGAUUGGAAAAGAAAACGAAAAUGAAUAAGUCACAUGCUAUGAAAGUCAGUUGAAAAGGAAAAGAUUGGCUCGUGUAGCCAAAAAUUCAUAAGCAUUGCAGUUACCAGCAACACGUAUUUCCGAUUUUCAGAUGUCCACGAUUUGUAUAAGGGUUCUAGUCUGUUGCAUUUGCAUCCCACAUACAUUGAUAACUCCAUUUGAUUUGAAGAGGAACACCUUGCGCAAAAGAAAGAUGUUGCAGAAAUUUGAGACAUGAAAAAAAAUUUAGAGACUAGCAUUGAAACUUUUCCAUUAAGGAAAUAGAAAGUUUAAGAGCUAUCAAUUGCUACAGCUAAAAUAAAAUAAGAAUGAGACAGAGAAAUAGGUUUUGAAACACACUGUGUGAAAAAUGGAUUUAAAAUGUGGUCAAUUGUUUGUACUAGUAGCAAAGGGUAAUUCCAACAGUCCCAAACGUAGGGGCAAGUGUAGGCAUUUAACAAAAGAAAAUUCUAUAUUAAGUGAUAUACAAUAAUACAAUAAUCACAAUUUAAAAGAUGGCGUACCUCAUGAUAUCUAAGAGUUCUCAUAUUUAAAUUUGAUAAAUGGGAACGUCAUGCAAGUUGUUCUUAUAGCAUGCAAGUGUUUUUGGAGUAAAUCGAUUUUAGAAAAGUUUAGAACAGUACUAAGAAAAGUUGCUUUCUAUAAUUGGUUAUCAGUUUUAACAGCAUUGAUUUGGUUUAGUUACUAUUACACUAUAAUGUCUUAGGGAAACAAUUAUCUGUUCACAAAAAGAUAUUAAAGUGCUACAAUUAACGAACUCUUUAAUAGGCUUUGUUGAUUAAUUCUAGAAUUAGAUGAUUGUAAAAAACAAUUAGACUAUUAACAUCGAACUUUUAUUUUUUUUCUUCUAAGAACAAUAGGAAGGAAUAGCCUUACAUUCUUUGACAAAAAGAAAGAAAGUAAAAAUCCCUAGCUACAUUAUUUGAGUUCUCAAGUACUACUGAUUAUGGAUGGAGAAAGAUUGCUCAAAAUUGCUGUCCUUUUGAAAUUCAUGAAAUUAUUAAUCAAUUGGCAACUUUGGUUGACUGGUCUUUUAUUGGGCAAUUUUUUGACAGAAGUUUGUCGGAGAAUAUCCUCUCCUUCAAUUUAAAAGAAGAAAAUUUUGAAGUAAUUCCUCCUACACUAGCCAAAAAUCUUUUCUAUGUUCUUCAGCUUGGGCUGGAUAGUGACCUGAUCGAGUUUAGGUAUUAAGAGCCAAUGAGUUCGAUCGAUUAGUUCGGGAUCUAGCUGAAUGAUGUCAUAAUGAUGCCAUAAAUAUAUUUUAAUUAUCUAUAAAGUAAAAAUUAUAUAUAAAUUACACAUUAGCUUGACAUAUUUGGUGAGUUUAUAACAAAUAUGAAGAACUCAUUCAAAUAGUUGUACAAAUUUAGGCUGGAAAUAUAAUUUGAUAAGUAUUUGUGGUUUAAUAUAUAAUUUUUUUGAAACAAUUCAGUGUCAAUUCUUGAACUUAAAGUCCAAAUACACAUUGAUGAGCCUAAAACUUUUUAAUAGGACAAUUCUUCAACAAAAUUGAGGUUUGUAUGUAAAAAUACAAAAGUUAGAGUUGCGUAGAGUAAUUAUAAAAGAAGUUUGGGAGUAUAUUUAUGAUUAUAAAAAAUGGAGGGUCAAAACAAAAUACUAGAAAAGUUUUAUAUUUAAUUGGCAAUUUCUUCUCCACCAUGCAUCUUCAUCAGCCAGGAAUCGGGAGGUUUCAACCUUCAUCUGCAUUCCCCUUUUUUUUGGUUUCUUUUUGUAAUGAUUUCAUUGUUUUUUUGUCCCUUUUCUUCAACUGGGUAAGAAUCUUCCCCUUAUUCUUUAUUUUCGUUCUCUCCUGUUUUCUUCUUUUUCUAUUUAGAUCUAUAAAUCUUUGAGAGAUGACAAUGAUAGAUUUAUAGAUCUAUUUUCUCUUUUCCUUUUUUCUUCUCUUGCAGUAAUUGAAACUUUUUAUUAUGAUUUGUCAAAUAUCUUACCACCUUUUUUUGGAGAGAUAAAAUUAGGCUUUAGAAAUGAAGAAAAUUUUUGGAAAAAAAUCACAAAUCAGCAAUGAAGAAAUUCAGGUAAAAUGAGGUUUUUCCCGAUUUUAUUGAUUCCCAGUUUAACACUCGAUUUUUUAAGGUGACUUGGACCGAAUGCUUGAUCGGUCUUGGUUUGCCCGGUCAGACUGAUUAGUCUAAUCCAAAUUUUAAAACAUAGGAUUUAAAAGGACAUAUUUGACUUGGGGAUCUAGCAGCAGAGCAUUUGAGACUGAAAAUAUAUAUGGAUGUUAAACAAGGGCGGCAAUGGAAAGAUAGUCUAAUGCUAUACCAAAGCAAGGAAACAAAAAGAAAAAGGAUUAAAAGUAAAAUUAGUUGUGACCAAAUAAAUGUAGCCAACUUGAACAUGGUAUAAAAGCAAUUGAGCAAAUGCCUUGUUCAAUUCAAGAUAAUUGAGGUACAAAAUCUAGAUUAACACAGCAAAUUAGGUUGCAGAAUGUUGGGUGUGGGCCAGCUCAUUUGUGAGCCAAACUAGAAAAUCAAAUAUUUUUAGGUUUAAGUCAAAAAUUUGACUUAAAUAAAAAAGGCGAGCAGCCGCAUGAAGUAUGAUUCUUCGGUCCUUGUGCGAGAAAAAAGAUUUCAGCCGCCGCUCUUGCUGGCUUGGUGAAGAAGGAAAAGAGAAAAAUAACUGGGAGAUCUUGAUUGGAAGGUGAUUCGAAUCCCGAUUGAAAUAAAAUUUUACAUACGCGAUCCUCUCAUCAAUCUCUACUCAUCUACUGGUCCAGAUUUUAGAUUUCCUCUUCGUUUGGUGACACCUUUCUAAACUCACUUCUUUGAUAGUUGUAGUUUUUGGGGGUGAUUUUGUAGUAAUUUCGUUUGAUUGGUAUUGGUGAUAUUAUUGUCAACCGAAUAUUUUGGGUAGACCUGUGUAUUCCUAUUGUUGUGAUAGUGAAGAUUUUUGACUGGACUAGAUCCCGUGGUUUUUCCCAAUUUGGAUUUUUCACGUAAAAAUCUUGGUGUCAUGUGCCUUUUAUUUUUCUUGCAUUUUAUUAUCACUACUGGUAUUAUUACUUGGUGAUUUGAUUUAUUCCUAUUUUUAACCGGUACAUAGAGAAAGAGAAAUUUGUCUUGGAUUAACUCUGAUAUUGUGUGUCUAUACCCAUACCUCUUUCCCAACAAAUGGUAUAUUAGACAAUCUUCACAUUUUGCACUUUCAUAAAGCAAUUACACCACAACUAUUCAGUUUUAGAUCGACAACUUUGUAUGCUACAGUUCCUUAGGCUGUCAACCACGUAAAAGAUGUCUUUCCGCAUCAUAUUGAAUGCGUUAGUUACUUUGUUUAGCAAAUUUAUAAUUAUUGAGAUGCAUGAAAUACUUUUUUUUCUGCAAGAAGAAUGGUUAAAUUCUCAAUUACAAUGAAAACAGAUAAUAUAGUAAUCCCACCAAUAUUGUUUCUUUAAACAUUUUGUUGUAAUACUCUCAACCUUUUGCUUUUCUGGUAAUAUACUUUCUUUUCAUUUCCUUUCCUUCAAUUCAAAAGGUCACUAAAUUUUUUUCCUCAAAUGGCGCCUAAAUUACUUUAAAAGCAAAGAUAACUAGUGAGAUGCCAAAAAUUUCCAAUCAAUUAUAUGCUUUACUUUGAAACUUACCGGUAGUUCCACUUGUUUUAAAUUUGUAUUAUUUAGGUAGGUUAAAAAUCGAACCAAACUAUUCGAUAUUUGAAAUAAGUUUGGUUCAGUAAAAACUUGUUCUAACUUGAUUUAUGAAUUAAUCAAACAAAGUUUGAACAUCAUUUUGUGUUCAAUUAACUUUUAAACUCUAUUUAAUCCUGGUACAAUUAGCAUAAAACUUGAUUUUAUAAGUAAAAAAUUCAAGCUAUUUGAGCUCAACUCAAAUCUGGCUUGAUUAAAGUCAACAUUAAAUAUAAUUUCAAAUUUGCUAAAAUAAUUAAACAAAAUUGAACGCUAACUUGUCCUCAAUCUUACUAUUGUCCUUAAAUGCAGCCAUGCUGCAAAAUACCUAUGCAUUAUUAGUUGGCCACUUACUUCGACAUCUUCUUAUCCUCAACUUCUUUUGCCUUUCUUUCCUUUUUUGUCUUCUUUUGUUUUUAUGUUACAGUACGGUACACCUACAAAAUUAUUUUGCUACCCACUUUACCCCGCUAUACAACACGGAUGAAGGUUACUAAAUACAAAUUAGGGACAUGAGACUUAUGAAAUAGAGGCCGUAGAAAACAAAUGGGAGAACAAGAAAUCUAUAUUCUUUCUGUCAACUUGCAAUACUCAAUCUCCUUCAACUUCAAUUUCCUUCAAAGUUUCUUUUAAUUUUUUCUUGGUGCUUUAAACAUGACACAUUUCCUACUACCUUUUCUUUAAAAAAAAAAAAAAAAAAAAAACAUUGGCACGUGAAGUUGGCAAUUGGCACUUAUCAUACAAGUGGCUCCGGAUGUGCGGUAUCGUUUGUUUCUUUUGUUUCCUGGGGAUGAGUUUUUGGACUUGGACCACUCAUAAAUAAAGUUGUUUCCUCCUGUGCGGUAUUUCUUGUCAUGGUUGCUCUUACAAUACAGCCAGCCAAUGAAAGUGAAUGUGACAGAGAGAUAUACGCACGGAGACAAAGACAAGGCUGCUCGUGUCUCAUCGUACGAUCCAAUAAUUUGGGAAUUCGAAAAAUCUAAAACCAAAGGAGAAAACAAAUGUAAAUGUGUAAAUUUACAAGUAACCAGUAUUGGUGUAAUCAAUGCAUAAAUGUGUACAUUACAACUGAUAACAUGCAUAAACAAGAUAAACUCACAUUUAACGAGACUUGACUCAACGGUUAUGAUUGUUGAAUCUCAACCUUGAUUUUCUAGACGAACAUCUCGCUGUACAAAUUAUUUAAAUUGCUAUUUUUAAAAUUUUUGUAAAAAAAUAUAUUAUAGUGAUUUGAUAUAUGUGAAAUAAAAGGGUGAUUGAAAAAUUUAUUUAUAAAAAAUCUAAAAAAUUAUCUAUAGAAAAUAGUAAUGGAAGCAAAGGUUUUUGAAUUAUUGGAGCACCCCUAAAUUAGGAAGGACGAAAAUUCAUUAUCACAUCAUAGGACCAGCUAGUCUAUUAUUCUACAAGGUGAGAUAAUUAUGAAAUUGACAUGAAGAAAUACUUCCCACACGAGUCAUGAAUCGAUCAGAUGUGGGACUGGUGGCGGCCGCCAUCUCAAAAAUUAUCAUACGACAAGACGUGUUUCAACACCAUAAGUUGCUUUCGAAGAAUAUUAAAAAUAAUGUUCUGCACAAUAUUUGGACAAGGUCACAAGAAUGGCUCAAAUCACUGAAUCAAAAAAUCCUUUAGCUGCUCAGCUUGAGUUUCACUAAAUAUUUUGAAUUGCAGAGACCUAGUCAAAAAUCGAGUUUGAUCAUGAAAAACAAGGAAAAAAUAGAAAAGUUUUUCAUUUUUUGGUGAACCAUUUUCUUUUUUCUAUUUUGUUAAAGUUUUCCAUAAAAUAUGUUUACCAUAGUUUGAUGGGUUAGAUGCAAAACUUAGCUCUUAAUUAUAACAAAUUUUGCACUUUACUCCUUAAAAUUAUCUUAUUUUGACUUUACUCCACUAUUAGUCAACUCAAACAUUAUAUACCCAUAACCUGAAAAAAACAUUCAUCCUGAGGGUUAAUGACAGUAAAUCCCCUCAAGGUAUUGCAUGUUUUAUACUUUACUCUAUAAAGUCAUCUUUUCUCAAUUUGUAGGUUUGUCCCAAGACCAUUAGUUAACUCCAAUAUUCUGUAACACCCAAGAAAAAACAAUAGCUAAGAGACAUUUAUAUCCUUGACAGGAUAGUGAACUGAAUAAUAUUUUAUGGAUAUGAGUCUAGUUAAAUUUCAUCUCGUAAUUACACUUUUUUAAGACAGGGGGAAAUUUCUCGAUCAUUUUAUGCCUUAAGGAGGAAAAAUAAACAAAAUAUUAUUUAAAAAUAAAAUAUGAAAACUGAAAAUAUUACUAAAUUUGUAAAACCCGCUUAAAAACUGUCAAUCUCUCUUUUCAAAUGUGCAUAUAGGUUUGCUUUUCAUUUAAUGGCUACAUUUUUGCUUUGCAUAAAAAAUAUACACUUUUCGUUGUUAGUAACACUACAAAGGGGCAAAAACAUGAUGGAUUUGGCAUUCCAAAGCUUUAUUGUCACUUGUGCUCAGAGCGCACCCGACGUGUGUACAAUCAAAAAAUAUAUAAUAUUAAUAGUCAUAUAUUUUAAAUAAAAUUUUUAUUACUAAAGCAAAUUUUAAUCUUUUAAAUAUUUUUCAUAAAAUAAUUUUAUAUUGGUAGUUAUGUUGAAUACAUAUACUUAAAAGUAAAAAUAGUCAUGGGUGGUUAUAGAUAGUUAAAGUAAAAGUAAUUUUUAUAAGGGCAAAAAAGAAAGUUCAUAAAGUGACGAUAAAAGUUAACCCUAAUUUUAACCCCAAAUCUCUUUGUCAAGCUUUACAUAUAACUAGUGCCAAAGGCACACCCACAUGUAUGCAAUUUAAGAAUAAAUUAAUUUUUAUGAAAUUUUCUUUAAUGAAUUGAUAGUUAGUAUUUUGGUAGUUAUGUCAAUUGGUAGUUAUCUUGGUAAUUAAACUUUUUUUCAUAAUAAAAAGUUUGGAUGUUUAAAUUUUAAACAUAUUGGUAGUUGCAACAAAAAUUAUGUUGGUUAUAUAUAAUUGGAUAGUUAGGAUAAAAUUUAAUUUUGUGAGGAUAAAAAUGGAAGUUUAAAAAGUGACAAAAGGUAUUUACCCCACCCUUUCAUUUCCUAGAGUAAGUAAGGGUAAAUUUGAAAACACACAAAACUAACACCAAGUUAACUACCUACACAUGUUUUAUUAUUUUAAAGAUAUAGAUUUUGUAAUGCUAAAAGGCACUUUUCUCAAACUUCAACGGUUUACUACAGAGGCAUUUUUUUUACAAGUGCUCAAUACACACCCAAUGUGUGUGCAAUCAAAAAAUACAUAAUUUUUAUGGUCAUAUAUUUUAAAUAAAGUUUUUAUUACUGAAGCAAACUUUAAUCUUCUAAAUGAUUUUCAUAAAAUAAUUUUAUAUUGGUAGUUAUAAUGUUUAGGGGUAGUUAUGUUGAAAACAUAUAUUUAAAUAGUUGAAAGUAAAAAUAAUCAUGAGUAGAUAUAGGUAGUUAAAGUUAAAGUAGUUUUUAUAAGGGUGAAAAAGGAAGUUCAUAAAGUGAUCAUAAAUGUUAAUCCCAAAGUUAACCACAAACCCUUUCCUUAGACUUUAUAUGUAGUAUAGAUAUUGGUGAAUUUAACUAAUGAGGGAACAAAGUGAUAAAAAGAUAAUAAAAUUUGGAAUUCUAUGGGGGAAUUCUUAUAAAUAACCCGAGUUUGAUACUAAAAAAAUUAAUGCCUUGUUUAGAAAGAGAUUUUUUAUCAAAAAAUCUAUACGUUUUUCAUAAACACAUUUUUUAAUCACCUUUUUACCUCACAUAUAUGAAAUCGCUACAGUUUAUUUUUUACAAAAAUUUCAAAAAAUUGCAAUCCAAACAUAACCUAAACUUUUAUAGUGCGCCCAUGGAUAAUUAGGAAACUGUGAUGAUCUAAUAAAAGUUUUCCAGGGUUAAAAGUAAUAAGCCCCCAAAACUUUUGGGAUGCUUUGCACUACAGUCUCUAACGUUGAUUUUGUGCCAUUUAGUACUUUUGUUUUUUUAAAUGAGAUGUCUUAAAUUCAAAACUUCAUACUUACAAUUCCUUCCACCUCACCACUUAACCAUACCCUCCACCCCAAACUCCAAUUUUAGUACUUGUGUUAGUCAACCUCAACAUUUGCCGUUAAAUGGUACUAAUUUCUAAAAUUACCCUGAUUUCUAUGACAAAAAUACCUGUUGUCCUAAAUACAAUAAAAAGAUCUCCACAAAACCCUGCAAUCCUUUUGUUUAAUAUAAAAAAGUUUAAAAAAAAAACCGCAAGCAUUUUGACAGUGCCAAUACAACAAAACCACAAUCUUCCUUUAAUUAACUUAAAUGCAGCGAAGUAUUUCUUCCAAUCUUCUACUCCAUAGUCUUUUUUUUUUUUUUUUUGGAUUAACCGUAGGAGAGCGAAGUACUUUUGUCCUUUUUCUCCUUUUUAUCAAUCUCACAGCUGACAAAACAAAAAUUUUCAAAUAUAUCUAAACUAGCAGUUCCGUCUCUCACUUAUCUUUUUGCUUUCAACAGGUUUUGUACCUAAACAUUAUGUUUUUUUUUUCCCGCAAAAUUAUGUGCUAAGUACAUUCAUUUCCAGAAUAGACAAUUAGAAACAGCAAUGCUAUUAUUCAUGUUCAACUCGUUUGAAUUUGGAAAAGGUUUAAUCACAGAAUAAACAAAUAAAACUCGAAAACAAGAUUGAUUUGGAACCAACACACAAAUUUGGGUGCAAGCGGAUUGAAUAUGUUAUUGAACCCCACAAAAAAUUAUAUUGUUGCCCCACUUUGCCCCCUUAUUCUCCUUACCAGUAUUGCAACUAGAGGUGUUAAAAUGGAUGAUUUGGACGGGUUUGGAUUGGCAAAAAUGGAUAAUAGGUAUAAGUAAGUCAACCCAUUUAUACCUAUUUAAUUAAAUGGGUAUAAAUAGGCAAGCCAAAAAUGAAUUGGAUAACCCAAUUACUCAUUUAUAACCCAUUUAUUUUAAUUUUUUAUAAACUCAUUUAAAUUCAUUUUGCAAACUAGGUUAUCAAUUUAUACCACCCUUUACACCCAUCAUUAGUUUUAAAUAUUUACUUAUAAUGCUCAAUAAGCCUAUUUACCAAAUUUUUUUCCAUCCGUACUCUAUGUCGUAAAAUUACAUGCUAUUUAAUAAUUGAACAAUCAGAAUAUAAAAAUUUGAACUAAGUACUAUAAAAGUUAAACAUAAAAAUUUAAUCCAAAAAUUUUAAACUCCUAGCAUUUUUUUCAUGUGUAAAUUUAAAAUUUCAUUUUGAAAAAGUAGGAAAAGAGGCUAAAACUUGUCAUAAAUUGGUAACACUAAAGAGUAAGUUAACAAACUAAGAGAAAAAAAAAUGAUAAGAUAAAACCAACCAAUGAUAAUAAUAAUGAAACAAAAAUAGUUAACAUCAUAACAAAAUGAAGAAUCUGAAAAAAAAAAUGGGUGGGAGAAGAGAGAAUGCUUGGGGGAAGAUAAUUCUAAAUGGAUUAAUUGGAUUUGAUGGGUUAUCAAUAAUACCCAUUUAUUUAAAUGGGUAUUAUUGGAUAAUCCAUUUAUACCCAUAUGCAAAAACUUAAGAUACCCAUAUCCAUAUAUUCAUGGGCGGGUAUGGGUAAAUUUAGUUAAAUGGAUUCAUUUGCCACCUAUAAUUGCAACCAAUGCAAGUAAAAAUUGCGAUACUUGUUUACUACAAAAUAAGGACGUGAAUUUAUCAAAUAGAAAGUGGAGAGAAAAAAAAGGGCAAAAUACACUUAACUCUCUUGUGAUUUAUUGAUUUUUUACAUAACCUCCCUAUAGUUUCAAAUACUAUAUAUAACCCCCUCAUAAUUUGCAUUAAAGUUUCAAAGUGACAAAAGUGAUUAUUUGCAAUGAAACCCAUGAAAAUAUCGAAAUUGCCUUUGUUUAAAACCUAAAAUGACUGAACUGAUCAAAAAAUAUAAAUAUAAUAUGCAUGACACUCUAACAUCGUAUAGUUUUAUAUUUUACUAUAUAGUCCCCUUAUAGUUUAGUGUUUUACCAUAUAAUCCCCUUAUAAUUUUUAAAAUAUAUACAUAAUCUUUUAUGGUUAUAAAUAAUUUUUAACUUUACAUAAGAGUAUUUUUAACAUUCUAGUUGACUCCAUUAUGGAAUACAAAUUCAGUUAUUUUAAGACUUUAAUUCAAAUCAUGAGAGGGGUAUGUGUAUCUUUUGAAACUAUAGGAGAAUUAUGUGAAAAAAUAUUAAACCAUAGGGGGUAAAGUGUAUUUUUCCAAAAAAAAAAAAGGAAAAACAAGGAGUGAGACCAUUUUCUCAUUUUAUAUGUGCACUUUAGUAAAAUAGUUAAUCAUUUUUCUUCUUUUAAAUUGUAAAACUCAACCUCUUUUAAUUUAAAAUUUCAUUCGAAUGUUAUUUUAAUUUUGAUCUUAGUUCUUCAAAAUUGGCAUAUUAAUUUCCUACAAUUUUUGUAAGGAAAAAAAAAGCAUAAAACAUGGCACUUGAAGUUGGUUGUCGGCACUUAUAGCUUGUAUCAUUUGUUUGCUGGGUACAAGUUAUUGGACUUAGACAACUCAUGGAUAAUUAAGUUGAUUUCACCAGUGGGGUUUAUGGUGGCUUAUCUCCUUCUUAUCAUGUUUGUUCCGACGAUGCAGCCGGCCAAAGAAAUAGGAUGAGAAAGAGAAAUGGGCGCAUGGAGACGAAGGGCCGGCGGCUCCUUUUGAUAUAUCAUCGGUCCCAAUUGUUUGGGAAAUCUAAAAGCGAAGGAGAAAACAAAUGCAUGCAAUUAUGCGAAUCGGAAGAGAUCUGAAUUUUUUUGGAUCAAUUCAAGAACUCUCUAUAUUAGAAAGGGCAAUAAUGCAAUGUCACAUCCACAGGACCAGCUGGUCGUUUGUCAAUUAUUUUACAGUGGGAAAUUAUGAAAUUCGCAUAGGGAAAUACUUUCCUGCUCAUGAGCCGAUGAAACAGUGGAGUGGCGGCAGCCGCCGCCCUUCGAAAAUUUAAGUUUGUUUUUGGAUUGUAAUUUUUUUUAAAAAAAAUUCCUACGUUUUUUGUGGAUAUAUUUUUCAAUCACUUUUUUAUUUUACAUAUAUUAAAUCGCUACAGUAUUUCUUUUACAAAAAAUCCAGAAAAAUGCAAUUCAAACAAAGCUUAAAAUUUUAUUUAUAUCAGAUUUUUUUUUGUAAAACAUUAUAAUUUUAUUAAAUUUUGUAUUAAUGGCAAAAGUUACAUCAUCUGAAAAGUGGAUACUAUAGAUAUGAAAAACAGAUAAAAAUUACACUGUAAAAUUCUAAAAAAUAGUUUAAAAAAUGAGAUAAAAUAAUUGUAACCUCACGAAUAUCUAUGCAUGCUUGUGAUCGUCAAAUCUAUUGAUUAAUUUUUUCAAUUCUGAAUAUUAUGGUGAGAUUUACCAAAUAAACUCAAGAAAUUCCAAAUUUGAUAAAUAAAAUCUAAAAAAAAAGAGUUAGAUCGAAUAAAAGAAAAUAAAAAAAACUACCUAAAGCAUUCAUUAGAAAUCUCUAGGAAAGAAGAAAACUCUCACUAGGUAACACUAAGAGAGGAAAAAAUUCUCACUAGAAAAUUGUAAGAAAUUUUAUUUGUACAAAUGAAAAAAAACUAUAGAUAAAGCUCCUCCUAUGGAGAAAGAUUGAAAAAAUGUGAUUUCUCACCCGAAAGAAUUGAAUGAAGUUUUGGUUAGAGAAUUUUCCUAAAGAGAAACUAAUUCUCUCUUUCUUCUCUCAAGAAUUGGUGGGAGGUUUUUUUUAUGUCUUAUACAGUUCUUUCUUAUUUAUAUCAGAAUUAAGAGAAUGGAAAGUGAUAAUUUGGAGAAAAAAAUUUGAUCAAAGCCUUGAUAAUUGUAAGGUCCAAUUAAUAUUCUAGAUCUUGGCCAUAUUAGCUCGAGCUAAUCUAGGUCAUCCAUCUCUUUUCUAAAGAAAAUUUAUAUUUUUUUUUUGUUGUAAAAGUUAAUGGCCAGAUUUGGACCACAUCAGCAAAACUUGAUUUGAACCAUUAAUUGUACGUAUGCCAGGCAAUCGUGCAUUCUCCUAAAAGUAGCCAAUUGCCAUGGAAGGUUGUAAAUGACCAUCUUAAUCCCUGAAUUAAGAAACAGUCAUCCCAUAAAUCCUCUUCCUCCUUCCACAUUCGAAGACCGCCACCGCAGCUUACUCCACCCUUCAUUCACAAACCCAGUCAACAAUUUUUGCCUACAUAUCAAUCUUGAUUACCUUGCUAUAUCCCCUUACUCUUCCCUUCACGCUAUCUUCUUCCCAUAUUGAAGAAGCAAAACCAUGAUGAAAUAUUGUUUUGGGACAGGAAUAUGUCCAAAAGGGUGAUUUUAGGGCUAUCAAUGGGUCCGGACCCAAAUCUGAUCCAAUAUGCUCGUUUGUUCGAACCUGACCAAAUCCAAAUUAUAUGCAUUCUAAAUGGAUCGGGUAUGGAAUGACAUGUUCCGAUUCAUUCGGAUCCGAUCCAAUUAAUUGGACAUAUAUAAGUAAUAAUUAUAAUAUUCAUUAUAAAUUGUUACUAACCCACAUGUUUUCUCUUUGAAAAAAAAAGGAGGUACUCUAAGAACCAAAUAAUCUUUGGAAUUUUUCUCAUUGUGUAGUUACUAUUUUAUUAACAAAAUUUGUGUAAAAAUAGAAUUCAAAAAUUAUCAAAAAUUUUGUUAUACUAAAUUGAUUUUAUGGAUUGGAUAUAUCCGAAAUAGAUUUGAAUCCAACAGAAACUGGAUCCAGAAAUACAUAUUAAGACUUCAUUAGGUAAAUGGAUUGGGAUCCAAAAUAAUUAUUACCUGUCGGAUUUGUGUUAGCAGUUAUCAAUUUUACCCAGAAUCAACCCGAUGAGUUCUUAUUUUGUUUCUUUUUGGGCAAAGCUCAUACUAAUGGAGAGGGAUGCCAGUCCCAAAUUUAUUACUAAUAGAGAAAGGAAGGGCCAGGCAUUAAUCUAAACUCUAAUACAAGAAAAAGAAGCUAAUGAAAUGGAAAAAGGAGUACUACUCCCGUGCCGAUCUUAAUCUAAUGUUUGGCAAACUAAUACUAUCAACAGAAAUAAUAGCUUUUACUGUGAAGCAUGGUUCAAAGUCUCGGCCGACUCGUCACCGUCUCAGACCCUUCGAUACGUCACUGUGAACGGUUGAAACGGUCGAGUUACACUGAAUCACUCCGAGUCAUCCUAAGUCAACUCGAUUUUUUAUUAUUUUUACUAAUUUUUUAAUUAAUUUUGUUUACCAUAUUUUUUAUAAAUUUUAGAAUAUUAAAUAUUUCAAAAAUUCGCGUCUCACCGAGACUGCAUGCCAAGAUCGAUGUAGAACGGUCUAGGCCGCGACCGCGACUUUGAACCAUGCAGUGAAGGCAAUUCCGACGUAGAAGUGUAAAUCUGCUGCCGAGAGAGAGUUAAAGAAACAAGAAAGUAAACUGAAAAACUUGCUCCACCAUAAAUGUGAUGAACAAAAACCCGAUAACACCUUGAAGCAAAUGACGAAUUUGAACUAGGGCACUACACAUUGGCCAAUUAGCUAAAGCAUUGGUUGAUAAAGGUGCACAGGUAGCUUAGCAUCCACCUGUACCAGUACAUCAUCAGUAGUGCAUUAUUUUCUACCAGCAAAAAAUUUGCCUUGUCAAAUUCUUCAUAAAAUACAAAGACAAUCCUAUCAAUAUUAUGAUGCUAAAUGAGAAAUUUUGGGUUCGAGUCCUUCCAUCUAAAUUAUUUUAAAAAAAGCAAAAAAAAAAAUCCAUGAUGGUCUUGUAGAAGACUCUCUCGAGAUGAAGUUAACCUUUUAGUACUGGUAAUGGUAUUGAGUUUAUAAUGCUUUUCCAUGGUGGAAACCAUCAGACAGCCAUUACCGAUGUCCUCAUGGAAGUUUCUAGCCUAAAAAACUUUGCAGUAUAAGUAUUCUAAUCACUUAUUACAUAAAAUCCUAUCACCAAGGAACGUGCUCCUAACACAGCAAGACAAUUAUCAACCUUCAAAAUAAUCUUAAAAGCGAGCGAAGAGAUUCUUUGAAAAUGUGUUUCGUUCUUUCCACACCAUGAAAACCACAAAGCUAAUAUAGGUAAAAUACAUCUAAUGUGAUCAAGAGGUGCUUUAUCUAGAGACAAAUUAACAAGAAGACAUCAGCAAAGAAGAGAUACAUGUAUGAGGCUAGAAGGGAAUUCUGAAAACUGGGAAGUAAUGCCCGGCAAACUUGAACUGGAAUCGAGCCUUCUGUUAAAGUAUGCGGCAAAGAUGUUGUAAAAACUUGAUAUUUCAAAAGAUUUUUCGUUUGUUUCGGACUAGAGCUUUAUCUGAUAAUAUUUCAUCAGAUAUGGUUGUUUCUAUUUUGAUGGAGAAGUUUUCAAAGAUAAGGUUUUGACUAAAAGGCAAGUUCAAGUGCUAGAUAGGAAGUUAAGCUUCGGAUGGCCUUUUUUCAAAUGACUUGACCUUUUCCAAACUUAUCACCACAGAGGAUAGACCUCUGACUACUUCAAAAGAUAAAGUCUGGCACGAAGCAAGCCUAUUCUCACGGAAAAUUAGCUUUCAAAAUUCUAUCUUCUUCCGUCCCGUGAAGCUUAUAAAUAGAACCAGUUGCCAGGCUCAUUUCGCACUGCAAAAACGAAGUCUACACUUUAAAACACUCUCUACCUCCUCCUUUGUCUAUCCUUCACAACAUUCUUGCUUUUCUGCUGGGUUAGAAACAAGAUUUUUUUUGCUGGUUCUAUGUCCCUCUCACAAAGUAGAGGAAAACUUGUUUAAUUCUGGGGAAACGUUUCAAUACCCUGAAAUAGUUUCUUAGGACAGUGCUUUCUAGCACGACUCAAGUAUCCACGUGUUGACAUUGUUCGGGCCGCUUUAUCCAACAAUCUAAGAAACUAUGGCAUCUAACAAUGUUAGCACCCCACAGCCUUCAUCAGCAACUGUUGCAGUGGCACUACCAUUCGCCAAGCUCUUUCCGGAUGUAUCCAAAAUUGAAAUUUUCGCCAAUGAAAAUUUUAAAAGAUGGCAAGAACGUGUGCACUCUCUACUUGACAUCCAUGGAGUAGCUUAUGCGCUCACUGAAUCUCAACCUUCUGCAACUGCGGAUGCCAAGAGUCAAGAAGCAUGGCAAUAUGCCAAUAAGGUAUGUCGACACACUAUCCUUCAAACACUCUCUAAUGAAUUAUUUGACGUCUACUAUAGCAGCAAAGAAGCCAAGGCAAUUUGGGAAGCCUUGGUAACAAAGUUUACUGCCGAAGAUGCAACCAAGCAAAAAUUCGUCGUAGGAAAAUACAACCAAUGGCAAAUGACUGAUGACAAGGAAAUGAAAAUUCAAAUCACCGAAUAUCAAAUGCUGCUAGAGGACUUGAAAAAUGAAGACAUCAAUCUUCCUGAGAAAUUCGCUGCAAGCAUGCUGAUUGAAAAACUACCAGAGUCAUGGGCCGACUAUAAAAACAACUUGAAACACAAGGAGAAAAAUUAUACCAUGGAUGAGCUCGUGAAGCACAUCCUCAUUGAAGAUUCAAACAAAAGGGAGUUAAGAGCUACCAAGGCAAAGGAGACGGCUUUCAAAGCCAAUCUGGUACAAGGUAAUAAUAAAAGGUACGCCAAUAAAUCCCAGAAUUACAAGCCCAAAAAUUUUAAUUUCAAGCCUAACAAUCCCAACUUUAAGAAAAGGAAAGGCAAUUGAUUUUAUUGUGGAAAACCAGGACAUCAUGCAUUACAAUGCAGACAUAAUAAAGGUGACAGAGCAAAUGGUAAUCUUCCUAAGGUGCACUUAACCGAAGGAGAUGAUAUAAUUGCUGCUGUCAUCUCUCAAGUGAACAUUGCAGCCAAUGUCAAAGAGUGGGUGGUAGACUCUGGGGCUACUCGGCACAUAUGUGCAAAUUGAGAAGCAUUUUCCUCCUAUACUCCUAUAGGGGAUGAUGAGGAAGUUGUCUACCUUGGUGACUCACGAACUGCUAAUGUUCUGGGUAAGGGCAAAAUAUUCUUGAAACUCACUUCAGGAAAAACUUUGGCUCUCAAUGAUGUACUGCAUGUGCCCAACAUUCGGGCAAAUCUGGUUUCCGUAGGAUUGCUAGGAAAAGUUGGAGUGAAAGUGUCAUUUGAAUUUGGAAAGAUCAUAAUGACCAAAAAUAAUGUAUUUGUGGGCAAGGGCUAUUGUAAUCAGGGACUCUUUGUACUUAACAUUGCCAAUGUGAUCAAUGAGAAUGCUUCUUCUUCUGCUUAUAUUAUUGAUUCAAUUUCUUUAUGGCAUGCAAGAUUAGGACAUGUUAAUAUGAGUUAUAUAAAGAAAAUGCAAUCUUGUGGCCUGAUUUCUGGUGUUAAUGAUAAAAUGGAUAAAUGUGAGAUAUGUGCAGAAACUAAAAUGACAAAGAAGACUUGUAUAACUGUUCAAAGAGAAACUGAACUAUUAAAUUUAAUCCACACAGAUUUAGGUGAUUUAAAACAAACUAUGACUAGAGGAGGAAAAAGAUAUUAUGUCACUUUUAUCGAUGACUACUCUAGAUAUACUAAACUUUACUUACUUAGAAAUAAAGAUGAUACUCAUAAUGCCUUUUUAUCUUAUAAGUCUGAGGUAGAAAAUCAACUUAAUAAGAAGAUAAAAAGAAUUAGGUCUGAUAGAGGAGGCAAAUAUUUAGCCCUAGAUAAAUUUUGUGAACAUGAAGGCAUAAUACACGAAACAACACCUCCUUAUUCGCCAGAAUCUAAUGGAGUAGCUGAAAGGAAAAAUAGAACAUUAAAAGAAAUGAUGAAUUCUAUGUUAGUUAGUUCUCAUGCUCCUGAUAAUUUAUGAGGAGAAUCUAUUUUAUCUGCAUGUCAUUUACAAAAUAGGAUACCUCAUAAGAAAACUGGCAAAACUCCUUAUGAGUUAUGGAAAAGUUAUAAACCAAAUUUGAAAUAUUUAAAAGUAUGGGGAUGUCUUGCUAAAGUAUUGUUGCCUGAACCUAAGAAAAGAAAAUUAGGUUCUAAAACUUCUGACUGUAUGUUUAUUGGAUAUGCUGAACAUAGUGCUGCAUACAGAUUUCUUGUUUUAAAAAGUGAUACGCUUGAUUGUAAUACAAUUAUUGAGACAAAGAAUGCUGAAUUCUUUGAACAUAUUUUUCCAUUGUCGAGUAAAAUUUCUCAUGCACCUGUUGAAAUAAAUAGAGAAAUAAUUCCGAAUGAGGAAUUAAGAAGGAGUAAAAGGCCAAGAAAAGAAUUUUCUUAUGGAAAUGAUGUUCAAACUUUUCUUGUUGAUAAUGAUUCUUUAACAUACUCCGAUGCUAUUUCUUCCCCUGAUUGUAAAGUUUGGAAAUAAGCAAUUAAAUCUGAAAUUGAUUCUAUCUUGUCAAAUAAAACUUGGAUUUUGGUGGACUUACCUCCUGGUGCAAAACCUAUUGGUUGCAAAUGAAUUUUUAAAAGAAAAUAUAACUCUGAUGGCUCUAUAGAAAAGUACAAAGCUCGUUUAGUAGCAAAAGGAUUUUCUCAAAAACAAAAUAUUGACUAUUUUGAUACAUUUGCACCAGUAACAAGAAUUGCGUCUAUUCGAGUUUUAUUUGCUUUAGCUUCUAUCCAUAAACUUGUUAUUCAUCAAAUGGAUGUCAAAACAGCAUUUCUAAAUGGUGAUUUAGAGGAAGAAAUUUAUAUGUUUCAACCUGAGGGGUGUAUUGUAUCUGGACAAGAAAAUAAGGUUUGUAAACUAAUUAAAUCUCUUUAUGGCCUAAAACAAGCUCCUAAACAAUGGCAUGAGAAAUUUGAUCAAGUAUUGAUAAAAGAUGAAUUCUUGUCUGUAGAAGUGGAUAAAUGUGUGUAUGUCAAAAUUAUAAAUGAUCAAUAUGUGAUAAUCAGCUUAUAUGUGGAUGACAUGCUUAUAUUUGGUACUAGUCUAGAUAUUGUAAAUAAUACUAAAUAUUUUUUGUCCUCUAAUUUUGAUAUGAAAGACUUGGGUGAAGCCAAAAUGAUAUUGGGUGUUAAAAUCAUAAGGAGAGGUGAUGGUAUAAUGUUGUCACAAGAACAUUAUACAGAGAGACUUCUUAGGAAGUUUGAAAAUUAUGAUGUGACACCUGUGAGUACUCCUUAUGACGCUAACAUUCAAUUGAGGAAAAAUAAUGGCGACCCAAUUGCUCAGUCUAAAUAUGCUCAGAUCAUUGGGAGUCUGAUGCAUCUGAUGAAUUUCACUAGACCGGAUAUAGCUUAUGCUGUAUGUAGACUGAGUAGAUAUACUCAUAAUCCCAAUCGUGAGCAUUGGUUUGCAUUAGUCAGACUAAUGAAAUAUUUGAGAGGUACCAUGAAUUUUGGUAUACUAUAUAGUGGAUUUCCCACUGUAUUAGAGGGUUACAGUGAUGCUAACUGGAUCUCUGAUCCAAAUGAUACAAAAUCCACUAGUGGUUAUGUGUUCACCCUUGGUGGUGGUGCGGUAGCAUGGAAAUCAGCCAGACAGACAAUUAUUGCUCGGUCAACUAGGGAAUCGGAGUUCAUAGCUCUGGAGUUAACUGGCUCUGAGGCAGAUUGGUUAAGAAAUUUCUUAGUCAAUAUUCCUCCUAUUAAGGAUCUGUUGUCUCCUGUGUCUAUACACUGUGACUGUCAAGCGGCUAUUGCUAUUGCAAAAAUAAAUCUUAUAAUUGUAAAAGUCGACACAUGAGAUUAAGACAUGAUGUCGUAAAGCAGCUGCUUAGAGAUGGAAUUAUUUCCAUUGAUUUUGUGAAGUCAGAGUUGAAUUUGGCCGAUCUUCUGACUAAACCUGUAGGAAGAAAAUUAAUUCUUCAAACUACAAGGGAGAUGGGACUUAGGCUAACGGUUGUCAAUAGAGAUGGUAACCCAACCUAUGUGAUUAGUGAUCCCAUGAAAUAGGUUCAUAUGGGUAAUAACAAGUCGAUAUUGACUGUAAAAGCACUUGAAAUUUAAGUCCCUUCAAAAUUAAGUGCUUUGACUGCCAAUAAUUGUGAGGCUGAGUUUAAUACUCUUAAUGAAUUUAUAUUCCUUCAGGAAGGUGUAUUUAGGGCAGUAUACACUUGAUAAAUUCACCUAUAUGUGAGUGGAGUGGGGCCGCUCCUAUAAGAUUUUUUGGCCGAAUCUUUAGAGCUCUCAUGAACAACCAGGCGGGCGCACGACCUAAAUGCGCGAAACUGCAUUGAACAGCAAAAUUAUGGGUUAUAAUGUGAUUGAUAAGAUCUCUGUCAUACAAUAAGAAUUAUUGGUUCAUAGAAAGAUAUGUUUUCACCAAUAAUUCUGUAAGACAUAUUUUAUCAAUUUAAGUUUGGUUCAUAGUCCAAAAGACACCAAACUCAUUACAUUGAGCUCAGACAAAUCCAGCAGAUGUUUAUACUCUUUUGUCCAAAAUCUUUUGAAAUAGGUGGGAGAUUGUUGUAAAAACUUGAUAUUUCAAAAGAUUUUUCGUUUGUUUCGGACUAGAGCUUUAUCUGAUAAUAUUUCAUCAGAUAUGGUUGUUUCUAUUUUGAUGGAGAAGUUUUCAAAGAUAAGGUUUUGACUAAAAGGCAAGUUCAAGUGCUAGAUAGGAAGUUAAGCUUCGGAUGGCCUUUUUUCAAAUGACUUGACCUUUUCCAAACUUAUCACCACAGAGGAUAGACCUCUGACUACUUCAAAAGAUAAAGUCUAGACGAAACAAUCCUAUUCUCACGGAAAAUUAGCUUUCAAAAUUCUAUCUUCUUCCGUCCCGUGAAGCUUAUAAAUAGAACCAGUUGCCAGGCUCAUUUCGCACUGCAAAAACGAAGUCUACACUUUAAAACACUCUUUACCUCCUCCUUUGUCUAUCCUUCACAACAUUCUUGCUUUUCUGCUAGGUUAGAAACAAGAUUUUUUUUGCUGGUUCUACGUCCCUCUCACAAAGUAGAGGAAGACUUGUUUAAUCCUGGGGAAACGUUUCAAUACCCUGAAAUAGUUUCUUAGGACAGUGCUUUCUAGCACGACUCAAGUAUCCACGUGUUGACAUUGUUCGGACCGCUUUAUCCAACAAAAGAUUCAAUCGAAUAGCUACUAGCCAAAUUAUCUGAACAAGAAGAGCAUUAUUUGGAAACCAAAAUAAUACCAUGGACAUGAAUAUCCUCAUCUCAACGGCUAGAGGGAAUUCCAUGUGAUCUUCAAAACAAUGGAAGAAUUCUUCUUCUUUCUCACCUCCCCCCUCCCAAGCCGAAGCUAGAGUAAAACAACCAAAGGUAAAUAGCUGCCACACCAACAUAUCUUCUUGAUUUGAUCAAACCCUUAACUUCAAAAUUGCAGCCACUAUACGAAGAGGAAGCCGGUCAUUCAGCCGAGCAACAUUCCAAUCGAAAUUCAUAAGAAAAACUCAGCUACUAGACAAUAUGGUGGAUAAUCCAUAUCACAAACAACAGCAGAGGGUUCAUCCAAGACCCAUCUAUCAAACCAAAAAUCUAUCAUUCUCUACUCUACGCACCAAUCGAUAUUCACUUCAGCAACUCCUUUAAUGUAAAACAAAUGUUUUCAAACAACUUAACCCACGCAAGAUUGAACUUGCGUUGGAUGAAGAGCAUGAAGAUAUUUCCGCUACGUAAACUUUGCUUAAACUGUUUUUUUUUUCUAAAAUUCUAUCGUAGCUUAAUACUGAAAGCAUGGAUCUAAUCCCUUGACUUUCUCUACUAGAAAACGUAAGUUUUCCCAAGAAGACCAGUGAAUAUGCCUCGAAUUAUCUUUAACAUCUGACAGAAAGCUAUUAUACGUACAUUCAAUAGUUCUAACCACCACUUUUGGAGGAGAUAGCACUUGCAACAAGUACAUAAGAAUUUAAGAAGGGACAUGUUUCAGUAUAAUUAUUUUCCCACUAGCUGAUAAGAAUUUAGAAUGCCAACCAGAAUUCUCCCUCUGAUUUUCGAUACAAUGCUUCAAACAUUACUCUCUUUGAUCUACUCUCAUAUAAAGAAACUACCAAAUAGGAAAAGGGGAGACAUUGAAGUUGAAAUCCCAAAUAGAACAUACCAUACACAUCUAGCAGUCAAGAUCUUAUCGGAACAAAUAAAUAAGCUAUUUGCAACCUUGAUCCACUGAUCAGAUUAGUAGUGAGAAAGAAAGUACUUUAUCGCCUUCAAACACCUCUUCAAGCAAUGUGUAAAAAUGAUUGUAUCAUUAGCAAAAGCAAGAUGCAAAACUUGACCUCCUGAUAAUGUAAAAAACAUCCUCCUCCCAUUUUCAAAUAAAUCAAUCAAUCCAUGACCAAGAUAUUCAGCAGCUAUCACAAAUAAAGUUGGUGAUAAUGGAUCUCCUUGACGACGAACACCACGAAAGGACUUUAAGAAUCCCACAACUCCACUAUUUAAACUAAAUGAAAACCAAUUGUUGGAGACAAUGCGAAACACAAGAUCAUUCUUGUAUUCGCUAAACCAGAAAUCUCAAUAUUUGCAUAAUGAGAGACCAAUUCGCCUAAUCAUAUGCUUUCUCUUAACACAUUCAGUUCCUGGAGUUUCUUAUCAAUCUCAGCCACAAGCUCUUGAGCUAACAACAUGAAAUCAUUAAUUCGUCUUCCCAGAAGAAAUCCCGUCUGCAAUGGGGACAGAAAGAUAAUUUAUGGGAGAAUUGUUGGGUUUGUGAGUCCAACCCAUUUGUUGGGCCAAGUCACAAUUAGAGCCCAAAGCCCAUGGUCAUUUGGUUUCCGAGUCAAUAUUUGACUUGAGAUUAUAGGAAGUGACUAGUCAAUUAACUAAAACUUGAAGUCGCACAAAAGGGAAUAAAUAUCAACCUAUGAGAUUAAUUGCAACGUUAUUAAACUCGAACGGGAUAGCGACUUGGCUAAACUAUUGAAUCAAGGGUCAACUAGUCGGAUCGGUUGGACCGCUUUUAAAAACCCGCUCAUGUCAACAUGUCGUCAUAGUUAUUUUAUUUUUUUUUAUAAAUUAUAGAAAUAUAGAAAUUAACUUCUUAGUUAUAUUCGAUCAAUCAUAGAAAAUGUUCCAAAAAUAUUAGACUUGCAAUCAAAUAUACACCUAAUAAUUAUAUAUAAAAAUGUAAAUUCAUGGCUAAAAUAUGUCCAUUCUCCAAAACUACUUGAAAAACUAAAUUAAAACAAAUUAAUGCAAGUUGGAAUCACUGAUGCUAAAAUGAUAAGAUCAUAUGGAUGAAAACAUUUUGAUUUAGAGAUCAUUCAGGAAAGGGAAUGAUUUUUGUAUUUACACUAAGUGGAUGGCGUUUUCUUAUUCCUAUUAAUAAAUAAGACUCAAAUUAUGUUUGGGAAAAAGAAGCAAGAAAAGUUUGAAAAUUAGGUCAAUCAGUUGAACCGGGUCACUGGUUUAGUCAAUUUUUGACGGUUUUGACCAAAGCGAUUUUGUACUACAAACUAGCUCGGAAAGAUGGUCGAUUCAUAGUCGGACAGGUUGUCAGGACAGAAGAAAUAAGCUAAAUUUAAGAAUACUUUGUAACGGUGACGUUUGGGGAAUAAUUGUAGUGCAGCGAUGACGUUUUGUGAAAUGUUAGUAAUAAAAAGGGAUAAGUGGAACGGUGUCGUAUGAAAGGCUGAGUUAGUUAGAACAGUCACGUGGGUUGUGACAGAAAUUGGGUAGCGGUAGUUAAUUCAUCCUAUUUGUACACGUUUGAUUGGCUAAAGAGGCAUCAGAGAAUAACAAUUGCAUUUUCCCUCUUUUCCUACUUUCUCUUUCUACUCCCCUUACUCUCUGCAACUUCUUUUCAAUCUUCUCUCUCACGAAGCUCUUCUGAGCUUCUCUCCUUUCUCCAAUUCAGGGAUAUGGUCGUAGGAGCCUGACAAGUGAUAUCAGAGCUUGUCGAAUCCUUGGAAUUGAACAGCAAUGGCGGAGAGUACCAGAUUCAAGACUCUGGAAGAACAGAUCAAGAAAUAAGAUUCCAAGCUCCAGGAGGUAAUAGAAAGUCUGUAGGCUUCGCACCACCAACAACAGCAGCUUCGCGAGGAGCUGCGAACAGAACUCGAGGAGAACAACCAGAAAAUGGAAGGUCUGGUAAUAAGAUUGAAACAAGAGUUCAGCGCCUUCAUGAAGAUGAUGCUGGAAAGAGAGAAACUGAAUUAUGAACCAGGAAGAACCCUGAGUGAUCAACCACCUCUGCUGCCAACACCACCGCCUAGUCAGAGGCUGCAAGUUGGACUCGAAGGUAUCAAGAUUGGGAGGAGAGAAACAAACAAGGCACUGAUUCCAAAUCCCCCAAAAAUUGACUUGCCUCUAUUCGCUGGGGAAAGUCCAAGGGAAUGGAUCAGGAAGUGCAACAAGUAUUGCAUAAACUACCAAAUUCCUAAGGAACAGAAGGUAAAGGUGAUCGAGAUGUACUUGGAAGGGAAGGCGGGCAGGUGGUUCCAGGGAGUUAAGGCGGAGAAACCUGAAAUCACGUGGCCAAUGUUUGAAGAAUUAUUGGGCAAAAGGUUCGAUAACAAGGCAGGUAAGGAUAUUGUGGAGGAAUUUAACAAAUUGCACCAGACAGGGAAGGUGGAGGAGUAUCAGGAAAGGUUUGAGGAGCUCAAGGUCCUCAUGACAAUGAAGAAUCCGCAUCUGAGUGAAGAAUAUUUUGUAUCCAGCUUUAUCAGUGGAUUGAAAGAUGAAAUCAAGACUAUGAUCAAAAUGUUGAGGCCUACCUCUCUGUCCGAGACUUUUGAAUUAGCAGUAUUGCAGGAGAAUGCACUGAACCUUGUGAGGGCCUCAAAAUUUAUUAUUUUAAUAAGAAUAUUAUUAUUACUAUUUCAUUUAUUUAUUUUAUUGUUUUAUUUAUUUUAUAUAUAUAUUUUUUGAAAAGUUAAAUAAUAAAUGUGAAUACAAUUAUAUUAUGUAUUUAUAUAAAAUUACAUGAUCUUUAUGUGCAUAGUUCGCAUUUUCAUAAUUAAAUUAUUUUCAUUCGAACAAAAUUCCAAUGUUUGACUGACUAGUGCUAAGUUCAGUUUUUAAGCCGUGUCGAGGAAUUUAACUUUGGUGAAAGAUUAGUCUAUGAGUAGCUUUAAAAGAAUUAUAAAUGAGAUAGAACUAAGAUAGAUAAGAAAAGUGUAGUGGACAAAUUUAAGUGGAACAUAAGCAUUGGUCAAAGUUGGACAAUUUCCGCUAAAACUAAGUUUUAAUCUUGCCAUUGUUUCUUCCAUUUAAUUUCCUCCAAUUCACUUCAAUUUCUUUUCCUUUCUUCCUUAUUAUAGUCGAGAAUCCCCCUCCCUCAUUAGCCAAGAUAAUCACUUUCAUUCCCACUAAAUUUACUCUUAAGACAUUAAUAUGUAAGAGGGGACAUGAUCCUUAAAAUAGGGCUUUAAGUCCUAUCCUUCUCUUCCCAAUAUAAUGCUCCCAAUUUUUCAAACAUUUCAUUCCUUUUCUUCUUCCCUUAUCAGCCGACCACCCUCACACACUCUCUCCCUCUUUCUAGCCAAAGCUCUAUCUUCUUCUUCCUCAACUCAAACUCCAUGACCAACCAACUUCUAGCUUCACUCCAUCUCCUAUUUUUUUUUCUUGUUGUUCUAGCCGAGAGAAUGAGAGGGAGAAACCGAGAGGAGCUCUUUGUGGUGGCUGGCCAGAUUCUUGGAGAAGGAAAGAGAUCUCUUCGUGGUGAAGAUUGGACAUCCUAGCCUUGGGAAAAUCAGCUAGAACCUGAGGUAGUUCUCUAACCCAAAAGCUAGAGCUUUCAUGUUAUCUCUUGAAGAGUGAAUCUUGAAACUUCAUUGGGUUGAAUUCUUGUUGGAUUUGGUUAAUGUACGGGUUCUUGGGAUUCCCACAAAUGUAUGAUCUUGGUUGCUAGCAUGAUUUUUGAUUGGUAUAUGUGUGAAUAUUUGGAGUUGUGGCUUGAACUUUGGAAGGGAAGAACCUUAACAGAAAUCGGGAGAAAGAGGGGGAGAGAGAGAGAGGGGGGACCAAAAUGGUUUCUGUUUUCUCUAUUUUUCUUGGCUGUGUUUUCACAAAUUUAAAGAUUGAUUUGGGAGCUAAAAAUUUAAGCUUUAAGCUGUCAUUUUCUCUUACAAAAAAAAAAAAAAAACCCCUUCAAAUGGCGUUGCAAAAUGGUUCCAAAAGAAGGUUUCAAACCUGGAAAUUUCAAAUGAGAGUACGGUCCGAAAUUUCUGUGAUUAUUCGAAAAUGUUUGGGGCUCAAUUAGCCUUAGCACAUAACAUGAAAGUUGUAGAGAAUUGAGUUUAAAUUAUGCCUGUAAAGUUUCAGCUCAAUCGGAGCUGGGUAUCCUGUGAAAUGACAAAAUUGCCCCUGCUACCCUGUUUCUAUCAGAAAUGAUAAUCAGCCUCUGUAAUUGGUUAGUUUGACCGGGAAUAUUACUGAAUUGGUUGUCAAUGUCUUCUUAAGAAUUGUAGCCUUGUAUCUUAGCUUUGAAAUGGCUUUGGAAUCACCUGAAUCGGAGUUGUGUGUGCUGAGUUAAGAUUAACUGAAUCAGGACUAUCAGUAAUUGUGUCAGUGAGAAUUGAACCAAGAAACUUGGGCUAUUUCGGUAAAUUUGAUCUAGUUAGGGUGAGAACUGGGUUGAGAUGUCUUCACAAGAAUGGUAGAUCUAUGUCUUAGCUUCGAAACGGUAUAUUUUUUGUUUCAAUCCGAUAAGUGUAGCUCGAGUUGUGCUUAAAUUCCUAAAAGGAUUUGGUAAAUGGAUUUACGAACUGUACUUUCUUAUUAGGUGAGUGUGUACGUUAUCACACUCGCCAAAGGACAUGUGACUUUUCACUAUUUGAGUGACCUAUUUACCAAUGUGUUUAUGUGGUCAAUGUGGUUACUGGACGCUUGGUUUGAGGUGAUUAUUGUGAUUAUUGUGGCUGAACCCCUUGAGCAUUUGUUCGGGGUGACUAGCUUGAGGAUUUUAAUUGCUUUCUUGUUUUUGGCUUGAUGAUAGGUAGAGGUCUGGAGGUAUAUUGAGCUUUAGAUGCAUAUAUGUGAUAAAUCUUGCUUUAUUACAUGUUUGGCUUGUUAAUUAUUGCCAGAUAUUCCUUUAUUUGGAUAGAUGAACUUGUGUGUGUUUAAGUAUAGCAAGAGGAAAAAUUUUUGUUUUGAAUCUUUCAUGUUGGCCGAAAUUUUUGGGACAAAAUUUCAGAUUUUUGGAGCUUUUAUUUGAGUUAAAGUUGUGCCAAAAUAAUGGAUUCUAAGUGUAUUUGGGUUGAUUAAACCGAUUGGCUCUUCAAAGGAAAAAAAAGGAGUGAACUUGCUAAAGUGAAAACUGGAAAUCUGCUUUCUGGAACAACAGACCAGUUUCGGAAAAAAAAGUUAUAUUUUCAUGUAUACCACUCCAAAUCGAGUCCCAUUUGUUUUUUUUUUUUGAAACUAGACACAUAAGGUUACAAAUCAUGUAAAUUUCAGGGGCUAACUCAUUUUCUGUGAUUUUUGGUGUUUUUUUAAAGUCCGUUGGAAAAACGGAAUUUUACCUGCCCUGCAUUUUACUGUAGCAGUCUAUUGACGGAAACACUGGGCAAAAUUCGUAUGGAAUGUCAUCAAGGUGUCUUCUACAAAGUUUUAGCCCUUUCAAUUAGGUUUCCAACGGUAUCAACUAUGCAAAUUUUGGACUCGUAAAUAUUAAGUUACGAUUUUCUAAAGAUUUCUACCAUAAACCUCCAGUUUCCUGAUUUUUACAAUAAACAUGAAAACGACUUGAUAUUUUUGCUUGGCCUUGAAUAUGCACGUGAAUGAUCGUGAUUAUACAUGUCUCAGGUGAAUACGAGAACUCCGAAGAACCCGUUUAGCCGCUUAACUUUUUCUCUCUCAUGACUUUUGGUGAGUGUCAAAUGCAUGUUAAGUGUUUAAAUGAAAUGUUUCUCGUACUUGCUAGUUCAUGAGGGUAGAGUGUACUUUACCGCCCUUGUCCUCUAUUUCAUGAAAUUGCUUGCUUGAUAAGUGAUAAGUGUUACAUGUGAAUGUAAAUGAAAGUGUUUUCCGUGAGCAUUGAGCAGCAGAAUGUAUCACACCCUUUUAGGGUUGGAGGUACCGCUCAUCCCGUCUCAAUGCUAUGACCAAAUCUUGUCGAUUGGAGAUUCGUCUCAUCGACCCAAAAGUGAAUGGGGGGGGGAUGCCCCAACCCAUUGGCUAGCCUUGUAACUCGAGCCGGCAAGGGCUUGGUCGAGAAACUUGGUGAACCUUAGGCAGUGUUAUAACUUGAUCCAAAUAAGAUGUCUUGCUAGGUAUCCUUGUUAAGUGAUACCACCUACAAGCUUGUUUGGUUACGGAUCCAAGAGGGUGUCAUGGUGGCUGGAGGUAGUAAGUGGAGUUCUACAUGGAUAACUGUAAAAGUUGACGGAGGGUCAACUACCUGAGCUUGGAUAGCGCGUGGAUUAGCUCCUGAGAGCUCUCGUAUCCUUUUAAUUGUGAUUAAAUUCCUUACUUGCUAAAUGUUUCGAAGUUACUUGUUACUCAAGUUAUUGCUUUAUAUUGUGUCUUUGCUCGCAUGCUUGCAUGUUUUUCCCUUGGCCUCAUUGAGCGUCAGCUCACCCCAAUUUGUUUUCCUUAACAGGUUUGGAAGUGGAAGUUCUGAGGCUUAAUUAGUGACAAUCCCUUUGGGUAGAACUAGUCGUUAUCUUUAAUUCUGGGACUCCAUAGUGUAAAACUUAUGAUUAUUUUGGGCUUUCGGUAUUGUAAAAGUACAUUGAAAAUCUUGGAUGUAAUAUAGAAGCAUGAAUUGUUCUUUUAUAUUUUAGAGUACAUGAAUGUUUUAGUGGAGUAUUUCAUGUGAUAUUGGAGUUUAAUUUGUAAUUUACUUGAAGAUUGUAGUGAGUCCCGGCGAGAGUUGGGCAGGCGGUCUGCCGAACCCUUUGGUUCGCCUUAGGGGGAGGUGGGGUCGUCAUAGUUGGUAUCAGAGCUCUAGGUUUCAGAUCUCUGUAGUGUAUCCUAAGUUCUAAAAGUUGAGGAUGCCACACAGUGGGAUUCGGGUUCGUUUGAAUGUUAAGUGAAAAAGUGAAGUAGUGAGCAAUUGUGGUUUCGAUGGUUAUUAAGAUUCAAUAAUUGAGGAUUAUUGUGCUAGACUAGCAAGAGAGAAGAAGAUUGUAAGAGAUUAAACACUAUUUAAAAGAUAGUAAGUAAAUUUCUUGAAUAAUGGCAUUUGCUAGGAGGCGUUCUUGAUUUAAGGACUUAUGGGGAAAUAAAUGAUUAAUUUGUUUGGGAUAACCUUUAGUGCUUGAUCGUUGCCACUAGAUAUAUUUUAGAGUUGAUAUACCUUGUUCUUGCCUUGGGAACAUGACUGCAAUUAUGUCUUGGAAUUUGGAAGGCCUACCUUUUGUAGUACCUAGUUAAGUAUGUGGUGACUCGUGCUUGUUAAAGGAUAGAUAUUAUGAUGGAAUGCGGAACUUUAAUUGAAAAGAUAGUUGAUGUAGCUCUAAUGUUCAAAAUGAGGUUGGCCUUACCUAAGGGAAUUAAGCCCCCUCGCUCAGUUGCAAGCUAGACUAUGGAGCACGACCUUUUAUACCUUUUGUUUAUGAUAGUUGGGGUGAUGCUUGUGCUUUGGCCUGUAUAUUUUGUUAAGCAUGAUAUUUGUUCCCUUUUGAAGUAUUUGAAUGCUAUAAAUUCUAUACCUGAUCAUGUUGACUUGUUAAUUUGUUUGGUAGUACACAUGCAAAGUUUUAUUUUCAUUAUCGACUCAUGCAAUGACAUGCUCUCAUUUUGGUUGAUUGUUCUCCCUCUUGUAUGACCUUGUUCAUAAAAAAAAAAUUUGAUUUGUAUGUCAUCUGAUCUAUUGACUGUUCCUGUGAAAAUAUGAAGUGUGCUUUGAUUGCUUUUCAAGUUUUAAAUUCCAUUUUUCCUUCAUUGGACAUAUUUAGAUUUAUAUAUUUAUAUAUUUAUUCAUUUACUAGAGUUAUCCAUCUAUUAGUUAUUUAUUUAUUUAUUAUUUUUGGUCCUCCGUAAGAAUUAGAAAUAAAGGGUAGAAAGGAUCGAGACUGUGGGCCAGAGGGGCCAGGCAAACCCCAAAGCGUGGAAGAUAAUUGGGAAAUAAAGUUGAGGGUUAGUGAAUGAUGACAAAGAGAUAACUAGUGGAGUAUAUAUUGAAUUAUUAUAAUUAAAGAAAAAAAAAAGAGUAACUGCAAGGAGGUAAACUAGUGGAUAAGAUAAGCUGUUAUUAAGAAGUUUCAUUUAGUGCGAGUGUGACAAAAUUUAUGGUAAACUUUGGAGAUCUAAGACUUGUUAUAAUUAGGGUUGGAGUUUUGGAUGAGAUAGGUGUUUGAACUCAUUAGAUUUACAAGUUUAUGGUUAAAUUCAAUGAUUCCCGGUUAAUUGAGCUUGGGUUAUGGAAGAUAUUCCUUGGACUUUGAUUACUAGGCUAGAUGCCUCGGGAAUUCUCUAUGCUUCAUAGUGUAAAAUUGUGGUGAAUCUUGGCGGAUAAGAUAAGAGAGCUUGAUAUAUGUUGAUUAUUGGAUAUUGUGGUUAAUUCAUGAGAUUGAUGAAUUAUAAUAGGAAAGUGAUGAUAGGAUCGGUGAAAAUUUUUGGUAGUAUCUCUGCUGGCCGAACAUGUUUAGUUACCUUUAGCCCUGUUUUCUUACAAAUCAUUGGCAAAAUUUUGCUUAAUAUUUUAAACGUUGAUUCUUGAAAAUGAAAUUUGAAGUUGAAAGGAAAUAAUUUUUAAACCUGGUUUUGCUAAAAAUUUUUCCAAAAAGGAACACCGUACAGUUUUAAAAUUUGUGAUGCAUUGGUGUAAUAUAUAUAUAUAUAUAUACACAUAUAUACAUAUACAUAUAUCAUAAAAAAAAUCCAAAAUUUAGUUUCGUUUAUUAGAUUUAAAAGUUGACAAUGGCUCUUUUCACCGUGUAAAAUUUUCAAAUUUUCUUAAAUUCUAUGAGCAUCGGAAAUUUUCCUACGAUAAAUGAAAUGUCAAAUCCAUUCUUGCUUUUCCUAUUUGUUAAAGCUGUAGUUUAAGGUCAAGAUCCAUUUAUUUACAAAUUUAAUCUUGAAAGGAUGCCUUUUGGGACAAAUGUAGAACUUUUGAAUGGUAUAGGACUGGUGAUUUUUGGAUUUAUGGAACUUAAAAAUACAGACAAUUUUAGUUUGAAAUAAAAGUGUCCUUUUAAACCUUACGACCUUAAAUAUGAAAAUAUUGAUCCGAUUUGAACUUGAAAAGAGACACGAGAAAAAGUUAAGAUUAACUCGUCAAAGGAUAUUAAUGGUUCGAAACCGUUAAAAGAGUUAUACAGAUAAUAGAAGGAGAGAUUGAUAGAUAGUUUUGUAUAAUCCAAUGGGAUCCUAGUACUUGAUCUAAGUCGAAACCGAACGAGGAGAUGAGAUCUAUUGGUAUUUUGAUGGAUUGACCUAGUUGAGUAACUAGUAAGGUUCUCCCUUGUGAACUUAAUGAUUACUUUACAUAUAUCUUGUGAUUGGCCCUAUAGGCAUGUUUUAAACUUGUACGAAUAUUUGAACUUCCAAGUUUUGUAUUCAUUAUUUGUGGUGUGACCUGGAUGGAAUGAAAGUCCUUUCAAUUUUUGCUUAACCAUUACUGUGUAUAUAUCCAAUUACUUGUUGUUCCUUUUUACAAAAAAAAAAAUAUUUAUACAAAUGUAUAUACUCUGAACUCGCAUAAAAAUUGAAAAUCAGGCAGAGUUUGGGUUUGGACCUUUUCUUAGAAAUAAGAAUGAAUAUUGGUCGUGAAUUGGAGAGUAAAUAGUUAAGUUUUAUGUGGCAUAAAAGCUAAUUCUCAGAUUAGGUGUGAAGAGUAGAGGCGUUGGACCGAAGUUUAAGUAAAUAUGAACCUGCAUGUCUGCUUAUUUUCUUAAAAGCAUUUUAUUCUCAAAAGUGAUUUGUGGGGUUAAAUGAUUUUUCUUGAUCAAACGUCCAAAUAACAAAUGUUAAACUUCUUACCAAAAGUCGAAUGCAUUUAGAAAUUUUGACUAUCAAGAUCAGAACCAAUUUCUUUUCUUCUUGUCUUCCAUUCGAAUAGCCAUUUUAUUUAUAUAUAUAUAGACCACAAUUUUUCCAAAUGUGUAUUUGAUAUCCUGUUAUUAGUUUGGUUACGAAAGGUACGUGAAAAAGCUUUCCUCGAACAAAUAAGAUUUUCAGUUGGCCGUUUUGGGACAAAAGAAACUGGAUCAUUUCUAAAAUUGUUAAUUUUGAAAAUCGAAUACUAGUAAAUAAUUUUGGACAAUUUGAGUACAACCAUUUGGUGAGUGAAACCUUUUAUAGAAAAUAUAUCUUUGUACUCGAGUUUUGAACUACAUGAUUGAGUCAUUUGAUUUAGUCGAGAAAAAACAAAGUAAAUUUCGAGGACGAAAUUAUUUUAAGGAGGGAAGGAUAUGAGGGCCUCAAAAUUUAUUAUUUUAAUAUUAUUAUUAUUAUUACUAUUUCAUUUAUUUAUUUUAUUGUUUUAUUUAUUUUAUAUAUAUAUUUUUUGAAAAGUUAAAUAAUAAAUGUGAAAAUAACUAUAUUAUGUAUUUAUAUAAAAUUACAUGAUCUUUAUGUGCAUAGUUCACAUUUUCAUAAUUAAAUGAUUUUCAUUCGAACAAAAUUCAAAUGUUUGACCGACUAGUGCUAAGUUUAGUUUUUGAGCCGUGUCGAGGAAUUUAACUUUGGUGAAAGAUUAGUCUAUGAGUAGCUUUUAAAGAAUUAUAAAUGAGAUAGAACUAAGAUAGAUAAGAAAAGUGUAGUGGACAAAUUUAAGUGGAACAUAAGCAUUGGUCAAAGUUGGACAAUUUCCGCUAAAACUAAGUUUUAAUCUUGCCAUUGUUUCUUCCAUUUAAUUUCCUCCAAUUCACUUCAAUUUCUUUUCCUUUCUUCCUUAUUAUAGUCGAGAAUCCCCCUCCCUCAUUAGCCAAGAUAAUCACUUUCAUCCCCACUAAAUUUACUCUUAAGACAUUAAUAUGUAAGAUGGGACAUGAUCCUUAAAAUAGGGCUUUAAGUCCUAUCCUUCUCUUCCCAAUAUAAUGCUAUCAAUUUUUCAAACCUUUAAUUCCUUUUCUUCUUCCCUUAUCAGCCGACCACCCUCACACACUCUCUCCCUCUUUCCAGCCAAAGCUCUAUCUUCUUCUUCCUCAACUCAAACUCCAUGACCAACCAACUUCUAGCUUCACUCCAUCUCCUUUUUUUUUUUUUGUUGUUCUAGCCGAGAGAAUGAGAGGGAGAAACCGAGAGGAGCUCUUUGUGGUGGCUGGCCAGAUUCUUGGAGAAGGAAAGAGAUCUCUUCGUGGUGAAGAUUGGACAUCCUAGCCUUGGGAAAAUCAGUUAGAACCUGAGGUAGUUCUCUAACCCAAAAGCUAGAGCUUUCAUGUUAUCUCUUGAAGAGUGAAUCUUGAAACUUCAUUGGGUUGAAUUCUUGUUGGAUUUGGUUAAUGUACGGGCUCUUGGGAUUCCCACAAAUGGAUGAUCUUUGUUGCUAGCAUGAUUUUUGAUUGGUAUAUGUGUGAAUAUUUGGAGUUGUGGCUUGAACUUUGGAAGGGAAGAACCUUAACAGAAAUCGGGAGAAAGAGGGGGAGAGAGAGAGAGGGGGGACCAAAAUGGUUUCUGUUUUCUCUAUUUUUCUUGGCUGUGUUUUCACAAAUUUAAAGAUUGAUUUGGGAGCUAAAAAUUUAAGCUUUAAGCUGUCAUUUUCUCUUACAAAAAAAAAAAAAAAACCCCUUCAAAUGGCGUUGCAAAAUGGUUCCAAAAGAAGGUUUCAAACCUGGAAAUUUCAAAUGAGAGUACGGUCCGAAAUUUCUGUGAUUAUUCGAAAAUGUUUGGGGCUCAAUUAGCCUUAGCACAUAACAUGAAAGUUGUAGAGAAUUGAGUUUAAAUUAUGCCUGUAAAGUUUCAGCUCAAUCGGAGCUGGGUAUCCUGUGAAAUGACAAAAUUGCCCCUGCUACCCUGUUUCUAUCAGAAAUGAUAAUCAGCCUCUGUAAUUGGUUAGUUUGACCGGGAAUAUUACUGAAUUGGUUGUCAAUGUCUUCUUAAGAAUUGUAGCCUUGUAUCUUAGCUUUGAAAUGGCUUUGGAAUCACCUGAAUCGGAGUUGUGUGUGCUGAGUUAAGAUUAACUGAAUCAGGACUAUCAGUAAUUGUGUCAGUGAGAAUUGAACCAAGAAACUUGGGCUAUUUCGGUAAAUUUGAUCUAGUUAGGGUGAGAACUGGGUUGAGAUGUCUUCACAAGAAUGGUAGAUCUAUGUCUUAGCUUCGAAACGGUAUAUUUUUUGUUUCAAUCCGAUAAGUGUAGCUCGAGUUGUGCUUAAAUUCCUAAAAGGAUUUGGUAAAUGGAUUUACGAACUGUACUUUCUUAUUAGGUGAGUGUGUACGUUAUCACACUCGCCAAAGGACAUGUGACUUUUCACUAUUUGAGUGACCUAUUUACGAAUGUGUUUAUGUGGUCAAUGUGGUUACUGGACGCUUGGUUUGAGGUGAUUAUUGUGAUUAUUGUGGCUGAACCCCUUGAGCAUUUGUUCGGGGUGACUAGCUUGAGGAUUUUAAUUGCUUUCUUGUUUUUGGCUUGAUGAUAGGUAGAGGUCUGGAGGUAUAUUGAGCUUUAGAUGCAUAUAUGUGAUAAAUCUUGCUUUAUUACAUGUUUGGCUUGUUAAUUAUUGCCAGAUAUUCCUUAAUUUGGAUAGAUGAACUUGUGUGUGUUUAAGUAUAGCAAGAGGAAAAAUUUUUGUUUUGAAUCUUUCAUGUUGGCCGAAAUUUUUGGGACAAAAUUUCAGAUUUUUGGAGCUUUUAUUUGAGUUAAAGUUGUGCCAAAAUAAUGGAUUUUAAGUGUAUUUGGGUUGAUUAAACCGAUUGGCUCUUCAAAGGAAAAAAAAGGAGUGAACUUGCUAAAGUGAAAACUGGAAAUCUGCUUUCUGGAAUAUCAGACCAGUUUCGGAAAAAAAAAAGUUAUAUUUUCAUGUAUACCACUCCAAAUCGAGUCCCAUCUGUUUUUUUUUUUAAACUAGACACAUAAGGUUACAAACCAUGUAAAUUUCAGGAGCUAACUCAUUUUCUGUGAUUUUUGGUGUUUUUUUAAAGUUCGUUGGAAAAAUGGAAUUUUACCUGCCCUGCAUUUUACUGUAGCAGUCUAUUGACGGAAACACUGGGCAAAAUCCGUAUGGAAUCUCAUCAAGGUGUCUUCUACAAAGUUUUAGUCCUUUCAAUUAGGUUUCCAACGGUAUCAACUAUGCAAAUUUUGGACUCGUAAAUAUUAAGUUACGAUUUUCUAAAGAUUUCUACCAUAAACCUCCAGUUUCCUGAUUUUUACAAUAAACAUGAAAACGACUUGAUAUUUUUGCUUGGCCUUGAAUAUGCACGUGAAUGAUCGUGAUUAUACAUGUCUCAGGUGAAUACGAGGACUCCGAAGAACCCGUUUAGCCGCUUAACUUUUUCUCUCUCAUGACUUUUGGUGAGUGUCAAGUGCAUGUUAAGUGUUUAAAUGAAAUGUUUCUCGUACUUGCUAGUUAAUGAGGGUAGGGUGUACUUUACCGCCCUUGUCCUCUCUUUCAUGAAAUUACUUGCUUGAUAAGUGAUAAGUUUUAUAUGUGAAUGUAAAUGAAAGUGUUUUCCGUGAGCAUUGAGCGGCAGAAUGUAUCACGCCCUUUUAGGGUGGGAGGUACCGCUCAUCCCAUCUCAAUGCUAUGACCAAAUCUUGUCGAUUGGAGCUUCGUCUCAUCGACCCAAAAGUGAAUGGGGGGGGGGACGCCCCAACCCAUUGGCUAGCCUUGUAACUCGAGCCGGCAAGGGUUUGGUCGAGAAACUUGGUGAACCUUGGGCAGUGUUAUAGCUUGAUCCAAAUAAGGGGUCUUGCUAGGUAUACUUGUUAAGUGAUACCACCUACAUGCUUGUUUGGUUACGGAUCCAAGAGGGUGUCAUGGUGGCUGGAGGUAGUAAGUGGAGUUCUACAUGGAUAACUGUGAAAGUUGACGGAGGGUCAACUACCUGAGCUUGGAUCGCGCGUGGAUUAGCUCCUGAGAGCUCCCGUAUCUUUUUAAUUGUGAUUAAAUUCCUUACUUGCUAAAUGUUUCGAAUUUACUUGUUACUCAAGUUAUUGCUUUAUAUUGUGUCUUUGCUCGCAUGCUUGCAUGUUUUUCCCUUGGCCUCCCUGAGCGUUUACUCACCCCAAUUUGUUUUCCUUAACAGGUUUGGAAGUGGAAGUUCUGAGGCUUAAUUAGUGACAAUCCCUUUGGGUAGAACUAGUCGUUAUCUUUAAUUCUGGGACUCCAUAGUAUAAAACUUAUGAUUAUUUUGGGCUUUCGGUAUUGUAAAAGUACAUUGAAAAUCUUGGAUGUAAUAUUUAAGCAUGAAUCGUUCUUUUAUAUUUUAGAGUACAUGAAUGUUUUAGUGGAGUAUUUCAUGUGAUAUUGGAGUUUAAUUUGUUAUUUACUUGAAGAUUGUAGUGAGUCCCGGCGAGAGUUGGGCAGGCGGUCUGUCGAACCCUUUGGUUCGCCUUAGGGGGAGGUGGGGUCGUCACAAACUUACAGUCCAGAAAUUCUAAGGAAAAUGUAAGGACUACCUCAGAGAACAGGUUUGGAAUCUCUAAAAGUUCAUCUCAGCAGUUGAACCACAUUUCACACUACAAAGUAUCCCCUAUUAGUUCAUUCAGAAAUACUCAUUUCAAAGGUAGACCUGUUUCAACUACUGAAGCAGAACCUAGAAGAAUUUCAGCACAAGAAAUACAAUAUAGAAGGAACCAUGGCCUAUGCUUCAAGUGUGGAGAGAAGUUUGGGCAGGGACAUCAAUGCAAACUGGGCCAUCUGAACUUCCUGAUCAAUGAUGAGGGAGAAGAAUCUGAAUUCGAAGAUGCACUGGGAGAGCAGGAUGAAACCACAGGGAAUCCAGGGCAGAUCAUGGAGAUGUCCUUACACACACUGUCCGAGGCACUUAAACGAAAAACAAUCACACUGGUAGGAAGACUAGAUGGGGAAGAGAUGCUGAUACUGGUAGACACAGGCAGUUCUGAUAGUUACAUAAGCAGUGAGAAGGUAAUUGCCUUUGAUAUUCCUUAUAAAUUAGUCAAUCCUUUUUCUGUGGUUUUUGGGAAUGGGGCUUGUGUAACCAGCAAGGCCAUAUGUCCUAAGGUGGUAUGGGGAAUUAAUCAGCAUAGGUUCUGUUAUGACCUCAAAGUGAUGGAUCUAAGUGGAUGGGACAUAGUGCUUGGGGUGGACUGGAUGACUCAGUUCAGCCCUAUCACUUUUGAUUUCCACAAGCUGACUAUCUUCUUGCAAGAUCAAGGGGAAGCAGUGCACUUGCAUGGCCAAGCUGAAGACUGUGACUUAGAUCUAAUCAGAGGAGGCGACCUGAGGACAUUCAUUGAAUACAAGAGACAGUUGUGCAUGUCCAUGAGAUUGGGACAGGGUGAUCUGAUGCAGGGAAAUGACAUUCCUGCAGGAGUCCAGGGCAUCAUUGAAGAAUUUACAGAUGUGUUUGUAGCACCCUCUGAGUUACCACCAGCAAGAAGUAUAGAUCAUGAGAUACCACUAAAACCUGAGGUUCAACCCUUCAAGAUGAAGCCGUACAGAUACCCUCACUCCCAAAAGAGGGAAAUUGAACAACAGGUUAAGGAUAUGUUGCAGCAUGGAAUCAUAGUGCACAGUAACAAUCCUUUUGCCUCCCCAGUUCUGCUUGUCAAGAAGAAGGAAGGGACCUGGCAUUUUUGUGUAGACUACAGGAGACUGAACGAGAUGACCAUCAAGGACAGGUACCCCAUACCUAAUGUAGACGAACUGAUCAAUGAGCUAGCAGGAUCCAAAUACAAAUCAAAGUUGGACCUCACUUCAGGCUACCACCAAAUCAGGGUCAAGCCUAAGGAUACAUACAAAACUGCAUUUCAAACACACUGUGGCCACUAUGAGUUCUUGGUAAUGCCUUUUGUGUUAAGAAACGCUCCAGCCACAUUUCAGUCCCUCAUGAAUCAGAUAUUCCAGCCUUACCUGAGAAAAUUUGUUCUAGUUUUUUUUGAUGAUAUCCUAAUCUAUAGUCCUACAUUAGAGCUACACCAGCAACAUCUGAGGAUAGUCUUGACAGUAUUGAGGGAACAUAAGUUGUUUGUAAAACGUUCCAAGUGCUCGUUUGCACAGUCAACAGUGGACUACCUUCGUCACACUAUCAGAGAGAGUGAUUCAAGAAUAACCACACAAUGAAACGUAAUUUACCACAAACUUCAGAUACCAAAAGUAAUCAUGAAAUGCUUCAUGAUCCAAUCAACGCGAGAAUAAGUAAUUUUGACAGAAUAAUUAUUGACUUUCUUCAUCUCUUUAGUAUUAUUUAUUUUUCCAAUUUAUUGUUUAGAACAAAAAAAAAUAAGUCAAUUCAAGAUAUGAACAUAUGAAAGGCUCAACAGCUGGAUAAUACUCAUUAACGACAGAGGCUAUUAAUCCAAAAGGACUAAAAUGGAGUAAACUUUAUAUUCCAAAAGGCAUUUAUGGUGGGGGAAAAAGAUAGAAUCUAAUAUGGCAUUAUACGUCCUUUCAAACCUUAAUAACGAUUACAAAUAAUUCAUAAAGACGCCAAGACUUUUGAAAGGAUUUAGAUUUCGUUGCAAUUUAGCCUUUACUCAUGAAAGGGAUGGUUGGAUAGGAAUUCUGUAGCAUGCCGGUAGCAGCCAUCCAAAAAGAACUAGUCCAUUUGUGCACAAAAUAAAGUGAAUAUAAUGUGUGUGUGUGUGUGUAUUAAAAAGUAAUCAAUUGGGUUAGAUUUGAUGAUUUGUGAUUACAGUGUAAUCUUUUAUAUAUAUUUUGUAACUCUAUUAAAUCUAAUAUUUUUCAAAUCAAAUAUAUCUGUGACAUAUUCAAUGUAUUUUUUGACAUUGGUGCAGAUUACUUUGUUAAACAAAUCGUGCUGGAUGAUGUAAUGGCUGCUUCAGCAAGAAAUGAAGAGGGAGUUAGCAGAAAGGGAAAGAUGGGAGAGAGACUUGAGAGGGAAGAUAGAAAAUGCGGAAAAUGAGAGAACUGAAUUUGUUGUAUCUGAUAGCAUGCCCCUCACGUCUUACCUUUAGGCUUAUUCAUACAGGAUUCAUCCUCUAGAUCCUUCCAUGCCUUAGCUAUAACAGAAUGCUUAACAGAACGAUCACGCAUGCAUGCAUGCAGUGCAGUAACUAACUAGCCAACUAACUCUCUGAUAUGCUAACUGACUUCCAGAAAUGGAAACCAUGGCCACUACAUUAUUAGCUAUAAAUAACUAGGGAAUAUCUAAAAUAUCUAGAGGAAAUAUCCAGAAUAUCUAGGAUCAUUACAAUACCUCCCCCUCAAGAAUCCUAGUCACUAGGAUUGAGUUGGAAAUCUGGAAAUUGUGAUUGUAUCACUGUGAUAUCCUCCCAAGUUGAGUCUUCAGUGCCUAGGUUCAACCAUUUGAUCAACACUUGAGUUACCUUGUGUCUUUUCCUCAUGAUUUCACGAGUAGCAAUAACACUUUCAAGGGCAAUUUUAACCUGUCCAUCCGUAGUAGUCAAAGGUAGUUCUUGAGUAACUACAUGAUUCUUGGCUGAGGGCUUGAGUAAGGAGACAUGGAAGGUAGGGUGAAUCAAGGAGCCAGCAGGUAAUUCCAACCUAUAGGCUGCAUUUCCCACCUUCUAAAGAACUUUGUAGGGUCCAUAAUAUUUUGAAGACAAUUUCAGAUUCUUUUUGACUGCCACAGACGAUUGUCUAUAAGGUUGCAGUUUCAAAUAGACCCAAUCUCCCACUUGGAAACUCCUUUCACUCCUGUCCUUGUCCGCAAACUGUUUCAUUCGAUUUUGUGCUUUGAUUAAAUUCCCCUUCAGCAGCUCGUUCCAUUUUCUUCUGUCCCCUAGCCAUUGCUCCACAGCCGCUACUGGAGUCCCCAAGGCAUUGAUGCCUAGUUGAGAUGGUGGAUAUCCAUACAGAGCCUCGAAGGGAGUCAUUUUUAAGGCUGUGUGAUGGUUGGUGUUGUACCACCAUUCAGCAGCAGCUAGCAAGGACUUCCAUUUAUGGGGUUGCUGGAAACACAGGCACCUCAAAUUUGUCUCCACACAUCUGUUCAACCUUUUUGUCUGUCCAUCUGUUUGGGGAUGGUAAGCAAUAGAGUAGUGCAGCUCCGUGCCUAACUUCCCAAACAACUCCUGCCAGAACAAGCUGGUAAAUAGCCUAUCCCUAUCAGAUACAAUGCUCAGGGGUAAUCCAUGUAGCUUAUAGAUGUUUUCAAAAUACAUGUUAGCCACCGACUGUGCAGUAUACUUCGAUGGUAAUGCUAGGAGGUGAAAGUACUUGGUGAACCUAUCAAUGACAACUAGCAUUCCCUCAUACCCCUGAGAUUUAGGUAACCCCUCAAUGAAAUCCAUUGAAAUAUGCUGCCAUGCUUGUUCAGGAAUAGGUAGAGAUUGUAGCAGUCCUGGUGUCUUGCAAUUUUCUACCUUGCUCCUCUUGCAAACAUCACACUGUUGUACCCAUUGUUCUACUUCUCUUUUCAUUCCUGGCCAGAAGAAUGGUCCCUUUAAUCUUUGGUAGGUCCCCAGGUUGCCUGAAUGACCCCCAAUGAGAGAGUCAUGAAAGCAGGCUAUCAGUUUCUGUCUCAAGUUCCCUGAGGAACCAACGUACAUCCUGCCUUUAUACCUGAGUAAAUUCCCAGCAAAAGAAUAAUUUGGGAGAGAAUCAGGUGAAGUAGUCAGGCCUUCAGUCAACUUAGUCAUAGAACCAUCCCCUUGGUAACUCUCUAGGACUUCAGACAGCCAUGCCGGUUUCAUGACUGAGAUGCUAUGUGUAAAGCUGUCCUCUUCAUAGCAUCUUCUAGACAGUGCAUCAGCCACCAGGUUUUCAUUUCCUUUCUUGUACUAUAUUUCAUAAUCUAGGCCCAAUAACUUAGUGAGCCAUUUCUAUUGUAGGGGAGUAGUUAUCUUCUGUUCCAAUAGGUACUUUAAGCUCUGGUGAUCUGUCUUGAUGAUGAAGUGGCUUCCCAACAGGUAAUGCCUCCACUUGGACACAGCUGUAAUAAGGGACAACAACUCUUUUUCGUAUAUGGACAGUCCCAAAUUCUUAGGUCCCAGAGCUUGACUGAGAUAGGCAAUAGGCCUCUCUUGUUGCAUUAGGACUGCACCAAUAGCCUUCUGACUAGCAUAUGUUUCUAGAGAAAAAGGUAAAGAAAAGUUAGGAAGUGUUAGGACUGGUGUGCUACUCAUCAGCUACUUCAGUUUUUGAAAGGCUAGCUCAGCUUGUUCAUUCCAGUGGAAGUUUUCUUUCUUCAAUAACUCAGUGAGUGGUUUGGCAAUGAGUCCAUAUCCCCUCACAAACCUCCUGUAGUACCCUGUGAGUCCCAAAAAUCCUCUCAAUGCCUUUAGUGAUGUAGGGGUAGGCCAUUCUACCAUGCUCUUGAUUUUUGAGGGAUCUGCCUGCAUUCCAUCUCCACUGAUAAUAUGCCCCAAAUAUUCUAGUUGAGACUGUCCAAAGAUGCAUUUGGAAAGCUUGGCAAAUAGGGAGUGAGCUUUGAGUGUUUCUAGGAAAGUUUUGAGGUGCAAAAGGUGAGUGUCUGGAUCUGAACUGUAUAUGAGGAUGUCAUCAAAGAAAACUAACACAAACUUCCUCAGGUAAGGUUCAAAAACAUGGUUCAUCAGGCUUUGAAAUGUUACAGGUGCAUUGGUAAGACCAAAUGGCAUAACAGUGAACUCAUACAAUCCUAGGUAAGUUUUGAAGGCAGAUUUUGGGAUGUUAGUCUGGAGCAUUCUGAUCUGAUGGUAUCCAGCCCUUAAAUCAAUCUUGGAGAAGAUCUUAGCUCCAAACAGUUCAUCGAGUAAAUCAUCAAUGAUAGGUAUUGAAAAUUUAUCUUUGAUAGUCAGGUCAUUUAGUUGUCUGUAAUCAACACAAAAUCUCCAAGUUCCAUCUUUUUUUAACUAAUAGAACUGGAGAGGCAAACGGGCUAUGGCUAAACUGAAUAAUGCCACUACUGAGCAUGUCCUUCACUUGCCUUUCUAUUUCAUUUUUUUGGUUGUGAGGGUACCUAUAAGAUGCUAGCUUGAAUGGUUUGGCAUUUGGCACUAAGGGAAUUUGAUGGUCAUAGUUUUUGGAAGGGGGAAGGGAUUGUGGUUCUCCAAAUACAUCUUUGUAGUCUUCAAGUAAAGCACUUAGGGACUGUUGAAAACCAAUGUCUAGAUGAGUUACAGUGUUUACCUGAGUUCCCUUCAUUUUCAGUCUGCACGCGUGUUUCCAGAUUCUGGUGCUCAACCCCUCCUUCUCAGUACUAUUACUAGGAAGUUUGAGAACAGUCUCCUUAGACUCUCCAUGUAACAAGAUCCUCUCCCCUUUCUCAUCAAAGGACAUGUUCGGCUGCCUAAAGUCAAAGGUGAUGGGGCUGUGUGCAGCCAUCCAGUCUACUCCUAUAAUCACAUCAUAUGGCUCCAAGUUAAUGACAAACAUAUCAUGAGUGAACUGUUUACCUUGCAUUUCCCUGCUCAUAUUCGGAAUCAUCUUGUGACAAGUCAAGUGCUCCCCAUUAGCCAUCCUGACCCUGAAAGGCUUGAUAGAUUGGACCAGUUCUGGAUAGAGUUGUGCCACUGCCCCUUUGAUAAAAUUGAGUGCUUCCCCCAUCCACCAGGAUUGAUAGUGGAGUUUCUUUGAUCCUCCCCUGUAGCUUGAUGGUGUUGUAAGUCAUCUUCCCAGUCAGCGCAUGUAUCUCCAUUUCUACCCCCUUGGCCGACUGUGCUCCUUGGUACUCGAUCAUCUCCCCUUCUACCAGAUCCUCAGGACUAUCUUCUACUGCUACAAUCAGGUGGAUUUCCUUUUGCUUGCAUUGGUGGCCUGGUCCGAACUUUUCCCCACACCUAUAGCAAAGAUGGUGCUCCCUCCUGUACUGCAGCUCUACUGGUGUGAUUUUCUUGAAGUUCUGAGGAGUCUGUUUCUUUACAACAUUGGCAAUAAUAGGUUUGGUAUGUGGAAUGGUGUACUGCGCAACAGACUGUGGAGUAUUCCCCAAAGAGAGGGAUUUCGGAUGAUGUUUGUGCUUCUUGUGGUAGGCUUCAAAGGCAUUCUCUUGCAACCUGGCCAACUCAAAUGCUUUGGAUAAUGUCUUGGGGUCAUGAGUCUUCACCAUUGAUCUCAAUUCAUCUAGUAGUCUACUCAAAAAACAUGAAAUGUAAUAGUUUUCUGGAAGGUGUGGGGCUCGAAUCAUUACCUCUGAUAGUAGUUCCUCAAAUUUUUCUUGGUAGGCUAGGACUGUGGAGGAGAGUUGUAACUUAUUGAAUUCCUCCAUUGGAUCCAUUUGUCCCAAUGUUCCAAACCGCUUGCACAACUCUCCAGAGAACUCCAUCCAAUCCAUCUUGUUACCCCUAGUAGACUUGAAUCCCUGAUACCACACUUCAGCUUUACCUUCUAAAUGGAAUUCUGUCAGCUCCAUCCAUUGCUCCAUAGGAAUAUGCAGAAGCUGGAAAUACUUCUGAAGUUUUCUGAUCUACUUCCUAGGAUUGUUUCCUCUGAACACUGGUAUUUCCAGCUUAGGUGCACUAGCGUAGAAUGAACUUCUGACAUUCCUCUCUCCUUGCUCUCGAGUCACCAUAUCUGAGCUCCUGGAGUGACUUCCCUCUGGCGAUCCCAAUAUUCCUUUCUCAGGAUUUCCUCGGUUCAAACUGGAGAGCUGUUGAGAAAUGGCUACCAUGAAUGCAUCUAACUUAUUGUUCAGCUCCAUGCUUACUGCAUCCAACCUUUCCUCCAUGAUCUGUUUGUUUGCGGCCAUGGAUUCCAAAAUUCCUUGGAGUCUGCUGUCUUGCUUGCGUAGCUGUUCCUCCAUGGUCUUCAUUCGAGUUUCAUCUGCCAUUGUUAUAUUGAUUUCAGCUUCUUAGUCCAAGGACCGGAAGCUCUGAUACCACUUGUAAUGGCUGCUUCAGCAAGAAAUGAAGAGGGAGUUAGCAGAAAGGGAAAGAGGGGAGAGAGACUUGAGAGGGAAGAUAGAAAAUGCAGAAAAUGAGAGAACUGAAUUUGUUGUAUCUGAUAGCAUGCCCCUCACGUCUUACCUUUAGGCUUAUUUAUACAGGAUUCAUCCUCUAGAUCCUUCCAUUCCUUAGAUAUAACAGAAUGCUUAACAGAACGAUCACGCAUUCAUGCAUGCAGUGCAGUAACUAACUAGCCAACUAACUCUCUGAUAUGCUAACUAAUUAACUUCCAGAAAUGGAAACCAUGCCCACUACAUUAUUAGCUGUAAAUAACUAGGGAAUAUCUAAAAUAUCUAGAGGAAAUAUCUAGAAUAUCUAGGAUCAUUACAGAUGAUUUCUAACUAGUUUAUUAAUAAUAUUGACUUCUUUUUUAUAAAAAAAAAAGUAAUCAAGGAAAAAUGGGGAAUCUAACAGUCUAAUGCUUGCUUGCUUCUUUUUAUUGUUUGAAGUGAUUUUGGUGUCUUGCUAGUUUGUAAUUGAUUCAAGGUGGAUAGAAAGAAAUUGUUCAGAAAUGUGAAAUAGGGUAAGUAUCCCAGUUUGGUUUUGGAUUUUGAAAGUUAUAAAAACGAAAAUGAUGUCAGUGAUCCUCUUCAAUUUUUUAUCACCAACCAAAGCAAUGAUUUUUAAGAAUAAAAAUAACAUUUGAAAUCAAAUCACAAUCUUUAAAGAGAGGAAAUAGAUGGUUGAGGGCGAAAUGGCCAUGGUGAUGAAUUGACAUCAUGGAAAUCAAACUGUGCUUAGUAACGCCAAAACGUCACCAUAACUCACAAAUGAGUGACUAAUGUGAUGCCACAUUAAGGCUUCAAUCUACUAUUACAAGUUUUACUAUGGACUAAAUUGUGUGGUAAAUUUAGUACUACUAAUAUUAAGUUUAUGUUUAAAACAAGUAAAUUUCAAUAAUUUAGGUAACUUACUCUUUAAAUAACAAAUUUUACUAAAAUUUUAACAAAAAUUGCCACUUUUUCUUCGAAACUUACCAUUUUCUAUAUAAAACUUGCUAAUUUUUCAAGUAAAACAUAUGAUUUUAUUAGCAAAUCAUACCACUUUUUUUAGUAAAAUUCACUAAAUGGUAAGUUUUCAAAAAAAAACUUACCAUUUUUAAUGCAAAUCUUACUACUUUUUUCAAGCAAAAUGUAUGAUUUUAUUAACAAAUGUUACCAUAAUUUUCGUAAAGUUUACUAAAUCAUUAACAAAUCUUACCAUCUUUCAAGCAAAACUUAUCAUUUUCUAUACAAAACUUACUACUUUUUGGAGGCAGAACUUAUGACUUGAUUAUUAAAUCUUACCUUUAUUUAGGAAUAAUUUUGGAAACCUCCCCUGAGCUUUAUGCUAAUAUCACAUAACACUUCUAAAUUUUAAAAAUAUCACUAGCCUUCCCUUGAGUCAUAUUUUUUUGUAAGAAUUUGACCCCUAUAUCAAAAAUAAAUACUCCUAACAUAAUUUUUUAAAGGAAAAUAGAUAUAUUUUUCUUCUAGUUUUACACUUUUGUGUUGUCUUAUUUUUUAAUUUUCUGCCAAAUUGAUUUUAAGAUAAGAUUUGAAUGAGAAAGACUUAAAAUGAUUUUUUUUAAGGGGAGAAGGUGUUAAGUGCUAAAGCAAUUGCCAGAAUAGCGAUUUUUUUAUUUUUGGUUUAUCCUAGAUUUUUUCCUAAAUAGUUAUUAGAAUAACAAAGAAAUUAAAUUUAAUAUAAGAUUGGUAUAGGAAGAUCAAAGAAGGCAGAGAAGACAGAUAUUUGAAUACAAAACUAAUGGUUUUAGUAGGCAUUUCUAUGAAUUCAGAUUUAUUAUCUUCUAAUUUUUGUGGCAUAAAUAAUUAUUUGAAUAACAAUUAAAAUUUGAGAUAAGGUUGCCAUAGGAAGCUUGGGAGGGGGAGAAGGGUAUUAAAGGCAAAAAAUGAUUAUUUUAGUAGACUUUUCUUAAUAAUUUCCUUUUGUUCAAAUUUUUUUGCACAAGUAAUUGUUAAAAUAGUAAAGUUAAAUUAAUAAAUGCUUGGCAUAAUACUACAAAAUAAAGGGGUGUUUAAGUGAAAAUAGUAAUUGAUAGAGCAAUGUUUGGGCAUCUUAUGCGCUGUUAUGUGGUCAUAAUUUUGGCUACUUAUUAUGCUAAGUAUUGAGGUUUUGUUCAUGUUUGAUAUUUGUGUAAAUUGUAGGCAGUUGGUGUCAAAAAGUGAUCUCUGAAGGUGAAUUUCCAGAAGACUUUUAUUUCAGGGCGUGCCCACGCCAAAAACUGUUCAAGAGACGCCUCAAAGUCGGACCAUGGGACUAACUAACUAACUAAACUCAUCCUUAUUCCUGCGGGAUGCGGUUGGAAGUGCGUCAAAACAAAAAGGCAGCAAUUUCCAGUGGAUUUGGUAACAACCAAUAAGGAGGAUGCGGGGAAUUGGGGAAAUAUUUGGAAAAGCUACUAUUUUCUCGUGGGCCAAGAAGGGUGUAACAGACAAGUAGUUUUAGUCUUGCAGAUAGCUUUUUAGUUUCUUACGUUUUCUUUGGAGGGCUAUCUUCUGGGAACUGGCAAAAAGCCAGAUUCAUGUGGGAUUAGGAAAUUAUCUUUAGUUUUGUUAUCCCUUGGUAGAGGAUUUGCUCUCUGUUUUGUUAUUACAAUUUUCUUUAGACCUUUGCUUUACUUUUUCCGAAUGGACACAAAACAAAAAAAGAAGCAAGACAUUUUCUUUUGUUUCUUCAUCACUUCAUCUUUCCCAACUCUCUUGUGAUUGUGUGGAUGGAAUCAAUCAAAUCCCGCGAGAUUGAUAUGAUGAGGAGCGGUUAGGUUUCUCUUCUACCCAAAGGUCGACGCGAAGGCACGGUCCAUAACAUCUGUGAGAUUUAAUCGAACUUUCACUAGUUCUUCCAGUCCGUUACUAUUCGUGUGUUUCCUGGAUUAACUGUUUAUGAUUAUUUUAUUAAUUGAGUAUCAACGGCAGGACAUUUAAUUUAAUCUAAUAGCCUACUGUCACGUUAACUAAAUUGAAUCCGUAAUUAUUCGUUUAGUUGAUAACUAGUGACAACCAUCAUAAUUGGCUUUAUGUUAGGGAAACGUAAGAUCUAGUUUAAAUAAACCCUCUUAGCGUGUUUAUUGGUUAGGGUUGGGUUUUUCUAGUUUUAAUGCAACCGGAUAAUUAAAUUUAUUGGUUAGGGUUGGGUUUUUCUAGUUUUAAUGCAACCGGAUAAUUAAAUUCCUACGAUCGUACCUAAAGCUGUUUUCUAGUUAGAGAAACAGUCAACGGUCGUACCUUGGCUGUCGAAAAAGUAAGGAAGAACUGGCUGUCAGAGCUUGUUGAUAGCUAUAACUAACCUAGUGACGAAUGAAUGAAAUAUCUUUGUAUCGAUGAUCAUUUAAUUGGACCGCGCCUAAAAAGUUGAUCCUUUGGGUAGAAUUUUACUAAUUGCUAUUUUUAGUGAAUUGUACUUGGUGAGUUAGCUUUUGAAUUUUGUUUAUUCUAUUUUCUUUUUCAGUCCAUUAAAUAUUCCCCAAUUUUGUUCUAUUGACUUGGAAAGAAACAAGUUCCUACCCGUUCCCUGUGAAAUCGACCGUACUUGCCAUUGUAUGCAAAUUUAAUAUUUUUGUAGACAAAUCUUGUAUAUCGAAUCAAGCAUACUCUUUGGGGAGACAGGGUGAAUAUAGUAACCCAUUGCACAUCUAGAGUCACUGCUCCAGUACUUAGAUUUGUUCUAUAAUUAAUUAUGGUAGUAAUUAGGACUUUUUAGUAAUUAUUAUUGCACAGGUUCGACACCUGUCAAUUUUUGGCGGCAUUGCUGGGAAGAAAGUGUCGACAAACUGGUGAACAUGGGAUUCUGGCUUACAAGGCAUGCCCACGCCUUGCAAGACGCCCUUUCAAAAAAAAAAAGAAAGACAAAAAGAGAGAGAAAAGAGUUUCGACACUUGCGCAGUAGGUAUAGCAAAUGGAAAUGCCUUGCUUGUGGAAUUUCUCCAGUAAAGCGUUGAGGUUAUGUAGUAGAUAUCGGACAUUCUCUUGACAUAGUGCACCCUCUCUUUACCUCCUUAUCCCGCCUUUCACCCAAGCCCUAUUACAACCCUAUUAAAGUCCCUUUGAUUUAUGUAUUGAGUUCACUUUUGAGUGGUGGAGAUGUGAUAAAUGUGCAAGCCUAUGGUAAUGUCAUUCCGUGGUGUUGAUUUGAGCGUUCCUGGUAUCUAUACAUUUUCUUGAAAGUGAUGAGUAUUACUACUCAUACUCUUUGGAUAACUACCUAUCCAGUGUGCUCUAACUUUGGCGACAUUGUCAGGAAUGCAGGAUGCUUGUGUUAGUGUAGAUCACCGCAUAGUAGUUCCUUUCGUGAUUGAACUUCUGAGCUUCAAAAUGCUUGAGGACAAGCAUUGCCUAGGUGUGGGGGGAUUUGAUAGAGCAAUGUUUGGGCAUCUUAUGUGCUGUUAUGUGGUCAUAAUUUUGGCUAUUUAUUAUGCUAAGUACUGAGGUUUUGCUCAUAUUUGAUAUUUGUGUAAAUUGUAGGUGGUUGGUGUCAAAAAGUGAUCUCUGAAGGCGAAUUUCCAGAAGACUUUUUAUUUCAGGGCGUGCCCACGCCAGAAACUAUUGAAGAGACGCCUCAAAGUCGGACCGCGGGACUAACUAACUAACUAAACUCAUCCUUAUUCCUGCGGGAUGCGGUUGGAAGUGCGUCAAAACAAAAAGACAGUAAUUUCCAGUGGAUUUGGUAACAACCAAUAAGGAGGAUGUGGGGAAUUGGGGAAAUCUUUGGAAAAGCAGCUAUUUUCUCGUGGGCCAACGAGGGUGUAAAAGACAAGUAGUUUUAGUCUUGCAGAUAGCCUUUUAGUUUCUUACGUUUUCUUUGGAGGGCUAUCUUCGAGGAACUGGCAAAAAAGCCAGAUUCACGUGGAAUUGGGAGAUUAGCUUUAGUUUUGUUAUCCCUUGGUAGAGGAUUUGCUCUCUGUUUUGUUUUUACGAUUUUCUUUAGACCUUUGCUUUAUUUUUUUUGAACGGACAUGAAACAAAAAAAGAAGCAAGACUUUUUUUUUGUUUCUUCGUCACUUCAUCUUUCCCAACUUUCUUGUGAUUGUGUGGAUGGAAUCAAUCAAAUCCCGCGAGAUUGAUAUGAUGAGGAGCGGCUACAUUUCUCCUCUACCCAAAGUCGACGCGAAGGCGCGGUUUAUAACAUCUGUGAGAUCUAAUCGAACUUUCACUAGUUCUUCCAAUCCGUUACUAUUCGUGCAUUUUCUGGAUUAACUGUUUAUGGUUAUUUUAUUAAUUGAGUAUCAACGGUUGGAUAUUUAGUUUAAUCUAAUAGCCUACUGUCACGUUAACUAAAUUGAAUCCGUAAUUGUUCGUUUAGUUGAUAACUAGUGACAACUAUCAUAAUUGGCUUUAUGUUGGGGAAACGUAAGAUCUAGUUUAAAUAAACACUCUUAGCCUGUUUAUUGGUUAGGGUUGAAUUUUUCUAGUUUUAAUGCAACCGGAUAAUUAAAUUCCUACGGUCAUCCCUGAGGUUGUUUUCUAGUUAGAGAAGUGGUCAACGGUCGUACCUUGGUUGUCGAAAAAGUAAAGAAAAACUGGCUGUCAGAGCUUGUUGAUAGCUAUAACUAACCUAGUGACGAAUGAAUGAAAUAUCUUUGCAUCGAUGAUUAUUUAAUUGGACCGUGUCUGAAAAGUUGAUCCUUUGGAUAGAAUUUUACUAAUUGCUAUUUUUAGUUAAUUGUACUUGGUGAGUUAGCUUUUGAAUUUUUGUUUAUUCUAUUUUCAUUUUCAUUCCAUAAAUAUCCCCCAAUUUUGUUCUAUUGACUUGGAAAGAAACAACUUCCUACCCAUUCCCUGUGGAAUCGACCUUACUUGCCGUUGUAUGCAAAUUUAACACUUUUGUAGACAAAUCUAGUAUAUCGGAUCAAGCACACUCUUUGGAGACAGGGUGAAUAUAGUAACCCAUUGCACAUCUAGAGUCACUACUCCAGUACUUAGAUUUGUUCUAUAAUCAAUUAUAGUGGCAAUUAGGACUUUUUAGUAAUUAUUAUUGUACAGGCUCGACACCUGUCAAUUUUUUGCGUCGUUGCCGGGGAACGGUGUUUUGGUUAAUUUUGUUUCUUUUCAAGUUAUUUUCUUUGGAUUUGUCUGGCACUUUUCUAGUUUAUGCCUCGUUUUUCUCGUACAUGUGAAUUGAUUUUCGACCUGGAAGUAAAGAAGAUUGCGCGCCGAACUAGGAAAGAAACUAAACAGCUCAGAGAGGAGCAAUCUAGCAUUGCAUCUCAGAUGCUGGAUCCAGAGGUUGAGUCAACAGAUUCGAGUGGUGAUAAUUCAAGUGACUCAGGCCAAGAGGACAUCCCUAUGGCGAAUCCAAGAACACUAAAGGAGUUGGCUGCUCCGGAAUUGACCCAGCAGCUUUUGUGCAUUACAUUUCCAACUCUAGCUGAGAAUACCUCCUUCGAACUGAAGUCAGAGUUAAUUCAUCUCUUACCCUCAUUCCAUGGCCUCUUGAGUGAGGAACCCCAUAAACACAUCCAGGAGUUCGAUGUGGUAUGUUCUAGUAUGAAACCUCCAGGGAUUACUGAAGAGCAGAUCAAACUUAGAGCAUUCCCUUUCUCCCUCAAGGAUGUAGCGAAGGAUUGGUUAUACUACCUACCUGCAGGUAGUAUCAUAACAUGGGCCCAACUGAAAAAGAAGUUUUUGAAAAAAUUCUUCCCGGCAUCCCGGGCUGCAAGUUUGAGAAAAGAGAUAUGCAGCAUUAAGCAGUAUCCCAGGGAAUCCCUAUAUGACUAUUGGAAAAGGUUCAAUAAGUUGUGUACUAGAUGCCCACAGCAACAAAUUAGUGAACAACUAUUGAUCCAAUACUUCUAUGAGAGACUUCAGUCAUCUGAUAGAAAUAUUAUUGAUGCUGCAAGUAGGGGAGCACUGGCAAAUAAGACACCGAGAGAAGCAUUGCUGCUUAUUGAAGCAAUGGCAGAAAAUUCUCAACAGUUUGUGUUAUUCUUGGUUUUGAUGAUCACAAAAGUUCGUUGAAAUGUUUAUACAGACCAAGAAAGUGAACACUUUGAUCAGGCCUGAUGGAACAAAGUAAGCAUAUGUUCGAUUAACUCCAGACUACGAUGCUUUGGAUGUGGCAAACAAGAUUGGAAUAAUAUAAACAAAUUUAGUCAUUGUUUUGUUCCGAUCAAAGAUACUGUCUUUUAAGUAUGACAAUUUUGUUAGUCUUGGUUCCUUGAAAUGUUUUAUCUAACUUUCUUCAAAUAUAAGUGUUGUUGCCUAUCAAAGAAUCAGGUACGAAUAUGUCGUGAGCAAAAACAGGACACUCAUGUCGGACGGCCGAAAGGAAUCUGUCGGACGUCCGAAGGGAUGAAGAACAUCAGGAAGGAGUUUCUGUCGGACGCACAUCGAUCGUGUCGGACGUCCUAAAAAUUCCACAAAGCUUUGAUGACUCUCUGCCAAGACACUGUCGGACGCUCGCAAGGAAGCAUCGGACGUCCUGAAGGAUCGGACGCAUGCUUCGGACGAACAUCAAUAUCAUUGGACGUCCUAAAAAUUCCUCGAAGAUUUGAUAACUCUCUGGACGACGUUCGAACACUGAAGCUCGGACGAUAAAAUUCCAUCGAACGUCCGAACUUCAAUUUGGCUGUUUUUCGGACGAUUGGUUCGGACGAUAAUUUGAUCGUCGGACGUCCGAAAGCCCCAACGGCUAGCUGACUCUUCAUCUGCCUUCUAUCCGUUGGAAGCUUUAAUGAAGCCCAUUUCUGUUCCCCUUUAAAAACAAACUGUUCUGAACGAAGUAAGAACUUUUGCACACUUGGUCUACAAGAUCUCAAGAGAUAUUUUAGCUAGAAAAUAGUCUCCAAAGUUAGAUUUGUUCUCUAAGUGGUGUGAACUUCUGGUGAGCUUUUCUCUUGUGGUUGAAAGUUUCAUUAGUGUAGCUUUGUUGAGGGUUAUCUGAGUGUUUGUAAAACUUCUUAGCUUGACUAAGUGAGGUUUAGGGCAAGGAGGAAGUGCUCCCUCCAUUGUACAUCUAGUUGAUCAUAUUUCAUCAAAGAGAAGUUGCUCAACCUUGUGAUUGGUCUUCAAGUUUAAGGAAAGCUUGGUAGACAAUCGGUUUGAUUUCCUAUUUUACUUUUUGUUUAAUAAAAUUCUCAUUGCUUAUAUAUACUUAUUUUUCUGAUCAAUAUUGCUAUUGUCUUCUAAUCUACUUGGUUGAUCUUUACUAGAAAAGAAGGUAAAUUUUUAUUAAAGAAAAAGUGCAUAAAUUUGGUUAAGGUUUUAAUCAACCCAAUUCACCCCCCCUCUUGGUUGUCUUUGGGACUUACAAUUGGUAUCAGAGCUUGGUCUCCUUGAGAUUAAGCUCUAACGGCUUGGAGUAAAGAUGACAACCAGUCAUGCUAUGUUUGUUGAGGGGCAAUCUGUUACUAGGCCUCCCAUGUUCAGUGGCUCCAACUAUGUUAGCUGGAAAGAACGGAUGAUUAUCUUUUUGUAAUCUAUUGAUAUUGAACUAUGGUUUAUUGUGAGUGAAGGACCGCAUGAAGCUAACUUUCUUGAUGCAGAUACAGGGUUGCUUCGGCCAAAAAUGAGAGCUGAAAUGAAUGCUCAAGAUAGGACUAACCUCACAUUGAAUGCCAAGGCCAUGAAUGUUCUUUAUAGUGCCCUAGAUUCAAAUGAAUCAAUUAGAGUAAAAGGCUGCAAAUCGGCCAAAGAAAUGUGGGAUAAACUAAGAGAAAUCCAUGAGGGUGGUGACAACGUGAAAGAACAGAAAAAGGCUAUCUUGGUCACAAAAUAUGAAUCAUUUAGAAUUGAACCUCUUGAGGAUAUUGACAAAAUGUAUUGCAGGUUCACUGACUUGAUCAAAGAUCUCGAGGUGUUGGGCAAAGAGUACACCUUGGGAGAGAAGAACAGGAAAAUUCUCAAUGCGUUGGGCAAAGAAUGGGAAAAUAAAGUGACUGCAAUAGAGGAGGCUAAGGAUUUAAGUUCUGUGGCUAUUGAAUCUAUCAUUAACUCACUAACCUCUUAUGAGUUGAAACUGAAAUCUAAAGUGCAGGAGGAAGAGGAAGCUAGAGCAAAGAGAAACAUUGCUCUAAAGACUACUCAAGGUGAAGAUGAUACAGCUCACUUGGAUGAUGAAGACUCGGAUGGUGAUGAUAAUGAUCUUGCUCUCAUCACCAGAGGUUUCAAGAGAAUCUUGAAUAAAAGAAAGUUUAGAAGGGGAGGACCUAGCAAUCAAUUCCAGAAUCAGCCAUCUAUCGCAAAGUACAAAGGAAAACAGGAUUUCAACAAGAAACAGUUGGACAAAUGCUUCGAAUGUGGACAGCUUGGACACUAUGCAAAUGAAUGCCCCAUGAAGAAGAUGAAAGAUGGAAAAGCUGAUCGGAAGCCAAGAUUCAACAACUUUCAGAUUACUUGGAAUGAAUGCAACUCCGAAGGGGAAGUAGAAGAAGAAGAAGAAUCAGCUCAAAUGGCCUUCAUGGCUAUUGGAAAUAAUGAGGUAACUUCCACACAUUCUCAAUCUGAAAGUGAUGAUGAUGAAGAUGAUGAUCUUGAAUCCUUUGUUGAAAAACUGCAUAAUGCCUUGAAGGAAUCUUAUGAUAAAAACAAGCAGUUAAAACAGAAAAUGGCUUUUCUCAUUCAAGAAAAUGCAAGUCUUUUUCAACAAAAUAAACAACUAAAGACUGACAAUGAAAGUCUUGUAAGAGCCGGAUGUAAUGUUCAAAAUGAGCUUGAUAGAAAGACAAAUAUUUGUGAAAUGCUGAAGGAAAGACAUGGUGAUUUGAAAAAAAGAAUGGACAACUUGGAUGAGACUUUGAAAGCAAGAAAGCAGGAGUUUAUCAAAAGGAACAUGUCAUCUACACAUCCUACUACUUUUCAAAGAACAUUUGCACACAACAAAAAUGCACAUGGUUUCACAACAUAUAGAAGAGGUGGAUUGAGAUAUGUCAAACCAGUACAUGUUAAGGACUCUUCCAUUAUGUGUGGUUUUUGUUGUCAAAGAGGGCAUUUGAAAGGUGAUUGCUAUGUGAAAAGAAAUCUGAACAAAGGGAUGAAAUGCAUGUGGUUAGUUAGAUACAAUGCUAACUAUUGCGGACCCAAAAAUUAAAAUGGGUACCAAACACUUUCUCUUUUCAGGAAAAAUGCUCAAACAAGUCCAAAUGGUUUAUUGAUAGCGGUUGCUCAAGGCAUAUGACCGGUGAUCCCUCUUUGUUCAUAAAGCUGAAAUCAAAGUCAAGUGGAAAAGUGACAUUUGGUGAUGAUGUGAAAGCUAAGACAAUUGGAAUAGGUGAUGUUGGUAAGGAUGGUGAUACUUUUGUCCAUAAUGUGCUCUUAGUUGAUAACUUAAGUUAUAACUUGCUUAGUGUUAGUCAAUUGUGUGAUAAAGACUUGAAUGUGUUGUUUAAAAAACAUGAAUGCAUUGUGCUUGAUUCCAAAUAUAAUAUUGUGUUCAAAGGUAAGAGAUUCAACGACAUAUAUAUUGUGGUUCUUGAUAAAAUUGAUUCUUCUAGCUUAAAAUGUCUUAAAGCUUCAAAUGAAGAUCCUUGGUUGUGGCAUAGAAGACUUUGUCAUUUUAACAUGAAUUUACUAAAGGAAAUUUCGAAAAAGGAGUUGGUUAGAGGCUUGCCAAAAAUCAGUUUUGAUAAGGACAAAAUAUGUGAUGCAUGUCAAUUUGGGAAGCAAACAAAAAAUUCCUUUAAACCUAAGAUGUGUGUAUCUACUUCUAAACCUUUGGAACUCUUGCAUCUUGAUUUAUUUGGUCCCACUCAAAUUACUAGCUUGGGAGGUAAAAGAUAUUGUUUUGUAAUUGUUGAUGAUUAUUCUAGAUACACUUGGGUGAUAUUUCUUGCUCAUAAAGAUGAUGCCUUCAAGAAUUUUACUUCAUUGUUUGCUAAAAUGCAAAAUCUGCUUGGGUUAAAAAUUGUUAGGAUUAGAAGUGAUAAUGGGACGGAAUUCAAGUAUUGUGGUUUUCCAGAAUUUUGUGAUCAUAAUGGUAUAACACAUGAGUUCUCUAUUGCAAGGACUCCACAGCAAAAUGGUGUUGUAGAAAGGAAAAACAGGACUCUUCAAGAGGCUGCUAGAACUAUGUUGAAUGAAUGUAGGUUGCCUAAAUAUCUUUGGGCUGAAGCGGUAAACACUGCAUGUUAUGUGAUGAAUAGAAUACUCUUGAGACCUAUUUUAAAGAAAACUCCUUAUGAGCUGAUUUUUGAUAAGAAACCUACGGUUGGUUAUUUCAAAGUAUUUGGUUGUAAAUGCUUUAUUUUGAAUCUAAAGGAACAUCUUGGUAAGUUUGAUAAAAAAUCUGAUGUAGGAAUAUUUUUGGGGUAUUGUGAGAAUAAAAGACGAUAUAGAGUUUUUAAUAGAAGGACUCUUGUGAUUGAAGAAGCUAUACAUAUAACAUUUGAUGAAACCAAUGAUGAUAAUUCCAAAAGUUCGUGUGAGGAUGAUGAUGUAGGUGUUCGAGAAGCAAUGAAAAACCUAUCAAUUGGAAAUGAAGGAAGCUCUAAACCAGCAGCAACUGAAAUGGAAAAUGAAGUUCAUAAUGAUCAAGAAGAGGAAGAUGAAGACAAAAAUGAUGAUCCACUCAAAGAUCUUCCCAAGGCUUGGAAAUUCAGCCAAAAUCAUCCAAAAGAGCUUAUAAUUGGUGAUCCAUCCGAGAAGGUAAACACUAGUUCCUCAUCUAGAAAAUUGAUUGACAAUUUUGCUUUAGUUUCUCUUUUUGAACCCAAAAAUAUCAAUGAUGCUUUAAAGGAUGAAAACUGGAUUUUGGCAAUGCAAGAGGAACUUAAUCAAUUUGAGAGAAAUGAAGUUUGGACACUUGUUAAUAGACCUCAAAAUCAACCUAUCAUUGGCACAAAGUGGAUUUUUAGAAAUAAGUUGGAUGAUAAAGGUGUUGUUGUAAGAAAUAAAGCCAGAUUAGUUGCUAAAGGAUAUGCACAAGAAGAAGGAAUUGAUUUUGAUGAAACAUUUGCUCCCGUAGCAAGAUUAGAAUCUAUUAGAAUGCUUCUUGCUUUUGCAUGCUUUAAAGGCUUCAAAUUGUUUCAAAUGGAUGUUAAAAGUGCUUUUUUAAAUGGUUUUAUUGAUCAAGAAGUAUAUGUGGAUCAACCCCCCGGUUUUGAAAAUACAAAAUUUCCAAGUCAUGUGUUUAAACUAUCUAAAGCUUUAUAUGGUCUAAAACAGGCUCCAAGAGCUUGGUAUGAAAGACUAAGUGGUUUUUUGAUUGAAAAUGGUUUCAAAAGGGGUGUUGUGGACACCACACUUUUUACUAAGCAAGUGUUGAAUGACCUUCUUAUUGUGCAAAUAUAUGUUGAUGAUAUUAUUUUUGGUGCUACUAAUGAGUAUCUAUGUAAGGAGUUUUCCACCACUAUGCAAAGUGAAUUUGAAAUGAGUAUGAUGGGAGAAUUAAAUUUCUUCCUUGGACUUCAAAUACAUCAAGCUCUUGAGGGAAUUUUUAUAAAUCAAGCAAAAUAUACCAAGGAAUUGUUGAAAAGGUUUGGCAUGGAGGACUCAAAGCAAGUUGGAACUCCAAUGUGCACUUCUACAAAGCUUGACAAAGAUGAAGAAGGUAAUCAUGUGGAUGAAAAGCAUUAUAGAGGUAUGAUCGGAAGCCUACUCUAUUUAACCGCAAGUAGACCUGAUAUUAUGUUUGCUGUUUGCUUGUGUGCUAGAUUUCAAUCUUGUCCAAAAGAAUCACAUUUGAAUGCUGUAAAAAGGAUUUUUAGGUAUUUGAAAGGUACAUUAGACUAUGGUCUUUGGUAUGCUAGAUCUAAUGAGUUUGCACUAUAUGCUUAUUCGGAUGCUGAUUUUGGAGGUUGUCGUGUGGAUAGAAAGAGUACUAGUGGAACUUGUCAUUUUCUUGGAAAUUGUUUAGUCUCUUGGUUUAGCAAGAAACAAUGUGCAAUCUCUUUGUCUACAACCGAAGCGGAAUAUAUUGCCGCUAGUGCAUGUUGUGCUCAACAUUUAUGGAUGAAGCACACCUUGAAUGAUUUUUGAUUGUUGUAUGACUGCAUGCCUGUAUUCUGUGAUAAUACUAGUACUAUAAAUUUGACCAAAAAUCCUAUUCAUCAUUCUACGACAAAGCACAUAGAUAUAAAGCAUCACUUUAUUCGUGAUCUUGUUCAAAAAGGUGAAAUAUGUGUAAAUUAUGUUUGUUCUAAAGAUCAAUUUACGGAUAUUUUUACAAAAGCUUUGCCAUUAGAUCAGUUCAUUCAUCUAAGAUCAAAAUUAGGAAUAAUCGAAAAAUCAUCUUAAUUUUUGGGUCUUCGGACGUCCGAAAGAAGAUGAACGGACGUCCGAUGAUGUUCUUCAGCCAUUUUCCAGAUUGCGCCUGUUCGGACGCAGCUGUCGGACGCACAACGUCGUUCGGCCGUCCGACAGUGCAACGGAUCAAUUUUUUAAAUAACUUUCUUUCUCAUUUGCUUCAGACUCUUCCUAUUCUAUUUCCUCUCGGACGAAAACUCUCUCUUCCCUCACUCUCAAAUUCGUACCAUUUUGAAGCUCUCAUUCUCAAAUUGACUCAAACAAAACUUUUUCUGACUGAUUGCGAUUCAUUUCUCCUGAUCAUUUUCCCGAAUCGCAUAACAUUUCACAAAUUCCCAAAUUUCCUUCAAAACCCUACUUUCUCAUAACCGCUCUGCCAAAUCUUGUUUAAGGCCUUUUUGUCCCAAAAUUUCUGUGCAAAUCACUUCCCUACCACUGUGUGCAUCAUUUGCAUUCUUCAUUCCACACAUUUCACACAAUGGUGAAUCUGAGAGGAGGAAAGGUUACUGCCGGACGCAAGCAUCCACUCAGGGAUGAGGAUGAGGAUCUUCCUACGGUCAAACGUUCAUCCAAACGCUUCAAGAGAGGAGCCAUAAAGGGUCAAAUGUCACGGCCUACUCCUCAACCCACCUCUCAGCCUGAAUCUGGACAGGGAACCUCUGCUCAACCGCCUCCAAAAUCAGCCCCUCCCCCUACAUUCUUUGAUGAUACAGCAAGAGACAAACACUCCUUGAUAUCCCAGAAAGGUGUCAUCCCUCAACGUACUGUAAACCCUUCUGAAUUUCGUCUCAUAGGUUUAGAAACCAUUCUGAAGUUAUUUGCUUUUCAGAAAUGGUCGCAUAUCAUUUCUAUGCCAAAUGUUUACUAUCCUGAAAUGCUGCAUCAAUUUUUUGCUAAUCUUAGAAAAGGGUCUGACCAAACUGAAAUCUUUUCCAGGGUUAAUGGGGUAGACUUAAUCUUUGACUCUGAAAUUGUGAAUUCCAUUUUAAAUACUACCAUUGAACGUGGGUGCAAGGAUAAAAUUACAAAUUUCUUUUCCUAUGAAGAGCACCCUAAUGCUGAUAAUCAUUUUGAUGGGGCUAAAAUGAUGACCUAUUUUAAAAGAAGUUUUUCCUCCCCUGCUGAUGCUAAACUGAAUGAUCUUGCCCCUGUGAAUUUAAUUGCUUUUUCUAUCAUUUCAAACCUGCUUGUGCCUACUGAUGGCCAUAGAACUGAUGCAAACAAAAUGGAGUUGUACCUCUUUUAUUAUUUUCGAGAAAAAAUUUGGAUUGAUUUUGGUUUUGUCAUGUGCAAGUUUUUACUUCGCUAUACCACUGACUCUCGCAGAAAACUAUCCUAUGGAAAGUUUCUUCAAAAGAUUUUUGAGUUUUUCAAAGUUCCAAUUUUAGGUGUUUGUCCCAAAGAAGCAUCUUCUUAUGCCUUUACCAAAGGAUACUUUGAAAGGAAAAAUCUUGUUUUUAAAGAUAAUAUGUGGUCUUAUAAAGAGGCAUCGUCCAGUGAACGUAGGUCUAAGGCUGCACAUGAUCCUUCAUCUAUUCCACUCACUCCCAUUCAUCCUAGGAAAUCUGCCACUAAGGCAUCUUCCUCCUCCAAUGAUGGAGUGAUUGAGCUUCUUCAUGAACUCAAACAGCAUGUUCUUCUUCUAGAACAUGGCCUAAUGCUCACCAUGUCCUCUGAGCAACAAACUGCCUUUCUAGACAAAAAGAACCAUCUCUUUCCCCCACCUGUGGUUGAGGAAGUGUCCCAUGACAAAGAGCCACACCCCACUGAUCCAAGCUCAUCAAUUCCAGACCCUGGUUCAUCAACUCCUGUGACUCCUCAUGGUCCUUCCACAGCAGAUAAAGGCAAGGAACCAGUUGAAGUGGAUGCUGAAGCUGAUGAAGAAACUGAAGAGGAGGACCUCUCCCAAUAUCAGCUCUCUCGAAGAACUCCUGGAUCCACACAGUUCACUACUUAGGACAUUUGCAUUCUGUUUGUCUAUUUUAUGUGUUUGUAAUGGUCAACAUUUGUAACCUUCUUUUAAUGUUUCUCUUGUUGGUACUGUAUGUUUAUGUUAAGUAUUUUGAAUGAUGACUGUGUUUAUGGAUGUUUAAGUAUUUUGGUGCAAUGAAUUUGGUUUUCAUUGAUGAAUGUGUUUGUGGAUGUGUUGAUGUGAUUGGUUGCCCUUUUGUGAUGACAAAAAGGGGGAGAGGACUGGAUUGAUGAUUGAUGAUUGGUGUUGAGGACUGGAUUGAUUGAUGAUUGAUGAUUGGUAUUGAUUGAUGAUUGAUGAUUGGUGAUGUUGGAUAUGUUGGAUUGAUUGUUUAAAUUUGGAUUGGCUGAUAUGCUUAAUUGUCAUAUUUUUAGAAAAUUGUUUAACUCGGAUGGGCAGCCAAGUGAGGGGGAGCUUUUUCAAAAUUUUCAAAAUUUUAUGAUUCACUAAAUAAGGGGGAGUUCGUGAGAAAGGGGGAGCUUAUAAUGCAAUCAUCAAAUUUCAUUUCAAACUUUUGUUUUGUCAUCAUCAAAAAGGGGGAGAAUGUUAUUCUUGAUUUUGAUGAUCACAAAAGUUCGUUGAAAUGUUUAUACAGACCAAGAAAGUGAACACUUUGAUCAGGCCUGAUGGAACAAAGUAAGCAUAUGUUCGAUUAACUCCAGACUACGAUGCUUUGGAUGUGGCAAACAAGAUUGGAAUAAUAUAAACAAAUUUAGUCAUUGUUUUGUUCCGAUCAAAGAUACUGUCUUUUAAGUAUGACAAUUUUGUUAGUCUUGGUUCCUUGAAAUGUUUUAUCUAACUUUCUUCAAAUAUAAGUGUUGUUGCCUAUCAAAGAAUCAGGUACGAAUAUGUCGUGAGAAAAAACAGGACACUCAUGUCGGACGGCCGAAAGGAAUCUGUCGGACGUCCGAAGGGAUGAAGAACAUCAGGAAGGAGUUUCUGUCGGACGCACAUCGAUCGUGUCGGACGUCCUAAAAAUUCCACAAAGCUUUGAUGACUCUCUGCCAAGACACUGUCGGACGCUCGCAAGGAAGCAUCGGACGUCCUGAAGGAUCGGACGCAUGCUUCGGACGAACAUCAAUAUCAUCGGACGUCCUAAAAAUUCCUCGAAGAUUUCAUAACUCUCUGGACGACGUUCGGACACUGAAGCUCGGACGAUAAAAUUCCAUCGGACGUCCGAACUUCAAUUUGGCUGUUUUUCGGACGAUUGGUUCGGACGAUAAUUUGAUCGUCGGACGUCCGAAAGCCCCAACGGCUAGCUGACUCUUCAUCUGCCUUCUAUCCGUUGGAAGCUUUAAUGAAGCCCAUUUCUGUUCCCCUUUAAAAACAAACUGUUCUGAACGAAGUAAGAACUUUUGCACACUUGGUCUACAAGAUCUCAAGAGAUAUUUUAGCUAGAAAAUAGUCUCCAAAGUUAGAUUUGUUCUCUAAGUGGUGUGAACUUCUGGUGAGCUUUUCUCUUGUGGUUGAAAGUUUCAUUAGUGUAGCUUUGUUGAGGGUUAUCUGAGUGUUUGUAAAACUUCUUAGCUUGACUAAGUGAGGCUUAGGGCAAGGAGGAAGUGCUCCCUCCAUUGUACAUCUAGUUGAUCAUAUUUCAUCAAAGAGAAGUUGCUCAACCUUGUGAUUGGUCUUCAAGUUUGAGGAAAGCUUGGUAGACAAUCGGUUUGAUUUCCUAUUUUACUUUUUGUUUAAUAAAAUUCUCAUUUCUUAUAUAUACUUGUUUUUCUGAUCAAUAUUGCUAUUGUCUUCUAAUCUACUUGGUUGAUCUUUACUAGAAAAGAAGGUAAAUUUUUAUUAAAGAAAAAGUGCAUAAAUUUGGUUAAGGUUUUAAUCAACCCAAUUCACCCCCCCUCUUGGUUGUCUUUGGGACUUACAGUUUGGCUCCCGCGAGAGUAACCCUACCCAUAGGGUUAACGAGGUAAAGACGUCGUCCAUUCAGCAGCAGCUAUCGGAGUUAACAUCUUUUGCUCAGCAGUUAGCUGUGGGGAAUAUGCAUCAAGCAAAGGUCUGUGGAAUUUGCACAAACAUGGGCCACCCCACUGACUUAUGCCCUAUUUUGCUAGAGGAUGGGGCUGAACUAGUAAACAUGGUUGGGGGCGUGCCCACGCCCCGUAGGUAGUACGAUCUAUACUCGAACACGUACAAUUCGAGUUGGAGAGACCACCCCAACUUCAACUAUGGGAACAGGCCACAGAAGUCAUUCUCAAAUCGUCCAGCAACCAUGGCAACCAAAGCUUCAACCUUCGUCCUCCAAUUCAGGAGGCUCUUUGGAGGAUAUUGUCAAGAGCCUGGCCACGAGUACUACUCAGCUCCAGCAAGAAACUAGAUCCUUGGUCACGAGUACUGCUCAAUUCCAUCAGGAAACUAGAUUAGGCAUGAAAAAUCUGGAGACUCAAAUAAGUCGUAUGGCAACUGCAAUUAAUCGGUUAGAGUCUCAAGUUUUUGAAAAAUUGCCAUCGCAACCCGAGGUAAAUUCCAAGAAUGUAAGUGCCUUGACAUUGAGGAAUGGCAAGGAAGUGGAGGGGCUUAAGGCCACGAACCUAAAGAGUAAAAGUGAAGAAGAGAUCGAAAAGGAGAUUGAAGAAGAAGGACGCAUUCGUGGAGACCCUAAGGUAACUCUUACUCCAUCAAUUCCCAUUGAAUCUAAUUUACCUCCUUUUCCAUACAGGUUGGAAAAGACAAAGAAGGCGGAGAUGGAAAAAGAAAUCCUAGACGUAUUCUGAAAAGUAGAGAUCAACAUUCCCUUGUUGGAUGCAGUUAAGCAGGUACCAAAGUACGCAAAUUUUUUUAAGAAUUUGUGCACCUAUAAGAGGAAGUUGAGACGGGACAAAAGAGCAGCAGUGGGAGAAAAUGUAUCAGCUAUACUCCAAAGAAAACUCCCACCCAAGUGUGGAGAUCCAGGUAUGUUCAUGAUCCCAUGCAAAAUAGGAAAUACACCGAUUAGAAAAAUAAUGUUGGAUUUAGGGGCAUCAAUCAACGUAAUGCCAAGCACCAUUUAUGUUUCUUUAAAUCUUGGGCCACUAAAAGAAACAGCCAUCAUAAUCCAACUAACUGACCGCACCAAUGCUUAUCCAGAGAGGCUAGUUGAGGAUGUCUUGGUUCAGGUAAAUGAGUUAGUUUUUCCAACAGAUUUUUAUAUCUUAGGUAUGGGAGAUGAAAAAUUGUUAAAUCCGUCACCUAUUUUGUUAGGUAGGCCAUUUCUUAGCACUGCUAGGACUACAAUAAAUGUGAAUGAGAGUACUUUAUCAAUGGAGUUUGAUGGCGAAAUUAUAAAUUUCAAUAUUUUUGAGGUGAUGAAGUAUCCGGAGGAAUCUAACUCAGUCUUUGCAUUGAGUGUUAUUGAACCUAUUGUAUAGGAAACUUUCGAAUUAGACUGUGAAGACGCAUUGGAAGUGGCCUUUAUCAAGCAUCUUGAAAUGGAUGUAACUCUUAAUGUGGACAUGAGGGAUGAGUUGCACCAUACAGUUGAAGCAUUACAUUCACUUCCAACCAUUCCUUCGAGGUAUGAGCUUACCUCUCUUUUUGUGCCAAAAACUCAGACAAAGUUGUUGCCUUCAGUUGCACAGGCACCGGAGUUAGAGCUUAAGACUCUCCCGAAACAUUUAAAGUACGCAUUCCUGAGAGACUAAGAGACGCUUCCGGUGAACAUUUCUGCACACUUAUCUCCAAGUCAAGAGAGCAAACUGGUGCGAACCCUUAGGGAUCAUAAGGAAGCGAUUGGGUGGAGUAUAGCAGAUAUCAAAGGAAUAACUCCGUUCUUAUGCAUGCACCAGAUACGGCUCGAAGAUGAUGCGAAACCGGUAAAACAGGCGCAGCGGAAAUUGAAUUCGCUAAUGAUGGAAGUAGUGAAAAAGGAGAUACUUAAAGUCCUGGAAAUAGGAAUUAUCUUUGCUAUCUUGGACAGUCCUUGGGUGAGUCCCGUUCAAAUAGUCCCAAAAAAAAUAGGAGUGACUGUAGAGGAAAACCAGGAGGGUGAGAUGGUUCCAGUCAGGAAAGCUACAGGUUGGCGCCAGUGCAUUGACUACCGGAGACUAAACGCUGUGAUGAAAAAGAACCAUUUUUGAUGUGAAACCCCGGUCUAGACAACCAAAACACCAUGGCUUAGGCAGCGGAAAUUUGACCCAACUAAUCCCUAGAAGUCACGAACAAUUUUGAUAUUAUCUCAACCCGUAACUACUCGAAUUAACGAACCAAAUUGGAGGUAGUAGAACGCCACAAUCAAGGAGAUACUCGAUUGAUAAGUUCGGGUGAAUAACUUGAGAAGAUUCUCAAGUAUUCAAAGGCAACUCUCUUGCCAAAGAGAAAGUGAAAACUCACUAAUUGUAUUUAAUAGCCAAAAACUCGUCCCAAAACAAAGAGGAAGUGAGGCAAUUUAUAGCCCUUACAAGCAUUAACCCUAAUCCAAAAGUUGACCAAACUACCCUACAUACUUAAGAAAGAUUUUGGGCCUUACUUACUAACAAAUGGGCCGCAAUUAAACUAUCUUAAUUACCUAGAUUUUUAAAACAAGAAAUAACCAAAAUCAACGAGAAAAAUCAAAUAAUCCUACUAAACUCAAGCAUUCGUGCAAUCAACUAGUCUUCACUUGAAUCUUCCAAUUCCCCGUGUGCUUGAAUGGGCCUUGGUCUUUAUAUUCUCAUCAUUCCCCUCCUCUUAAAAGCAAUUUGCCCACAAAUUGAAGCACGAAUGGUGACAAGACGAGUUACAUGCCUUCGACUCAAUCUUGUUAUGAUGGCUACAGAUGGCAUCCAAUGCAAAACCCAUGUGCUAAGUUGGAAAAUAACCCUCGUCGAACCUUGAAUCUCACAGACCAUCUUCAAUGUAUGCUCAACUUUAUUGUUUGUGGUCAUGAGAUAAGGGUCCUCAAAGUGGUAUGAAGUGUAUCCCGUGAAAUCGAACUCCGGCUCGAACACACUUGCAAGGUACCAAGGCGGAUUUGGUGAUGUUGGAGCUUCAUGUGGACUAAGAGCAAGACGAAAAGCAUAAUGGUCAUUGAGGUACUUGUUCUUUAAACGAACCCUUGGUACACAACCAUUCCUAAAAUAUGGAGUGUUCCCUUCAAGAUGAGCUCGAAUCAACUCCCCUUUGGUGUGGACUGAUUUAAGUUGACAUUGUUCCAUGAAUGGAUACCAAGGGGGUUUAACUCUUGGAGUACCAACUCCAUGGAGGCUUGCAACGUCUACAAUUGAUUUUGGAAUGGAACACACCAAGAUCAGCUCAACUUGCCUUUGCUUGAUCUGUAUAAAAGAAGAAACACUAAACAAAGCAAAGGUAAGUUUGUUAAGAAAAUAAUAGGCCUUCACCGGGUUGCUCAAGAUCAGCCCACUUUCUCUUCUUUCUUCCUUUUUACCACCAAUCUCAUUAGAUUUUUCCAUCUCUUUUCCUAGUUCAACAGCUGACCCUUUUAUCUCAUUACUUUCAACUUCCUCGGGUUUUACCUCUGCAGGCACAAUUCCCUCAUCUAGCUUUUUCUCCAUUCUAUAACGCUCAAACUCACUUUUCAUGCAUGCUAGAUCAAUACAAAGUUGGUCAUAAGUAAGUGAUACAAGUGCAAGACGACGACUAUUAAAUAAGAAGGAAUACUUAUUAGUAUGUCCAUCAAUUUUAACUUCUCGCCUCGACAUCCAUGCUUUGCCCAACAACACAUGUGUCACUUGAAUUGGGACUACAUCACACAACACCUCAUCCACAUAUUUGCUGAUUUGAAUAGGUACAAGUGUGUGCUUAGUAACCCAAACAUCCCUAUGAGUGCUCGUCAACUUGUAAGGUUGAAGAUGAUCAAUGGUUGGAAGAUUUAAUUUCUCAACCAUGAUAGCACUUGCAAGAUUGACUUCACAACUACCAUCAAUGGCCAAGCUACAAAUUUUAUCUUUGACACCGCAACGAGUAUAAAACCAACCAAGCAACUGAGAUUUGACGAGGUCCAAUUGCUCAUCUACACCACGUAAUGCCACUUCUUUGACUCCCUUAGGAUCAGGAAGACAAUGUUGUGGGCUAGCUUUUAUGUGUCUUAUACUCGCCAUGACGUAUGAGGGAACCUGCAAAAAGUUAGCAACGAAACCGAAGAUAUUGCCUUUCACGCUCCCUUACGUGUAUCCACUCGCACUCGUGUAUAUGGAUGUCACUCUAAUGGACUUACCAAAUACCUUUACCUGUUGGGUUAGGUAGUUGAGAAAUGCUGCUCAAGUCCAACAACCGUUACCAACCUUUCCACAAGUGUAAUCACAAGAAUGUAGGAGAAAAUGUAUGAAAGUGUUCCUAGAAUCUAGGAAGAGAAUAUAGGAGAGUUUCAUAAAGUGGAUGAGAGAAUAUAGGAAAGGUCCUAAAAAUGGAUGAGAGAAUUUUAGGAGAGUUUCCUAAAAAAUGGAUGAGAGAAUUUAGGAAAGUUUCCAAAAAAAUGGAUGAGAGAGUUUAGGAAAAUUUCCUAAAAAGGUAGGAGAGAGAGUGUCCAAGUGAGUACAAAGAGUUAUCCAAGUGCUUUACUUAGUUUCCUAAUUGAUUUUGGAAACAAGUUAGUUUUUGGAAACCUUUUGAAAAUCCUCUUCCUCUUGAACAACUUUUGGUAACCUUCUUGAAACAACUUUUGGUAACCUUCUUGAAACAACUUUUGGUAACUUCCAAAUUCUACUCCAAGAAAGAUUGCACAAAUCAGAUUUGGUUCUCUAUUCAAAACAAUUCGGUUGCCCCUUUCUUUCCUUGCCUUUUUUUUUUUCUCUUGCCAACCAAUUCCUCUUUUCUUUCUUCUUUUUUUUUGUCUUUUUUUGACUACAACUAUCAACCACGACACAAAACAAGGAAGUCCACAAAUAAUAACAACCAAGAACUCCAAGAUCUUUCAAGAACGUUCAAGGAAGUUGUCAGGAACUUCAGAAAUUUCAAGAUUGUGGUCAAGAAUUCAAGAAGCUCAAGAUUAUUGUAAGUUCUCUUCACGAUUCACAAAAUUCCAACAAUUUUUGCCAAAAUUCAGAUUUGAAAACCAAGUAAACAAGUUGGAUAACACAAACAACAAGGCUGGACAGAUUUGUAUUCGGAUGAACAGAACCCUAUGAACAGUAUCAGUGAACAGUGUCGGUGAACAGUAACGAUGAACAGUAAUAUUUUUUUUUUUUUUUUGGUUCUGAACAAACGAACAGAUUGGGAUAAACACAUAUGACUCGAAAUAAACGAAAACAAAAAAAAAGAUAUAACCUGGUGGUUGUCAACUAGCUCUGGUACCAACUGAUGUGAAACCCCGAUCUAGACAACCAAAACACCAUGGCUUAGGCAGCGAAAAUUUGACCCAACUAAUCCCUAGAAGUCACGAACAAUUUUGAUAUUAUCUCAACCCGUAACUACUCGAAUUAACGAACCAAAUUGGAGGUAGUAGAACGCCACAAUCAAGGAGAUACUCGAUUGAUAAGUUCGGGUGAAUAACUUGAGAAGAUUCUCAAGUAUUCAAAGGCAACUCUCUUGCCAAAGAGAAAGUGAAAACUCACUAAUUGUAUUUAAUAGCCAAAAACUCGUCCCAAAACAAAGAGGAAGUGAGGCUAUUUAUAGCCCUUACAAGCAUUAACCCUAAUCCAAAAGUUGACCAAACUACCCUACAUACUCAAGAAAGAUUUUGGGCCUUACUUACUAACAAAUGGGCCGCAAUUAAACUAUCUUAAUUACCUAGAUUUUUAAAACGAGAAAUAACCAAAAUCAACGAGGAAAAUCAAAUAAUCCUACUAAACUCAAGCAUUCGUGCAAUCAACUAGUCUUCACUUGAAUCUUUCAAUUCCCCGUGUGCUUGAAUGGGCAUUGGUCUUUAUAUUCUCAUCAAUUUUCCUCUCCCUUUUAUUGACCAGAUGAUAGAAAGAUUGGCUGGUCGUGUUUACUAUUAUUUUUUGGAUAAUUUUUCAGGGUACUUCAGAUCUCGAUAGCACCGGAGGACCAGGAAAAGACCACAUUCACCUGCCCAUUUGGUACUUUUGCGUACCGUAGGAUGCCUUUCGAUCUUUGCAAUGCUCCAACAACUUUUCAAAGGUACAUGGUAAGUAUUUUCUCCGAAUAUGUAAAAAGAUUAUUGAUGUGUUCAUGAAUGAUUUUAGUGUAUACGGGGAUAGCUUUGAUGAAUGUUUCGAUAAUUUAGCUGUAAUUUUGAAAAUGUGCAUAGAGACGAACUUAGUUCUUAAUUGGAAAAAAUGCGCUUUAUGGUAGAGUAUGGUAUUGUCUUAGGGCACGUUGUGUCGGCUAAGGGAAUAGAGGUAGAUAAAGCAAAAAUAGAUCUAAUUUCUACUUUGCCUUACCCUGUAUGUGUACGGGAAGUACGUUUCUUUUUGGGCCAUACAGGAUUUUAUAGGAGGUUCAUCAAGGAUUUCUCAAAGAUUGGAGCACCCCUAUUCGAGUUGCUGCAAAAGGACGUGACAUUCGAUUUCACCAAUGAAUAUAAGGUGGCUUUUGAUAAAUUAAAGGAGUCGUUGACAUCGCCGCCCGUCAUUCAACCCCCAGAUUGGAGCCUACCGUUUGAAAUAAUGUGCGAUGCGAGUGAUUAUGAGGUAGAAGCAGUGUUGGGCCAAAGGAUUGGCAAGGUGGCGCAUGCAAUUUACUAUGCGUCGAAAGCAUUGAGUGGAGCUCAACUUAACUACUCCACGACGGAGAAAGAAUUACUAGCCGUUGUUUUUGCACUAGAAAAAUUUAGGUCAUAUUUAUUAGGUGCAUGUAGACACCAAAAAUUUCAUCGAUUCAGUUUUAGCUUUAUUCAUUCAAUUUUGACUUCCUUUGAUUCAAUUUUUAGUUUUAUUAUUAUUAUUUAUUCUUGUCUCAUAUUUAUUAUUUUUAAUUGAUUGGAGGUUGCAAAUGGUAAUUGAUGUUCAUUCUUAUUUUAAAUGCAUUAAAAUUCAUCAUUUUCUUUUUAAAGCAAUUUUACACUAAAUUUUAGGAAAAUCCCGAAUAAAGAUCCAUUUUAUCUUUUUAAAAUUUGAUUUUUUCUUGCUAAGGCAUUUUGCAAGGUAAUUUUUAAAAAUUAAGCAUGUUAAACAAGUGUGUCAAUUGCAUGUUGAACAAGUGUGCAAAUAAGCAUUAGACAAGUGGUUGAGGAAUGGUAGGACAAGUGUAUAGGGGGUAGCUGUCAAGGACACUUGGGGGGUUUUUUGGGGGGCAUCGGAAAAAAAAGGAAGAAAAAACCCUCGAAGAGGCUUGAAAACAGGGGGAAGAGAAAAGAGCUAAAAACAGGGAGGGGGCUUCGGAGGAAAGGGGAGAGGAAAAACGAAAUCGAAAAAGGAGGGGAGAGUAGGGAAAAAUCUGGGGAGAGUCUGUGGGCUAAGAAAAACAGCGGAGAGAUAGCGGAAAAAAAGGAGAAAAAGAACGGCUGAGGGGAAGGCUAAAAAUCUGAAAAGAGAAGAAGGCUUCGGCUGGGAGAAGCUGGAGUGGAAAAAAUAGAAAAAGGGAGAACGGCUGCGGUUGAGGGCCGAGAGAGUGGAGAGCCGAGGAGGAAAAAUCAGAAAAGGAGGAGAAAAAUCAAGGGCGGCGGAUGAAGGGAAAAGCUGGGAAAAUUAGAAACAGAGAAAGAGAGGAUAGCAGCGGACAAAGAGCUUGCGACUGAGGAAGCAGAGCAGCUGGAACUGCCGUUCGCGGGAAGCUGUUGCCGCCCUCUUCCGUCACGCGCGACGCCAGCUUCAUCGCUUCUUCCAUCAUAGUUCAAGCUCCGCCCUCUGCCGGCACAAACAAGUGGCCAACCGCCCGCCCAAGCAACCAAAUCCGAGAUCAGCACCCGCAAAAUUUUACCAAGAAACAAACGGUAAGCCACCAUCAUCCUUCAAAUUUCAGUUUUCAUGUAAGUUUUCGAAGCGUGUUUUAUUUUUCACGUUGUGGCUUGUAGCCAUUUCUCUGUUGAAUUAUUCACUAAUUGGAAGUAUGUAUGCUUUGAAUGUCGAUUGGACUGGAGUUUUCUUGCAUUUGAUGAAAUUUUGGGUGCUGAUUCAUGUCAAUUGAGCGAGAAAUUGGUGAAGUUUUUUAAUGGCUGUUUGUUGUUCGACAGAAUGCUUCAAUGAAAGUUCGGCCUGAAGAAUGGAUUAAUUUCUGAUUUAUAUACGUUCGACUGUUUCAUGCUUGUCAAAAUAAUUGAUUCGAAUGGGUUUGUUUGGGCGUCCGUUUGUUUUGGCAAUCUGCUCCGCUUCUCGUUUGUUUGGUGUUCCUCUUGUAUGGAUUUAAAUUCAUGACAUAAAAUGGCGUGCGAGGGGAUUCAUGUGAGAGUCAUUUGUUUUGCUUUUGUUUUGUUUUGUUGAUUGGAGUCCGAAGUUGAAUUUUCUGGUUGCAAAGAGGAAUGAAAUAGCAGCGAACGUUGAGCCAAUUUGGGAAGAAGAGGAUUGCUUGAUUAAAUUCAUGAUUCCAGUCCCUCAAUUUCCCUUUCCAUUAUGAUUUAACCCCAGAAUUUUAGGACUUCAUAAUUUUUCCUCCAACACCUUCAUAAGUCCUUCAAUUAGGUCCCUGCUCUUGUUGCAUUUUAACCCCUCAGCUUCCCCUUGUUCUGAUAUGACCCGAAAAGUGGAAAAAGUGCGUUUGUUUCUCCCUUCUAGAUUUAAAUCAUCUUCUAAUAAGCAUGAAUAGUCCUUUUACUAGAUUAAUUCUUGUUUGUAGGUUCUAAUUGUGGUUCAAUAAUUUAUUUUGAUUUUAUCAUGUUGGGUUUAAUGAAACAAGUGCCUUGGGCUAAGAGGUUAUUUUUGUUUGGGUUUAAGAAAGUCGUUUUAGUUUAUUUUGUUUGGUUUUUUGGUUCGGGCUAGAGGGUCAAGGCCCAUCUAUUUGGUUGGCUAAUUUUUGGGCCAGGAUAUUAUACUAGCCCACUUGUUUUCCUUGGACUUUCGAUUGGGCCAAGUUAUCUUGGCCCAAGAAAGGUGAAGAUGGCCCAUUCCCUUUUUGUUUUGGAUUUUCGGUUGGGCUUGUAAGGCUUUGGCCCAAACAAAUAAAGGAAAUGGCCCAAUGGCUUGGUCCAUUAAGAAACCAGAAAACGAUUUUGCAAAUCAGUCCCUGAAUUUCUCCCUAAUUGUAUUGUGGCCCUGGACAUUUUCAACUUCUUUCAAUUCGGUCCUUGCUUUAAUUGCAAAUAGGUCCCUGAACUUUAUUUUUCUUUAAUUUUGACCUCCAAACUUUGUCAAUCUUUGCAAUCAGGUCCUUUCUUCUCUUGACUUCUUAAAUGUGAAUUGUCGACAUGAUUUAAUUGAUUCAAAUUCAUGCUUAUUUUUUAUCCUUUGUGAUUAUUUGCCAAAUAAAUUGGUACCUUGACCUUUUUAUUGUUUUGAAGCUAAUAUCUCAUUUACUCGAUUUCCGUUGCGAGGGAGGUAACUUCUAUAUUUUUGAGUUUAUUUUUUCCUACGUGCUCCUACGUGUUAUGUGAAUAUGCCUGUCUACUUUGCUUUCUUUGCCUUUCUUUAAUUCUUUUCAUUUUUUUUUACUUACUUUUGCUUUUUAUUUAAGUUAUUCAUUAUGGGGUAUGUGUACACCUCUUGGCUUGUAAUAGUUAGGGAUUUAAUUAUUUUAUUCUUUUCCCCCUUUUAGAUUGUAGUGGGGUCUCCCUAAUGUAAUAGAUAGGGUUUGGAGGAGCAUUCAAUGAAGACCUAUCGAAGACUUGUGCCUAGCUAGCAAAUGUAAUAGUUAGGGCUUUAAUUGUCUCAUGUGCCUUGCAUGCUUAGUUGCUACGUGUUAAUUUGCUUUGCUAGGGCCUUGCAUCUAGUCGAGCAUGCAAAAUGUUAUGUGCUAUGUGUUUAUAAGUGUUUGGCAUGUCUACUCGCUUUCCAUAGCCUGAAUAAAUGUGAUGGAUGAAUGUACGUCACCACACUAGUCCAAUGCUAGUUGUGGCUCAUUAUUUCAUUAGGAAUUCAUAGAAAGGGCUAGUCCAACGCUAGACCCAAUAGGAUUUUUCCUUUGUUUUUCAUUAAUGCAUUAUUUGCCUGUUCACUACAUAUCAUGCAUUUUUCCUUAGUUUUAUCAUCUGGCAUGCUCCUCGAUUCCCCUUUCCCCUCACUUUAGGAUUUUUGCAUUUCAUGCUAGUUAUAGGGUUCAUUUGCCUGAAGAGUCCCCUUCUGAUAAGGGAAACGAGCGAGUGUGGCUACUCGAUAGCCUUAGCACGCUAGUUUCGCCUUCUAAUCAAAGGGAAGAUUAAGUCACAAAGUUAGGACUCCCCGUUCCCGUCUUGAUGCAUUCCUAUAGGAUUCAUGCAUUCUAUUCAUUCACUAUCACAUACACUUACUUUAUAUUCUAACCCUUUUUCCACAUUCUCACUUCACACUACUUUUACACGUUUUCAUUUAACUACUCACACUCUAUGCCAUAUCACUCGCACACAUGCACUUUAUAUUAUUUUCACAUUAUCAUUCUUUACUCACCUUACCUUGUAAAUACAUUUGCACACCUCCACUUUUCUCACUUCACAUAAACUUACAUUUUCACAUGACAUGCACCCCAUUCAUUUUUACGUCAUUUAGGAUUACGUGUGACCUCUCCAAAGGAUCAUUAUUGGGCUUCACAAUUAAUGUGAUUGGCACCACUCAACCUUUGAAGAGAAAUUUCCCCCAAUACCCCUAGGUCUAGGGUUUUGCAUUCAUAUAGACAUAUCCAACACGCGAUACAUACCUUGGGUAGAAAAAUUAGGAAAAAUUGGUUUAAGUCACGCAACUAGCCUUGGCUAGGUCGAAGGGGUGCCUUGGAUUUUUUAUCCUUGCCUUCCCCUUCGUCAAAUGUGACCCCCGAUCCCUCUUUUUGGUUACGUAGACCCAAAAGUUCUUUAAAAGGGUUUAUUUACUUUUUUUAUUCAAAAACAAAAAACCAUUUUUUGGGUGACUUGGUACACCCUAACCCUAUACCAAGUGGCGACUCCAUUUUUGAUACAAAAAACCCUUUUUGAACUUUAUAUGGCCAAACCGUCGCAUUAUCAAGUCCCAUGGCCUUUUACUUUUCAUUUACACACGUUCACAUUCCAUUACACCACUCACAUCUCACACCACACACACACCACAACUCAUCAUCUUCGAAAAGUGGGGCGCGACAGUUGGCGACUCCACUGGGGAAGCUCCUAAGUGGGUCCGAGCAUUUGACUUAGCCAUUCGUUUCCUUUUUCUACCCUUUUUAUGCAUUGCACUUGGAUAUUAGGGUUGCAUUUUUUUUAUUUUAGGCCUUUUUGCCUCGUGCGCGUAUCCAACUAUUCCCUCACUCACGUACGUGUGAUUGGUUGAUUGGAUGUAUGUUUACUUGUUUAUCUCGCGCUUGCAUUGCAUUUGGGAGGGGGCGUGUCACCUUUAGAGCCUCACGUUGGUUCUCAACCCCUUCCCUCAAAAUAGGGGAGCACUUCAUACGUGCACGUUUACUUGCUUUUAUCCCAUUUUAUUUUGUUUUUCGUGGGCGUUUCCCACACCGCCUUGUAGGAUUAGGAUCGAUUGCCUUGGGUAGGCGGCUGGUGUGCUCUGCGCCCAUAACGCUACCUAAGGGAUCACUCGAGCCACCGAUCAAAGGCCUUGGGAGUGAUGACCCUUUGCCUUUAGGUCUGAAGGCUUGGGAGCCGAAGCUUUAUCGAGUCUAGGCAUUAAUGAACCAAACCUCAUGCAUCCAUGUUAGCAUUUGCCUAGGGUAGAGUCAGCCUCACCCUUUUUAAGCACAAUUAGGCACGAGGGAAGGGGUUCCACCCCUUUUUAUUGGCUUUUAUUGUAUUUCUUUUUCUUAAUUGCUCCCAAUAUGUUAUGUGUAUUACCAAUUGCACUAACCAUUCUUUUGUUUUCUUGGCUUGCAUUCAUAUGCCCUAGCAAUAAGAGGCCCUUUUGGCACUCUUUUAGUGACCUAUCCACUAGAUAACUCACAUGUUUAAAUUUCAGUCAUUAUACUUAAUAAAUACAUUUCAUUUUAGACCUUUUUUCCCCCGAUGCAUUAUUUAUGUCCCUUAGGUCAUAUUUGUCACAUAUUUACAUCGCUUUAAUAAAUGACAUCAUGCAUAAACCCUAGAAAGGGAAUGCCAUUUAGGGGAUCCCGUGUCAGGAAUAAGCCACCUUGUGUCUCGGAUACUUAAUCCAGUGAGACUUGCACGUUUACAUUUUGUACCAUCCAAAGGGGGUAGUGCACAAGGUAAGGUAGGAUCCGAUCAUUUUCAUAGAGUGAUCUUUGGGAUAUGAGCAUCUAAUAAUCACUUUUUGGCCAUUUUAUCAAAAAUUGGUAAAAAUUCCUUGCGUGAAGGACAGUAAUUUGAAGAAAUUCACAAAUGAUUCCUUCUAUUGAGACGAUAAAUAAAUUGAGGCCAAAAUUUGAUUUUUAGAAGCUCAUAGACUAAUGCAUCUCAAUCAUUUUGAAAUCACCAAUGGCCGGACAAUUCAACCAAUCCAUUUUACCCAUUCAUUCAAUAAAUCAUCAAUUCAUUUGAUCAAUUUACCCUUUUUAGGGUCAUCCGGUCGAUUUUGAAUAAAUCGUCAAUUCAUUUGACCAAUUUACCCUUUUUAGGGUCACCUGGUCGAUUUUCAAUAAAUCAUCAAUUCAUUUGAUCAAUUUACCCUUUUUAGGGUCACCUGGUCGAUUUUGAAUAAAUCGUCAAUUCAUUUGACCAAUUUACCCUUUUUAGGGUCAUCCGGUCGAUUUUGAAUAAAUCAUCAAUUCAUUUGACCGAUUUACCCUUUUUAGGAUCGUUCGGCCGAUUUUUGAACAAGUCACUAAUUCAAUUUCAUUCAUUUGGCCAAUUUACCUUUUUUUAGGGCAACCGAGCCGUUUUUUGACCUGUUUCCCUUCUAGGGUAAUCCGGUCGAUUUUCAAUAAAUUGUCAAUUUCAUUUGACCAAUUAGGAUUUCAAUGUCGAAUUCCAAAUUGGGAAAUCUAGUCAAUUUUGAAGAAAACCGUCCAUUGCAUCCAAUCACUUGAUCAAUUAGGGUUUUUGACCCGUAAUUCACUGAGAAAUUUUAUCAACGAAUUCCAAUCUCUUCGAUAGGAGUUCGUCAAGGUCAAACCCAUGCGUUUUGCAAAUCAAAGGUGAUCAAUCUAUUCGGACGUUGUCCUCAUUUUGACAAAUCUCUUGCCACUCCAAUGGCCAAAUUUUUCAAAUUAUUUUUCACUCAAUGAGUUGAUCAGAUCCGUCAGGUAUGGUAUAGUGCUUCCCUAGAGGAUUGCAUUUUCAUGCUAGGCCUACCCUUGGCAUAAAAAGGGUUCCCCCAUAGGACAUGCAUACCGAUUUUUUUUUAUUCUUACUUACUGACUCUGGGUAUUUUUCUUUUUGUUUUCCCCUCCCCCUGCAUUUAUAAAAAUGUUUCAAUAAGGCGAGAAUAUUCUUCUAUAUCUGAUAAUUUUGAUCCAAUAAAGCUUGAAGAUUACAAGUAUUACUUGAUUUUUAGGUAGACAUUGCCGCGAAAGCAUAAAGGGGAAAUUCUAUUUAUUUGAUUUGUUAAUACAUUUUGUUCCAAAAGAAAAGGAGACAAAAAGUGUAUGUGUUGAGCUCUUUACGAGUUUCUCUCUUCUCAUUUGUAUCAUAAUUGAUUGAGCAAUUUUGUUUCAAACUUUUUCAACAAUAAAAUUUUUUGGAUAAUUUUUGUUUUGUGUAUAUUUAUGUACAUUUCAUUCUUUAUUCUUACUCAUUGGAGAUUUCAUGAUGAUUUUUGAGAAAUAAGACCCAAUUUGAGAUUUUUCAACCUAUAGCCUGAAUUUCACAAGUGUGUGCUUCCUAAAAUCCUUACACUCGAUUGGUGUUCCAACCUGUACAAUAAGAGUGCUCAGAAAGAAAGAGAGUGAACGGUCACUCAAAAGGCCCUAUGAGAUACCUUUCUCCUUCACUUAAUUCCAAAAUAAAAUCAGUCACAUUGAUUGAUAAAUUGUAAAUUGGGGUAACUUUUGCUUGAAAAUGUUCAAGGCGUCUAAUCUGGUUCAAUCACAUCUAAGUGAAAGCAAAAAUGUGCAUUAUUCUUAUUUGUUUGGAAAAUUUGGAAUGAUACUUCAAGCAUUCGUUUCAUUACCUGUACAGAUUUUUAUCAUUUGCUCUCCCAUUUGAGCUUCUAAAAGAAUAAUUUCGUUUCAAAUAAGGGUCUUAAUGAUCACUACCCGUCAUUGAAAAAUUUUCAAAUAUCAAAAGAAGAAUGGGUUUUCAAUGACCAUUUCGCUACUUCGGUUGUCAUGAGGUAUAAGAAUGAUACUUUGGCCGUCAGUUCUACAAUCUAAACACUGAUCAUCCCUUGCAUCCUCGUUUGAGCUAAAUUGGUGGUUCUUUUCGAGUGCACAUAUGAUCGCACCCCACAUUGGGGAAGGAGAUUGGGAAAUUUUGAAAAAAGGGAAAAGAAAAGGGGAAAAGCAAAAAAUGCUAGAAUAAGGAGGGAACCGCAAAUUUGGGGAAUUUGAUUCCACUUGGGUUCCAAUUUUGAAAAAAAAAAAGAAAAGAAAAAGAAGAAAACAAGUUCUAUCCGGUGGAUCACUUAUGUUUCAUAGACAUGAAUGAGCAAGGGUCUUCCUCAGUCAGUUAAUUCAGAUACAUGCCAAAAAUUUCCCAUUAAUGAAAAUUUCUUUUCAGAGUUAAUGUAAGGAACGGAAUACAAGUCAGGCCAUCUUCUUUUCCGAUCAAGCAUCUAUCCCUAGUUAUCCCUUUUGAGCAUUCAGAAUGAAAUACUUCGUUUGGCAACCCCUGAGAAUCGCAAACCCCACACUGGGGCAAGUUGGUUUGAAAAAGGAAAAUUUCAAGAAGCGGAAAAGUGAAAAGCCACAAAAUCAAAAGGCAAAGGAAGAAAAGAGAACCUCAGUUCAAAAAUAAACUGGGGCAAAUUUUGUGAAAGUUCGAAAAAAUGGCCGAAGGCCGAAAAAUCAAAAGAAAGAAAAUAAAAGUGAAAAAGCCUCAAUUGAGCAAAAACUGGGGCAAAUUCUGAUUUUACCCUAAAAUAGGGUUGACGCAACAAUGCGAUUUCAGAUUCUUCAAACCACUUUUGAAAUCCGCUUUCAAGCCUUAACUUUUCUAAGCACCCCACCUGACCCCAUUACAAAAGCCAAAAGUCCUGACUUCUGUUCUUUGCAAUGGCCCUGUCAAGAAAAUUUCUGAUGCCGGAAAAUUUUAGCUGUAUUGCUGAAUUGCUUGAGUAUGAGGUUGGCGCUACUCAUGUGAAAACCCAUCAGCUCGAGGGAAAAGAAAAGAGGCAAAAAGCAAAGCAAGAAAAGUAAAUGCAAGGAAAAUGCAAAAAGACUUGACGCUGAAGUCCCUGGGGAAUGAUGAGAAAAUCCAAACAAAGUCUGAAAUCUUUUGAGUUCAAAUAGGGGCAAUUUUGGAAAAAUGUGAUCUUCGGUGCAAUGUCCUUGAAAGUUUUAUUCUUUAGCUAUCGUUUUUCAAGCCAAAUUACAAGCUAAGAAAGUCCAUCGUUGACUUAUUCCUUCAUGACAAUCCAAAGUGAGGAUCAUACUCAUAAGAAAUUCAUCAAAUCAUUUGUGAUCAUAAGGGUAUAACCCGUUUCCACAUGUUUAGCUAUCACUUCUGUCCAUACGUUACAAGCCUAGAAAGCUGGUAUGUUGACUAAGUUUUCUUGAAAAAUAAGGGUGACAAACUCUUUGCUUUCACUAAGAUGUGACAUUGAAUGGAUUACAUACAAUUGGGGCACAAAAAUGAGACAGAUUCUGACCUCUCAUUUUCCUUCAGCCACUUCCAAAUCAAAAAUAAAGUCACUUGAUUGGUCCUGAAAAAUGAGCCAACCAGAAGUGGUGACCCGUUACCCUAAACACCAAUGCUAAAAGUGAGGAAGAAAUCUUCUUGAAUUUGGUGUUACUUCGAGGAAUUCAUCAUGAAAUUUCUGCAUGAGUUUCAAACUUGACGUUUAAAGUUUCUUCACAUUGUUGUAUAUGUGCACUCUUUUCUAAAUUUUAGAAAGUGCGGUUUUUCUUUGUUCAAAUCAAUGGGAAAUCAUCUGAACAAAUUUUUGCAAUUAAGGGAGCCCACACUGGGGCAAAAAUUUUAUUUGUGAGAUUUCAUGAAAUAAGCCCAUACUGGGGCAAAUUUUUUGUAAUACAUUUGAGAUUUGUGUCCAAAAAUCAAAUAAUAACAUUUUUCGAAACAAUCCCGCUGCUCUUUUCCUGGAAUUUAAGUGCAUGUCAUACUUUGAUGAACCCCUUGUACAGGUAUUCAUGAUUCAAAAUGACGAAAGGCAUCCAGUAAGGCGGAAGGCCGAUACUGCAAAGAGAAGCAAGAAGAAGGAGGAAAAAUGGACACUACACUUGGGGCAAAUUAUUUUUUUAAAAUUUUUGAAAAAAGGGAAAAAAGAAGGAAAAAAGAAAAAAAGAGAAAAAACCAAAAAUCAAAUCAAAAAGUCAAAAAUCAAGUUCAAAUUCUUGUUUCUUGAAAAAUCAAAUUUGAUUUCUUGUGGGCGAAGCUCCAAUGCACGCCGCGCAUCAUUCUGUUCCCCCCUUCUCUUGACAUUCCAAAUCAAGUUGGGCCUGGAUUUCGUGCCACCAACAUCAUUUUAUCACGUUGGGCCUGGACUUGGUGCCGCCAACAUCACUUUAUCACGUUGGGCCUGGACUUGGUGCCGCCAACAUCACUUUAUCACGUUGGGCCUGGACUUGGUGCCGCCAACAUCACUUUAUCACGUUGGGCCUGGACUUGGUGCCGCCAACUUCACUUUAUCACGUUGGGCCUGGACUUGGUGCCGCCAACAUCACUUUAUCACGUUGGGCUUGGUUUUCGUGCCACCAACUUCGCUUUGUCACGUUGGGCUUGGAUUUAGUGCCACCAACAUUACAAAAGUCACAUUGGACCGGGUUUUAUCCCGCCAAUCUCGGCAGGACCGGGUCUAAUCCCGCUGACCGCUUACAGGACCGGGUCUAAUCCCGCUGACAGGCAGGACCGGGUCUAAUCCCGCUGACCGCUUACUUCGGCAGGACCGGGUCUAAUCCCGCUGACCGCUCACCUCGGCAGGACCGGGUCUAAUCCCGCUGACCGCUCACCUCGGCAGGACCGGGUCUAAUCCCGCUGACCGCUCACCUCGGCAGGACCGGGUUUUAUCCCGCUGACCGUCCACACCCCGUCGGCCUCAGAUGUUAUCCCACCGACCAAUUCAUCACACUGGGGCAAAUUUUUUAGAUAAUUUUUCAAACAAGUCCUAUACAGUUCUCUAUUUAAUUUUCUGUUCGGGUCUAUCCCAUGGGUCUGUCCCAUCUACAUUUUUAUCCGAGUCUAUCGCAUUUACAUUCCUGUCCGGGUCUAUCCCGUUUACAAUUCUGUUCAGGCCAGUCCCAUGUUUGAAAUUCCUUGUUUAGGUCAGCCCUCCGAAUAGGGGCAACCGAAUGGUACAGGUAAGCAUUUGGUGUCUACUUCUUUGUCUCAAGUUUUUUCAAAACUCAGACAAAGAGGGGCAAACUGUAGACACCAAAAAUUUCAUCGAUUCAGUUUUAGCUUUAUUCAUUCAAUUUUGACUUCCUUUGAUUCAAUUUUUAGUUUUAUUAUUAUUAUUUAUUCUUGUCUCAUAUUUAUUAUUUUUAAUUGAUUGGAGGUUGCAAAUGGUAAUUGAUGUUCAUUCUUAUUUUAAAUGCAUUAAAAUUCAUCAUUUUCUUUUUAAAGCAAUUUUACACUAAAUUUUAGGAAAAUCCCGAAUAAAGAUCCAUUUUAUCUUUUUAAAAUUUGAUUUUUUCUUGCUAAGGCAUUUUGCAAGGUAAUUUUUAAAAAUUAAGCAUGUUAAACAAGUGUGUCAAUUGCAUGUUGAACAAGUGUGCAAAUAAGCAUUAGACAAGUGGUUGAGGAAUGGUAGGACAAGUGUAUAGGGGGUAGCUGUCAAGGACACUUGGGGGGUUUUUUGGGGGGCAUCGGAAAAAAAAGGAAGAAAAAACCCUCGAAGAGGCUUGAAAACAGGGGGAAGAGAAAAGAGCUAAAAACAGGGAGGGGGCUUCGGAGGAAAGGGGAGAGGAAAAACGAAAUCGAAAAAGGAGGGGAGAGUAGGGAAAAAUCUGGGGAGAGUCUGUGGGCUAAGAAAAACAGCGGAGAGAUAGCGGAAAAAAAGGAGAAAAAGAACGGCUGAGGGGAAGGCUAAAAAUCUGAAAAGAGAAGAAGGCUUCGGCUGGGAGAAGCUGGAGUGGAAAAAAUAGAAAAAGGGAGAACGGCUGCGGUUGAGGGCCGAGAGAGUGGAGAGCCGAGGAGGAAAAAUCAGAAAAGGAGGAGAAAAAUCAAGGGCGGCGGAUGAAGGGAAAAGCUGGGAAAAUUAGAAACAGAGAAAGAGAGGAUAGCAGCGGACAAAGAGCUUGCGACUGAGGAAGCAGAGCAGCUGGAACUGCCGUUCGCGGGAAGCUGUUGCCGCCCUCUUCCGUCACGCGCGACGCCAGCUUCAUCGCUUCUUCCAUCAUAGUUCAAGCUCCGCCCUCUGCCGGCACAAACAAGUGGCCAACCGCCCGCCCAAGCAACCAAAUCCGAGAUCAGCACCCGCAAAAUUUUACCAAGAAACAAACGGUAAGCCACCAUCAUCCUUCAAAUUUCAGUUUUCAUGUAAGUUUUCGAAGCGUGUUUUAUUUUUCACGUUGUGGCUUGUAGCCAUUUCUCUGUUGAAUUAUUCACUAAUUGGAAGUAUGUAUGCUUUGAAUGUCGAUUGGACUGGAGUUUUCUUGCAUUUGAUGAAAUUUUGGGUGCUGAUUCAUGUCAAUUGGGCGAGAAAUUGGUGAAGUUUUUUAAUGGCUGUUUGUUGUUCGACAGAAUGCUUCAAUGAAAGUUCGGCCUGAAGAAUGGAUUAAUUUCUGAUUUAUAUACGUUCGACUGUUUCAUGCUUGUCAAAAUAAUUGAUUCGAAUGGGUUUGUUUGGGCGUCCGUUUGUUUUGGCAAUCUGCUCCGCUUCUCGUUUGUUUGGUGUUCCUCUUGUAUGGAUUUAAAUUCAUGACAUAAAAUGGCGUGCGAGGGGAUUCAUGUGAGAGUCAUUUGUUUUGCUUUUGUUUUGUUUUGUUGAUUGGAGUCCGAAGUUGAAUUUUCUGGUUGCAAAGAGGAAUGAAAUAGCAGCGAACGUUGAGCCAAUUUGGGAAGAAGAGGAUUGCUUGAUUAAAUUCAUGAUUCCAGUCCCUCAAUUUCCCUUUCCAUUAUGAUUUAACCCCAGAAUUUUAGGACUUCAUAAUUUUUCCUCCAACACCUUCAUAAGUCCUUCAAUUAGGUCCCUGCUCUUGUUGCAUUUUAACCCCUCAGCUUCCCCUUGUUCUGAUAUGACCCGAAAAGUGGAAAAAGUGCGUUUGUUUCUCCCUUCUAGAUUUAAAUCAUCUUCUAAUAAGCAUGAAUAGUCCUUUUACUAGAUUAAUUCUUGUUUGUAGGUUCUAAUUGUGGUUCAAUAAUUUAUUUUGAUUUUAUCAUGUUGGGUUUAAUGAAACAAGUGCCUUGGGCUAAGAGGUUAUUUUUGUUUGGGUUUAAGAAAGUCGUUUUAGUUUAUUUUGUUUGGUUUUUUGGUUCGGGCUAGAGGGUCAAGGCCCAUCUAUUUGGUUGGCUAAUUUUUGGGCCAGGAUAUUAUACUAGCCCACUUGUUUUCCUUGGACUUUCGAUUGGGCCAAGUUAUCUUGGCCCAAGAAAGGUGAAGAUGGCCCAUUCCCUUUUUGUUUUGGAUUUUCGGUUGGGCUUGUAAGGCUUUGGCCCAAACAAAUAAAGGAAAUGGCCCAAUGGCUUGGUCCAUUAAGAAACCAGAAAACGAUUUUGCAAAUCAGUCCCUGAAUUUCUCCCUAAUUGUAUUGUGGCCCUGGACAUUUUCAACUUCUUUCAAUUCGGUCCUUGCUUUAAUUGCAAAUAGGUCCCUGAACUUUAUUUUUCUUUAAUUUUGACCUCCAAACUUUGUCAAUCUUUGCAAUCAGGUCCUUUCUUCUCUUGACUUCUUAAAUGUGAAUUGUCGACAUGAUUUAAUUGAUUCAAAUUCAUGCUUAUUUUUUAUCCUUUGUGAUUAUUUGCCAAAUAAAUUGGUACCUUGACCUUUUUAUUGUUUUGAAGCUAAUAUCUCAUUUACUCGAUUUCCGUUGCGAGGGAGGUAACUUCUAUAUUUUUGAGUUUAUUUUUUCCUACGUGCUCCUACGUGUUAUGUGAAUAUGCCUGUCUACUUUGCUUUCUUUGCCUUUCUUUAAUUCUUUUCAUUUUUUUUUACUUACUUUUGCUUUUUAUUUAAGUUAUUCAUUAUGGGGUAUGUGUACACCUCUUGGCUUGUAAUAGUUAGGGAUUUAAUUAUUUUAUUCUUUUCCCCCUUUUAGAUUGUAGUGGGGUCUCCCUAAUGUAAUAGAUAGGGUUUGGAGGAGCAUUCAAUGAAGACCUAUCGAAGACUUGUGCCUAGCUAGCAAAUGUAAUAGUUAGGGCUUUAAUUGUCUCAUGUGCCUUGCAUGCUUAGUUGCUACGUGUUAAUUUGCUUUGCUAGGGCCUUGCAUCUAGUCGAGCAUGCAAAAUGUUAUGUGCUAUGUGUUUAUAAGUGUUUGGCAUGUCUACUCGCUUUCCAUAGCCUGAAUAAAUGUGAUGGAUGAAUGUACGUCACCACACUAGUCCAAUGCUAGUUGUGGCUCAUUAUUUCAUUAGGAAUUCAUAGAAAGGGCUAGUCCAACGCUAGACCCAAUAGGAUUUUUCCUUUGUUUUUCAUUAAUGCAUUAUUUGCCUGUUCACUACAUAUCAUGCAUUUUUCCUUAGUUUUAUCAUCUGGCAUGCUCCUCGAUUCCCCUUUCCCCUCACUUUAGGAUUUUUGCAUUUCAUGCUAGUUAUAGGGUUCAUUUGCCUGAAGAGUCCCCUUCUGAUAAGGGAAACGAGCGAGUGUGGCUACUCGAUAGCCUUAGCACGCUAGUUUCGCCUUCUAAUCAAAGGGAAGAUUAAGUCACAAAGUUAGGACUCCCCGUUCCCGUCUUGAUGCAUUCCUAUAGGAUUCAUGCAUUCUAUUCAUUCACUAUCACAUACACUUACUUUAUAUUCUAACCCUUUUUCCACAUUCUCACUUCACACUACUUUUACACGUUUUCAUUUAACUACUCACACUCUAUGCCAUAUCACUCGCACACAUGCACUUUAUAUUAUUUUCACAUUAUCAUUCUUUACUCACCUUACCUUGUAAAUACAUUUGCACACCUCCACUUUUCUCACUUCACAUAAACUUACAUUUUCACAUGACAUGCACCCCAUUCAUUUUUACGUCAUUUAGGAUUACGUGUGACCUCUCCAAAGGAUCAUUAUUGGGCUUCACAAUUAAUGUGAUUGGCACCACUCAACCUUUGAAGAGAAAUUUCCCCCAAUACCCCUAGGUCUAGGGUUUUGCAUUCAUAUAGACAUAUCCAACACGCGAUACAUACCUUGGGUAGAAAAAUUAGGAAAAAUUGGUUUAAGUCACGCAACUAGCCUUGGCUAGGUCGAAGGGGUGCCUUGGAUUUUUUAUCCUUGCCUUCCCCUUCGUCAAAUGUGACCCCCGAUCCCUCUUUUUGGUUACGUAGACCCAAAAGUUCUUUAAAAGGGUUUAUUUACUUUUUUUAUUCAAAAACAAAAAACCAUUUUUUGGGUGACUUGGUACACCCUAACCCUAUACCAAGUGGCGACUCCAUUUUUGAUACAAAAAACCCUUUUUGAACUUUAUAUGGCCAAACCGUCGCAUUAUCAAGUCCCAUGGCCUUUUACUUUUCAUUUACACACGUUCACAUUCCAUUACACCACUCACAUCUCACACCACACACACACCACAACUCAUCAUCUUCGAAAAGUGGGGCGCGACAGUUGGCGACUCCACUGGGGAAGCUCCUAAGUGGGUCCGAGCAUUUGACUUAGCCAUUCGUUUCCUUUUUCUACCCUUUUUAUGCAUUGCACUUGGAUAUUAGGGUUGCAUUUUUUUUAUUUUAGGCCUUUUUGCCUCGUGCGCGUAUCCAACUAUUCCCUCACUCACGUACGUGUGAUUGGUUGAUUGGAUGUAUGUUUACUUGUUUAUCUCGCGCUUGCAUUGCAUUUGGGAGGGGGCGUGUCACCUUUAGAGCCUCACGUUGGUUCUCAACCCCUUCCCUCAAAAUAGGGGAGCACUUCAUACGUGCACGUUUACUUGCUUUUAUCCCAUUUUAUUUUGUUUUUCGUGGGCGUUUCCCACACCGCCUUGUAGGAUUAGGAUCGAUUGCCUUGGGUAGGCGGCUGGUGUGCUCUGCGCCCAUAACGCUACCUAAGGGAUCACUCGAGCCACCGAUCAAAGGCCUUGGGAGUGAUGACCCUUUGCCUUUAGGUCUGAAGGCUUGGGAGCCGAAGCUUUAUCGAGUCUAGGCAUUAAUGAACCAAACCUCAUGCAUCCAUGUUAGCAUUUGCCUAGGGUAGAGUCAGCCUCACCCUUUUUAAGCACAAUUAGGCACGAGGGAAGGGGUUCCACCCCUUUUUAUUGGCUUUUAUUGUAUUUCUUUUUCUUAAUUGCUCCCAAUAUGUUAUGUGUAUUACCAAUUGCACUAACCAUUCUUUUGUUUUCUUGGCUUGCAUUCAUAUGCCCUAGCAAUAAGAGGCCCUUUUGGCACUCUUUUAGUGACCUAUCCACUAGAUAACUCACAUGUUUAAAUUUCAGUCAUUAUACUUAAUAAAUACAUUUCAUUUUAGACCUUUUUUCCCCCGAUGCAUUAUUUAUGUCCCUUAGGUCAUAUUUGUCACAUAUUUACAUCGCUUUAAUAAAUGACAUCAUGCAUAAACCCUAGAAAGGGAAUGCCAUUUAGGGGAUCCCGUGUCAGGAAUAAGCCACCUUGUGUCUCGGAUACUUAAUCCAGUGAGACUUGCACGUUUACAUUUUGUACCAUCCAAAGGGGGUAGUGCACAAAGUAAGGUAGGAUCCGAUCAUUUUCAUAGAGUGAUCUUUGGGAUAUGAGCAUCUAAUAAUCACUUUUUGGCCAUUUUAUCAAAAAUUGGUAAAAAUUCCUUGCGUGAAGGACAGUAAUUUGAAGAAAUUCACAAAUGAUUCCUUCUAUUGAGACGAUAAAUAAAUUGAGGCCAAAAUUUGAUUUUUAGAAGCUCAUAGACUAAUGCAUCUCAAUCAUUUUGAAAUCACCAAUGGCCGGACAAUUCAACCAAUCCAUUUUACCCAUUCAUUCAAUAAAUCAUCAAUUCAUUUGAUCAAUUUACCCUUUUUAGGGUCAUCCGGUCGAUUUUGAAUAAAUCGUCAAUUCAUUUGACCAAUUUACCCUUUUUAGGGUCACCUGGUCGAUUUUCAAUAAAUCAUCAAUUCAUUUGAUCAAUUUACCCUUUUUAGGGUCACCUGGUCGAUUUUGAAUAAAUCGUCAAUUCAUUUGACCAAUUUACCCUUUUUAGGGUCAUCCGGUCGAUUUUGAAUAAAUCAUCAAUUCAUUUGACCGAUUUACCCUUUUUAGGAUCGUUCGGCCGAUUUUUGAACAAGUCACUAAUUCAAUUUCAUUCAUUUGGCCAAUUUACCUUUUUUUAGGGCAACCGAGCCGUUUUUUGACCUGUUUCCCUUCUAGGGUAAUCCGGUCGAUUUUCAAUAAAUUGUCAAUUUCAUUUGACCAAUUAGGAUUUCAAUGUCGAAUUCCAAAUUGGGAAAUCUAGUCAAUUUUGAAGAAAACCGUCCAUUGCAUCCAAUCACUUGAUCAAUUAGGGUUUUUGACCCGUAAUUCACUGAGAAAUUUUAUCAACGAAUUCCAAUCUCUUCGAUAGGAGUUCGUCAAGGUCAAACCCAUGCGUUUUGCAAAUCAAAGGUGAUCAAUCUAUUCGGACGUUGUCCUCAUUUUGACAAAUCUCUUGCCACUCCAAUGGCCAAAUUUUUCAAAUUAUUUUUCACUCAAUGAGUUGAUCAGAUCCGUCAGGUAUGGUAUAGUGCUUCCCUAGAGGAUUGCAUUUUCAUGCUAGGCCUACCCUUGGCAUAAAAAGGGUUCCCCCAUAGGACAUGCAUACCGAUUUUUUUUUAUUCUUACUUACUGACUCUGGGUAUUUUUCUUUUUGUUUUCCCCUCCCCCUGCAUUUAUAAAAAUGUUUCAAUAAGGCGAGAAUAUUCUUCUAUAUCUGAUAAUUUUGAUCCAAUAAAGCUUGAAGAUUACAAGUAUUACUUGAUUUUUAGGUAGACAUUGCCGCGAAAGCAUAAAGGGGAAAUUCUAUUUAUUUGAUUUGUUAAUACAUUUUGUUCCAAAAGAAAAGGAGACAAAAAGUGUAUGUGUUGAGCUCUUUACGAGUUUCUCUCUUCUCAUUUGUAUCAUAAUUGAUUGAGCAAUUUUGUUUCAAACUUUUUCAACAAUAAAAUUUUUUGGAUAAUUUUUGUUUUGUGUAUAUUUAUGUACAUUUCAUUCUUUAUUCUUACUCAUUGGAGAUUUCAUGAUGAUUUUUGAGAAAUAAGACCCAAUUUGAGAUUUUUCAACCUAUAGCCUGAAUUUCACAAGUGUGUGCUUCCUAAAAUCCUUACACUCGAUUGGUGUUCCAACCUGUACAAUAAGAGUGCUCAGAAAGAAAGAGAGUGAACGGUCACUCAAAAGGCCCUAUGAGAUACCUUUCUCCUUCACUUAAUUCCAAAAUAAAAUCAGUCACAUUGAUUGAUAAAUUGUAAAUUGGGGUAACUUUUGCUUGAAAAUGUUCAAGGCGUCUAAUCUGGUUCAAUCACAUCUAAGUGAAAGCAAAAAUGUGCAUUAUUCUUAUUUGUUUGGAAAAUUUGGAAUGAUACUUCAAGCAUUCGUUUCAUUACCUGUACAGAUUUUUAUCAUUUGCUCUCCCAUUUGAGCUUCUAAAAGAAUAAUUUCGUUUCAAAUAAGGGUCUUAAUGAUCACUACCCGUCAUUGAAAAAUUUUCAAAUAUCAAAAGAAGAAUGGGUUUUCAAUGACCAUUUCGCUACUUCGGUUGUCAUGAGGUAUAAGAAUGAUACUUUGGCCGUCAGUUCUACAAUCUAAACACUGAUCAUCCCUUGCAUCCUCGUUUGAGCUAAAUUGGUGGUUCUUUUCGAGUGCACAUAUGAUCGCACCCCACAUUGGGGAAGGAGAUUGGGAAAUUUUGAAAAAAGGGAAAAGAAAAGGGGAAAAGCAAAAAAUGCUAGAAUAAGGAGGGAACCGCAAAUUUGGGGAAUUUGAUUCCACUUGGGUUCCAAUUUUGAAAAAAAAAAAGAAAAGAAAAAGAAGAAAACAAGUUCUAUCCGGUGGAUCACUUAUGUUUCAUAGACAUGAAUGAGCAAGGGUCUUCCUCAGUCAGUUAAUUCAGAUACAUGCCAAAAAUUUCCCAUUAAUGAAAAUUUCUUUUCAGAGUUAAUGUAAGGAACGGAAUACAAGUCAGGCCAUCUUCUUUUCCGAUCAAGCAUCUAUCCCUAGUUAUCCCUUUUGAGCAUUCAGAAUGAAAUACUUCGUUUGGCAACCCCUGAGAAUCGCAAACCCCACACUGGGGCAAGUUGGUUUGAAAAAGGAAAAUUUCAAGAAGCGGAAAAGUGAAAAGCCACAAAAUCAAAAGGCAAAGGAAGAAAAGAGAACCUCAGUUCAAAAAUAAACUGGGGCAAAUUUUGUGAAAGUUCGAAAAAAUGGCCGAAGGCCGAAAAAUCAAAAGAAAGAAAAUAAAAGUGAAAAAGCCUCAAUUGAGCAAAAACUGGGGCAAAUUCUGAUUUUACCCUAAAAUAGGGUUGACGCAACAAUGCGAUUUCAGAUUCUUCAAACCACUUUUGAAAUCCGCUUUCAAGCCUUAACUUUUCUAAGCACCCCACCUGACCCCAUUACAAAAGCCAAAAGUCCUGACUUCUGUUCUUUGCAAUGGCCCUGUCAAGAAAAUUUCUGAUGCCGGAAAAUUUUAGCUGUAUUGCUGAAUUGCUUGAGUAUGAGGUUGGCGCUACUCAUGUGAAAACCCAUCAGCUCGAGGGAAAAGAAAAGAGGCAAAAAGCAAAGCAAGAAAAGUAAAUGCAAGGAAAAUGCAAAAAGACUUGACGCUGAAGUCCCUGGGGAAUGAUGAGAAAAUCCAAACAAAGUCUGAAAUCUUUUGAGUUCAAAUAGGGGCAAUUUUGGAAAAAUGUGAUCUUCGGUGCAAUGUCCUUGAAAGUUUUAUUCUUUAGCUAUCGUUUUUCAAGCCAAAUUACAAGCUAAGAAAGUCCAUCGUUGACUUAUUCCUUCAUGACAAUCCAAAGUGAGGAUCAUACUCAUAAGAAAUUCAUCAAAUCAUUUGUGAUCAUAAGGGUAUAACCCGUUUCCACAUGUUUAGCUAUCACUUCUGUCCAUACGUUACAAGCCUAGAAAGCUGGUAUGUUGACUAAGUUUUCUUGAAAAAUAAGGGUGACAAACUCUUUGCUUUCACUAAGAUGUGACAUUGAAUGGAUUACAUACAAUUGGGGCACAAAAAUGAGACAGAUUCUGACCUCUCAUUUUCCUUCAGCCACUUCCAAAUCAAAAAUAAAGUCACUUGAUUGGUCCUGAAAAAUGAGCCAACCAGAAGUGGUGACCCGUUACCCUAAACACCAAUGCUAAAAGUGAGGAAGAAAUCUUCUUGAAUUUGGUGUUACUUCGAGGAAUUCAUCAUGAAAUUUCUGCAUGAGUUUCAAACUUGACGUUUAAAGUUUCUUCACAUUGUUGUAUAUGUGCACUCUUUUCUAAAUUUUAGAAAGUGCGGUUUUUCUUUGUUCAAAUCAAUGGGAAAUCAUCUGAACAAAUUUUUGCAAUUAAGGGAGCCCACACUGGGGCAAAAAUUUUAUUUGUGAGAUUUCAUGAAAUAAGCCCAUACUGGGGCAAAUUUUUUGUAAUACAUUUGAGAUUUGUGUCCAAAAAUCAAAUAAUAACAUUUUUCGAAACAAUCCCGCUGCUCUUUUCCUGGAAUUUAAGUGCAUGUCAUACUUUGAUGAACCCCUUGUACAGGUAUUCAUGAUUCAAAAUGACGAAAGGCAUCCAGUAAGGCGGAAGGCCGAUACUGCAAAGAGAAGCAAGAAGAAGGAGGAAAAAUGGACACUACACUUGGGGCAAAUUAUUUUUUUAAAAUUUUUGAAAAAAGGGAAAAAAGAAGGAAAAAAGAAAAAAAGAGAAAAAACCAAAAAUCAAAUCAAAAAGUCAAAAAUCAAGUUCAAAUUCUUGUUUCUUGAAAAAUCAAAUUUGAUUUCUUGUGGGCGAAGCUCCAAUGCACGCCGCGCAUCAUUCUGUUCCCCCCUUCUCUUGACAUUCCAAAUCAAGUUGGGCCUGGAUUUCGUGCCACCAACAUCAUUUUAUCACGUUGGGCCUGGACUUGGUGCCGCCAACAUCACUUUAUCACGUUGGGCCUGGACUUGGUGCCGCCAACAUCACUUUAUCACGUUGGGCCUGGACUUGGUGCCGCCAACUUCACUUUAUCACGUUGGGCCUGGAUUUGGUGCCGCCAACAUCACUUUAUCACGUUGGGCCUGGACUUGGUGCCGCCAACUUCACUUUAUCACGUUGGGCCUGGACUUGGUGCCGCCAACAUCACUUUAUCACGUUGGGCUUGGUUUUCGUGCCACCAACUUCGCUUUGUCACGUUGGGCUUGGAUUUAGUGCCACCAACAUUACAAAAGUCACAUUGGGACCGGGUUUUAUCCCGCCAAUCUCGGCAGGACCGGGUCUAAUCCCGCUGACCGCUUACUUCGGCAGGACCGGGUCUAAUCCCGCUGACCGCUUACUUCGGCAGGACCGGGUCUAAUCCCGCUGACCGCUCACCUCGGCAGGACCGGGUCUAAUCCCGCUGACCGCUUACUUCGGCAGGACCGGGUCUAAUCCCGCUGACCGCUCACCUCGGCAGGACCGGGUUUUAUCCCGCUGACCGUCCACACCCCGUCGGCCUCAGAUGUUAUCCCACCGACCAAUUCAUCACACUGGGGCAAAUUUUUUAGAUAAUUUUUCAAACAAGUCCUAUACAGUUCUCUAUUUAAUUUUCUGUUCGGGUCUAUCCCAUGGGUCUGUCCCAUCUACAUUUUUAUCCGAGUCUAUCGCAUUUACAUUCCUGUCCGGGUCUAUCCCGUUUACAAUUCUGUUCAGGCCAGUCCCAUGUUUGAAAUUCCUUGUUUAGGUCAGCCCUCCGAAUAGGGGCAACCGAAUGGUACAGGUAAGCAUUUGGUGUCUACUUCUUUGUCUCAAGUUUUUUCAAAACUCAGACAAAGAGGGGCAAACUGUAGACACCAAAAAUUUCAUCGAUUCAGUUUUAGCUUUAUUCAUUCAAUUUUGACUUCCUUUGAUUCAAUUUUUAGUUUUAUUAUUAUUAUUUAUUCUUGUCUCAUAUUUAUUAUUUUUAAUUGAUUGGAGGUUGCAAAUGGUAAUUGAUGUUCAUUCUUAUUUUAAAUGCAUUAAAAUUCAUCAUUUUCUUUUUAAAGCAAUUUUACACUAAAUUUUAGGAAAAUCCCGAAUAAAGAUCCAUUUUAUCUUUUUAAAAUUUGAUUUUUUCUUGCUAAGGCAUUUUGCAAGGUAAUUUUUAAAAAUUAAGCAUGUUAAACAAGUGUGUCAAUUGCAUGUUGAACAAGUGUGCAAAUAAGCAUUAGACAAGUGGUUGAGGAAUGGUAGGACAAGUGUAUAGGGGGUAGCUGUCAAGGACACUUGGGGGGUUUUUUGGGGGGCAUCGGAAAAAAAAGGAAGAAAAAACCCUCGAAGAGGCUUGAAAACAGGGGGAAGAGAAAAGAGCUAAAAACAGGGAGGGGGCUUCGGAGGAAAGGGGAGAGGAAAAACGAAAUCGAAAAAGGAGGGGAGAGUAGGGAAAAAUCUGGGGAGAGUCUGUGGGCUAAGAAAAACAGCGGAGAGAUAGCGGAAAAAAAGGAGAAAAAGAACGGCUGAGGGGAAGGCUAAAAAUCUGAAAAGAGAAGAAGGCUUCGGCUGGGAGAAGCUGGAGUGGAAAAAAUAGAAAAAGGGAGAACGGCUGCGGUUGAGGGCCGAGAGAGUGGAGAGCCGAGGAGGAAAAAUCAGAAAAGGAGGAGAAAAAUCAAGGGCGGCGGAUGAAGGGAAAAGCUGGGAAAAUUAGAAACAGAGAAAGAGAGGAUAGCAGCGGACAAAGAGCUUGCGACUGAGGAAGCAGAGCAGCUGGAACUGCCGUUCGCGGGAAGCUGUUGCCGCCCUCUUCCGUCACGCGCGACGCCAGCUUCAUCGCUUCUUCCAUCAUAGUUCAAGCUCCGCCCUCUGCCGGCACAAACAAGUGGCCAACCGCCCGCCCAAGCAACCAAAUCCGAGAUCAGCACCCGCAAAAUUUUACCAAGAAACAAACGGUAAGCCACCAUCAUCCUUCAAAUUUCAGUUUUCAUGUAAGUUUUCGAAGCGUGUUUUAUUUUUCACGUUGUGGCUUGUAGCCAUUUCUCUGUUGAAUUAUUCACUAAUUGGAAGUAUGUAUGCUUUGAAUGUCGAUUGGACUGGAGUUUUCUUGCAUUUGAUGAAAUUUUGGGUGCUGAUUCAUGUCAAUUGAGCGAGAAAUUGGUGAAGUUUUUUAAUGGCUGUUUGUUGUUCGACAGAAUGCUUCAAUGAAAGUUCGGCCUGAAGAAUGGAUUAAUUUCUGAUUUAUAUACGUUCGACUGUUUCAUGCUUGUCAAAAUAAUUGAUUCGAAUGGGUUUGUUUGGGCGUCCGUUUGUUUUGGCAAUCUGCUCCGCUUCUCGUUUGUUUGGUGUUCCUCUUGUAUGGAUUUAAAUUCAUGACAUAAAAUGGCGUGCGAGGGGAUUCAUGUGAGAGUCAUUUGUUUUGCUUUUGUUUUGUUUUGUUGAUUGGAGUCCGAAGUUGAAUUUUCUGGUUGCAAAGAGGAAUGAAAUAGCAGCGAACGUUGAGCCAAUUUGGGAAGAAGAGGAUUGCUUGAUUAAAUUCAUGAUUCCAGUCCCUCAAUUUCCCUUUCCAUUAUGAUUUAACCCCAGAAUUUUAGGACUUCAUAAUUUUUCCUCCAACACCUUCAUAAGUCCUUCAAUUAGGUCCCUGCUCUUGUUGCAUUUUAACCCCUCAGCUUCCCCUUGUUCUGAUAUGACCCGAAAAGUGGAAAAAGUGCGUUUGUUUCUCCCUUCUAGAUUUAAAUCAUCUUCUAAUAAGCAUGAAUAGUCCUUUUACUAGAUUAAUUCUUGUUUGUAGGUUCUAAUUGUGGUUCAAUAAUUUAUUUUGAUUUUAUCAUGUUGGGUUUAAUGAAACAAGUGCCUUGGGCUAAGAGGUUAUUUUUGUUUGGGUUUAAGAAAGUCGUUUUAGUUUAUUUUGUUUGGUUUUUUGGUUCGGGCUAGAGGGUCAAGGCCCAUCUAUUUGGUUGGCUAAUUUUUGGGCCAGGAUAUUAUACUAGCCCACUUGUUUUCCUUGGACUUUCGAUUGGGCCAAGUUAUCUUGGCCCAAGAAAGGUGAAGAUGGCCCAUUCCCUUUUUGUUUUGGAUUUUCGGUUGGGCUUGUAAGGCUUUGGCCCAAACAAAUAAAGGAAAUGGCCCAAUGGCUUGGUCCAUUAAGAAACCAGAAAACGAUUUUGCAAAUCAGUCCCUGAAUUUCUCCCUAAUUGUAUUGUGGCCCUGGACAUUUUCAACUUCUUUCAAUUCGGUCCUUGCUUUAAUUGCAAAUAGGUCCCUGAACUUUAUUUUUCUUUAAUUUUGACCUCCAAACUUUGUCAAUCUUUGCAAUCAGGUCCUUUCUUCUCUUGACUUCUUAAAUGUGAAUUGUCGACAUGAUUUAAUUGAUUCAAAUUCAUGCUUAUUUUUUAUCCUUUGUGAUUAUUUGCCAAAUAAAUUGGUACCUUGACCUUUUUAUUGUUUUGAAGCUAAUAUCUCAUUUACUCGAUUUCCGUUGCGAGGGAGGUAACUUCUAUAUUUUUGAGUUUAUUUUUUCCUACGUGCUCCUACGUGUUAUGUGAAUAUGCCUGUCUACUUUGCUUUCUUUGCCUUUCUUUAAUUCUUUUCAUUUUUUUUUACUUACUUUUGCUUUUUAUUUAAGUUAUUCAUUAUGGGGUAUGUGUACACCUCUUGGCUUGUAAUAGUUAGGGAUUUAAUUAUUUUAUUCUUUUCCCCCUUUUAGAUUGUAGUGGGGUCUCCCUAAUGUAAUAGAUAGGGUUUGGAGGAGCAUUCAAUGAAGACCUAUCGAAGACUUGUGCCUAGCUAGCAAAUGUAAUAGUUAGGGCUUUAAUUGUCUCAUGUGCCUUGCAUGCUUAGUUGCUACGUGUUAAUUUGCUUUGCUAGGGCCUUGCAUCUAGUCGAGCAUGCAAAAUGUUAUGUGCUAUGUGUUUAUAAGUGUUUGGCAUGUCUACUCGCUUUCCAUAGCCUGAAUAAAUGUGAUGGAUGAAUGUACGUCACCACACUAGUCCAAUGCUAGUUGUGGCUCAUUAUUUCAUUAGGAAUUCAUAGAAAGGGCUAGUCCAACGCUAGACCCAAUAGGAUUUUUCCUUUGUUUUUCAUUAAUGCAUUAUUUGCCUGUUCACUACAUAUCAUGCAUUUUUCCUUAGUUUUAUCAUCUGGCAUGCUCCUCGAUUCCCCUUUCCCCUCACUUUAGGAUUUUUGCAUUUCAUGCUAGUUAUAGGGUUCAUUUGCCUGAAGAGUCCCCUUCUGAUAAGGGAAACGAGCGAGUGUGGCUACUCGAUAGCCUUAGCACGCUAGUUUCGCCUUCUAAUCAAAGGGAAGAUUAAGUCACAAAGUUAGGACUCCCCGUUCCCGUCUUGAUGCAUUCCUAUAGGAUUCAUGCAUUCUAUUCAUUCACUAUCACAUACACUUACUUUAUAUUCUAACCCUUUUUCCACAUUCUCACUUCACACUACUUUUACACGUUUUCAUUUAACUACUCACACUCUAUGCCAUAUCACUCGCACACAUGCACUUUAUAUUAUUUUCACAUUAUCAUUCUUUACUCACCUUACCUUGUAAAUACAUUUGCACACCUCCACUUUUCUCACUUCACAUAAACUUACAUUUUCACAUGACAUGCACCCCAUUCAUUUUUACGUCAUUUAGGAUUACGUGUGACCUCUCCAAAGGAUCAUUAUUGGGCUUCACAAUUAAUGUGAUUGGCACCACUCAACCUUUGAAGAGAAAUUUCCCCCAAUACCCCUAGGUCUAGGGUUUUGCAUUCAUAUAGACAUAUCCAACACGCGAUACAUACCUUGGGUAGAAAAAUUAGGAAAAAUUGGUUUAAGUCACGCAACUAGCCUUGGCUAGGUCGAAGGGGUGCCUUGGAUUUUUUAUCCUUGCCUUCCCCUUCGUCAAAUGUGACCCCCGAUCCCUCUUUUUGGUUACGUAGACCCAAAAGUUCUUUAAAAGGGUUUAUUUACUUUUUUUAUUCAAAAACAAAAAACCAUUUUUUGGGUGACUUGGUACACCCUAACCCUAUACCAAGUGGCGACUCCAUUUUUGAUACAAAAAACCCUUUUUGAACUUUAUAUGGCCAAACCGUCGCAUUAUCAAGUCCCAUGGCCUUUUACUUUUCAUUUACACACGUUCACAUUCCAUUACACCACUCACAUCUCACACCACACACACACCACAACUCAUCAUCUUCGAAAAGUGGGGCGCGACAGUGCAAAAAUAAUUAUUUUCUCUGAUCAUGCAGCCUUGAGGUACUUGUUAGUGAAGAAGGAUGCAAAACCAAGGCUCAUAAGGUGGGUUUUACUUCUGUAAGAGUUCAAUUUAGAGAUUAAGGAUAAGAGUGGGGCCGAGAACUUGAUGGCUGAUUAUUUGAGGCGUUUUCUUACGAAUAAGGAAGAUCUGUCAUUGAGAGAAUUGUUUUUCGAGGAGCAGUUACUAGCCAUUAAUUCGUCAGUACCUUGGUAUACUGAUGUUGUCAAUUUUUUGGUAACAAAUCAAUUACCUGCAGAUUGACCAAAGGCUAAGAGAGAUAAAUUGAGAAGUGAUGCCAAAUACUAUAUUUGGGAUGGCCCUUACCUGUGGAGGCAAUGCUCGGAUCAAGUGAUAAGAAGGUGUGUAAGUGCAGGUGAGUUCCAUUCUAUUUUAACUUUUUGUCAUUCAUUUGUACGUGGAGGGCACUUUAGACCAAAGCGAACAGCUCGUAAGGUGUUGGAGAGUGGUUUUUAUUGGCUUACUCUGUUUAAGGAUGCAUAUUUAUUUUGUAAAUCUUGUGAUAGGUGUCAAAGGGUGGGGAAUAUUUUUCGUAGAGACCAAAUGAUUCAAACUCGCAUGUUGUUUGUUGAAAUUUUUUAUGUCUGUGGUAUAGAUUUCAUGGGUCCCUUUCCCUCGUCUUUUGGUUUCUUAUACAUUUUACUUUGCUGUCGAUUAUAUUUCUAAAUGGAUGGAGGCAAAGGUCACCCGGACUAAUGAUUCGAGAGUGGUUGCAGAAUUUAUAAAGUCUAACAUUUUUUGUCCGCUUUGGAAUGCCUAGAGCUGUAGUUAGUGACAGGAGCACUCAUUUUUGCAAUAAAACGAUCGUUGCCUUGUUCCGUAAAUAUGGCGUACUCCACCAAAUAUCCACACCCUAUCAUCCGCAGACGAAUGGUUAGGCCGAAGUGUCGAAUAGGGAGAUUAAGUCAAUUUUGGAGAAGAUGGGGUGGCCUGAUAGAAAGGAUUGGAACUUGAAGUUGGAAGAUGCUCUAUGGGCUUACCGCACCGUGUAUAAAAUACCAAUUGGAACGUCCCCAUACAGAUUAGUCUUCGGGAAGCCGUGCCACCUCCCAAUAGAAUUUGAACACAAGAAAUUUUGGGCAAUUGAGCGGUGCAACAUGGACCUUGUGGAUGCCGGGGGACAUAGAAAGCUCCAAUUACAAGAGUUGGAAGAAUUAAGGAAUGAAGUCUAUGAGAACGCAACAAUUUAUAAAGAGAAGAGCAAAGUCUUUCACGACUAACAAGUCUCAAGGAAGUCAUUUGUAGUAAGGCAAAACGUCCCCCUAUAUCACUCGAGAUUUAAGUUUUUUUCCGGUAAGUUGCGUUCGCGUUGGAUUGGUUCAUUUGUCAUUUCUAAUAUUUUUCAUUAUGGUGCAGUGGAAAUCCAAAGUUUGAAAAUUGAGAAGAAGUUUGUGGUAUAUGGUCAACAUUUUAAACCCUAUUAUGAGAGGUUUAAUAGUGAGCAAGUGGAUGUCAUAUAUGUUGAUGAUCCAAAUUGUGUGGCUUAACUAGCUAUUACUGUGUCUAGCCAAAAACAUUAAAGAAAGACGCUACUUGGAAGGCAAUCCAAGGAUUUCAAUUGUGUUUUAUUUCAUAUUUGUGUAUUCAAGAUCAGUGGAUUUAGGUUCCUAUUGACAAACAAUCUGUAUUGUACGUCAUGGGUGUUUCUGUGCAGUUUUAUUCUAGGUUGGGGGCACAAAUUUGUGGGCAAGAGACUUCAUGUUACAAGGCGUGCUCGCGCCUUGUAUUCACCGCACAUGGACAUUUGUAAAAUUUGGUGAACAGAGGACUUACACCCCCAAGGCAUGCCCACGCCGCACAGCAGAUCGUGUCGAACAUAUUACAAUGGGAUGGGCAGACAGAGUCAAACGUGACCAGGACCUUCUCUAACCCCACUUUUCUACUUUUCUCUUUUCUUGUCUUGACUGGUCUUUUCAUUUUUUUUUGUCUUAGCCUCCCCUAGUUUUCUCCCAUCUUUGCUGAAAUCUCAGAGGCCACCGCCACUGCACACCUGCUCCGUUGAUGCCGCUGUCUCCACUAUCUGCGGUCAAGCUCCGGCCGCCAUCAUGCACGCUGUCCGGGCGCACAUCGGCAUCGCCAUAUGCGCCUCGCCGACGCUGCUCAUGCACGUCUCAUGCCGCACGCCAACGCCUCCGUACUUCCCUUCCUCGCCGUAGCGCGCCACCACCGUAGGCGCCAUCAGCUCUACCUAGGGCGCCACACCAAUCAUCGACCGCUCGCGCCCCGCGAUAUCUCACUGUUCCCCGCCGUCGCGACUGCUGCCCUCCGCCAUCGUCGUCAUUGAGGCUCCACUUCUUCCUCUCUGUGCACCACCAACGCUUGCUCCUUCCACGCCACCGCGCCGACCGCCGACUCACCCCUGACGCCCUUGCAGUCGUACCGACCGUCGCUUCCACCGGGGUCCCCUCCAGCAUGACAAAGUGGUACCCCUAAUUCAUUUCUUGCCAUUACUGCUUAAAAUCUGAAAUUGUUUCUAUGCGAUAUUACUCUAUUGUUUGAGCUGAGCUUGCUGAACCUCUGAGACUUUCAUAUGUGUUCUUUGCUUCGCGGUUGAAUUGCUGUGAUUGGUUGUUGGUGUUGGUGUAGAAUUGUUGUGGGGUGCUGAGGUUGUUGUUGUUUAUUUUGCUUUCGAAUUGGUUGUCGAGGGUUUGAUAGGUGAAGCACGUGGCGCAGUAUCAAUUCUGGUUUAAUGUUGAGUGCAUUGUUGACCAGUUAUUUUAGGAAUCUGUUUGUCUUUUUGCCUUGUUGUUGUGGUGGUGGGGUAAUUAUAUUUUUCUUUGCUAUUGGACUGUUGACUGUUGAGUGACACCUAUUGACUGUGGUCCCCUGUCCCCAUUUGGUGGUUGCUUCACUGUUUCUGUGCUUAUUCGUAUUUGUCCUGUGGCCUCCAAAUGCCUUCGAAAAAGCGCGUGUUCAGACACCCACUUCAUCUGGUCCAUCUAAGUCCCAACCUCGUAAGAGGCGAGCCCAAUUCAACCCCCCACUCGAUCCCGUUUAGGUCUCUCUAAAAGUACUAUAUCUCCUGGGACAUGGGGGGAACCUACCACUAACCUUACACAGGAACAAAAGGACCGAUUGACUAGCUUGAUGCCACGUCCUUUUGCUCCGUGUAAAUGUUUCCAUGCCCCAACCCUGGAUCAUUUGCAAAUUGCACGAGAAGUUGAACAGUUGUUCUCAGCAAUUGGUUGGCAGUGGUAUCUGGUCAUCGACUAUCCUACAUUUGAGGAGCUAUGUUAUGAAUUCUACUCCACUUUUGAGUUCAAUAAAAAUGAAUUCAUCACUUUGGAUGAGCGGGGGUGAUUACAUUUAGAUUAAGGGGUACCCCACAAGAUUUGUCCAUUAAUGACUUUAAUCUGAUUUUGGGGUUUUUCAGUGAAGAGACCCUUUCCUCCGGGACGUAUAUCAACAGUGCGUGUGAUUAUACCAGACCCUUUGCUAGUGAAUAUAUUGACAUAUGGAGGGAGUAGUUCACGGACCCUCAACUCUAUGAUCCGAGUCAGUCCAAGGCCUCUCAUCUUAAGAAUCCGAUCUUGAAGGUUAUCCACAGGUUCUUGGCCUACAAUUUCUCGGGUCAGAAGAACUCUUCCGGCACCCUUGCCAAGGUUGAAUUCUAUUUUCUUUGGUGUAUGCGCAACAAAGUACAUGUCGACUUUGGGUGUUGGGUGACCACUCAAAUGCAAUCCGUCAUUCAAAAGCGACAUAAGUAGGUGAUUAUGGAUUCGCUCAUUACUCACUUGGCCGUUCGGUUGGGAUUGCUUGACCUCGACAAAGAACACAAGUUCGCUCUAACUUGCGAGAUUGAGCCAUUGGAUUUGCGUAGCUUAGAAAGGAUGGGGGUUAUUUUCAAAGUAGGAGAUGUAUAUCAGAUGACGCUUCCUGGCGAUGGCAGGCUACAACCCCGGGUUCCUCCUACUAUUCCCCCUACUGGUUCACCAACCCGCACAGAUCAAGUGGGUCCGUCCUCCUACCAUGCUCCCCCUGCUUGGGAUUUCCAAUACCGUGCCCUCCAAGAUUCUAUUCGUGAACUAGGCGAGCUAGUUGUGGGACUGGAUGGCCGUCUUGCAGCGUUGCAAGUUUUUUCCCGUAUUCAGACAAAGAAUCAGGCAGCUUUCUUUGCUUAGAUUGGAUUCUAGCUGCCUCAUCCUCCUCCCCCUUAGUGUUUCGCUGCGUCGUCUCGGCUGUCAGGGAAGUUUCACCCCUUUACACUUACACACUAUUUAUUUUUGCUACAUUGAAGACAAUGUCGAUUUUAGGUGUGGGAGGGAUGGUUUCUAUUAUUUCUUUUUUGCUUGAAAAGAGAAAAAAAAGAAAUAAAAAAAAGAAAAAGAAAGAGAGGAAAAAAUGAAACAAAAAAAAAAGUAUAGUUAGUUGACUUCUUUAGUUCUAUAUUUGUUAAUUGCUAGAGCAUGUUGCUAUGAUGGAUUGCACAAUCAAGGUGCACGUGUAUGUAUCAUUUAUGCUAACUAUGUACUCUACUUUUCCUAGCCAAUGUAGCUGAGUGAUGAAUAUGCUGGACUUGACCCAUUCUUGAAACUUUUGGGAGUUUUUGAGCAGUGCACGAGCACAUUACUCUCGUUUGCUUCGUUUGUGUUGUUGAGUGGGUAUCACACAUGGUAUUAACAUUCUAGAACUUGCUAUUUUAUACAUGUCAAAGCCACAUCUUGUUGAACUGGAUGCAUUUGAAAUGAUAAAGGCAUUUAGGAUUUAACUUUCUUUAAUUUUCUACAAACCAUACCUUCAUCUUGUCUCCCAAUAGUGAAUCAAUUUGAGCUUUUAUUCUUCUCCUUUGUUUGUUAGCCGUGUUUGAUAACCCAGGACUUUUUUUUUUGACUUUCUUGUCCAACCUUGUGUCGUUAAGAGAUGUCUGAAUUUCAUUGUUUGUGCAAGGCAAAUAAAUUUAGGGUCGCAAGUGUUGUUAGAAUAGAAGUUGUAUGGUGUUGGUUCUGUGCAUCUGAGAUCGAAAAGAAAAAGAAAAAAAAGACGAGAAAAAGAGAAAAAAGAAGGAAAAAAAUGUCUACAAACUGGUGAGCAUGGGAUUCUGCUUACAGGGCGUGCCAUGCCUUGCAAGACGCCCUUUCAAAAAAAAACAGAAAGAGAGAGAAAAGAGUUUCGACACUUGCGCAGUUGGUAUAGCAAAUGGAAAUGCCUUGCUUGUGGAAGUUCUCCAGUAAAGCGUUGAGGUUAUGUAGUGGAUAUCGGACAUUAUCUUGACACAGUGCACCCUAUCUUUACCUUCUUAUCCCGCUUUGUUGGCCUAAUCAGCAACAUCCCUCAGAUUCCGGCUCGAAGGGACUAACCGCCCAACUCGUGGCACCCAGGGGUGCAGCCCCUCAUGCUGGCCAAGCGUGGUACGAUGCUUUUCGCUGCUAUUGUGGUUAAGGAAAUAAAGUUACAUCUUCACUAACAGCUAUAGCUUUUGGUGCAAUGGUAAGCGCUUGAUCCUGACAAGUGGUAUCGGAGCGAGGUCGCAGGUUCGAGUCUCCCUGGUUAUUGUUGGGGGAGGAAAUGUUGGCCUAAUCAGCAACAUUCCUCAGAUCCCGGCUCGAAGGGACAGCCCGUGGCACCCAGGGAUACAGUCCCUCAUGCUGGCCGAGCGUGGUACGGUGCUUUGCGCUGCCAUUGUGGUUAAGGAAAUAAAGUUGCGCUUUCACUAAUAGCUAUAACUUUUGGUGCAAUGGUAAGCGCUUGAUCCUGACACGCUUUUCAUCCAAGCCCCAUUACAACCCUAUUAAAGUCCCUUUGAUUUAUGUAUUGAGUUCAUUUUUGAAUGGUAGAGAUGUGAUAAAUGUGCAAGCCUAUGGUAAUGUCAUUCCGUGGUGUUGAUUUGAGCGUUCCUGGUAUCUAUACAUUUUCUUGAAAGUGAUGAGUAUUACUGCUCAUACUCUUUGGAUAACUACCUGUCCGGUGUGCUCUAACUUUGGCGACAUUGUCAGGAAUGCAGGAUGCUUGUGUUAGUGUAGAUCACCGCAUAGUAGUUGCUAUUGUGAUUGAACUUCUGAUCUUCGAAAUGCUUGAGAACAAGCAUUGCCUAGGUGUGGAGGGAUUUGAUAGAGCAAUGUUUGGGCAUCUUAUGUGCUGUUAUGUGGUCAUAAUUUUGGCUACUUAUUAUGCUAAAUAUUGAAAUUUUGCUCAUAUUUGAUAUUUGUGUAAAUUAUAGGCGGUUGGUGUCAAAAAGUGUCUCUGAAGGUGAAUUUCCACAAGACUUUUUAUUUCAGGGUGUGCCCACGCCAGAAACUGUAGAAGAGACGCCUCAAAGUCAGACCGCGGGACUAACUAACUAACUAAACUCAUCCUUAUUCCUGCGGGAUGCGGUUGGAAGUGCGUCAAAACAAAAAGACGGCAAUUUCCAGCGAAUUUGUGAUAGGGUAUUAAUUGUUAGUAAUUUUAUUGUUAAUUUUUUCCUUUGUCCUUACCAAAUAUUGUUUUAAAUUGUUAAUAUAUACUUGUAUUUGGUAUUUGGACCUAUCUACAGGAAGUGGAACUAAAAAGUGCUAAAAAGGGGGGACCUUUUGGAGAGAAUUGCUCCACACGUGGGAGACUUCAAAAAGCUUCACGAACCUGGCCCACAGGAUACUAAGCAACGGACUUCCUUUUCUUUUUGCUGAUAAAGAGUUGCUGACUAGGAGUCUUCCUAUCAAAAGGAAACGAAAAAAGUGGAAUUCGGAGAGCUUUCUUUUUGUACCUUUUCUUUCAAUUCGGCAGGGACAACGUAGGGAGCAUUAGUCAUUGUUUAAGAGACAGUUUAGUUUUCUUUCUUUUCUUUUUCAUGCGUAAGUCUUGUUCGAUAAAAGUCUCGACUGGAGAAAUAUCGUUUAUUUCUUGAUUAUCUAGUGAAAAACGUGAUGCCUUUGCAAUUAAUUAAUUUGCGUGGAGAUUUACUGAUGCGGCGUGGUUAAGUUUUUCAUCUAGUCAAGGAUCAAUGCGACAAUGCAAUCCCUAAUAUCCGUGAGAUCGAAUUAAUUUUCAUGCAUUCCUUAAUUUGUUAAUAUUUGCACGUUGUCUGCUUGAAUUUUCAUGGGAUUAUUUUGUUAAUUGAAUGUCAAGGGCCCGAUGUUCAAUGCGACUUAUUAAUCUCCUGUCAAAUUAGUUAAUUAAAUCUGUAAUUAUUUAAAUUGAUUGAUAUCAGUGGCAACUAACGUUUUUAUACACUAGGGGAGCGUUCAAUCUGUUUCAAAUAACUCUCGUAGCAUGUUAUUGAUUAGGGUUAGACUUUUCUAGUUUUUAAUGCAAUUAGAGAAUUAAAUCCUAUGAUCAUACCUAGGAGUGUUUCCGGGUUAGGGGUAAUCAACGGUCGUACCUUGGUUGUCAAUAAAUUAAGGAAAAGCUGGUCGUCAGAACUUAUUGGCGACUAUAACUAACCUGUUAAUAAAAUUAAGUAAGCCUCCCUUGCAUCAAUAAUCGGAUGAAUGGACUGUGUCGGUGAAGUUGUAUCCUUGGCUCGAACUUGUCUAUUAUUUAUUUAAUUCCUAUCUACAUUCGUGUUAGUUAAUCGUUUACUUUUGGUUGAAUUGCUUAAUUAUUUUUAGUUUCAUUCCGAUAAAAUCCCCCAUUGUUAACUUGAACUUUAGUAAGAAACGAAUUACUCCCAAUCUCUGAGAAUACGACCCUACUUGCCCUGUUUUCAAAGCAAUAAUUAUUUGUGAAUAAGCAAUCCCAUUCUGGUAUAUCGGGUCAAGCAAACUUUUUGGAAACAGGGUGAAUCAAGUAACCUAUUGCACACCUAGAGUCCCUACUCCAGUACUUAGAAUUGGAUUUUGAUUACUCCGAUUGGCAACUAGGUUUAUUUUUAUUAUUGCGCAGGUUCGGCCCUUGUCAAUUUUUGGCGCCGUUGCCGGGGACUGGCAUUAAUUAUUUGUUUCUUUUUAAGUUCAAUUUUGUUCUAAUUUUCUGAUAUUUUUCUAGUUUAUGCCUCGUUCUUCUUGGACAGACGAAUUAAUUUUUGACCCUGAAGUAGAGAAGACCGCGCGUAAAAAGAGCAAAGAGACAAGACAGCUUAGAGAGGAGUUGUCCAGUGUUGCACCUGAGGGACUUGAUCCAAAGGUUGAGUCAACAAAUUCGCAUGGUGAUAAUUCGAGUGAUUCAGACCAAGAGGAAGUCACCAUGGCGAAUGCACGAACAUUAAGGGGGUUAGCUGCCCCAAAUUUAAAUCAACAACCCUUAUGCAUUACUUUUCCGCAUUUAAAUGAUAACACAUCUUUCGAGUUAAAAUCUGGCCUGAUUCAUCUUUUACCAUCUUUUCAUGACUUACCAGGUGAGGAGCCCUACAAGCACUUGCAAGAGUUCAAUGUCGUUUGCAACAGUAUGAAGCCCUCGGAAAUUACAGAAGAGUAGAUAAAAAUGAGGGUCUUUCCCUUCUCUUUGAAGGACUCCGAGAAAAAUUGAAUGUACUACCUACAACCAGGUAGUAUCACCACGUGGGACCAGCUGAAAAAAAAAUUCUUGGACAAAUACUUUUCGGCGUCUCGAGCUGCAAGUCUAAGGAAGGAGAUAUGCGGUAUCAAACAACACCCAGGCGAGUCUCUCUAUGAGUACUGUGAGAGGUUUAAGAAGCUGUGCAUCAAAUGCCCUGAGCAUUAGAUAAGUGAGCAACUGCUCAUCCAAUAUUUCUAUGAGGGGCUACUCUUCAGGGACAGAAGUAUAAUCGAUAUUGCAAGUGGAGGGGCAUUGGUGAACAAGAUUCCUCGAGAAGCAUGGGAGUUGAUUAAAGGGAUGGCUGAGAAUUCACAGCAGUUUGGUUCAAGAGAGGACAUCCCGACGCGUAGGGUGAAUGAGGUAGAAACAUCCUCUAUCCAACAAUAGCUCUUCGAAUUGACAUCUUUUGUACUACAACUAGCUGUGAAAAAUGCUCCACAAGCCAAAGUAUGUGGAGUAUGCACUGCUUUGGGUCAUUUUAUGGAGAUGUGUCCACUAGUUCAAGAAGAAAGUGCAGAGCAAGUGAACAUGACUGGUCACGCGCCCGCGCCAAGAAGGCCAUAUAACCCGUGUUCGAAUACGUACAAUCCGGGUUGGAGAGAUCACCCUAACUUUAGUUAUAGAGGAAAUAGGCAGUCCAAUUUUGCACCAAAUAGAGAGCAAGGGCAUCAACAGCAGUACCAGUCUCGCCCACCACCACCCCCUUCGAACUCAAGUCCGUCCAUGAAAGAGAUGAUGAAGCAAUAAAUUGCUAAUCAACAAAAGACGGAUUCAGAGUUGUAAAGUAUGAGAAAUCAAUUGGGACAGAUGCAAUCAUUGCAAAAUCAAAUAAAUCAAAUGGCCAUAACGAUCAACCGCCUGAAAUCCCAAGUUCAAGGGAAGUUGCCAUUUCAACCUGAGUUGAAUCCGAAAAAUGUAAGUGCACUGACCUUGAGGAGUGGCAAGGAAGUCCAAGGAUCCGAACCGGUGAUUCUUAGGACAAGGACAAGGAACGAAUUGAGAAAGAGUUGGAAGAAGAGGGCAGAGACAACAAAGAUCCAAAGGUAACCUCGGACCAAUCAUUACAGUUAGAACUAAUCCACCUUCCUUUCCUAGCAGGUUGGAGAAACCAAAGAAGCAAUACAAAGAAAAAGAGGUCCUGAAGAUAUUUCGCAAGGUGGAGAUCAACAUUUCCCUACUGGACGCGAUUAAACAAGUACCCAGUUACGCAAAGUUUUUGAAGGACUUGUGUGUCAACCGAAGGCGGUUAAAAGGAGAUGAACGAGUUAUAGUGGGGGAGAACGUGUCAGCAAUUCUACAAAGGAAACUUCCCAUCGAAAUAUGGGGACCCAAGUAUGUUACUAUUCCCUGUAGGAUCGGUAAUACCUUGAUUGGAAAGGCCAUGUUAGACCUAGGAGUUUCGAUAAACGUCAUGCCAAAGUCCAUAUAUGCUUCUUUGAAUUUAGGUCCUUUAAAAGAAACGGGGAUAAUAAUUCAAUUAGCUGACCGAACUGCCCUGAUGGGUUGAUUGAAGAUUUUUUUAGUAAAAAUUAAUGAAUUGAUUUUUCAACUGAUUUUUAUGUGCUUGAUAUGGAUGAUAAAUACUCCCACGACCCCUUACCUUUAUUGUUAGGUAGACCCUUUUUUAGCACAGCCGAACCAAAAUUGAUGUUAACAAGGGUAUCUUGUCUAUGAAAUUUGAUGGUGAUAUUGUUCACUUUAACAUUUUUGAGACCAUGAAAUAUCCUUCAGAUUCAAAUGUCAGCUCUGUUUUCUCUGUAAAUGUUAUUGACCCUGCGGUACAGGAGGUUAUUGAAAUUGAAGGCAGGGAUGAGCUGGAAGUCGCCUUGACCAGGCACUUCGAGUCAGAGACGACCUCUGAGAUAGAGUUGAGUGAAGAGCUCAAAUGUGUGAUUGGAGCGUUGCAAUCAUUGUCAAUCACGAAAACAAGGUAUGGGCUUGCACCCAUUUUCACACCUGAACCUCACCAACGGUUACUUUCAUCUGUGGUGUAGGCACCUAUCUUGGAACUGAAACCCCUGCCGAAACAUCUAAAGUAUGCAUACUUGGGUGAAGGGGAGACUCUCCCAGUGAUCAUCUCUGCUAGUUUAUCGGAGGUCCAAGAAGACAAACUAAUUCGAGUUUUGAGGGAACAUAAGCAGGCGAUAGGAUGGACCAUCGCCGAUAUCAAGGGAAUUAGCCCCGCGGUAUGUAUGCAUCGCAUUCGACUCAAUGAGGGUUCUAAACCCGUGCGGCAGGCUCAGAGGAGACUAAAUUUCCUCAUGAUGAAGGUAGUGAAGAAAGAGAUCCUGAAACUGCUGGAUGUGGGGAUAAUAUUCGCAAUAUCAGACAGCCCUUAGGUAAGUCCAGUAUAGGUGGUUCCGAAAAAGGCAGGGGUGACGGUGGAAUCAAAUUAAGAGGGUGAGCUCAUGCCAGUUCGGAAGCCCACCGGAUGGCAACAGUGUAUCGACUAUCGGAAGUUAAACGUCGUCACAAAAAAGGAUCAUUUUUCCCUUCCUUUUAUUGAUCAGAUGGUAGAGCGAUUAGCAUGUCGAGCUUAAUAUUAUUUUUUGGAUGAAUUUUCAAGUUAUUUUCAGAUUGCUAUCGCACCCGAGGAGCAGGAGAAGACCACUUUCAUGUGCUCGUUUGGAACAUUUGCAUACAGGUGAAUGCCAUUUGGAUUGUGCAAUGCACCUACUACCUUCCAACGUUGCAUGGUAAGCAUUUUUUCGGAGUAUAUUGAGAAGAUUAUUGAGAUUUUCAUGGACAAUUUUAGUGUGUAUGGUGAGAGUUUUGAUAACUGUCUAGAUAACCUGAAACUAAUCUUAGUAAGGUGUAUAGAAACUAAUUUCGUGCUUAAUUGGAAAAAAUACCACUUUAUGAUCGAACACGGGAUAGUUUUGGGUCAUGUAGUGUCGUCUAGGGGUAUUGAGGUUGAUAAAGUGAAAAUAGACAUUAUAUCUACUUUACCUUACCCCAUGAGUGUGCGGAAAGUGCGUUUUUUUUGUCACGCAAGUUUCUAUAGAAGGUUCAUCACAGACUUCUCGAAAAUUAGAGCACCCUUGUUCCAACUUUUGCAAAAAGAGGUGCCCUUCGAAUUUGAUGAAGCGUGUAAGAGGGCAUUUGAUAGGUUGAAGGAGCUAUUGACCUCGUCAUCUAUUAUACAACCUCCUGAUUGGAACCUACCAUUCGAGAUCAUGUGCGACACCAGCGAUUAUGCAGUGGGCGCGGUGCUGGGUCAGAGAGUAGGAAAGACAGCCCAUGCUAUCUACUACGAGUAUCAAGCCUUGAACGGAGCUCAAUUGAACUGUUCAAUCACCGAAAAGGAGCUUUUGGCGGUUGUUUUUGCUUUAGAGAAAUUCUGGUCUUAUUUACUAGAUACCAAAGUUAUUGUCUUUUCAGACCAUGCAGCGUUGCGGUAUCUGUUGACCAAGAAAGAGGCAAAACAGUGACUGAUAAGGUGGAUAUUAUUGUUACAAGAGUUUGACCCAAAGAUCAGAGACAAGAAAGGGGCAAAAAAUCUGGUAGCAGAUGUAGACACCAAAUUUUUAGCCUUUCUUUUUCUUUUUAUUUUAUUUAUUUAAUUAGUUGAUUUUGUUUUAAUUUUUGCUAAGAAAAUUGUUUUACUAUUAUUAAUUAAUUCAUUGAAAAAAAGAAAAAGAAAAAGCUAUUCCAUGUGCAUGUGCUUGGCACGUGCGCCAUUUUCUUUUCUUUCAUGCAAAAAAUGCAAGCGGAAGGCGAAAAUAGGGACAGAAAUUUGCAGCUGCAUUUUUUUAAUCCCAGCCUCAUCUCAAAAAUGCCAUCCAAUGGCUCAAGUUUUCAGUAGAAACCCACCCUUCAUCCUCACCUUUGAGGUGAGGGUUUUAGGGACCUGGGGUUUCCUAUAAAAGAAAAAAGAGCAGCGGGGACAAAGGGUAAGAGGAGUCGGCAGCUGGGGCUGAGUAGAAACAACGGAGGAAAAAAGCAAAAAGGGGGGGUUCUUGGGGAGAGUAGUUGACGGCUGAAGGAAAGAGUGAAUGGAGAGUCUGAGGGCUAGAGAGAGUUUUGGAGAGGGUGACGGCCGAAAGAAAGAAACCAAGCGAGAGGAAACCAAGGAAAGGAGAAGCGACUUCAUCAAUGUAAAGGGCAUUUCGUGGGUCUUCGUUUCCAGAAACAACGUGUUUGUCCUGAGACUGGUAGAGAAACGAAUCAAGAGUCUGAGGAAGACACAAGGGAGGAUCGGGGAAUAAGCAAAGGAAAUCUGCAAAAUCUUGAAGAAGGCUUCGAAGCUGAGAGCGAGGGAAAGAGGACUGCUCGACGAGGUGGCAACUUCUGCAGCAAAAGUUCCCGAUCGCGUUCCUGGGAACCCGUAUGCGUUUCCGGGCAGAUCCCAAGGCCGCUCAACCAUGCUAGCAUUCUCAGGUAAAAAUGCCUCUUAUUUGGUGGAUUUUAACAUGUUUUUAUGAAAGAUAAAGCCAUCGGAUGUGAAUCUUUUUGUUUGCUAUUGGGUCAAGCUCUCGCUGGUUCUAUGAUUCUGCCAUUUUGCUCGUUUGCUAAGAUCUGAUUCAGUAGGAACCUAUGAGAUGAGUCUGAUUAAGAACAUGGGGUUUAGGGUUUUCUGUAGUGGUCACCUGAUGAAUCCAUGAGUUCUUUGCUCGAUGUUUAUGGUCAGUCUUUGUGUGCAUGAAUAAGCAAACCCAGAAAAGUGGCGUAAAGCUUCGGACAAGUCUGUUUUGAUGUUUCCUUGAUUGCUGCUUCUCCAUUUCUUGUUGUUUGUGUAAUAUUUGAUAUCGGGUUUCAGUGUUAAAUGGAGCAAAUGGUGAGUUUUGGUUGUUGGCUUGGAGAUUGAUCCAUCGGAUCCGAACAUUUGAUAAUAAAAAUGGUAGAAGGUUUUUUGAAUGCACCUGGUUCGAUGUUAGUUUUGUACUUGGGUUAUGUUAAUAAGGGUGAUUUGGAGAUUUAUGAGAGUUCUAGUUCACAAACAAAAUAAGUUUCAUUGAUUUCUUUUCAUAUAAUAUCAGCGUGGGUUGAGCUGCAAUUUUGCAGUAGAAAGUUGCGGCAGAAGAAGAAUGUUUUUUUCAUAUCAGGUUGCAUGAUCCUUUUGUAUGAGUGUCGGGUGCUUAAAUAUAAUGGUUUUAUGUUAGAAAACAGAGGGGGGAAUGUUUAAUAAUCCUGUUGCCUGGCUUCAGUUUGCAUUGCGCUUAUAGUUUGCGCAUAAGAAUGCUUGUUGCAGCGGUAUGGACGAAGUUCUGUUUUUUCCUUUUCCUGUUUCAAGUUCAAGUUUUGACUGUGGAAUAUGUGUGUUUUGUUGCUCAAUUUAAGUUGAAGUCUAGGUGAAAUGUUUUGGAUCAAGUCUGGAAUCCUUAUUUGAAAUGAAAGGGCAACAGCGUGCGUUUGUUCUUGAUUGCAGAAGCUUUAAGCUUCGGGAUUGUGCAUGGACUUGCAUGAAUAGCUUUCAAAAUUUGCACUUUGCUCCCCUUAGCUUCUAUCUAUGCUACAGAGGCCCAAUUAUGUUCUAAUUUCUUGCAAUUAGGUCCUAAAGUAAUUGCCAUUUGAACCAUUGCUUGACCUUUCCAUUACUUAUGGGCCUUUGAAGUUCCCAAAUAUUUUAAUUGGGCUUGAAUGAUUGGUUAAGGCUUGCUCUUGGGUCCUUAGUAGUUUUUUUCUAUUUUAGGAACUUGAUUGACAAUUUACCUUCCUUGCAAUUAUGCAUUAUUUGAUUACAUUCAAUUUGCAAUUGGGAAGGAUUAGGUGAUUUGUUGGUUUAACUUAUUUUGUGCUUUUGUUUAUAUGGUUAUUCGUGAUGCCUUGACUUUUUCUUUUAUUUUGGAGGGUAAAUAAGUAAUCUCACUCCAUUAGGGCCCCAAUUCAAGGAAGGUACACCCUAUCUCUUAUUUCUUACUUUAUUUGACUUUACGUGCCCUAUGUGACUUUACGUGUUUGAUUGCAUACCUCUUGAAUGUUUUUUUUAUUAUUUUAUUAUUUAUUUAUUUGUUUGCUUUAUUGACUUUAGUUUUGUAUAUCUAUUUUAGUUCAAUUUUGAUCAUUUGAAAGGCAAUUUAAUGUCAAAGUUGUAAUAACUAGGUUAUGAUUUUAUUUAUUUAUUUCUUUCCCCCUUAAAUUGUAGUAGGCGUUCCCUUUUGUAAUAGAUAGGGCUUGGGUGUGCCUACAUGCCUAUGUGUUUAAUUGCUUUCCCUAGGCUUCUGCAUCUAUAUAAGCAUGCUUAUGUGCUACGUGCUAUGUGAAACUAUGUGCUUUGCAUGUCUAUUUGCUUUAGUAUUAUAUCUGAUUAUGUGGAUGGAAUGCACGUUACCGUGACUAGUCCAAUGCUAGUCAUGAUCUUCCCCUCGAUCACUCACAAGUCCAAUGCUAGAUCCAAUAGGACUGUCCCUCACUAGUACAUACUUGCAUGCCUUCACUACAUCUUCAUUCAUUUUUUUCCCUUUUAGUUUUACAUUUUUGCAUGAUCCUUCACUCCCUUUCCCGCAUUUGAAACAUGAUUUUUAGGAUUUUGUAUUUCAUUCUAGUUAUUAGGGUCAUUUGCUUGAUUAGGUUAGGGAGUCACCCUUCUGGUAAGGGGAAUGGACGAGUGUGGCUACACAUAGCCUUAGCACGCUCAUUCUUUUUCUAAUCAAAAGGCAAAUCGUAAGUCACGAUUUAGGGUCUCCCCGUACACGUUUUGCUUGCAUUCCUCUAGGUCUCAUGCAUUUCAUUUUGCACACACACACACACUUUACACUCUCUCUCAUUUGCACACGUACACUUUACACUCUCUCUCAUUUGCACACGUACACUUUACACUCUCUCUCAUUUGCACACGUACACGUUACAUAUUCAUUUGCAUCCUUACACUUUAUACACUCCCUCAUUUGCACACAUGCACUUCUCACUAUCACUUUACACUCUUCCUCAUUUGCACACAUACACUUCACAUUAUCACUUUGCACACUACCACCUUACACUUUCUCACUACACACCCGUUCAUAUUGAUCACAUUUGCAUCCAUUCAUCUCACUCGAGCAUUCAUUUGCAUUUAUUCGUGGCCUCUUUGAGGGUUCACCAUUUGGCUAUCACAAUUCAUGUGAUUAGGACCAAUCGAGCCUCAAAAGAGACAUUUUGUUCCUUUCGAACCAAUAAUUAGAUUUAGGUUUGCAUUCACAUUAGACACAUCCAAAAUGCGAUACAUCUUUUGGGUAGAAAUUAGGAAACUUGUCACUAAAUCACGCAACUAGCUUAGGUUAGGGUAAAAGGGUGCCUUAGACUUCGUUUUUGCCUUCCCUUUUAUCAACCGUGACCCCCGAACUCAUCUCUUUGAUUUUCGUAGAUUAGGAGUCAUCUAAAAAGGUUUUUCACCUCAUUUUUCAAAAACUAUUUUUUGGGUGACUUGGUACACCCCAACUCAAUAACAAGUGGCGACUCCUAUUUUUCAUGUUAAAAACCCUUUUAGAUUAUCGUUUUGGCCAAACCGUCGCAUUUAAAAGUCCCAUGGCCUUUUCCUUUAAUUCUCAUAUUCACACACUUCACACACAAUACACAUUAUGACUUCAAAACAAACUUUCACUUUUUUCUUUAUAUUUUCUCAAAAAAUGGGGCGGGACAGCUUGGCGACUCCACUGGGGACUUCCUAAGUGGGUCCGAGCACUUGAUUUAGUUAUUCUUUUCCUUUUUUACCCUUUUCAUGUAUCGCAUUUGCGUGUUUAAGGUUGCAUUUUUUUUCUUUUUUAGGAGUUUUGCAUUCCGCGCGUAUCAACUCACUCCCUUACUCAUUUGCGUACAUUUGAUUUGAUGGAUGGAUGAUUUAUUUAUGUUAUCCCGCGCUUUGCAUUGCAUUUGGAUGGGGGGAUAUUACCCUAGAGCCUCGCGUUGGUUCUCGAUCCCUCCCCUCCAAAUGGAGCACUAGCAUACGUGCAUACGCUUUAUUUUUUAUCCCUCAUUUAUUUUUCUUUUUAGUGGCUUGUCACGCCACUCCACCCUACUAGGAUUAGACGACCCAUUUGGACGUGUGAUCGCGACACGAUGUGUGCGUAGCAUGAUCCAAGGGGUCACUCAAUCUUCCAUUUUAAACUUUGGAUUGAUAACCUUUAGUUUUUAGUCAAAGGUUGAGGAUUUUUGAUAGAUUCACUCAGAUAUGUAGCCGUGACACGAUGUGUGCGUAGCAGUGUCUGGAGAAUCGCUCGAGCCACCGACAAAGAACCUUGGGAUUGAUGACCUUUGGUUUCCAAGUCUGAAGGCUCGGGGACCUAAAACCUAUCGAGUCUAGAUGCAUUAGUGAGCCAAUACCGCAUGCAUCCAUGAUAGUUUACUUAGGGUAGAGCCUGCCUUACCCUAUUAGGAACACUAUUCACGAGGGGAGGGAUCCAACCCCUCUUUUCCUUUUAUUGCUUUAUCUCUUUGUAUUGCUUUGCUUCAAUGUGUUAUGUGUAUUUAUCUGAUUGAACUAACUUUUCUUGGUUUUUGUCUCUAUUGCAUUCAUAAAUCCUAGAAAAUAAGAGUUCUGGCAUGGUACUCUCUAGGAACUUACCCUAUUUGAUGUGACACGUUUAAAUUCAAUGCUUCGCAUUUGUAACAUGAAUACAUUUCAUUUUAGGCGUACCCCGGCAUACAAAAGGGGGUUCCUUUAGGUCACGUUUCAUUUGUAUACUGCAUAUUUAGUUGCUUUGAUAAAUUGACAUCAUGCAUGAACCAUAGAGGGAAUGCCAUUUAGGGGAUCCCACGUUAGGAAUAAACCGCCAUGUGUCUCGGAUAUACAAUCCAAUGAGACUUGCACGUCUAUAUUUCUUGUACCUUCCAAAGGAGUAGUGCACAAGGUAAGGUAGAAUCCGAUCUUUUUCCAUGAUUAUAGAACAAAUUUUGCACAUUAGAAUAUGAACAUCUAACAAUCAUUUUUUGGUCAUUUAUCUGGUAAAAAUCCCUUGCGUAAAAGGCAUUAAUUUGAAGAAAUUUACAAACGAUCCCUCAUUGUUCAGACGAUAAAUAUAUCGAGGCCAAAUCUUGAUUUUAGAAGACUCAUAGACUAAUGUAUCGCAAUGAUUUUUUUUUGAAACUACCAAUAGGUAGACAAUUCAAUAAAUCAUCAUUUUCAUUCAAUUCGUUUGAUCAAAUUAUCCAUCAAAUUCUUCCAAUCUAUUUGGUCAAUUCAUUCAUUUUAGGACAAUUCGGUCAAUUUUGAAUAAAUCAUCAUUUUCAUUCAUUCGACCAAUUUACCCUUUUUAGGGUGAUCUGACCAAUUUUGAAUAAAUCAUCAAUUCCAUUCAAUUCAUUGGAUCAGUUUAUCUAUUUUUAGGGUGAUCUAGUCAAUUUUGAAUAAAUCAUCAAUUUCAUCCUAUUCAUUUGACCCGCUUAUUCCGUUUAGGGUUUAACUCUAAGGUUCACUAAAUAAAUUAGUCGACACAUUGCAAUCCUUUCAAGAGUAGACUCUUUUACACAUCAUUUUAUGUGUUGAUCAAAACAAGCAAUCCAUUCGGACUUUGUCCUCAUUUUUAGGACAAAUGUCUCUUCUCACUCCAAUUGACCAAAUUUGUUAAAAUUAUUUUUUCACUCAAUAAGUUGAUCGGAUUCAUCAGGUAUUGUAUAGUGCCUACCCCAGAGAAUUGCAUUUUCAUGCUAUGCCUACCCUUGGCAUAAAAAGGGCACCCCCAUAGGACAUGCAUACCGAUUUUAUAGUCUUGCUUACUAACUCGGGGUAUUUUUCUUUUAUUUUCUCCCCUCCCCUGCAUUCAUAAAAAAUGUUUCAAUAAGGUGAAAAUAUUUUUUCUAUAUCUGAUAACGAUUUUAUCUAAUAAAUCUUGAAAAUUACAAUUAAUAUUUGAUUCUUGGAUAGACCCUACUAUUUGAAGAAUCUAUCUGGAGGCACAAGGCUAAAACACCUAAGAGACUUCAUAAUUGUUUGUCAAAGAAAAAAUUUUGUUUAUUUGAUUUGUUAAUACAUUUUGUUCCAAAAGAAAAGGAGACAAAAGUGUGUAUAUGUGGAGUUCUUUAGAAGUUUUUCUCUUCUCAUUUGCAUUAUGAUUGAACAAGAAAUUUUGUUUCAAACUUUUCCAAUAAUAAAGUUUUUUAUUUAGACAAUUAUUGUCUUGUAUAUAUAUUCAUCUAUAUUUCAUUCUUUAUUUUGCUCAUUGGAGAUUUCAUGAUGAAUUUUAAGAAAUGAGACUACAUUGAGAUUUUUUCAACCUCUAGCCUGAAAAUUCACAAGUGUAUGUUUUCUAAAAUCUUUGCAUACACUAGAUUGGUGAUCUGAACUAUACAAUAAGAGUGUUCAGAAUUAAAAAGAGGUCACUCAAAAGACCCAAUGGGAUACAUUUUUCUCCUUCACUGUACAAUUCAUAUUUUUGCCCAUUUCUAUUAGCCCCCCAAAAUCAGUCACAUUGAUUGAUAAAUUACAAAUUGGGGCAAUCUUUGCUUGAAAAUGCCCACUGUGUCUAAUUAGAUUCAAUCCACAUCUAAGUGAAAACAAAAAUGUACAUUAUUCUUAUUUGUUUUGAAAGUUUGGAAUGAUACUUCAAGCAUUCGUUUCUCUAUCUAUACAGAUUUUAUCAUUUGCUCUCUCAUUUGAGCCUUUAAAAGAAUAAUUUCGUUUCAAAUGAGAGCCCUAAUGAUCACUACCCCAUAUUGGAAGAUUUUUCAAAUAUCAAAAGGGAGUGGAUUCUCAAUGAGCAUUUCGUUACUUUGGUUGUCAUAAAACUUAAGAAUGAUGCUUUGGCCAUCGUUUCUACAAUCUAAACAUUAUUUAUCCCUUGCAUCCUCCUUUGAGCUAAAAUGGGUGGUUCUUUUUAAAAGCAUUUAUGAUCGUACCCCACACCGGGGAAGGAGAUUGGAGGAUUUUUCAAAAGAAGAAAAAAAGGAAGAAAAAGGAGGCAAAAAAUGCUAAAAUUCAAGAAGAAGAGAGGGAAUUGCAAAUUGGGAAAAUUUGAUUCUAUCUGGGAUUUAAUUUUGGAAAAGAAAGAGGAAGAGUUUUGUCCGGCGGAUCACUUAUGUUUCACAGAUAUGGAUGAACAGGAGUCUUUCUCAAUCAAUGAUGCGAGACGCGGAAGCAAAGACUGGAUUUCAGAGGUACACGUCGCGAUUGACGGAAUGGAACCCGACUUGGACCACUCAAGGACGGAUUCAACGGUAGAGGACGCCACAAUCAAGUGUGUGAGCUUGAUUGAUAAGUCAAUAAAACAGCCUAGGAACCACGCUCGGACAUUCAACUUAGCCUUCACAAGCUAAAGGAAUUUGCCACAACCAAUGGACGAAAUUCUGGAAUUUUAUUGAAUAAUAUCGGAAAACUGAAUGUAAAACAUGAUUUAAGGCUAUUUAUAGCCUUGACUAAACCCUAAUAAAGCUUGGAAAAUACAAAAGAAAAUUCGGCCAACCCAUUUCCUUCACUUGGCCGAAUAUUAACCCAACAACCUAUGGCCCGUAACUCAGCGUAGGUACUUAACUGCGGCCCAAUCAGCCGUUUGAAGCUUGACCACUUGCAUCCUCAACUGUAAGCAACACUUUAGUAGUCUCGCCCGGAUCUUCCAACUCAAUCCCUUCAAUGGGCGGUUUCUCUUGGGUUUGGACUGUGACGGCCCCACAUCUCCUUAAGGCGAACCAAAGGGUAUCCGCGGGACGCCUGCCCAACUCUCGCCAGGACUCAAGCAAUUCCAUUCCUCUUAAAACCAAACCGAACAUUUCGAAGAGAGUAACAUGAGUACAAAUAAUGCGGAAGCGUUCAACUUAACAAGUCACUUAACAUGUAACCAGUACAUCGGGUAAACAUAAUACGACUUAAAUUCUAAUUACACGUCAGGGCCCAAAUUUUACAUUUCAAUUCCAAAAGUACAGUCCAAACCAGGGCCUAGCCAAAAUAUAGAAGAAAUCCUAAACAAAAGUACAACGAAGGGUUUCUCCAUACUUCUCCGAGAUUCGGUCCUGUUAAGGAAAACAAAACUAUGGGGUGAGCUAAAUGCUCGUGAGGCCAAGAACACAUAUUCAAGCACAUUGUUCAAAUAGCAAUCCUAAAUUUAUUAAAUAAAACCGUGAUAUUUCAAUAAUCAACCAUUCGAGCAGGAAAAGUAAUCAGAAACAAUUCAAGGAUAUAGUAGCUCUCAGGAGUUAAGUUCCACUCGCUCUGCCGAUGUCAUUCGUAUACCUUCCCGCGAUGACCCUCCGUCAACCGGGUCGGUAUUUCCAUUUCCGUAGAUCACCACUUACUUCCCUCCGUCCACCGUACACCUCCAGGGCCCACAAGUCAUUUAUAAGGCGAUACUCCACGAGUAUGCCAAGCAAGACCUCUCAUUAGGUCAAGCUUAUAUAUCUCAUGGCUCGCCCAGGUUCCCGACCAAGCCCAUUGCCGGCUCGAGUCCAAGGUCGGCCUAUGAGUUUGGGCGUCCCCCAUUCAUUUGAAAGUCGAGGAGAUUCACUCCAACGACGUAUGUAGUUAUAACAUACCAUUGCAUUUCAUUCAUUCAUUCAAUACAUUUCAUUCAUUCAUUUGAAAUUAGAACGAGUGUGAUAAAAUACACACCCGCCCUUAUUUUUAAAAUCUCCAACAAUUACCACAAAUAAGCAAGUAUCAAGGAUUCACACACUUGACACUCACCGAGCAAUUCAAUAAGAAUUAUUUUCUGGAAGUUCAAGUGUCCACUGUAAGAUCCUCUUGAAGGUCUCCUUGUGCGCCUGGCAAUUAAUAGUGGAUAAUCACUCAAAUAUCAAAAUUAUCAAGGAAGAUUGUACACUAGUACAAUCUAAAGAAUAUUUCACAAAAAUGAACCUCAAUUACUCGUAAAUCGAGGUUCAACUUGCAUUUUAUUAAGUACAAUAUUAUUUGAGUUUUUAUCAUGAAAAUCGAGGGCAAAACGUUUGAAUAAUACUAAGAGAAUUAAGAGUUUUGGAAAAACUCCUUUGCCUUGAAAAUUGAAAAUUUUCAGUUUUAUUAUAAAUCUUUGAAAAUUCGUAUCUCUCUCGAUAUAAGUCCAAAAUUGGAAAACUUUAUCCCGUUGGAAACCUUUUGGAAAGUGUUAAAAGUUCGUAGAAGACACUUUUCCAUGAAUCUAAGUGGAAAGUACUUAAAAAUGAGCUUGAAAUCACUGUUCCAGAAUGUUCAGGAUUGAGUUAAGGUUGGUUUUUUUUGCUAACUUUGGAAAUUUGGCAGAAUUCACUCGUUGCAAGCUAGCCCUUGAAAUUUAUAACUCAAUUAGAGGUGUAAGUAAGGUUUAGGGCAGAACAAGCGGAUUGAGAAUUGGAGUUUCGAGCACCGAGAUACGGUAGCUCGAAGUUGGGAAAAUUCAAGUCUGGUGAACAAUUUCCAGAUUUGAGUUUCCAAAAAUUGGAACCUUAGCUAAGUGUCAAAACGAACUUGGAUUGGUAUAAACUUUUGUAGUAUGUUACUCCUAUAUGAAAGGUAUCUCUCUAUCAAAUUUCAGGAAAAAAUACCUUCGGAAAGAUAGUUAAUUAAUCAUCCAAAGUUCAGGAAAAUUUCUAAGGCAACCUGUCUUUUGACUUCAUUUCCCAAUUCAAAUCGUUUAAUCAACAAAGCUAUCCAACCAUGGUUCAUUUAUGAAAUAAAGGUCUAAGAUACAUCCAUGAUACCUUUGGUAGGUGUUUAGCAUCAAGAACUUCAAUUAAUAAGAUCACUCCCAGGUUUUGUCCCAAACCAGUCCAAGUAUUACGGUUUUUCCAAAACAGUGCAGUCCUCUUGUUUCGGUCACAACUCAGUCAAUUUAACUCAGAAUCGAGCAUGGUUUAUGUCGUUGAAAAAUACAUUCAUAGGGCUAUAAUAUCACAGAAGAAAUCAUUUCAAAAUUUGGUGCCCAACUAGUUCAAAAUUGGGCAUCAAUUUGCUGCCUUAUCACUUCAUUCCAGUUGAACAGAGCAACAGGACAGCGAUCUUAAAACGUUUGGUUCGGCUCACUCACAAAGAAUCAGAACGUGCAUUUUAUCUCAAAUUAAAGCCUGAAAUGUCUAGUUUCCAACGCCACCAACGGCACAUGAUUUCGACAUCCGAGGACGGAGUUAUGGCCGAAUCACCACCGCUGGUCAGAGCCAUACGUGAACAGUUUCCAGAUUUGCUAGUUUCACAAAAAAAAUUCGUUUGCCCAACCAAACCUCAUUAUUUUUCAAUGAAAUUUUUCACACAUCUAAUACGUCAUAUAAACAUCAAAUUCAAGCCAUUAGGUCAUUAAAAAUUGGCCUUAAAAUGGCCGAACAAGGCAGGGGCAAAAUCGGAAACUUUUGCUUCUUGCACCCAAUGAAGUUUCUAUCAAUUUCACACCAUUAAUCCAUCAUUUUAACCACUAAACCAACAAUAUAUCCACCAUCAAUCAUCAAAUCAGCAACAACCCAAGAGUGGGAGUUCAUAGAGCCCACUUUCACAUUUUUCCAACAAUAUCAAGUCAUCUACUUAUAUGCAAGUACUUAGAGAUGCAUAUCUACUACUAUAAAUCAAGUUUAAGGUGAUGGAUCAUGUUAUACCUUCUUAAUGUACUAGAACAGAAUUUUUGGCCCUUGAAAUGCUCCAAGAAAUCGUGAUUUCCAGCACCCUUUUUGCAGCUCAAAAUGAUCUCCUAGUGUUAAGCUAAGUGUGGUGCAAGUUUGGUUGAAUUUGGAGAUGUUUUGGUGGUGGUUUGAGUAAGCUUUGUGAAGUAAAAUGAAGAACAAUGAAGCUUAAGAGAGAGAGAGAGCUAGUCGGCAGUCUUGAGAAGGAAGAGAGAGAGAGUGAUCAGAUUUUUAAGCUUCCAAGAGAAGAUACUAACUUGUGGCUACAAAUCACCCAUUAGUCAACUCACAUUAGGGGGCAUUUGGCGCGAUUAGGGCUCGUUUUCACGCGCGUUUGGUUCACUAGUGCACUAAGUCUCUAAUGCACUUAUUUUCAUGUAAAUAUUAUUCACUCUUAAUUGUCCCGAAAUAAGGGUCUAAAGUCCCUCAAAUAAAGUCGCGCGUAUGAAAACGCGUACCGUCAAUUUUAACGCUAUAACGCGAAACCUCCGAGAAAUUCUUAUAACAACCGUGCUACUAACUAUCACUUGAGUAUUUAUUCAUAAGAUUACCUAUUUUAGGACCAUAGUACAAGUCUCCAAUAUUCCAAACUUAUUGUGCUCCCACGCGGUAAAAUCUCCGAGCACUGUUCACUAUUUUUACUAAACGCACUCCAGGAAAUUAAUUUUUGAGACGAGUCACUUUAAAAAUAUAACGAAGUUAUAUUAUCAUGUAUUUAGGUCUAAUAAGACUAGAAAAUAUUUCUCGUGGUAAAAAUCCAAUUAAAUAAUUUAUUAAGCCAUAAGUUAGGCUAAAAAAAAUAAUAGUUUUUACGAGUCCUCACAUGGACGGCAUAAACCAAGGCUUGAAGUGACUCCUUGAAUCUCUUAACUCGUGCUCGUGUCACUGGGCCUUGGGGCACCUUUACAGGGUCUACUUGAGCACCAUGGGCCUCGUCCGCAUCAAUCAAUUAAUUCAGAUACAUGCAAGAAAUUUCGCAUUAAUGAAAGUUUCCUUUCAGAGUUAUUGUAAGGAACGGAAUAAAAAGUUAGGCUCUCUUCUUUUCCAAUCAAACAUUCUAUCGCUAGUUAUCCCUUUCGAGCCUUCAAAAUAAAAUACUUCGUUUGGCAACCACUGAGGAUCGCAAACUCCACACUGGGGCAAGUUUGAGUUGCAAAGGGAAGGAAAGUUUCAAGAGGUGAAAAGUGAUAAAGUAACAAAAGAAAAAGAGAAAAUGAAACAAAAGAGAACCUCGGUUAAGCAUAAACUGGGACAAAUUUUGAAAAGUUCAAAAGAAUGGCAAAAGGCCAAGAAGAAAAUAGAGAGAAGAAAAUGAAAGAGAAAAGAGCCUCGGUCGAGAAUAAAUUGGGGCAGGUUUUGAUUUAACCCUAAAAAUAGGGUUGGCGCAACAAUGCGAUCUCAGAUCAUUUAAACCACUUUUGAAAUCCGCUUUCAAGUUUUAACUUUUCUAAGCACCCCACCAGACCCCAUUACAAAAGCCGAAAGUCCUGACUUCUGUUUUUUGCAAUAUCUCUGUCAAGAAAUUUUCUAAUUGGCAAGUGAUGCUCAUAUAUUGAUGCCAAGGAAUUUUUAAAUAUAUUUGAAUUGAUUAGGCGUGAGGUUGACACUGCUCUUCAUGUGAAAACCAGCAAGGGCACUUUUGAAAAAAAGAAGGAAAAAGGAAAAAGCAAGCGAAAUAAAUGCAAAAGAAAAAUGCAAAAAGAUUCGAUGCUGAAAGUCCCUGUUGAGUGAUUAUAAAGUCAAACAAAGGUCGAGAUUGGGGCGAUUUUUGGGAGGAAAUGCGAUCUUCAAUGCAAUGUCCUUAAAAUCUUAUUUAUUUAACUAUCGUUUUCAAGCCACAUUACAAGCUCAUAAAGUCCAUCGCUGACUUAUCUUUCAUGACAAUUCGAAGUGAGGAUUAUGCUUCUAAGGAAUCCAUUAAUCAUUCAGGAUUAUAAGGCAAUAACCGGUUUCCACAUGCUUAACUGUCAUUUCUACCCAUAUGUUACAAGUUUAUAAAGCUUAUAUGUUGACUAAGUUUUCUUAAAAAAUAAGGGUGACAAACUAUUUGUUUUCACUAAGAUGUGAUAUUGAAGGGAUUACAUACAAUUUGGGCACAAGAAUAAGACAAAUCCUGACCUCUAAUUCCCCUUAGCCCCCUCAAAAUAAAAAAUAAGAUCACUUGAUUGGUCCUGAAAGAUGAGCUAACAAAAAAGAGGUGACCCAUUACCCUAAGUCUCGAUGUUAAAGUGAGGAAGAAAUCUUCUGUAAUUUGAUAUUAUUUUGAGAAAUUCAUCAUGAAAUUUUUUGUAUGAGUUUAAGCAAGAUGUUUAAUUUUCUUCACAUUAUACGUUAGGAAACAUAGUUUCUUACUUUGUUCAAAUAAAUGGAGAGUCAUCGAAACAAAAUUUUUGCAAUUGAAAGGGCCCACACUGGGGUAAAUUUUUGUAAUGCAUUUGAGGAUUUCGUCCAAGAGUCAAAUAAGAUAUUUUUGAAUCAAUCAUACUGCUCUUUACAUGAGUAAUAGGUGCAUCAAUCAAAAAAAUAAUAAGAAAUUUAAGUGCAUGUUGUACUUUGGUAAGACCCCUAUACAGGUAUUCAUGGCUGAAAUUGAUGAAGAAACAUUUAGUGAUGUGGAAGGCCGAUACCGGAAAAAGAGAAGAAAGGAAAAGAAAAAGGGCUCUACACUGGGACAAAUUAUUUUUUGAAAAGAAUCUCUCAAUCAAAAAAAAAUCCCAAAAAAAAUCAAAAGAUCAAAAAUCCAAAAAAAAAAAAUCAAAAGAUCAAAAUUUUAAAAAAAAAUCAAUCAAACAAAAAAAAUAAAAAAUAAAAAAUCAAGUUUAAAUUCUUGUUUCUUGGAAAAUCAAAUUUAAUUUCUUGUUUCUUGAAAAGUCAAAUCUAAUUUCUUAUUGGUGAGUCUCAGCGUCCGCUGCGCACCCUUCUACCUCAUUUCUGGACAACCACAUUUAAUUCACUGACUUCUACCACCGUUAGCAUCGAGUCUAUCUCACUAACGUGUGCGUUUUUAUUCAACUACCGUUAGCAUCGAGUCUAUCUCACUAACGUGUGCAUUUUUAUUCAACCACUGUUAGAAUCGAGUCUAUCUCACUAUCGUGUGCGUUUUUAUUCUACCACCGUUAGCAUCGAGUCUAUCUCACUAACGUGUGUGUUUUUAUUCUACCAUCGUUAGCAUCGAGUCUAUCUCAUUAACGUGUGCGUUUUUAUUCAACCACCGUUAGUAUCGAGUCUAUCUCACUAACGUGUGCGUUUUUAUUCUACCACCGUUAGCAUCGAGUCUAUCUCACUAACAUGUGUGUUUUUAUUCUACCAUCGUUUGCAUCGAGUUUAUCUCACUAACGUGUGUGUUUUUAUUCAAAUACCGUUAGCAUCGAGUCUAUCUCACUAACGUGUGCGUUUUUAUUCUACCAUUGCUAGCAUCGAGUCUAUCUCAUUAACGUGUGCAUUUUUAUUCAACCACCGUUAGCAUCGAGUCUAUCUCACUAACGUGUGCAUUUUUAUUCUACCACCGUUAGUAUCGAGUCUAUCUCACUAACGUGUGUGUGUUUUUAUUCUAUCUUCGUUAGCAUUGGAUUCAUCCCACUAACGUUAUUCUAUCUCCGUUAGCAUUGGGUUCAUCCCACUAACGUGCCUUUCUAUUUUCGAUUUUUUCGGCAGGCUCGAGUGUUAUCAUACUGACCGACUAUCACGGCAGGUUUGGGUUUAUCCCACUAACCGAUUCUCAAGGCAGGCUCGGGUGUUAUUCCACUGACCGAUUAUCAAGAUUAUUAAGGCAGGUUCGGGUUUAAUCCCACUGACUGAUUAUCAAGGCAGACUCGGGUUUAAUCUCACUGAUCGAUUGUCAAGGCAUUUCAUUCAUCACUGCCACUAAACAUGGGUUAGUCCCACUAGUGAGCACUUCAUUCAUCAUUGCCAUUAAACACGGGUUAAUCCCACUAAUGUACAUUACAUCUUAUCGUUAGACAUGGGUCAGUCCCACUAACACUUCAUUUCACUUCACUUCACUUCAUCCCGUUGGGUUUGGAUUUUGUGCCACCAACCUCGGCAGGCUUGGGUUGUAUCCCACUGACCGAUGUCAUAGCAGCUUCGGGUCAGUCCCGUUUUAAAUUUCUUGUUCGGGUCAGUCACGUUUUAAAUUCCUCAUUCAGGUCAGUCCCGUUUUAAAUUUCUUGUUCAGGUCAGUCUCGUUUUAAAUUUCUUGUUCGGGUCAGUCCCGUUUUAAAUUUCUCGUUCGGGUCAGCUCCAUUUUAAAUUCCUUGUUCGGGUUAGUUCCGUUUUAAUUUUCUUGUUCGGGUCAGUCCCGUUUUAAAUUUCUCGUUCGGGUCAGUCUCGUUUUAAAUUAUUUGUUUGGGUCAGUCCCAUUUUAAAUUUCUUGUUCGGGUCAGUCCCGUUUUAAAUUCUUUGUCUGGGUCAGUCCCAUUUUCUAAUUUUUUGUUAAAGGGGUCAGUCCUCAUUUUGAAAGCGUCAGUCAUUCGAGUAGUUUGCAGCAGAAUAACCACAGGUGAGUAUUUGGUGUCUACGUCUUUGUCUCAAAUUUCUUCGAAACUCAGACAAAGAGGGGUAAACUGUAGACACCAAAUUUUUAGCCUUUCUUUUUCUUUUUAUUUUAUUUAUUUAAUUAGUUGAUUUUGUUUUAAUUUUUGCUAAGAAAAUUGUUUUACUAUUAUUAAUUAAUUCAUUGAAAAAAAAGAAAAAGAAAAACUGUUCCAUGCGCUCGUGCUUGGCACGUGCGCCAUUUUCUUUUCUUUCAUGCAAAAAAUGCAAGCGAAAGGCGAAAACAGGGACAUAAAUUUGCAACGGCAUUUUUUUAAUCCCAGCCUCAUCUCAAAAAUGCCAUCCAAUGGCUUAAGUUUUCGGUAGAAACCCACCCUUCAUCCUCACCUUUGAGGUGAGGGUUUUAGGGACCUGGGGUUUCCUAUAAAAGAAAAAAGAGCAGCGGGGACAAAGGGUAAGAGGAGUCGGCGGCUGGGGCUGAGUAGAAACAACGGAGGAAAAAAGCAAAAAAGGGGGGUUUUUGGGGAGAGUAGUUGACAGCUGAAGGAAAGAGUGAAGGGAGAGUUUGAGGGUUAGAGAGAGUUUUGGAGAGGGUGACGGCCGAAAGAAAGAAACCAAGCGAGAGGAAACCAAGGAAAGGAGAAGCGACUUCAUCAACGUAAAGGGCAUUUCGUGGGUCUUCGUUUCCAGAAACAACGUGUUUGUCCUGAGACUAGGAGAGAAACGAAUCAAGAGUCUGAGGAAGACACAAGGGAGGAUCGGGGAACAAGCAAAGGAAAUCUGCAAAAUCUUGAAGAAGGCUUCGAAGCUGAGAGCGAGGGAAAGAGGACUGCUCGACGAGGAGGCAACUUUUGCAGCAAAAGUUCCCGAUCGCGUUCCUGGGAACCCGUACGCGUUUCCGGGCAGAUCUCAAUGCCGCUCAACCGUGCUAGCAUUCUCAGGUAAAAAUACCUCUUAUUUGGUGGAUUUUAACAUGUUUUUAUGAAAGAUAAAGCCAUCGGAUGUGAAUCUUUUUGUUUGCUACUGGGUCAAGCUCUCGCUGGUUCUAUGAUUCUGCCAUUUUGCUCGUUUGCUAAGAUCUGAUUCAGUAGGAACCUAUGAGAUGAGUUUGAUUAAGAACAUGGGGUUUAGGGUUUUCUAUAGUGGUCACCUGAUGAAUCCAUGAGUUCUUUGCUCGAUGUUUAUGGUCAGUCUUUGUGUGAGUAUUGGAGCAGGGACUGAAACCCGAAUUGCCAUCUCAACCUGAAUUGAACCCGAAGAACGUAAGCGCGAUGAGUACUGGAGCAGGGACUCUAGGUGUGUAAUGAGUUACUUGAUUCAUCCUAUUCCCGAAGUGUUUGCUUGACCCGAUAUACCAGAAUGGGAUUGCUUAUUCGCAAGAAACUAUUGAUUUGUAAACAGGGCAAGUAGGGUCGCAUCCUCAGGGACUGGAAAAAAUUCGUUUCUUUUCAAAUCCACAAUAACAAGGGGAUGUUUUUGGUAUAAACGAUGACAAUCAAAGGAGUUUAAAUAAAGAUAAAUAGCUAACUAGGAAUUAAAUGACAAUUUACUAAAAUCAGAGUAAUAAUAAUUAAAGGUCUAGCCAAGAAAUAACUUCAGCAAUGGUUCACCUAAUUGAUCAUCGAUGCAAAUGCAAUUCCAGUUAUUUACUAAUAAAUAGGUUAUAACUGUCAAACAAGCAAUGACAGUCAACCCCUUCUUACUGUGUCGGUGACUAAGGUACGCCCGUUAAUCACUACUCUAAUUGAGAAAUAAUCCUAAGUACGCCCGUAAGAUUUAAUUUUCCAAUUGCCUUACGUAUUAAAGAAGCCCUAUUCUAACCAAAUAACACACUACCAGGGUUAUUUUAGAUUAGCCUGCGCAUUCCCCUGACACAAACCCAAUCAUGCCAGUUGUCACUAUUUUAGGGCAAUUAAACAAUUACGAUUUAAUGCUCUAAUUGACAAUAGGUUACUAAACUAAUUCAUUAUCUGGAUCCAAGACAAUCAAUUAAUUAAAUAACCAUAAGUACUACAAUCAGGGAAUAUGCAAAUACCAAUAAAUAAGAGGAAAAGAUAAAUUUAAAUCGAUCUCACAAUUUUUAGAUGAACCAAAACCUCCGUUGUUUCUUGACCAGAAAAGGGAAUUUAAUUCAUCCCGGAUAGGAAAGACCCACACAAAGUUGCAGCAAUAGUUGCGGCCAUUGUCUCCAAGAAUUGGGAAAAUUCAAUUCGUUCGAAUCAAUAAGAAAAGCAAGCUACAGAAAAUAAUUACUGGUCUUCACUUUGUCUUGACAUACGAAGAAGGAAAACUACUAAGAGCCCACAAGAAGAAAAGUCAAAAGCUAAAACUAAAAAGUAGUGCCCUCUUGUUUCUCUCUAUUCCUAUCUAAUGCCCCCUGCUUUGCAGCUGCCCCGCGGCAGAAAAAGAGAGAGUCCAGCCUUGUUCCGUCUCUUCCUUCUUCGGUAAGUACCAAAAGGGGAAAAGUUCCCCUUUUCCAAAAAUGCCACUGGGAUGAGGGCUGCUACUUGAACUCCUUUCCUAAUGACUAUCAAAUUGGCACUUGUUGUGGUAUUUUUGUUCUACUCCCUGUAAUAAAUGUAAAUUUUCAAAAGUGAGUAGAAUCUAACAAUUAAUCCACAUCAGGUCAAGUAAUAAGAGAAAUUAAUAAUAAAAGAAAUGAUAAAAUUGCGACCUAUCAAAAUGGGAUGGAUGUUUAGAUAGGAAUUCUGUAGAGGGCUGGUAGCAGCCAUCCAAAGAGAACAAGUCCAUUUGUGGACAAAAUAAAGUGAAUGGAGAAUAUAUAUAUAUAUAUAUACGCUACAUGAAUAUUCAACAUAUACAAAAAUGUGAUCAAGAAAAAUGAGGAAUCUGACAGCCUAAUGCUUACUUGCUGCUUUUUAUGGUUUAACUUUAAAGAGACUUUGGUGUCUUGGUAGUUCGUAAUUUGAUUCGAGGUUGAUAAAAAGAAAUUUUUCAGAAAACGUGAAAUAGGGUAAGUAUCCUAGUUUAUUUUAGGUAUUGAAAGUUAAUAAAAAUGGAAAUUAUGGCAGUAAUCCUCUUCAUUUUUCCCCACCAACCAAAGCAACGAUUUUUAAGAAUACAAACAAGAUUUUAAAAAAUAGUUGUGGAGAAAACUUUUAACAAGUUUAAAAUGCAAAGUGUCCAUCAUAAUGUAGAAGAGCACAAUAAUUAGAACUCCCACGUUGGCUAAGCAAAAAUAUAUGUUUGCUCUAAUAACAUAUUACAUAUUAAAUUAUUUUACUAUGAGGUAGGGUACAUUUUUUUUAUAGUUUAGCAAACUAGAACAAAAUUAUAAUAAUUUUAAAUUAAUAUAGUUGCGUGGUGAAAUAUCAUCUGCGGCAAUAUAUAUAUAUAUAUAUACACACACACAUGCGCACGCACACUACUUAUUCAGUUGAAAAAAAUACAAGAAUUUGACAAUAUUGGUUAAUCAAAGAGCACCUUUAGUGACAUGAGAAUGAAAAUUGCUCCUAGAAUAUCUUCCUGAACUUUGUCAUUGAACGAUUGCUCAAAGAGUCUGUAAGAAAUUUAAUUCAUUCUAAUUUUGUCAGUAUUUAAGAAAGUAAGGAUGAUUGAAUUUGACUGCCAUUGUUUUCGAAAGAAUGACUCCACUCAUUAAAGAAUCAAGCCAAAAUUGAGACAAGUAUGAACAAACAAGCAAUUAGUAAUUUAUAUUGUGGUAAUACAAGUUUAUACAAAAAAAAAAGUAGGCACAGUGUAUUUUUUCUGCACCUGUUGUCUAAUAAUAUUAUCACCUUCCAAACUUUGUGGGUUUGUAAAAUGCAUCAAUUAUGGAUCUUGGAGUAAAGAUAUUAAGUAUUAACUAAAUUAACUAAUUAUUGAACUUAUACUCAUGGAAUAAUAAUUUUUUUUUGUAAUGUGCUAAUCUCUAGAAUAUUUGACUUUUAAUAUCCAGGUCUCCCAAUGGUGUGGAAAUUAAGUUGUUCUUCAACAUGCAGCUUCGUGGGACUUCAAGCAUGCCAAGAGUUUCUGGGAAAGAAUAGGUCAAGAUAAGUGACUUGGAGGAAUCUUCAAAAUCAAUACACUUUGUUGAAAUUGAAACUCUUGGAAGUAGCUUGACUGCAUUCAUACCAAAAAGUAAUUUAACAUAAUACUUAUGGACUUUCUCCAUCUCUUUUGUCAUUUCUUUUUCGAAAUUUAUUGUUUAUAGGAAAAAGAAAAAGUCGAUUCAAGAUAUGAAUCUAUGAACAGUUCAACAAUCUAGAUAAUAUUACUCAUUAACGAGAGAGGUUAAUCUAAAAGGACUGAGAUUCGUAGACCAACUGGUCACUACUCAUUACUCAUUAAUAUUCUAAUGUUUGCUUGCUUCUUUUUCAUGGUUUAACUUUAAAGUGAUUUUGGUGUCUUGCUAGUUUGUAAUUUGAUUCAGUCCGGUUGAUAGAAAGAAAUUGCUCAGAAAAUGUGAAAUAGGUUAAAAUAUCCCAGUUUGGUUUGGAUAUUGAAAGUUAUAAAAAUGGAAAUUAUGGCGGUGAUCCUCUUCAUUUUUCCCCACCAAUCAAAGCAGUGAAUUUUUUAAGAAUACAGACAAGAUUUGAAAAAAUAGUUAUCUAUAAUAAUGUAGAAGGGCACAAUAAUUAGAACUCCUAUAUAUGUUGGCUAAGCAAAAAUAUAUUUUUGUUAUCAUAAGAUCUUACAUACGAAACGAUUGUACUAUCAGGCAGGGUAGAUUUUCUUUAUAGUUAGCAAACUGGAACAAAAUUAUAAUAAUCUUAUUUUAAUAAAAUUGCCAAAUGAAAUAUCAUUUGCAAUGACAAUGUAUAUAUUACUAGUUUAAUUGACAAAAUAUAAGGAUUUGACAAUGCUAAUUUGAUUAAUCAAAGAGCACUUUUAGAAGAUAUUACGUUUACACGUAAAACUUAAAAGCCAAUUUAUUUAUUUUUUUUUGCUUUUCUAAAUUUAAAUUCUUUUUGCACGUGCUUCCACUAUUAUCUUGCUCUACAUUUGAGAAGAACUUCUUACAACUUUCUUCAAAUAAAUACCUUUUCCAUACAAAUCCCGCGCCUUUAUAUAAACAAUUACGCUGGUUACAAAGUUUAUCAAGCAAUAAUGAAGAGGCCGAUAACAUUUUAUAGUACCUUACUUUUCUUCUUUCUUUUACAUCCUGAAGAAGUGAUCACUUUCACUUUCUUGGAAGAUCAUUUGUGCCAUCAUGAUGAGGCUCUUGCACUGCUUCAGUUUAAGGAAAUGCAUAGCACAUCAACUGAUGCUUCUCAUGAUUGCAAUUAUUUUGGUCAGUACUCAUAUCCAAAGACAACACAUUGGAAACCAGAUACAGAUUGUUGCAAUUGGGAUGGUGUCACAUGCGACAACAUCACCGGUCGUGUAAUUGGGCUAGAUCUGAGUUGUGGCCAGCUUCAGGGAGUCAUCCAUCCAUACGCUACCCUUUUCAAUCUUUUCCAUCUCCACAGUCCCAACCUUACUUUUAAUGAUUUCACCGGCUCACGGAUUUCAUAGUGAUUUGACUCGCUAAAAAGUUUGAUCCACCUCAAUCUCUCAAAUUCAAAUUUCCAAGGUGAGGUUGCUUCAGAAAAUAUCACACCUGUUCAACCUAAUUUCACUUGAUCUCUCUUUCAAUCUCUUGUGUAAUUCUAUGGGUUGCUCAUAUCCAAGAUAUGAAUUUAGUAAUUUUGAAGCGAUGCUUCAAAACAUAACCCAUUUAAGAGAGCUAUCACUUUCGUCAGUGAACAUCUCAUCCGAGUUAAGGGUGAAUUUUUCUUCAUCUUUGACAUAUCUAGAUCUCUCAUAUACUGGAAUAACAGGUAAUCUACUAGGCAAUGUUUUUCAUCUACCGAACAUGCAAGUUCUCUCGUUAGAUAGCAAUGAGAAUCUUACUGUUAGUUUAUCAAACUUGAACUGCAGCAUUUCUGAUUCUCUGAGGCAGUUGGACCUAUCGGCGACAAGUCUCUCUGCUGCACUGUCAGAUUCAAUUGGGUGCAUAAGGUCCUUAAAUUCUUUGGAUCUAGGAACUUGUCAAAUUUCUGGUGUCAUUCCUGAAUCAAUUGUCUUCGGAAGAUAACUAUCUUCUAGGGAAAAUUCUAGCUAAAUUUUCCUGUUCACAAAAGCUAAGUAGACUAUCACUUGGUCUUUUUAGAUCUCUCUAGUAAUCAACUAAGCGGUUCACUUCCUCCAACAAUUUUUACUAUUCUGACUCUAUCUUAUCUUGACCUUUCUUCAAACCAUUUUGCUGGGGUUGGGCAAGACGUAUUUGUGGACUUCAAUAAGCUUCAAAAGAACCCUCUUGAGAAUGAAGCCCCACGGAACACUAAAAACAAUGUGAGCAUUUCCUAUCCAGAUUUCUGGCACUUGGGAUUGUCUUCUUGCCAGAUAAAGGAAUUUCCUGAGUCGCAUAGAAAUUCAAAGAGCUUAAAAUUUCUGGACCUCUCAAAUAACAGGAUUCACGGCGAAAUUCCAAGCUGGUUCAUGUUGAAGAAAAGGGUUCAGAUUGGGAAAAACUUCAAGCGUAUAUUACUGAUUGCAAUAGUCUGCUGAUAUAGUUACAAGAAUUUGACAAAAAAGGGAAGAUACAAUUAUUCCUAAAAUCAUGUAAUGGAAAGCUAAAACUACUCCUACAAUCACGUCAUGACAAAAACUUAUAUGGUAACAAUAUAUACAGCUAUAUGAUUGAAUAUCUCAACACUCCCCCUCAAGUUGGAACAUGGAGAUUGCGAAUGCCCAACUUGCUCAACAAAUGGUGGAACUGAGCUUUCCCAAGUGCUUUGGUGAACAAGUCGCCAAUUUGAUCACAUGAGCGAACGUGAGCAGUCUGCAACUCGUUACUUAGUAUGCGAUCACGAAUGAAAUGGCAAUCAAUUUCAAUGUGCUUUGUACGUUCAUGAAAAACUGGAUUUGCAGCAAUGUGUAGAGCAGCUUGGUUGUCACAAAAGAGAGACAUGGGUGAUGCUAAUGAAACUUUCAAAUCUGCAAACAAAGAACGCAGCCAGAGGAGUUCACUAGUAGCAUUGGCCAUUGCCCUAUACUCUGCUUCAGCGGAUGAGCGGGAAACUGUAGUUUGCUUUUUGGACUUCCAAGAAACCGGGCUAUUACCGAGGAAAACGAUAUAACCACUAGUCGAUCGUCGAGAUGUUGGGCAGCUGGCCCAAUCUGAGUCACAAUAAGCAAUGAGUUGCAGCAAACUAGCAGAUGACAAGAAUAUACCUUGGCCUGGUGCCCUUUUGAGGUAGUGAAGGACUCGAUAAGCUGCAUCCAAGUGAGGAACACGUGGAUCUUGCAUAAAUUGAUUGAGAACUUGUACUGGAUAGCUAAUGUCAGGUCGAGUUAUCGUCAAAUAAAGUAGCCUUCCAAUGAGACGACGAUAUUGACCAGCAUCUUUAACUACUGCACCAACUCCCGCUGCCAAGUUGUGUCGUUGUUCCAUAGGAAAGUCAGCAGGACUUGCGUCGAGAUGACAAGUCUCUUCAAGGAGGUCUAGAGUGUAUUUUCGCUGGCUAAGUACAAUUCCUUCCUUAUUACGAGCCACCUCAAUACCAAGAAAAUAUUUGAGUUGCCCAAGAUCUUUGAUGCGAAAAGCUGAAUCAAGAUGAUGCUUCAUAUGAUUGAUGGUGGUUGAAUCAUUUCCAGCCACAAUAACAUCAUCUACAUACACUAACAAAGCAGUAAAGUGUGCUCCACUGGUGAAUGUAAAAUGUGAAUUAUCUGUAGCAGAUUGACUAAAACCAAUACUCUACAAGCAACUAGAAAAUGUUUGAAACCAAUUUCUAGAGGCUUGUUUAAGGCCAUAAAGGGACUUUCGAAGUCGACAAACCCGAUUGUCACCUGGUUUUGCAAAGCCUUGUGGUAUUUUCAUGUAUACCUCUUCACGUAGAUCUCCAUGCAGGAAGGCAUUAUUAAUGUCCAGCUGAUGUAAUUCCCAAUGUCGUACUGCAGCCACAACUAAUAGACAACGUAGAGUUGUAAGCUUUGCAACUGGAGCAAAAGUAUCAUGGUAAUCGAGUCCUUCAACCUGUGUAAAACCUUUAGCAACCAAACGUGCCUUAAACCGCUCAAUUGUGCCAUCAGACUUGUACUUGAUUUUGUACACCCACUUGGAAUCAAUGGCAUGCUUACCAGGUGGUAGAUGCUCUAAUGUCUAAGUUUGAUUCUCCUCCAGUGCCUUAAUUUCUUGCUGCAUAGCAAGUCUCCAACGAUGAUCCCUAACUGCUUGGGAAAAAAACUUUGGUUCGUCUAAUGAAGUGAUGGAGGCCAAAAAAGCUUUAUGGGCAUCAGUGAAAUGAGAAUAGGACAAGUUAUGAGAGAUAGGAUAAAUUGUACCUGAGUUUGCUGAUGGAGGGGACUCCCGAGAUGGUUCCAAGGAGGGUAACAACUUAUAAUCAAAACCAGAAAGCUUUGUGGAUACAUGCCUUACUCGAUGUGGACGCUGCAAGGAAGGAAUUAUAUUUCCACUAGGGCUGCCAGUAUCUGGUUGUAGUGUAGAAUUAUCUUUUUCAUGUUGGGUUUGUUGGGAAAAUGUAUGUUCAAUAGGAGAUGGUGUGGUGUCCAUCGAAGUGGAGUUUAUAGGAGGUGGAAUUGGGUCAGAUUGUGAGUAAUCAUGCUGAUCUAUAUGGGGUUGCACACUCCACAUUGAAGGUUUAGACUCGUUAUUUCAUUGAAAAGGAAAUUCUGUCUCAUAAAAUAUCACAUCCCGUGAUACAAAUACUUUUUCUCUUUCCAAAUCAUAGACUUUAUAGCCCUUUUGUCCAUGGGGAUAACCAAGAAAAAUACACCGAUAGGCUCUAGUAGAGAAUUUAUCUCGGUGUUUGUCAUGAUUAUGAGCAUAACAAAGUGAUCCAAACACCUUCAAAUGAUUGUAGUUGGGUUUACUUUUGAAAAGUACCUCAUAUGGGCUCUUGCCUUUGAGAGUGGGAGUGGGCAUCAAAUUGAUAAGAUGAACUGCUGUCAAAACACAUUCUCCCCAAAAUUUCAAAGGUAAAUGGGCUUGAAAACGCAAUGCUCGCGCAACCUCAAGAAUGUGGCGAUGUUUGCUCUCCACUCGCCCAUUUUGUUGUGGAGUAUCAACACAAGAGGUUUGAUAGUCAAUCCCUUGACUAGCAAAAAAAUCUCUCAUGGUCCUGAGACAAAUUCACUCCCAUUAUCACUUCUCACAACCUGUACUGGGUAACCAAAUUGAGUUUGUGUAGAUUGGCAGAACAUGGUUAGAAAAUCAUAGGCCUACAAUUUAUUUUUCAAAAGAAAGACCCAAGUACAUCGUGAAAAAUCAUCAAAAAUAGUUAAGAAAUAAUGAGCACCACUAAGUGAUAAGACAGAAUAUGCUCCCCAAAGAUCAACAUGAAUCAAAGCAAAAGGUUUAACACUUUUCUUAUUGCUGUUUGGAAAAGACAAUCUUGUUUGUUUGGCCCUAUGGCAUACAUCACAAAUGUGAUUAAAAUUGCUAGGAAAAGGAAUACUAGAAAUUAAUUUUAAUCGGCUAAAGGAAGGAUGACCCAAGCGCAUGUGCCACAAGGUAGCAUCAGAUUCAGUAACACUAAGACUUGCGAGCCCGUGGCCUCCUUCUAAUUGAUAAACCCCAUCUCGGAGCCUACCCACUCCAAUCAGCAUCCUCGUACACAGGUCCUGAAAAAAAACAAGAAUCAGGAAGAAAGGUUGCUGAGCAGUUUAAUUCCUUUGUAGCUUUGGCAAUAGAGAGGAGAUUGAACUUGAAACCAGGCACACAAAUAACAUUUUUCAAAUUGAUAUUUGGUGUUAGGUAGGCAUUACCAACGUGAGUUACAGGGAGACUAGAGCCAUUUGCGAUUCUCACAUUUGGAUAUGAAGAGAUGCAUUUAACAUUGUCAAGUAUACUUUUGUCUCCAACCAUAUGGUUAGAGGCACCAGUAUCCAAAAUCCAUGAGUUAUGGAAUGAAUUGCAUUUACCUGCAAAGUUGGCCAAGGCCUCAUUAUCAUGAUUUGGUGGUCCAAGGAUUUGCAUGAGUUUGUUGUACUGGUCCAUUGUCAAUCCAAGAGGUUGUUGUGACUGUGACUUCUCACUUGGGUUGAUAAAUUGGUGGUCAGUUGCUGCUAUGUUGCCAUAGAUUUGCAUCUGCCCUGAAUUGUUCUUGCCUCCACCACAAUUGCCACCUUUGCUUUGUUGAUUAUUCUUCCAAUUUGCUGGAUACCCUAUUAUCUCAAAGCAUUCUUCCUUGAGAUGUCCCAUUUUCUUGCAAUGUUCACACCUUUUACUUGAUCGACUUCUUGGGGCUUGACUCCUGGUAUUUUCGUUGCCCCUACGAUCAGUUUUUGCUGCAAAAGCCGCUCCUUCCAGGCUGUGUGAUGUUUGUUCAUUUACUUGUACAAAGGAUUGCUCUUCUUGUAAAGCCAAGGAAAACAGUUUACUGAGUGAAGGUGUAGGUUCCAUGGACAGCACAUUAGAUCUCAACCGAUCGAAAUUUCCAUUCAAUCCCAGUAGAAAUUGAAGGGCUUUUUCUUUUUCUCGGCGUAAUAAGUGAUCCUUGGCUGCCUCGCAUUUGCAAUAAGGCAAUGGAUCAUAGAUUUACAGUUCUUGCCAUAAGGUUUUGAACUUGGUAUAAUAUUGAGUUAAAGGCUGCCCAUCUCCUUGUAACAUGUUGGAAAAUUAUUUUUUUAUUUUAUAAAGUCGAGGUGCAUUACUUUGUCCAUACCUUUCACAAAUCUCAGUCCAAAUUUCUUGUGCCGUGCCGGUGUAGACAACGCUCUCUUGUAUGUCCUUGGCCAAGGAAUUCCUCAGCCAUGCUCUAACCAUUGCAUCAUUCUUCUUCCACCGUUGAAAGUCUGGUGACUUUAGAUCUGGCACUUCUAGACUGCCAUCAAUGAAACCACCCUUGCCUUUGGCAUAUAGGGCUGUUUCCAUGGUGCUUUUCCAUGCUGCAAAAUUUUCUCCUGCGAAUGGUGUGGAGACAAAUUGCAGCCCUGGAUGAUCUGAAGGUACAACACAUAGGGGGAGUCAUCAUAGAUUGUAACCUCUCCCCCUUUCGUUGAAUUCUCUGGAGUUGACAUAUUUUAUUGUCAACAAUUGUUAAGGCUCAACCUGCUCUGAUGCCAUGAAGAAAAGGGUUCAGAUUGGGAAAAACUUCAAGCGUAUAUUACUGAUUGCAAUAGUCUGCUGAUAUAGUUGCAAGAAUUUGACAAAAAAUGGAAGAUACAAUUAUUCCUAAAAUCAUGUAAUGGAAAGCUAAAACUACUCCUACAAUCACGUCAUGAUAGAAACAUAUAUGGUAACAAUAUAUACAGCUAUAUGAUUGAAUAUCUCAACACAUGUCCAAGACUUGGGAUAAUUUGCCCUACUUGAAUCUUUCGCAUAACUUUUUGACUGGUACCAUAGACCAACUACGGUGCAAACAUCUGUUGCAUCUAGAUAUGAGUUUCAACUCACUUCAGGGUCAAAUGCCUUCUUCUAUCUGUAACUCAACUUCUCUUUUCAUUCUUGAUUUGUCAUAUAACAAUUUGGUUUCCCGAAUCCCUCAAUGCUUGGGAAACUUCAGCCAGAAGCUCUCCGUUUUGGAUUUGGGAAAUAAUGGACUUUUUGGCACCAUUCCCACAACUUUUUCACAAGGUAACUCUCUGAAUAUUCUUAUGCUGAAUGACAAUCAACAAGAUUGAUGAUAGAUUUCCAAUUUGGUUGGAAUCUCUACCUAAUCUACAGGUUUUCAUAAUCGAUUUCACGGAGGAAUUGGUAAUUUUCAAACUGAAAGCCCAUUUCCGCAGCUGAGAAUCAUCGAUGCAUCCUGCAAUGAGCUCACUGGUGUUCUACCUACAGAACUCUUCAAAAGCUUAGAAGCUAUGAGAAGCUUAAAGGAUCACCCUGGGCAAUAUAGGUCAGAAACUGGCUAUGAGCUUGAUUAUUACAUCCAUUCCUUGACUUUAGUAAUCAAAGGGACGGAGUAUAGUCUUGAAAGAGUCCUGAUAGAUCGAACAGCCAUUGAUUUCUCAAGCAACAGAUUUGAAGGACAAAUUCCAGAAAUUAUCGGAACCCUUCAUUCUCUUCUUAUACUCAAUUUCUCUCAUAACAAUCUCAGUGGUCAUACUCCCCGGGCAUUAGGGAAUUUGAAUAAGCUUGAAUGUCUAGACCUCUCUUGGAACCAGCUUGAGGGAACUAUUCCUGUGGAGCUUCUGAAUCUGACAUUCCUUGAAUUCUUACACCUUUCAGAAAAUCAUCUGAUUGGACCCAUUCCUCGAGGAAGACAUUUUGAUACAUUUGGGAAUGAUUCAUGCAGAGGGAACUCGGCCUUGUGUGGAUCACCAUUGACUAAAGAUUGUGGAAAUACAGGGGCACCACCACCAGCCUCGCCAUUCGGAUCUGAGCAACAAUAUGAUCCAGAGUUCUUUGAUGGAUUCACCUGGAGAGCUGUUGUUCUGGGAUAUGGUUGCGGAUUAGUGCUCGGACUAACCAUGGGAAGUCUCGUGUUCUUAACUGAAAAACGAAGAUGGUUCAUAUAGAUUGUUGAAGAGUCGUACAAUCUGUGAAAAAGAUCGAGGAAAUAUGUCCACAUACGAACUUGAGAACAGCAAUGCAAUUUACAAAAUUGGUGGGCAAAACAUACUCUCUUCUGCAGCUGUUGUCUAAUAAUUUUACUUCCUCUGCAUAAUUUCCAUUUUCAUAAUCAAAUAUCCUUGGAAAUGAUAACUUUUUUCUAUGGCUAAUCACCAGAAAAUUUGACUUUUUAUGUCCAGGCCUCCCAUUGGAGUCGUAACUAGGAAGGAUCAGCAGUAAAACUGGCUUUGUUUCAGUUCCAGUUGUAUGUAUCUGCUAUGCACGUUUUAAGGUUCUAAUAGUUGCUUCUUUUUAUGAUUGUCAAGUUCCAGGUGCAAAGAGAUUCUGAUUCCUUGCAACUUUAUCUUUUGCUUCAUGGUUAAAAAUGAAAUCAAGAACAUGUUCAGAAAAUAUGAAAAAAGGGUAUAUCCCAGUUUGGUUUGCACAUUGAAAGUUGUUCGAUGAAAAUUAUGACAAUAAUUCUCUUCAUUAUUCCCCACCUGCCAAAGAAGUUAUCUUUGAGACUACAAACUAGGCUAGUGUGCUUUAAAAUGCUUUACAUUGACUAAUCAACAACGAAGAUGUUCUUCAACUUGCACCUUUGUGGGACUUGAUUUGGAACAGCUUUGCACCAUUCGAACUUCAAUCGUUUACUGCCACAGCUGGUAUGUGUGAACAGAGAGAGACUAAUCCAAGCCACUUUUCUUGACUUUGUGGAAAAGAACAAGUCAUCCUCAGUCUUUUGCAAUAAAUUAUAGAUAAGUGAAGCCUAGUCUUCAUCCAAAAUUGUCAAAAGUGAAAUUCAUGGAUGCAACUUGAACAUAACUUAUUCUUCACUGGACCUGAAAAUUAGAGCACCAGCGACCAGCUUAAUCUUAAUUGGCUUUGGAGCUUCCACGCCAAAUGGUACGACAAUUUUGAGAAAAGGGAAGGGAGAGUUAUAGAUUUCAAGAGAAUGAUCUUUUUUCACACUACCAAAUUAGGGUCUACUAACAAAAUUUAUAGUGAAGUUCUUCAAAUCAAAUGAUCAAUCCACGAGACAAAAUCUAAUAGCAUGAACUAACUCGAAAAUAAGGUUGAGAUCUCUAUUUUAAAUACAAAAGACAAUUCACAUAUCCGAGAUAAUGAGUCAAGGAUAACCAUAUAAUAAAGCACAUACAACCACAAACUUCAAACAGCAACAAGUAACCAUGAAAUGCUUCAUGAUCCAAUUAACACAAGAAAAGCAAGAUAGUUAAGUAAUCUUAACAGAAUGCUUAUUGACUUUCUACAUCUCUUUAAUCAUUUCUUUUUCCAAUUUUUUUUUUUGUUUUACAACAAAACAAAAGUGAAUUCCAGAUAUGACCCCAUUACAGGUUCAAAAGUACAGAUAAUACUCAUGAACGAAAAGGAAUGAGAUGGGUAGGCCACUUUGGCCCCAUAGCUGUGACAAUUAGUGGACUCGUUGAUCCAAAGGCAUUUAUGGUGGAAAUGAAUUUAGAACGUAAAUGUAGUUUCUUGGCAUUACAAGUCUUUACAAGCCUAAUGAAGAUAGCAAAUAAUUCAUAUGGAUGCUACGACUUUUCAGAGGAGCUAAGGCCCAUUCUAAUUAGCCAUUACUCAUGAAAGGGAUAGUUAGAUAGGAAUUUAGUAACAUAGUGAUAGAAGCCAUCCAAAGAGAACCGGUCCAUUUGUGCACAAAGCAAAGUGAGUUUAGGAUAUAUAUGCUACACCAACAAUCUGCACAUACAAAAUUUGAUCAAGCAAAAUGAGGAAUCUAAUAGUUUAUACACUAGUGCUCCUUUCUUUGCAAUCUCGAGAAAUUACCAGUUUGUCUUCCUUUUUACCUCAUUUGUGUCACCAUGAUGAGAGUCUUGCUCUACUUCAGCUUAAGCAAAUGUUUCAAAAAUCAACAGAUGCUUCUGCCUACUGUGAAAAUGCAUAUCCAAAGAUGAUAUCAUGGAGCAAAACUUCUGAUUGCUGCACCUGGGAUGGGGUAACAUGCCAUAGAGUUACAGGUCAUGUAAUUGGCAUAGACCUUAGUUGCUGCCAACUUCAAGGAUCCAUCUAUGCUAAUAGUAGCCUGUUCAAUCUUUCUCGCCUCCAAAAGCUUAAUCUAGCUUACAAUGACUUCAAGAAUUCACCAAUUUCUCAUGGCAUUGGUGGCUUGACUAGUUUAACAAACCUCAAUCUCUCCAAUUCCAAUUUCUACGCUCAAAUUCCAUCCCAAAUAUCUUUACUGUCAAAUUUAGUUUCACUCGAUCUCUCCCAAAAUCCUAUUGAGUUUGAACAUCAGGAUUUCCAACUGCUUCUUCAAAACUUAACUCAGGUUAGAAUACUUUCUCUUUCUGACGUUAGUAUCUUCUCCGAGUUCCCUAAGAACUUUUCUUCAUCUUUGACAAUUGUGGAUCUUGGUCAAACUCAAGUUUAUGGUAAGCUACCAGACCAUAUUUUCUAUCUAGCAAAAUUGCAACAACUCAUACUAAAUGGAACUCAAGUCACUGGAAGUUUACCGAACUUGAACUGCACUGCUUCAUACAUGUUGUCGUACUUAGAUCUUGCUUACACAAAUUUUUCUGGGGAACUUCCCAACACAUUUGGCUGCUUGAAGUCCUUGAACGCCAUGUUGCUCGAUGGAUGUCAGUUCACUGGUCGCCUUCCUGAGUCAAUUGGAAACCUUUCUCAGCUCACUACGAUGUCUCUGACUCAAAACAGUUUCAGUGGGCCUCUUCCAUCGGUGAUCUCAAACCUUGUCCAACUGGAAGUUUUAGACCUUACAGGCAACCAAGUGCAAGGCCAAAUACCAGAUUGUUUCACAAAUCUCCAAAAAUUAACUCAAUUGUCAUUGCGAGACAACCAUUUGGUUGGGCCUUUCCCAUCCACCAUUGCGAACCUUACCAAUCUCCAGACGCUAGAUCUACAAUCCAAUUCGAUAACAGGUCCUCUUCCAUCAAACGUGAGUGGCCUUCAGGAAUUGUCUUUUCUAUAUCUUUAAAACAACUUGCUCCAUGGCACAGCACCGACAUGGUUAUUUAGCCUGCAGUUACUCACAACUUUGCUUCUCAAAAACAAUCUCCUAACAGGACAAAUCGAAGAGCUCAAUGGAAUGUCACUGAUGAAAAUUGAUUUGAGUAAUAACCAAUUAUAUGGUCAAAUUCCUAAAUCAAUUUCAACACUCCCAUUUUUAGAUUUCCUUGACCUCUCAUCAAAUAAUUUGAGUGGCGUGCUUGAACUAUCCAGUGAUGGUCUUGAGUACCUUGUUCUCUCUAAUAAUCGAAUAUCAUGGAGCACCAGCGGAAAUGUCAGCAACUCUUUACCAAACCUUUAUCGUUUAGAGCUAUCUUCUUGUGAGAUGAAGGCUUUCCCAGAAUUUCUCAGAAGCUCAAAGAAGUUAGAAGUUCUACAGCUCUCUGACAAUAAGAUUCAAGGUCAGAUUCCCAGCUGGGUGACAUCCAUGCCUUGGGAUUCACUUCUGUAUCUAAAUCUAUCUUAUGACCACCUUUCUGGGAUGGAUGCAUUACCUUGGAAGAAUCUAAGGGUUCUAGAUGUUCGAUUCAACCAAAUCCAAGGACAAUGGCCUUUUUUCAUUUGCAAUUUGAAAGCUCUAGCAAUUCUUGAUUUGUCAAGGAACAAAUUUACUGGUGCAAACCUCGGUGUUUUGGGAACUUUUCUAGUUUUGUGGUCCUGAAUUUGGAAGGAAAUGGCCUGCAAAGGACCAUUAAUUCAAUGGUAUUUGCAAAAGAUAUCAGAUUGAGAUAUCUUGGUCUGAAUAGAAAUUUCUUGGAAGGGCCGCUGCCAGAAACUUUGGCCAACUGCAAGUCCUUGAUGUGGGGAACAACCGUCUGAAAGAUAUAUUUCCUGCAUGGUUACAAAAUCUUACGGAGCUCCAAGUUCUUGUGUUGAGUUCUAACAGAUUCUUUGGACCCAUAAGCAUUUUCAAGGCUAAGAGUCCAUUCCAAAAGUUGCAAAUCUUCGCCCUCUCUUGCAAUGAGUUCAGUGGUGUUCUAUCUACAGAACUUUGGAAAGCUUCAGGGCUAUGAUGAGCUUACAAAGCAACAAAUCAGAAUCUAAAUACUUGCAUGCAACCGGUAAUACAACAAAUUAUCUAUACUCUGUCAGCAUGACAUCCAAAGGCCAUGAGAUUGAGUUCACCAAAAUCAUUAGAACUCUCACAACCAUUGAUCUGUCAAGCAACAUGUUUCAUGGGAGGAUCCCAGACGUCAUUGGAAAUCUCUACUCCCUCAAGUUGUUGAACUUAUCCAACAAUAACUUUUCUGGCCACAUUCCACCAGCUAUUGGGAACCUGAAAUUUCUUGAAACAUUAGACCUUUCAAGAAACCAAAUUGGAGGAGAGAUUCCAAUGCAGCUAACGAAUCUUACAUCUCUUGAAGUCCUAAACUUAUCAUGCAAUCAUCUUAUUGGGCAAUUCCUCAAGGCAAUCAAUUGCGCACACUUGGUGAAGAUUCAUACAGCGGAAACUCAGGAUUAUGUGGAUUCCCAAUAACAAAAAGCUGUGAAGAAAUGCAUGUGCCACAAGCGCCCCCAGAUGAGGCAUUGGAACAAGGCGAGGAUUCGAGUUUCAUGGGUGGAUUUACAAGGAAAUCAGUGCUCAUAGGAUAUGGUUGUGGACUUGUUCUUGGCAUAGCUUCUGGUUUUCUAAUGUUUGCUACUGGAAAACCAAGAAGAUUGGUAAGAUUCAUUGAAGAAGAAGCAUAUAGUAAUAGUGUACUCUUGUUUGGAAAGAGAAAAACUGUAUAAUCAGCUGAAAAAACCAAUAACAUGUCACGAGCGCAUGGAAGAAGAAACUAAAUAUCCAGAUAAAUGAGGUAACUAGAACAUACAUUCUGUGAUUUUAUAUUGUUUCCUUGUACAACUUUGUUAUCUAUAUCAUCAAAUGUUUACAUUCUUAAGAUAAACUGUACUUCUUACAGUUGCCCAAUUUAUAUUCAAGCACUUACUAUCUUUGUGCUUAAUAAGCUAUUAUUCAUACAGCGGGUCUGGUUUUAUAUUUGUAUAGCUGAUAUCAAAUUUUUGGAGCAUGUCUCGUUGCCCCAUUAUUCAAAAAUAACAGCUUUAAGAUCUCCAGUCUAUGAACCAAGAUAUCACUCAAGGCCAUAACCAAAAGGAUGACCUCACAGGAUCCAAAGCCAUUUCUGAUAAUUAGUGAGACUGAUAGUUUCUUGGGUUUUCACUGAAUUUCUGAUUCAAUGAAUUAGAAUAGACAGCUUUAAGGAUAUGAUACCUUUCUUUUUAUUAUUCUCAUUUAUUGAUUUGAUCAAUUCAUCUAAGCAAUCACCAUUGUUGUAGUUUAAUGUGCUUACCUUUCAUUUUUGUAGGUGGAGAAAUUUGGGAAAGAGAACUUUUCAUUCCACGUUAGAUGUCUUAAGUAUUUGUGUUAGACCUAUUAACCUUUCACGGUUCUUCAAGUGCUGUCAAUUACUAAACUCAUAGAAAUCAAAAUCCGCUUCAAAAUUUCUCAUAUUAUGUCCUUUGUUCUUUUCAUGUGUGAAUCUUAGUGUGGUUUUGUAACACUUUGUAGAAGCUCAACAAUUGAUUACUAGAUUCAGGUUUCUAAAAGAUAGUCUCCAUUAAUUAUAUGAUUUAGGAAACCCAAAUUAAUGGUGAAAAUAAUAAUUACAUUUUUCAGAAGCUCCUAAAGGUAGGAACUAAUAUUGAAAUUCACCUUUAUGAGACGGUACAGACUCUAUACAUUGGCACAUCCCAAAAUUAUUCUGAAAAUGAUCCAGCUUUGUGUCAAAGUUCAUUAAGGGUACACAAGAAUGUCCAACCACAAGCUAAAAAUUAGUUUUACUAGAACUAAUUUUUAUUAAACUUCAAAACAUAAGCUAAAUUAUUUAACAACAAAAUAGCAAUGAAUUGAGAACAUAGGAUUUGUAAUUCAACAAAAAAGAGGAAAUUAAGGAUUAUGUGGAUUUGCACAAGUACAUGUAACUUGAUGUUACUGUUGGAUCUUUUAAUUGGAAAUAAAGGAUGGCUUACCUAAUUAAAUUUACCACUACCAGGUCAACCUUCUUGCAGUUUCAGCAUUGUUUUUUCAAUAACUCAGCUUCCCCAUGGAUUUUGCUGCAUUCAAAUAAUUUUGUCCUCAGCGUCAGAGAGAAGUCAUAGACAAGUAAUUUGAUUGAUAAGAAACCAACAUGUCAGGCCAUUCAAUUAACUUCUUAAUCAUGUAACUCACCGUUGUGCACAGAAAUAUGAGACUCUAAAAGACAAACCUUGAAAUAGCAUUUCUCCAUUCACGUUUAGUUUGAUUUUAUGAUCUAAAGUAACUGCUGGUGUACUUGCAACACAAAAUGAGAAGACUAACGUGCUUUGUGCAUCAGUUGAAUGAAGCUAAAGGAAAGCACCAACAAAGUGCCCUGCGUCUGGUGAACAAAAGCCACAUAUGGCAACACGAUGAACAUCUCCAGCUCCACGACAAACCUAGUUGCAAAGUUACCCAUUAAAGAACAUAAAAACGAAAGUUGAAAACUUUCUGAUCGAACAUCUUUAAAACCAACAGAACAAUCUUCCAGAAGGAGCAAGUCAUUCUGAUUCUUGUGCAAUCUUUUAUCAAUCCCACAAGGGUGGAACAAAACCUAGAAGUGGAUUCAAUUAAUAACUCUAUGGUGACAAAUUGUCAUCAAAAGAUUUAAGCUCUGAAGGAAACAACUAUAACCAAAAUUUUAAUUGUGGUAUAUACAUCUAAAUGAAAGCAAUUUCAAAGUUUGAGGAGCCAAAAACAUCAGCAAGAAUGAUGAUUGCUACCCAUAAAAGGAAAAAGAAAAAAAAGGAUAAGAUCAGCAGCUCUACUCAGCCACCACUCAAACUGAUUGCAACAUAGCUAGAACAUGUUGACACUCUGCCUAAUCUAAUUAACGAGAAACUGGCAUGUCAUACAAAUGCACUUCUGGACACGCAAUUGCGAGAAACUGGCAUGUCAUACAAAUGCAAUUGAUAUAAAUUUCUGCUGACAUGGGAACAAAAUGUUGAUCUCAGCAUCCUGGCAGUAUACUUCAUGGAUGGAAUAGUUGGAAAAUUGUAUUCAGCAAGUCAUGGAGCCUGAUGUUUCCAAGUCACUCUCUUCACUCCCAGCAAAUUUAAUAGAUCUGCCAAAAAGAGCCAUCUUCUCUGACAAAUUACGAAGAGCAUCCUGCCUAUUAGCCAAUUCCAUAAGCACCUUAAUCCUCCUAAAUGAAACAUUACUUGGUUUUUGCCCUUUCUCCACCAUCUGCAAGAAAGACCUCUCAGCCUCAUCCAACUUCCCCAUGUCACAAAGCAAAUCAAACAAAACGUCAGAGACCAAUAUAUAAGAGCCAUACCCCAUCUCCACCAUAUCAUUCCAUAGCUCAAGUCCCAUUUCAACCUUCUCGUGCCUUCUCAACAACCUGAUCAAAAACAUACAAGAUUGAGUGUUUGGUAGACACCCUGUUUCCCUCAUUCUCAGGUACAAGUUCCAUGAACUUAUCAAAUCAUUCCACCAAUAAAAGUCCUCAACAAAAUAUUUUAAGUAGUUGCAUUUGGGCUCAACACCUUCUUUACCAUCUCAUUCAUCAAACCAUAGGCAUCCCCAAUCCUCUUUGCAAUACAGAAAUUUCUAAUAGCAGCAUUGUAAGCUGCCACAUCAGGAUAGCAUCCAUACUCUCUCAUCUCUUCCAAAACAUCCCUUGCCUUAUCAGGUUGCCCCACAAGCCCCAAACCACCAAUCAAACUCGUAUAUGUAAUCACAUCUGGACUAAUAUCCCUCUCCCUCAUCUCCUCCACCACCCUAUACGCCUUAUCCAUUUCUCUCGUCUUACAAUACACAUCCACCAAACACUAUCAGGUUCAACCCCCAUUUCCCUCGUCUCCUCAAAAAAGCCCUCGGCCUCAUCAGUUGACUUCCAACCAGCCAACAAUAUAUUAAAAGUCUGCAAAUUCGGCCUAAAUUCAUGCUUCAAGUUAUGAUACACAUUCCUGGCAUCACUCAUCCUCUUCUCUUGACACAAUGUCCUAAACAGUGCAUUGUAACAACUAGUAUCAAACUCCAAAACAAGCCUUCGAAACCGCUUAAACGAAAUCACAGUCUGCUUAACUGAACAAACCUUAGCAAUCCUAGCUAAGACAACUUGAACAGUUCUUGAAGUGAUCGAAGAUUGAUCCUUUUUCUUCGCUUCCACCAAAACCUCCCAAAUAUUAUCAAAUUUUCUGCUCCUACCCAAAACAUACAGCAUUGUAUCCAAAGAAAAUGCAGAAUGCAAAAACCCCUUUUUCCUAGAUGUAAACUUAAAGAAUUCCAAAGCCUGUAAUGGAUUAGAAUGAGAAAAUCUGACCCUUUUCAGAACAUUAUCAAUUAAGUCAUUUGAGAAAGGGAUUGAAGCUGCUGCUGAUCUCAGUGACUGUCUGAGUUCAACUGAGGUUCUUGAACUUGUUAGUAUCCGAAAAACAGUCUCAACAUCGUCGUUUACAGCAGGGGAGGAAGAAGUAAAAGGCGGGAUUUUUUCAAUUUGGGGAAUGGAACUAAAGAAAAGAAGUGAAUUUAAACAGGCAUACCUUACUGUUGCCGUUGAUGAUGUACAAGAGUGAAGAAAAAUGGGAUUUCUGAUAAAAAGAUGGAGCAAUUUUUUUGGGAUGAAAUCUGAAUGAAGACAAGAACCAAAUAUUCAGACUCUAUGCUACUGCUGCUCCUGCAGGUUUUCCCUCAAGUAUUCGAAUGCAUGAAAUUUUUGGGAUUUUUGUGAUUUUGGGGUCAUUUUUUAUGCUGUGGUUUUGCCGCAAAGCGAUUCUUCCAGCUGAAUUGAAGUGAAAGUUACACUUCAGGGAUGCACCUCUGUAUUCUUUUGUUUUCCUCUUUUUUGCCUUUUUUUUUCCAUCGGCGAAAUAAAAAGAGAAAAAAAAAGUAGGCUAAUACCAUAAAAAUGACCAUAGUUUUAGAACCAUCAGAUCCAAUUACUUUUAAAGGUCAAACUAGGAGGGGAACACCGCGCGAUGCGCGGUGUAAUUUUCAAGUUUGCCCAGAAACGUUCAAUUAUUCAAACUGGGAUAUUCAAUAUAAAAAGUUACAUGAAGGUGCAUCCAAAUGUUUGUGAUUAUUUUUUAUAAUUUUAUUAUGCAAUGAAGAGAGCCACAAUUUCAGUCUAGUUGCUAAAUGACAGUCAUUUUUGGUAUGCUGACUAAUUGGACAGCAAUGGCAAUGUCAUUAGUUUGAAAAUAAUAUAACACUGUGUAAUGCUGCCUUAUAUUUUUUAUGUACACCAAAAUCUGUGACUUUGUAGCUAAAAAAAAAAAAGAGAGAGCAGUGUAGUAUUGCAGCAAGGCUUAGCCUUAUUUUUAGACUCUGAUACAACCAAUCCACUAUUUUCGUAAUUGCAUCAAAUUAACCCAAAGACUGAAAGAAAGACCUAUUACUUUGUAGUACAAUAACCAAAAUGGCUUCAUUAGCUUGUAACUUCAAGAAAUCUACGGAAAGCAAAAGAAUUGUGCUCACAUAUCAACCGUAGUGAGAUAAACUGCAUUUGACCAAAAACGGAGGAGGAUUACCUAAUGCAGGUGUAUCUUCUCAAUACAUCAAUAGUAUAGGGGAUGGUCAAGUACUCAAUACACAAAAAAAAAAGAAAAAAGGAAGUUUCACAGGCCUCGAUGCAAUUCUACCUUUGAUCAUUUGAUGCAUGUCAACAACCAGAAUCCCGUAAAAGGAAAGACAAGUACAUGAGAUAAUGUAAAAGCCUGCAUUUAUGAAACUUACUACCAGUAGACUGCAUUCCAGAGGUUCUCAUUACACAUCAAAGCUGUUCCAGCUCAAAAAGGAAUAUAAGAAAAAGAAGAAAAAAGAAAUGCACAGUGUGCAUCAAGCCUUUUCCUUGUUAUUAGAAUCAUACACUUCAAAAUAACCGAAAGACCGAAAAAUGCAUUACUUUGUAGUACAAUAACUAAAAAGGUUUUUAUUAGCAUAUAACUUCAAGAAAUCUAAUGAAAAGUGUGAAUUUCAGAGGAAGAGAAUAAAUUCCCCAUAUUUUUAUUCAUCAAUGGUAAGGGUAUAUAUACAGGUAUAGACAUCUUAUAAUAUGAAGAUAUCCUAUUACAAUAAAUCAGUCCUCUAAUUCCUAUAAUUUAGGCUACAAACUAGCCUACAUUUGUUAGCUAUCUAAUCCCUACAAAUCAGCCUAUAUCAAUCUGUGACAGCUAUCUAAUCCCUACAAAUCAGCCUGCAUAUAAUCUGUAACACUCCCCCUCAAGCUGGAGCAUAGAUAUUAAUCAUGCCCAGCUUGUUACAUAGAUAAUCAAUCCGGACCCCGUUAAGAGCUUUUGUGAAUAUAUCACCUAAUUGUUCUCCAGUCUUCACAUAACCUGUAGUGAUCAAACCUUGUUGGAUCUUUUCACGAACAAAAUGACAAUCAAUCUCAAUGUGUUUCGUUCGUUCAUGAAAGACUGGAUUGGAAGCAAUGUGAAGUGCAGCUUGAUUAUCACACCAUAGCUUGGCAGGUACUGAGACCUUAAUUCCUACUUCACUAAGGAGCUGAUAUACCCAUAUGACUUCACACACAGACUUGGCCAUAGCUCUAUAUUCAGCUUCCGCACUGGAUCGUGAGACGACAUUCUGUUUCUUACUCUUCCAUGAGACCAAAUUUCCCCCAACAAAAACACAAUAUCCUGAAGUAGAUCUCCUAUCUUCCUUACACCCUGCCCAAUCUGAAUCUGAAAAACAUUCAAUCCUAGUAUGACCAUGAUUGCCAUAUAGGAUUCCACGUCCAGGAGCACAUUUUAAAUAGUGCAAAACUUGUUCGACUGCUUUCCAAUGGUCAACAGUUGGUGAGGACAUAUAUUGGCUUAACACACUCACUGAAUAAGCAAUAUCAGGACGUGUCACAGUAAGAUAAUUCAACUUUCCGAUUAGUCUUCUGUACCUCUCAGGAUCUGCACACAAUUCACCUUCUUUGGUUAAUUGUAAAUUAGGAACCAUUGGGGUACUACAUGGUUUAGCACCCAACUUUCCCGACUCCGACAGUAAAUCAAGUACAUACUUUCUCUGUGAUAGAAAGAUUCCCUUCUUACUCCUGCUAACUUCAACUCCCAAGAAAUACUUUAACAUCCCCAAGUCUUUGGUAUAGAACUGAGUAUGAAGAAAGGACUUUAGAGACGAAAUUCCGCUAGAGUCGCUACCUGUGAUUACAAUAUCAUCCACAUAUACAACUAACAGAAUAAUACCUCCAUUAGAGUGUCUAUAGAAAAUAGAAUGAUCUGACUUGCUUUUCUGCAUCCCAAAUUUCUCAAUAGCUUGGCUAAAUUUUCCAAACCAAGCCCGAGGACUCUGUUUCAAGCCAUAUAGAGAUUUUUGCAGACGACAGACUUUCCCUUUCCCAUACCCCCCUUGAGCAACAAAACCAGGUGGUUGCUCCAUAUAUACCUCCUCCUGAAGAUCACCAUGAAGAAAGGCAUUCUUGAUGUCUAACUGAUGCAGAGGCCAGUCAUAAGCUGCAGCAAGGGAGAUAAACAACCUGACCGAAGCAAGUUUAGCAACAGGAGAAAAAGUAUCAUGAUAAUCCACCCCAUAAAUUUGAGCAUAUCCUUUAGCAACAAGUCGAGCUUUCAAUCGAGAAAUGGAGCCAUCAGAAUUCAUUUUGACAGUAAACACCCAUUUACAUCCAAUGGCUUGUUUACCUGCAGGUAAGGUAACCAAAGUCCAUGUACCAUUGACAUCUAGAGCAUUCAUUUCCUCAAUCAUAGCAGUCCGCCAUCCGGGAUGAGCUAAUGCCUCUCGAACAGUCUUAGGUACAGAAACAGUGUCUAGGGAUGUAAGAAAAGCACAAGAAGAGGAAGACAAAUGAUGGUAGGAAACAACUGAAGAGAUUGGAUAAGUACAUGCACGUUUACCUUUUCUGUGAGCAAUAGGGAGAUCAAGAUCAUCGUUGGCAGCCGGAUCUGAUGACAAAGAGACUGGUUCAUCAGGACAUGAUUCUGGAGACUCAAGGACCAAGUCAGAACUGGGCUGAUGUGCCCGACGUGAGUAGGUAUAUUUGAUGGGAGGCUUAACCGGUGUAGAAGGAGGCGGACCCAAAUUUGGUAUGACACUAUAGAUUAACAAAUCAUCAUCCUCCCCUGGACUCACAGAACUUGAAGAGCCUGAAGAUGAAGAUAAAGGUGUUUGUUCCAAAAAAGUAACAUCAGCAGACACAAGAUACUUACCAAGACUAGGACAAUAACAACGAUACCCUUUUUGCAUGCGAGAAUAACCCAGAAACAUACACUUUAAGGACUUAGGAUCAAGUUUUGUAACUUGAGGACGAACAUCCCGAACAAAACAAGUACAACCGAAUAUCUUUGGUUCUAUAGGAAACAACUGUUUAUUUGGAAAUAGAGUGUGGAAAGGAGUAUUACCAGACAAAACAGAGGAAGGCAUACGAUUGAUUAGAAAACAAGCAGUAGAUAGAGCAUCAGCCCAGAAACAUUUAGGAACCUUCAUUUGAAAUAACAAAGCUCGAGCAGUUUCAAGAAGGUGUCUAUUCUUUCUCUCGGCAACCCCAUUUUGAGAAGGGGUGUCAACACAAGAGGUCUGAUGAAGAAUACCCUGCUCAAGCAUGUAUUUCUGAAAACUGCUUGAAACAUAUUCUUUUGCAUUAUCACUUCGCAAAAUUUGUACAGGUUUACCAAAUUGGGUUCGAAUUUCAGCACAAAAGGAAGAAAAGUGAAGAAAUAGUUCUGAGCGACUUUGCAUCAAAUAAAGCCAUGUCAUUCUAGAAUAAUCAUCCACAAAGGUAACAAAAUAUCUGAAACCAGUUUUAGAGGUAACUGGACAAGGACCCCAAACAUCAGAAUGUACUAACUCGAAGGGAGCAGUAGCUCGCUUAUUGAUUCUAGGACUAGAACUAAGACGAUGAUGUUUAGCAAACUGACAAGACUCACAAUCUAAGGAAGUAAUGUUUGAAAACUGAGGACAAAGUUUCUUCAACAUAGAAAGCGAAGGAUGACCCAAUCGACAAUGUGCUUCAAAAGGAGAGAUUGUUCCAGCACAAGCUAUAGACCCUGGUUUCGGUGUAUCAAGAAUGUAGAGACCGUCAGACUCAUGUCCCUCACCAAUAAUCUUCUUCGUCAUGAGAUCCUGAAAUGAACAAUAACCAGGAAAAAAUGAGACACAACAAUUAAGAGCACGAGUAAGUUUGCUGACAGAAAUCAGAUUAAAAGAUAGUUGUGGUAGACUCAGAACAGAUGAUAAAUGGAGAGAUGAUGUGGGCUGAGUGGUUCCAGACCCAAUAACACUGGAUGUUGAACCAUCGGCUAAAGUAACAGGAGUGAUAGAUUUAUGUGGCUGAAAGUUAGAAAGUAAACUAGGAUUACCUGUCAUGUGAUCAGUAGCACCAGAAUCAAUGACCCAUUUUGGAGAAGAGGAAACAAGACAUGCAUUGGGUUUACCUGUCUCGACAGGAGCAGUAACAUGACCAGAUGGCUGUUUCACUGUUUCUUGAAACUGAGUCAAUCUAGCAUACUUAUCCGCAGAUAUUGUAACAUGCUUGUCAGAGGUGGCACAACUAGAUGCAAUAUGGGCAGAGUGAGCCUUCUUAUACUGCAGCUUCCGACAGUCUCGCUUGAUAUGACCUGGUUUAUGACAGUAGUGACAUACAAUCUCUCCUUGCUCCUGUCCAUGAUUGCUAGUAUUCUUAUCAGAGUGGUUGGGCCCCGACCCCAUGCUCGUACUGUUGCCAUUACUCUUGUAGUGUUGUCUUCCUGAAUCAGCUGUGGUAGUUCGGCUAAGAAGAACACUGUUAGGCUGAGUAGAUAGAACAGGUAACGUAUUCUCUGUACGGAGAACCCUUCGAAAAGCAUCUUCUAGACUGGAAAUUUCUGAACCGGAAAGAAUUUGAGAUUUAGCAGUCUCAAAUUCAGACGGAAGACCGGCUAGAAAACUCAUAACCGCCAUCUUCGCUCGCUGAUUUCGUUGUUCCUCCACAUCACAACUGAAGGGAAGCAGCAUAUUGAGCUCUUCAUAUGUUUUCUUGAAGUCCAUAAAAUAACUGGUGAGAGACUUGUCUCCUUUAUCUGCCCUGUAAAAAUCCUUGCAAACAUCAUAGAUACGAGAGAAAUUUCCUUUUCCAGAAUAUAAGAACUGUAAAUAGUUCAUUAAUUGUUUUACUGUCUUACAAUGAGUCACCAGACCAACCACCUCACUAUCAAUAGAAUUACGGAUCUGUAUAUACAAGCGAGCAUCCUCUCUCAUCCAAGACAAUUUAGAGUCAUCCGUAGGUGGAUCAUCAGUCAGAUGGCCAUCCAUAGAAAUACUGAGCAGAUAUAAUUCAAUAGUAUUGUUCCAAUCAAGAAAAUUAAUUCCAGUUAACUUAUGUUCCGUGAUUUUUGAAACCAGCGGAACUAUAUCAGAAACAACUCCAGGCUUUUUGUCAGACAUAAUUGCUAAGAAAAUUCAACAAGAUAACAGAUUACCCACAAGAAAAACCUGUUGUAGCCAAGUCCCACACCUAGAUCGAUGUUGACCCACAAACAGGUAUGCAAAUAGCGUCGAGAGACAGAGGAGAGGUGCUGGGUUCUGACCAAUCGGUACUACGUACCUCCCUGAGUUGGCGGUGUCUAUAAAGGAACCUCUAAAGCCUGUACCUUGAAUAUGGCAGCAGCUUCCCUCACACCCAACAACCCAGAAAAAAAAAAUUUAUGAACAAACCUUGCUCUGAUACCAUGUGAAUUUCAGAGGAAGAGAAUAAAUUCCCCAUAUUUUUAUUCAUCAAUGGUAAGGGUAUAUAUACAGGUAUAGACAUCUUAUAAUAUGAAGAUAUCCUAUUACAAUAAAUCAGUCCUCUAAUUCCUAUAAUUUAGGCUACAAACUAGCCUACAUUUGUUAGCUAUCUAAUCCCUACAAAUCAGCCUAUAUCAAUCUGUGACAGCUAUCUAAUCCCUACAAAUCAGCCUGCAUAUAAUCUGUAACAAAAAGAAACUGUGUUUACGUAUCAACCUUAGUGGGAUAAAUUGCAUUUGAUCAAAAAAGGAGGAGGAUUAUUAAUAUAGGCCAUACUUCUAUCCUCUCAAUACAUCAGUAGCAAAAGGGAUGGUCAAACUCUUGGCACAAAAUAACUCAUCCAGUUACACAAGAUUUUAAACCAAAUAAAAAUAUUAUGAUAACACCAUCCGCGUGAGAUAUAAUGCAUCAAGAGCUGACAUACAUAUAUAGCAGGUAAUGCAAAGAUCAGAUAGCUACAGUUAGUGCAAAAUCUAGUAUCCAGGGUCAUACGCUUCAAGGCUUUGAUCUUGAUAAAGCUUCAAGGGUGGCCGAUUCUGCUUCCCACAUAAAUAAACACGUAGUUUUGUUAAUCAAAUGGCAGAGGCAUUCUUGAGUGGUACUGCAAAAAUCCACUUCGUAUAGUUAAAUAUUAGUAACAAUUACCAUAUUCUCCAAAAAUAUAUCAUAGAUUUUUUUCUUUUAUCAUUGUCACUUCCAUUUUAAUCUAACUUUUUUCACUUACAGGAACAUCAUAAUUAGCGCCUAUCUAUGCAAUUACCUAUAUGGCAGACAAGUUUUUUCCAUAUAAUUAUCCCUGAAGGCAAAAGUAUGGGGCAAAGGAUUUUGUACAAUUCAUAGGUUAGGGCAUACUGCACCAGUGUGGCCAAAGAAUAAACGAACAAUCUUCAAUUACAAUAUAAAACAUGCAAUAACUACAAAUGAACAAUUUUCCAUUACAUUAUUAUAUACACAAUAUACACACUGUUGUAAAAAAAAAUUCCAUUCAUAGAGAUGGUUACAUUAAACCGAAAGGUGAAAGAAAAAAGGUUAGAAUCAGCACCUUAAAAGUAGUAGAAGGCCAUUAUUUGCUUUAUUAUAUGCCGAUAAUUUUAAUACCUAAUUCCAUCAUGAAGAGCCAGGUAGCCAUCUAAUUUAACGCCAAAUAAGGACACAAAGAAAUGGUUCGCAAGCUAAAUAGCAGAAAAGAUAAUUAACAGAAACUUAAUCAUUUUCUCAUAAUUAACAGAAACAUAAUCAACAAAGACAUCUACUAAUUAUUAGUAUACAAGCACAUCAAUUUGACUAAGAUAUUUUUUUAAAUAAAGUGUAAACAGCUUACUUGUCUAAAGCUGAACUAUGCUAAAAGGCCAAAGCUUGGGCUUAGACUGACUGGUACUAAACGAAGCAUUACCCCUAUAAAAUUCAACCCAAAAGUUAACAAAAAUAAACAGGAGCAAAAAUAAAUUGUUCAUAUGCAAAAUGGAAACAAGUAGCAAAAAAGAAGGCUGUAAAAUGUUACACAAAGAUAAUCACCAAGUUUUUAGCCAAAGACAUUGUGCUAAGAUUUAAACAACCCAUGAAUCCAAAACUAUAUGGUCAAAGAAGGAAAAGAGAUCUAGGGAUUUUUUCUUCUAAAUAAUAGGUUUUUUGGUAAACAUACACCUUUCAUAACAGCAUUUGUGGCCAAAGUGUUAUCUACCAACCAAUCUAACAAAUUUUGCCACUUUAACCUCCUUUCCCACAAUUAGUUGAAAAUUAUUCAAAACUAUAAUUAAAAACUUCAAACUAAAGUCAUCAAAAGAUGAAAUAAGUUCAAUUCCAUUGGAAAUUGACAAUGGCGGAGACAUGAAAAAGAAACAAAGAAAAUUGACAAUUUAAGUUAUUUCGAAAAUCCCAAGCAACAACUAAACAAGAGCUGGGAAAUUUGAGCAUAUAACAUCUCGAGUGAUAACCAAUGCAAUCUUGAUUUUGAGCUCCAAGACUCCAAAUGAUCAAGUAGUAUAGUACAGCAUAAACUGAAAAGCAUGAAACUUUUGCACUAAAAACCAAAGCCAACAGAUGAGAUAACUUAUUUAUGGCUUGGUUCCUAAGCUUAAAUGACACCACAAAUACAGCAAUAAUAAAAAAUCAACUUUAAUGUGCUCAAACUUCAAAGCUUGCGACGUCUGUGCAAUCACUCAGUUGAAAUUUUAGCUCAAAACACUAUACAACGGAAAAGGAAUAAGCAAAAGCACAAAAACACAUAAAAUCCGACAUUUUAAAAGCAAAAAAAAAAGAAUCCAUGGAAUUAAUGUUUGGAACCUUUUUUACGGCAUGCAGUGCAGCUCCAUGACCACUGACGCCAGCGCCAAUAAUGAUGAGAUCGUAAUCAAAGGAUUUGGGAGCGCUUCCAUUAUCAUCCGAAGAUGCAGAAACCUUCGUCGGACUCGCCUGCGCUUUUCUCGGAAAAAUUAGCCUCUUUGCUCGAAUAAACUGGCCGCGCUUCAGCUGCGAGGGAACUGAAAACCCAGAGAUUUCUAAUAUUUCACCUGCAAGAUCUAAGCAGAAGAAAAUAAAAAACAUACUACGGGUAGGAAAGCAGAUUUCUAAUAUUUCACCUACAAACUCAAAAGCAUACUCAACAAGAAAAUAAAAAACAGCAGAUCUCUGGGUUUAUAAAUACUUCUGACUUUCACUGCUUUUGGAUGAAGAUUUUACUACAGCUUUCUUUGUUUGCUCAAAGAAGGAGAUGAAAAAAUAGUAUUUCAGACCUCUAGGUUAUUAAUCGAAAGAUUAACAAAUCUUAGCAAGAAAAAUGUCUUUCUUUCUUGAAUAAAGGAAACUGUAAAACUUUGGGGAAAUAUUGGAGCUUACCAAUUAAGAUGAUUUCUGUGUCUCAUGCGUUCAGUAGCUUCAUAUCCAGACCAAUUCUAACAAGGGAAAAAAAUCAGUUAGAAUCAUAUAAUUGAAAAAAAAGGAAAGAGAAGAAAGGAAAAAGGGGGGAGGGGGGAAACGGGAAGGAAAAACAGAGAAAAAAGGACCAAAUAAAAACAACAAAAAGGAACAAAGAAAAGAAAAGAAAAGAAAAAUGGAAGGGGAGAGGAGAGGAGCUCUGGAGAGCAACGAAGCGGCGGACAUGAAUGAGGGGAAAGAAAACAAGGGAAGCCCUAAAACAAAAUUUUUGGCACGCGAGUCCCACGUGAUUGACGACCAAAUUCCAGCCAAUAAAACCCAGCCACGUCAGCAAAACAACAACCACCCUUAACAAUCCCAUUCGCGCUUUUACUAUAUAGGUAGAUUAGCAUUAUUCUUGUUCGGCUGGUUCUAGUUUCGAUUUCAGUUUCUAUCAUUUUCAAUUUUAGUAUUUUUCUAGGUAUAGUUUUCAGAUUUUCUAGUACAUUUAAUUACUUAUGAUUAUAAAAUUAAUUUUAAGAAAAUAUAAUAAUGAAUUUAGAGUAACGAGAAACUAAAGAAAAUGAAUGUAAAAAAAAAUAAGGCUUUUAUUGUAUUAUUAGCUUACAAGGAAGAGAAAGAUGAUAAAAAAAAAAUUUAUGUAAAACAUAUCUCAUAUUUAUUGAAUGUUUUAAAUAAAACAAAAGAUACAUAAUUUUCUAUCAAACUUGAAAAAAGAAAAAGAGAAAAACAUCUCAAUUUUCUCACUAACUUGCGCAUUGUUUUUCUUUUGACUCAACAUUUUAGAACUAGCUUAAUGCUGUUGAACUUUCGGUGAACCUCAACCAAAACCUUUAACCAUGGUUCCAACACCGAUUUAAAAUUUCCAAAUUAGUUAUAAUUUUUUUUUAACAAAUUGCUGAUUCAAUUCCGAUUUGAUUCCAAUUUGAACCUGAACUAUGGCCAUGGUUAUUACUAUUACGUAGAGGUGGCAAUUUGUCCCAAAUCCCAAUGAACUACCCAUACCCAAAAAGACUUUGGCGGGAUGGGUAUUGUAAUUUGAUAUUAGGUUUAAAAUGGGAUGCAUCCCAAUUAUACUCAUUAUUUGAUGGAAAAUGUUGGAAAAUACUUGGGUACCUAUUGAGCCCAAAUAUCUUCCCAAAAAAUUUCAUUUUAUCCAAAAAUUCAUCAUUAUUUUUUUUUUUUUGCAAAAAUCUGAUUUUUUUUCACUUCCAUUUUCUUUCAUUUCCUUUCUUCACUUUCCUACAAAAGAAAACCAGUUAAGUAAAAAUGAUUUCAUUUAAACAACUUUAAAAAAAUUAAAGAUAACAAUAAAAAUAAAAUAAAUUGGUAAAAUUUUGGUGUCUACAAGAUCAAUACUUUACUAACAACUGUUGGUACCCUAUAUGUUAAUUUUAUGCUAAUUGUUGAACUAUCUACAUAGAUUUCUAUAUGCAACCCUGUUAUCAAUUUUUAAUCAGCUUCUUCGUUUCUGUGCUAGCUUUAUUCAGCAUUUAAUGUGAAUUUCUUUUGUAUCAAAUUUUGAAAAUUUUAAGAAUGUCAGUAAGAAUGAAUGUGGUGUUAAAAAACUUGUUUCUAGUCCUUGUGUCAGACAACAUUAUGGGUAAGGUUGGAAUAUGGUUGUAUAUCUAUCUUUUCCUUUUUUUGUUAAUCCAAUUUUUGGUUUAAUCCAGGGAGAAGAUAUGUUCAUUCUUACCAAAAUAUUAUGUCUUUUAAAAGUAACUGCUGAUCGUUCUAAAGUGUAAAUGAAUUCAGGAAAAUAUAAAUUCACAAUAAGAUCAAAAGAAAUUUAAUAAAUAAAAAUAUUAAAGUUAUAUAAAAAAUAAAAAAGAAUUAAAGGAAAAAUAUAGAAAAUAGAUUUGGGUAUUGGACGGGAUCAAUCUAAACCUAUCCCAAAGUGAUCCCGCCCAAGUUAGUCCCAAAAUAUAUAUGGGUAAGAUUAGACCCAAACCCAUAUGAUUCGGUUCUAUUUCGAAUUCAAGCAAAUCACGUCCAUCCCGCCCAUUUUGCCACCUCUACUAUUACGAACCAAAUAGUGAAAAACUUGGGUUUUUUUUUUAUGGAAAUGAAACAACUUUGGUGCGAAGGAAGCUCAAGGGCUCAUGCAUCAAAAACAGAAACUGUUUCGUUGAAGCCCUUUUGGAUAGUGGAUAUUGCCGGCUCAGGCCAUUGAAUUUGAAUUGAAGAAGGAUUGCAUCGUGAUAUAAAUAAUUAGAUUGUAAACGAAUUGAAUCGAAUACAAAAUCUAUUCCCAGAUUGAAUUCUGGAUAUUAAGUCACACAACAAGUAGGAAAAAAUAAUAAAGUUAAAAUUGCCAUGUAUUGCCAAUUUUUCAUGUAAAUCCGAACUUUUUUUCAGUUUUCAUAUAAUGUUUUUAAAAAUUGAAGCCAAAAUCACUAUAUGUACUCGAAUUGUUAAUUAGGCAUUUUAUGACUAAUUUGAUUUAGCAAGUGCUCUAAGUUUUACUCAUCGUUAGCUUAAUUUCUUAAGAUUAUACUCGAAUGCCCAAAUGCACGUAAUUAGAAUGGUAUCUUAUGUACAUAUUAUUAAAAUGAUGUCUUAUGAAAUUAUUGCAGGUAUCAUGCAACAAAAUUUUAUCAAGUCCUAAAAAUGAUGUGAGUUCUUGGAAAAUAUUUUAAAAAGAAAAAAUGCAUGCAUUAUUAUUUUGGUAGUCCACUUAUAUUAAUUGCAUGAGCAAUUGAAGGCAGUCCAAAAUUUUUUCAACAAUCUUUACAAGUGCAAAGUGUUCAUUGUUCACAAUAACAAACAAGGGUGAAACUAUAAAAACUAUUCUUCCUUGGAAAAAUGUGAAAUGUGGGCAAAGAUAUUAUGAAAAUAACACAAAAGACUCGAUGAUCAUAAAAUCAAAUGUUCAAAACAACAUAGAAUAGUUCAUGAUCUUUGUAUACUUUAUACAUAAAUGCAUAAUUAAUGAGUUUUCUAUUAAAUUCCAUAAACUGCAUGGAGGAUAUUAUCAGUUUCAUAUGAGAUUAACUUGGGGUCAACUGGUCAUGGGUAGACCAUGAGAUGCCCUAAAACAUGACAUGGAGAAGAGAAUCUGCAUAUUAAGUGGCUCUUAGAGUCUCUUGCUACUAAUACUCUUGUUUAUGCCUUGGCUAAAAAGCUUGAGCUGCAGGUUAAAUGGCCUUAAUUUUAAGUACUCUUGUAACUUAGCUUAAUUUUGAAUUUGGCCCUGAACAAAUAAUUCAACUCUUGAUUCGAGUUCGAACAAGAAAUAUGAUUUGAUUAAAGUAUCAAAUAAAAUUCGAGUUGAAUAUUCGACUCGUACAUAUUCAAUUGAUUAAAGUUCAAUGCAACUCAACUAAUUUUUUAUAUUUUUAAGUUUCUUAAUAUUUUUUAUAAAAUUAUGCAUUUCCUAUUUUAUUAUUAAAAAAUUAAAUAAAAUUCCAAGCUCCGAAUUGAGCUCGAGCCUAGUGAGUACUAAAUUGAAUCAAACUCAACCUUAAAUUUUAAACUCGUUUAGGAUUCGAAUUGAGCUUUCGUUUGAGUCCAAAAAUUCAAAUCAAGUCGAAAAAUUAGAAUUGGAAUCUGAGUCUAACAGCUAAGAAGUUCGAGUAAAUUCGUUUGCUGCCCUAGCUUUAUGGAUUUGAAAUCCACGAAAUACAAGUUGAAAAGCCAAACAAUUAAUCAAGAAACCAGAGCAUCAAAAACUAUUCAAAAGUUUCCUUUCCUUUCUUCCUCAAUCUCCAUCCCUUGACCAAGACAAAAAAGGUUUUCACUAGUAACGACAUACAAGAAAGGUCUAUCAAUCCUUUAAAGGGCUAAGGGAAAGAGGAAAUGAAACCCCAACUCAAGGGAAGAACAACAGGGACAAUAAUUACAAAAACCUUUACAACUAUACAAAAUUCCUGUAGAAUUGAGGGAUUAUUUCCUCACCUCAAAAUUAGGGAAUGCUUUCUCUAUAACAUGAGUUGGCACUAUGUACUGUUAUGAUUUUUCUUUGUGUAUGUCAAAUAUGGAUCCUGAGCAAUGGUCAAAACAUCUGGCCUCUCUGCCUGAUUAUAUGUAAGACAACGACGAAUAAAAUCCUGCAAAACAUAAAAGGAGUUGCUACUUCAGCAUACAGGACAAAGGUGAUGAAAGAAAAGUUUAGCGCAGUCUAUAUACCAGUAUUCUUCAGCUUUUUGUCAGCAAAUGUCCUUUAACCACAUGUUAACAUCAUUCAUCGCAGAAAAUCCAAAAACUAAAAUAAACAUUGUAAUAAAGAAUCCAAGCUAAACAAGGAAACAUCCUAAAGGUAUAAAUUUUGCACCUUUGCCAAGCAAAUAAUUUAGAAAUCCAUCAACAGUAUUGUUAUCAAUUUUCAUGAGAAUCAGCAAUGGCAGUUUUAUUUAUAAAUCAUCAUCAUAGUUUCUUCAUUUUUGACAUACCUAGCAAGUUUCUCUAUUUCGUUUUGUUCCUUCAUCAAUCAUUUCCAUAUUAUGACUUGCAAUAUGAGUAAAAGGAAGCAUGAACAUUAUGUCUGAGCCAGUCAGCCAGAUGUUAAUCUGUCUCAGAAACUGCUAUAAAACAUUGAUACAAAUGAGAUUUUCAAAUUUGCAGCACAUCUGGCUUGGAGAAUUGCCAGAGACGAGUGGGGGGUGGGGGUGGGGGAAUAGAUUGACAUGUUUGUAAAUGGACACCCUCGAUUGAAUUUCAUACAGAAUACUUCCGCUAACAGAAAGUAUAGACAUUGACGAGUCAAAACCCAUUUACUGAAAUAAAUUUUGAAGCACUUCAAUACCACACAAAAAUUGACUCCACUAUGUUGGAAACAAUAACCAUUAUGAAACAAACAAGAGGAUAUCAAGAAUAAACUCAGUAGCAUCCACAUGAUUGGCAUGCUUAUCCAUUACAGAUAAAUUAAAGAGAUAAUUGUUGAAACUUUUGUCAAAUAAGAUUUACACAAGUGAAAACACAUCAAAUUGUAAAGUAUAAGAAAGAUGAUCGAUUUCACACCCCACUUUUACUGUUAUCAAAUUGUGGUAAUAAACACUAGCAAUUAGUGCUGGUGAUGGUGAUAGUGGUGGUGGUGGUGGUCAUAGUAACAAUGAUAUAGUCUCUCCUACGCAGACUCUCUUAGAGAAUUUACCCUACAUAAGGAUGUCGAAGAUUAUCACCCCAAGAAACAUUAGCAAAGAAGUUUACACACAAAUGAUUAGUGAACCUGCCUUUGCCUCGUUCGACACAGCUGGCCUUGAAGGAAAAUCCACCUUCCGGGCUUUAAUGAUGGUAUCUUCGCGUAAAACAAACAAAACAGACAGAAUUCAACCAAGAUCAAUCUAGCAAACGUCCGUGAUCUAUCCCCCAUUCUAACAACAACUCCCAAUUUUCCUUACUACGAGGAGCUUUAGCCCAUAAGAGACAAGUCAAGUUGAACAAUUUUAACCACUGUUGAUUUAAUAAAAUUUGGAGUGAAGCCCUCCAACGUGUACAGGGCUUGUCUUUCCAAAAAAACAAAAAACAAAAAACAAAACCGCUGCUGCAACUACUUCCAUUAUCAGUAUUCUGUAUUCGAAAAUCAACAUUUAGUCUUUCCCAAAUUUAGUAUAUUUUAGUGCAUAAUUGAAAAAUUCUCUUGGCGCAAGUGGAAAAUUAUAGAUUUGCAAUCAAUUACAAAUUUUCCUCGAAAAUAGAUGCCCAGUGAUCAACUAUGGCGCUUCAUAGUUCACCUUUUCCAGUCUUAUACUUAGGAGUUGGUCUUAAUAGUGCAUUAAUUUUUUCAUAGUUAAUCAGAAUUUUCUAUGACAAAAAAAAGAAGAAGAUUCAUGAAGAAAAAUAAUCUAUUGGCUGUACUUUUUUUCGAUUUAGACAUCAAUAGUGCAAUGGCAAAAGGACUUUGUAGAUGAAGCUAGUUGAUGUAAUGAAUUUAUGAUGAUUUAAUUAACUAAAAAGGCAAUCAAUUCGGUCUACUAAAUGUCAUACUCAAGAGGUCAUCAUCUUUGUCAAAGGGUCUAUACAUUCCAUACAUUAGUAGUAAAAGUUAGUGGAUUUGUUAGUAUUGAUGACCAUGUUAGCCACUGAUUUCUAUUAAAUCAUGUCUUCAGCUUCUUAUAAGCUUCUCUAUACCCUACCUAAUCUCAUACCAUUUUACUUUCUCUUGGAUUAUGUGGAAUGCCUACUUGACUGCCUGCAAUGCCUAUAUUUUAAUGAUUCCGGUGCAUUUUCAAAAUCUUCAAUUUAUUUUGUAAAGUAUCGAAGUUCAGUUCACUAAUUGGCCAUAAAAACAGAUCAAUAGCAAAGUUGAAAUAUGCCACUUAUCCUGAGACUUUGCAGAAAGUUUGGAAUGUUAAUGUUGUCCCUUGUAAUCCGAAUUAUCCGAUUAUGUGAAACUGAAGUUGUUGAAGGGUGAGAUGAGUUUUUCACUUGUAUACAAGCUGUUUAAUGGGGUUUUCAAUAAAAAACUUUAUCAUUUGCUCCAAAAAAAAAAAAAAAAAAGAAGAAGAAGGGUGAGUUGAGGAAGCUGAAUGCUAAGCAAUAUAGUUCUAUUAGUGAUAGAAUAAACAGGUGUGUAUGGCCAGUUAUGUGAAGUGCAAUCCUUUUCCUUCAUUCACCUUUUGAUAUCUCUUUGCAAUUUCAAGAACAAUCUCAGAGUAGUUGUCUCAACUAGGAGGCGACCAGCUAGGAUUUAUGUUUACUUUACGGGCCAAAGAUACUGGCCUGGCCACGUCUUCUUCUUCUUGGUUUUUUUUUUAAUUCUUCUUAUAGAUCUUUCAGGCGAGUAAGCAACCUUUUGGGGAAAUAAUGUGGUAUAUUUGGACAUUGGGAUAAUUUAACAAAUCUCCUCUGAGUUUAUAACAAAUUCAUCAUAGCUCCCCUCAAAUUAUGACAUGACGCUUGUGUCUAUUAGCUAUUGAUUUCCAAGGCAAAUACUGAAGUUUACCUCUAUGUUUACCAUUGACACUUUCUAUACAAAGCGAUACAAAUUAUAUAUAAGAGAUUUGUGAAAAUGUUAUACUUCCGAGCUAUAACUCAUAAACAAAGGCAUUCGUAAAACCCUUUUGAUUCAAAUAUAUAGAUAUACUCAACUAUACACUUAACAAUUUAAUGUGUGCUAAAGUGAGUAGAAUAGGCUUUUGAAAAAAGUACUCAAAAGUAUGCUACUUCCAUCAUUACCUUCUAGCACGCAUUGUGCAAACUCUUUUCAAAUAGAAAAAAGGGAACGGAAAGGAGAUACAAAAAAGGGUUACAAAUUCUUUAAAAUAUGGCAAGGGUAAGCAUGGAAGUAACAUAUAACAUGAAACAAACAUGUUAAGGAAACCUUAAAUCAAGAGAGGUAACAGUAAGUUUGAAAACUUUGGUGCAGCUAAAUGAAGUCAAAAACCUAAAACAAGGUUGAUGGAAUUAUCCUUUGUAAACUUUAUGUGUCCGUGGCCAAGUGAAAAAAUACUGUUCAAAAUUCUUAUUUCUAUCGGAACCAUUUCGAGGAACUCCAAUUUGGAUGUCAAUACUAAAAGAAAUUUUCCCUAUGGUACAACUGAUUUUGAAAUUUACUAAUUAUUUAUAUUUUUUUUCGGAGACGACAACUGUUAUAUAAUCUAAUCUAUCCUACACUAAAGGGGAGGGGGCGGACCUAAAGAGGCCCAGGGGUAUAUAGGAAGCAAAUGCAUUGUAUAUAGGAAGCUGAAAACCAAACAAGACUUUAUUAUUAGGUUAUCAGUAUUAUUAGUCGUAUCCAAGUGUCAUCAUGUUUUUUUUAUUCAAGUGUCAUAACGUUAUUGAUAGUAUAAUUGGGUUGCAUGAUUAUGGUUGAAAGUGUGGACUAUGCGAUUAAACUCCGUCUUAGGUGAUAGGGUGUUAAUUGUUAGUAAUUUUAUUGUUAAUUUUCCCUUUUAUCCUUGUCAAAUAUUAUUUUAAUUAUUAAUAUUUACUUAUAUUUGGUAUUUGGACUCAAUUUCAGGGAAUGGAGCAGAAAACUACAAAAAAUGAAGGACUUUCUGAAAACAAUGGAGACUUCAAACAAUCGGGCCCACAUGGUGCCACAAACGGAUGGCAUUUCCUUUUUGCUGAUUAGGAGUUGAAGUCUUUGAUGGGCAACAGGAAACGAAAAGUAGAGAAAAAUUCGGCAGAGCCUUCUUUUUGUACUUGGACUCCCAAUUCGUUGGGGACCACAGAGAGCAUUAAGGAGUCAUACUUUUGCUUGGAAUAAAAAGAACGUACAGAGGCUAGGGAUAGUUUUUAGCAAUAGUUUAGUUUUCUUGCUUUUUCCUUUUCAUGCACGCCUACUGUUAUCAAUGGUUGUACCUUGGUUAUCAAUAAAUUAAAGAAAAAUUGGUCGUUAGAGUUCGUCGGCGACUAUAACUAGUCUAUUAAUAAAUUAAGUGAACCUCCCUUACAUCAAUGAUCGGGUAAGUGGACUAUGUUUGAAUAGUUGUAUUCUUGGUUAGAAUUUAUCUAUUCUUGAAUUAAUUCCUGUGUAUAUUUGUGUUAGUUAAUUAUUCGUUUUAUUUGAAUUGCUUAAUUAUUUGUAGUUUUAUUCUGAUGAAACACCCCUUUUACCAAUUGGAAUCUCAAAGAGACAAAUAUCCUCAAUUCCUGAGGAGACGUGUGAGAACCCGUAUUUUCCCUAAUAAUUUUCCUAGGGUUUUUCCCCUUUAAUGGCAUGUUUUUUGCAUUUUCUGGCUUAGAAAAUUUUCCUGGUGAAUUUUAUGAGUAAUUAUAGUUUUUAGAUGAUUUUUCUAGCAUUGGAUAGUUUUUGAAAAAUUACGGAUAUAUAACGGACGUGGGGCCCACUAGUGCGAAAAGUUCGGAAAAAUUCGGCCAAUAAGGUUAAGUUUCGGAUACUGAGUGAAAUUUAUCGGGUGUUAAGAGAUAAGUAUAGGAUGUGAUGUGAUUGAUGUGAGAGGAAAACAAAAGGAUAGAAAUGCAUUAAUGAAGUGACACUUGUCAUGUUGGGAUUGGUUUCACUUGUUGACAACUAUUCAUUUUUUUUGACUUUUCUUACCAAUUGAUUAAAUAUCUCAAAAAUCACAAAAAAAAUCACUCUUGUCUUCACCUUCUUGGCCGGCCACCUUGAGCUUAAGAAGGAAGAAAACUCUUCAAAAUCUUGGCUACCAUCUAGCUCAAAUCCUCCAAAACAAUUGCUUGAUCUUGUUUCUACUCCAUAAAAUCUCUCCAUUUGGUACUAGUAAGUGAUUUGGUGAAGUGUUUAAGGAAGCUAAGGUGUCCAACAACUCUCCCUCUCUUGUUUACUAGGUGAGUGGUGAUUGAACUUCCUCCUACACUUAAUGAAGCUUAAGUUGUGCUUAGUGGUAGCUAAAGUGCUGAAAUUUGUGGUUUAUUUCUUGGUUUGAGAUGAAAUGAUGAAGUUUUCAAUUUAAUGGUGUAUUUUCUGGUUUAAUGUGAUCAUGAUGUUGUGGUUAUCUAUGAUGGUUGGUAAUGAAGGGUAAUGACUCUAGUAGGUGUACAUGAUUGGUAAUUGCAAGCAAUUUUGGGUUUGGAAGGAAUUUGAGAAAGUUAGGGUUUUAUAUCCCCAAUUCUGUCCGAUUUUGUAUCUCAUGGUUAGAGGCCGAAUUGGCCUUGUCUUAAAACAUGAAAGUUGUAGGUAUUGAUGUGUUUGAGGUGCCUGUAAAAUUUCAGGUUCAUCGGAGUUGUGUAGAGUGAGAAAAGUCGAUUUUACUGUUGCUGUUCUGGGUUCUUCAGGAUGGCCGAACUGCGUCUGUAAUUGGUGGUUUUGGCUGGAAUUGCUUUGGAUUUGGUUGUUGAGGCCUUCUGAUGAAAUGUAGCUUGAUGUCUUAGCUACCGCAUGCCUUUGGUAUGAAUGAAUUUGGACUUGUAUAGACUGAGUUGGACUAAUUACAGCAUAGUGUAUUUUGUAAACCUGCAAUUAAGGUUCUGGUUUGGUAUUUUGCAUAUUUGACCUAGUUGUGCUAGGAAUUGGACUGAGUGACCUUCUACAUUGUUGUAGCCCUGUUUCUUAGCUUCGAAACGGUGGGUCUUACACCCUCAUCCGAUAAGCGUAGUGCAAUUUGUGCCAUUACCGCAAACUGAGGACAAAACUGUUUUUUUUUCAGGGCCAAGUUAGUUACAUUUCCUGAUUUUCUGGUUUGCUAUAAUGCUUAUAUAUGAAUAUGAAACCCUAUUGGGGUUGUGAUUGGCAUGGCUUUAUGACUCGUUAUCGAGUCUCAUUGUAUUUGUUUACGUGUUUUAGGACGUGACGAGGGUUCACGACGACCUUUUAACGACGGUGCAUGAAACAUCACCUACUUGAGUAGUGAGUAUACUACUCACUUGAAUGUUUAUAAUGUGGCUUUGCUAUAUGUGAUUGUGAUGCCUUGAAGGCUUGUUUGGCUAUUGGACAUGGUUAAGGUGAGGGUGUACUUGACCGCCCUCAUCCUUUUUAUCUUGUUAAUGACUGUUUACCGUUUCACUGUAAUACUGCACUUGCUAUAUGAGAUAUUGAAUUCCAUUCAUGGGAAACUGUUUGGGUGUCGGUUGGACGAGUAUCCAACGGCCCUACUGCAUUACUGAGCUCGACCCCGUUGGUAGUUACUUGAAUCGAGCCAGCGAGGGCUUGGUCGUGAAAAUUGACUAGCCACGGGGACUGAAAUGGGAAUCUUGUGGUAAUGAGACCCUUGGUUCCGGUGUACUCGAGUAUCACCUAAAGCUACUGCUUGGAGUGCGGGCCCGGUUGGGGUAUGUUGGGUGGAAGGAAUGGAAGUGAAGUGAGGUCUACGGUCGGGUAUUCUUAAACAUUGACGGAGGGUCAAUGAGGUUGGAUCAAGAAUGUAAGCGUGGAAAUGGGCUCUUGAGAGCCGUCCGUAUCCUUUUACCGACUUGUUUUAUUUCUUAAUUGCGUACUUGAGAUGAAAGUUAAGUGAUCUUUGUUGAUUAUGUGAUAGUUGCUCACUGAGCUUUAGCUCACUCCGUUCCAUUUGUUUUCCUUACAGGAAAAAUGACUAUUUUGGGAAAGGUUGUGCUAGUUGGUUGUCAAGUUGAGCUCAUGUAAAUGUAUAUUUUGAAUAGCUCCUUGAGGGUGAAAACCCUAAGUGUUUUGUUUCAACCAAUGGUUGGUUUGUAAUUGGCCAAUUGCACAUGUGUGAACUUGUUGGAUAUUUUGGUAUACCGCUUUGGCUUGUAAAUGUUAAAUUUCGAUGUAUAUAUGUUGGAUUGAUGUUUGGUUGAACUCCGGAUUCUGACAUGGCCGGUACUGUUCAUCAUCGGCUUCGAUUUUCAUAUUUUUUUUAUUUUGUGAUUUUGACUUGUUUGCGCGCGUUGGUGUGUUCCGGAAUGUAGUAGAUCGACGUAAACUGAUCCGUUAGUCCUGGCGAGAGCUGGGCAGGCAGUCCGCUAACCCCUUUGGUUCGCCUUAGGGGAAGGUGGGGCUGUUACAAGACGACCCUACUUGCCACUGUCUGCCAAUUAGUAAAUUUUGUCAAAUAAUUAAUUCUGGUAUAUCGGAUUAAGCAAACUCUUCGAGAACAGGGUGAAUCAAGUAACCCAUUGCACACCUAGAGUCUCUGCUCCAGUACUUAGAAUUGAUUAUUGACUACUUUUGACGGGCGUAGGGUAUACAUAUAACAUUAAGCUCAUCCUAAUCAAGUUUUACAUUUAUAAACUCCUAAAUACCCUACACGCGAUUUAUCGCAAGUAUACGAAUCGUGAGCGAGUAUAGGGUAUUAAAAGUCGAUCUCACAAGGAAGAUUGCAAUUACCGGCACUACUAAAGCUUCUCUAUUAUUUAGACUAUCAAUGAAUUAUAACAAAUUUAACCUACUGAACUUAUGCAAGAAAAUAACAAAUGAAAGCUCCUUAAGUUGUGGUAUCCCUAACUACUCAUGCAAGUGCUAUAUUUGGAUCAUUGAAUACUACUAUCUAGGCUAGUUAUGGUGUAAUUUCCUUAAACAUGUGAAACCUACUUUCGUAGUGAAUCAACUAUAUUCAUAACUAAUCCAUACAUAUUCUCAUGGUUAUGAAAUUAGCUACAAGUUCAUUUCUUCAAUGAAAUUAAUCACUAAAAUCACAUAGGUGCACCUCUACUCUCGUGAGCGUACUCCCUAUGUUUAGCACUUCUUAAACUAGUGUUAAAUCUCAAUUUUCAUUGCAGAAACAACACCUUAAAUAAUCACAAUCAAUGGUACCAGAUUAAUCAUGAUUUAAAGAGCCAAAGUACUAAAUAACUUGCUCAAAUCAUAGCAAUCAAAUAACCAAAUAAUAAAUACUAACAAUUAUAGAAAGUUCAACCAAACCCAAGGCAUAAACGUUAGAGACACAUAUUAAACACAAAAUCCAGAACUUGCAUAUCAACUAAACUUAGAAUCCAAUACAAAAGAUAAAGAGUUGGAAAAGAGAUAACCAUUGUCACAUGAGCUUCAACUCCUCCUUUUUCAUCUCCAUUUUCAUCCUAAUCUAGCUAAUAUACAAGAAUGGAAGAGCUAUACUAUUCUAAACUAAACUAUCCUACUACUCAGAAAGUGCAAGAGCUACAUCUCUGCACUCCAAGUUUCUCCUGUAUGUCUCUCUAUUCUCCCUUCAAUCUUGCAAGCUUUGGCUAUAUAAAGGUGAAAGUUGGUCAAGAAGUGAGGUUUACACCUCCCUUUUACAGCUGGGAAUGUUUCUCACAUGUCUAGCAUCACCUGUGACUUAGUGGAGGUGAAAUUGAGUUUCCCACGUAAAGAGCAGCCUUCUCUGACCACAAUCCGGCCAGAAAUCUGGCCAAGUUCCGGCCGGAUUGCUACAGUGACAUUUUGGUGCACUUUUGUUCAAUUUCCAGCUCUGCUCCAAUUUUGUGUCAAUUUCAACUGAACUUUUGUUGAUGAUAAAAGCUGAUUUAGCUCUUGAUCAACAUAAAACUUGUAGCCCUUUGAGUUAGCUUUCCAAUGCAUCAAGAAUCACCUCAUUUGGAUCUGUGUAGGCUGAGAAAUGACCGAAAUACCUUUGACUGCUCACUGCCCUAUUUCAGCUUCGACCAAUAGAAAUUAGCUACUGUAAUUCGGCUUUUUAACCUGGAAAACCUUCAAAAUAGAUUCAGAUGUCUUCACCAAAGUUGUAGAUCUAUCUCUUAUCUUCAAAUUGGUUUAAGAAUCAUCUCAAUCCGAUCAUUAUAGCUCAAGUUAUAGCCAAAAUACGAAAAUGUGUCAAAACUGUCAAAAUGCACAAAAUCCAAGUAAAAAGUGAUAAAAACCUCAUUUAAUUACUUAAAAGCAUUUUUCACCAAUUAUAGCCAAAAUGAAUCAUUUUCUUCCAAUAAUGUAACCAAAGUGACUAACAAUAAUAUAAAAUAUCAUACAAUUAUUACAUAAAUUAGUCACUUAUCAGCUUUUAUUGGCAAUUAGGUUUAUUUUUAUUAUUGCACAGGUUCGGCACCUGUCAUUAGGAGUACUGGUUUUGCUGUGGGAUUUUUCGUUUUCUUUGUCAGCUGCGUCAGCUGCAUGGUGCUUUAGAGCAUAAGCCUUUGUUUUGUAUCGAAACAUCACGGCCAAAAUUGCCAAAAGCAUAUCGAAACAUGAACACAAAAUGAAAGAUGUGAGGAAACUUUAAUGAAGAUAUGCCUUGAGAUUUAAACACCAAAGACAAAAGCUCAAAAAAUAUUAUCAACGGAUCAAAAUAAGAACUUGAUUAUUGGUAAAACACUCCAACAAGUUAAGUCGAACCAAGAUCAACAUAAUCAAUUAUUUGAUUUCAAGAGUCAUAACUUUUGCUUGUAAAGAACAAAUAAAGUUAAACAAUUUAUUGCUUUUUUCCCCCCAGUCAGCUGUGUACCUCAACAUUAUUUCACGUCAAAAACUUGUUUUUCCUCGGAUUAAAUACCCUAGCAUCUGAGGUUAUCACCAGUCUCGACACCCAAUUGUCUACAAUAUUCAGUAUAAUACUCAACUCGAGCACUAACUGUGUUUGGAUUUGCACCAUCACAUUCAAGCCGACCAUUAAUGGCACGAAUUGUAGCCCCAAAACCCUGGCCAGAAGUGAUAAGAUCAUGACAAUGGUUCAUCCAAUACCACAAGCCAGUUUUGAAUGAAAUAACAUUAUUUGUAGCUACAGUUUCAGGUUGGCUGAGUCCAUUGAAUCCAAUGCUUUCACCUGCUGGUCCAUAGUUAGAGUUCCAUGAUAACUGUAUUGGACCCCUGCCGUAAUAUCCCUUGCCUGGCACACAUGGAUACUGAGUGUUGCUCUCAUCACAGUAAUCUCUGGAGGGGCCGUCUAUCUCUUCUAUGUAGCACAAAUCUGCGCAAUAUAAAGAAAUUUUGUCACUCAAUUGAAAUGAUUGAUAAAGGGUUAGAAUCAAAGAAAAUCAGGAGGUCUGGAAUUUUUUGUAAAUUUUUAGAUUUGAUUGUUUUACUAAUGAAUUCAAUUGGUGAGAAAAGACUUUAUCCCAUUUUGUAAAAAUUGGGUUGGACAGACCUAAAGUAAACACUCUUUUUAUGAGGUAAAAUUUUAGAAUGAUUUAACAUUAUAGGGUUAUACGAUAGAUAAAUAAAAAUUGGCAAUAGCAAGAUUAAGAAGGGACCAACAGUGAUAUAAAAAUUACAAAGGUAUCAUGGACGUCUAAAAUAUAUUUGGCUAAUAAAUUUGAACUAAUUUACGGCCAAAUUUAGGUGAAAUAGUUAAUUCUACUUGGUAAAUUGGAAGUUCGGAAACGUGUAUCUGUCAGUUGUCAUACUCAUGAGCGAGCCAAUCUUAACUUAAAAAAGAAAAAGAAAAAAAGAAAAAGAAAAAAGGAAUCCAAAAGAUAAAAGUAGAAAAGGCAUGAAUUUUAAAACGUAAUCGUAAUACCUUGUACCCGAAACAAAUAUGUGCAAUACUUAUUAAGCUAAGCAAAGCCACAUGAUCUACUCUUAGAUGCAGCAAAAUAUACAACCACCUUAAGCUUGGAAUGUAAAGGCAGAAAAACUUGCUUAUGUAGAUAUAAAAGUGACCACUACAAGAAAAGUAAAAAGAAUAUGGAGAUAAUAAUCCUUCUGUUCAUCAUGAUAAAUUAUUUAACAGUAAUAAAUCUUUCAUAUUCAAGUUUUAUUUUUUGAAGAAAAAAUUCUUGGAUAAUAGUGCACAGGAGAUUCCAAGAUAUACUAUCUAGAAAUUCACAGGAGCUACUAAAAAAGUAGAAAAUAUCUUCAAAAUUUAAUUUCCAAGCUAGUGUUAUUCAAAACUUACGUCCAGUCUCAUGAGUGACAUGAGCAAAGAAAGCAGCAAUCUCCCUUUUAGAAUCAUCAACAGAACCAGCGGUUCCAAACUGGGGAUACGAGUUCAGAGCUUCAAGAAAAGCUGAUCGAGUAUAGAACCCUUUUCCAGCACAGCUUGAAGCAGCUUGAUCAGCAAUCCCAUUAAAGAAAGCGUCCGUCACAAUAUCAGCAACUGAAACGCCACUAUUACCACUGCUCGGAGCAGCGGUGCAAGGGCCGGAUUGACAGCCAGAGCCGCAGUAGUCGUUGCCGGUACCGCAAUAGCCGAAUUUGCUGCAGCACAAGUCUGGUGCACAGCCGCAGUUUUGGCUUGAAAUCAGCUGUGGAAAGGCUCCUACAAGAACUACAAUGGAGAAAAUGAUGGUUGGAAAACUCUUCAUUUUUGGAUUUGAUAAAGGAGAGAAGCUUGUGGGCAGCAGUUGUAUCAGAAAAAAGGGUAUAUGUAGGGAAGAGAACUGAAAACUGAUCAGCUUGUGUGAAGCAUGCACAGCUGCUAUUGUUGAAAAUAUUGAAUUUGAGCAAUUAAAGAAAACAGAACAGAAGACGAAAGCGUGAAUGGUUGACUUCUAUCGAGAGUAUUGACUUUGACAUUGUCAAUGAAGCGGAAACUUUCUUUCUUGGCUUCUAGAAUGGGAAAGGUCAAAAAGAAAGAUUUUGGCCAAUUCGUAUGAACAAUUGUGAGAAUAAGGCAUGUAGACUCACAAGUCCCCACUAGAAUGUGUGCAAAAAUAUAAUUUGAAGUUGCCUAAAUCAUUUAAUUUCAUGCUUGUUAUUGAGUUUAUUUGCCUAACUGUGUUUUAGUAAUACUUCAAAAUUGUGUUUGAGUUAGAACGGAAAAAAAUAUGAGACAUUUUUUUUUUAAUUGCAAUUCCAGAAAUAAAAUCUUAUAAAACAUGUAUUAGAAAAAUUUUGAGGGUAAAUGAUAUGAAAAAAAAAAAGAAGAAAUAGUUCUAUAAAUUGACAUAAGUGUUCAUCGGCUUUUGGAAAAAUUAAGAAAGAAUAAAGCAGCCGACAUAUCUAUCAUGCAUAACAACAUUAUGUGGCUUUUGUUAGUACACGCUAUGACCAUAUAUGUUUCAUUUGAGAUGCUUGUCGGACGUGUUGAAUUGUUGGCAAUGAAAUGCUCCAAAAUGUCAGCACUAUAGUUUAUAAAUAGUAUUAGGUCAUAGUGAAUUAUCGACAUAUCGUUACAUGCAGAGUCGUGAAAAUAUACAAGUCUUUCCCUAUCAUUAAUUAGUUGGUCAAAUGACAAUUUUAGAGUGGCUGCUGACUAUGUCAAGAAACAUCUUGCAGUAAAUUGGGCGAUUUAAUGUACUUUUCUUUUUCUAAAUAUUUGCACUUAAACUCUCAAAUCGACCAUAGUUUUAACUAAUUUUGCUCUGGCUUUAUUCUUGAUUCGCAAAAUUCAGAAAAACCAAAACAAACCCUUGUUACUGAAGAUAUCAAAAUGGUAACCCAACUAAGUAAUUGAUUUUGAAAAACAUUCUGAACCAAAUUUCAAGUUUUGGUUUCUUUGCUCUUUUUCUACUGAAAGGCAACUUCCCCGGGCCAAGAAAUUGAAACAAAUAGUACGAUGCUUAAGUUUUCUAUGCUCUUAUGAUCAAGUCAAACCAUGCUUAUAAUCAAUUACAUAAAAAAUUACGGGCAAUUUCGUCAUUAUUUGGGAGGAGGAGGAAUAUUAAGCAAAAAAAAAAGUUCUAUUAAGAAAACGAUUAAGCAUAUUAUUUUCCAGGAAUAAAAAAGAACGAGCAGAGAAAUACAUUAGUUUGGAUGACAUUACAACAUUUAGCAACAUGAUUAGGGAUGCAAUGGGAUGGGUGCCAAUUGGGAAUCAAUGGGAUGGGAGAAAAUGCAGGAGGGGAUGGAGGGAUUGAAGAAUAUUUCUCCUCCAACAUUAAAUGGAUACCUCCAUCCCAUCCCCUAAAACCCCUUGUUGCUAUUCCUAAACAGGAUGCUACUUAUAUCCUCUCUCUAUGAGCAUGUGUGGCUAGUGAGGAAUGCAGGAUUUUGAUUUUGGCGGGGGGAGGGUGGGGCAAAUUGACAAUCAAGAAACAAUAGAAAAAAAACCUUAGCAAAUAAAGCACACAAACUUAAAAUGAAAGUUUAAUAUACGAUAAAUAAAAUAUAAAUAUUUUUAAUAAUAAAAUACACCAUAUAAAUAAAAUGAUAGAGCAAUAAUUGGGCACCAUAAGUGCUGUUAUUUGGUCAUAAUGUUGGCUACUUAUCAUGCUAAGUAGUGCAGCUUUGCUCAUAUUUGAUAUUUGUGUAAAUUACAGGCGGUUGGUGUUGAAACUGAUCUCUCGAGGCAAAUUUUCAGAAGACUUUUUAUUUCAGAGCGUGCCGACGCCAGAAACUAUAGAGAGACUCCUCAAAGGUGGACCGCGGGACUAAUUAACUAAACUUACCUUUAUUCCUGCUUGACGCUGCUGGAAGUGCGUUAAAACAAAAAGGCAAUAAUUUCCAGCGAAUUGGGUAACAACCAAUAAGGAGGAAAAUUAGGGGCACUAGCCUACAAAGCCGGACCCCGCGAGACUGGUAGACAAAGUGGGGAAUUAGGAAGUCUUCAAAGCGGCUAUUUUCUCGUGGGCUGCAGAGGUGAAAAGGACAAGUAGUUUGAGUCUUGCAGAGAGCUUUUGAGUUCUCUUACGUUUUGUCUUGCGGUAGCCACCCGGGGGAGGAUUGAAAAAGCCAUAUUCACGUGGGAUUAGGAGAUUAGCUUUAGUUUCUUGUAUCCCUGGGUAGACGAUCUGCUCUCUGCUUUGCUUUUGGCGACUUUCUUUAGACCUUUUUCUUUACUUUUCUCCGGCACGAACACGGAACCAAAAAAGAAGCAAGACUUUUCGUUUGUCUCGUCGUUAUUUCAUCUUUCCCAACUUUUUGGUAAUUAAGUGGAUGGAAUCAAUCAAAUCACGCGAGAUUGAUGUGAUGAGGAGUGGCUAGGUUUCUCUGCUACCCAAAGGUCGACGCGAAGGCGCGGUCCAUAACAUCUGUGAGAUCUAAUCGAACUUUCACUAUUUCUUCCAAUCCGUUACUAUUCGUGCGUUUUCUGGAUUAACUGUUUAUGAUUAUUUUAUUAAUUGAGUAUCAACAGCCGGAUAUUUAAUUUAAUCUAAUAGCCUACUGUCACGUUAACUAAAUUGAAUCCGUAAUUAUUCGUUUAGUUGAUAAUUAGUGACAACCAUCAUAAUUGGCUUUAUGUUGGGAAAAACGUAAGAUCUAAUUUAGAUAAACCCUCUUAUAGCGUGUUUAUUGGUUAGGGUUGGAUUUUUCUAGCGUUAAUGCAACUGAAUAAUUAAAUUCCUACGGUCGUAUCUAGGGUUAUUUUCUGGUUAGAGAAACAGUCAACGGUCGUACCUUGGCUAUCGAAAAAGUAAGAAAAAACUAGCAGUCAGAGCUUGUUGAUCGCUAUAACCAACCUAGUGACGAAUGAGUGAAAUAUCUUUGCAUCGAUGAUCAUUUAAUUGGACCGUGCCUGAAAAGUUGAUCCUUUGGAUAGAAUUUUGCUAAUUGCUAUUUUCAGUGAAUUGUACUUGGCGAGUUAGCUUUUGAAUUUUGUUUAUUUUAUUUUCAUUUUCAUUCCAUUAAAUAUCCCCCAAUUUUGUUCUAUUGACUUGGAAAGAAACAACUUCUUACCCGUUACUUGUGGAAUCGACCCUACUUGCCAUUUUCAGAAACAACUUCUUAAAUUUUAAUCCUUAUGAAACCCAGCUUCUCUCUCAAUUUUCAGAGGUUUCUUUUCCUUCAUCAUGUCAAAGUUGCUAUUAUAAUCACUGUAAUUAGACAGCUAAACCUGUCAUUCCAAUUAUACCCUUGGUCCGCCGUGGGAAAUACAUAAAAUGUGGUAGCGCUGCCCAAUAAGUCCCACAUUGGACCAUAUAAAAUUGUUUAAGGACUAAAUUGGUAAAAAAAAUCGUAAAUGAUGAAAUUGAUUUAAGUGAAAAAGUUCAAGGACCAAAUUGGCAAUUUUUCCUUAUUAUGAUUAUGAUUAUGAUUAUUAUUAUUAUUAUUAUUAUUAGUCUGAGAUGCCGAACAAGUUGUGGAGACUUAUUUCACCUUUACAAGGUCAUUGGAGGGCUUGACGAGGUGCGAUGUGGUAAGGAAAGGCACAAAAAACUCUUUUUUCUUUAUUAAAAAACAUACAAAUUGCACUAAUAAUGGCUGAAAAUGCAUCCAACAUGCAAUAGUGAAAAAUCGUUAGAUGCAAGAUAUAUAAAAGUUAACAAAAAUUAUCUUAGUACCUCUGAUAUAUUCCAAAUUCAGAUAAAUCAUCUGCCCCCAAUGAAUAUAUGUGCAUAUCAUCAUUGUCAAAAAAUAUUUAUGCAUAUCAUUGCCGUUAGAUUUUAUAUUGAAGUGGUUAAAGCUCCAAAUCUAGUAGAGAAGAAAUUCAACACUUGAGAAAAUAAGUUAAGAAAUUCAAGAUUUGACAUACAAAUCUGAAAAGCUCUCAAAUCUAACAAAACAAGAUAUAAAAUUAUCUGAAUAAAACUCUCACUAGAAUAUCUUAGUAGAGAAGAAAAUUCUCACUAGAUAGUCUCACUAUACUUUAUUAGACAUAAAAAAAAAAAAAAGAGAAGUCAAACAGAGGGAGGAAGGCAAUCCUCCAUGGAGGAAAUAAUAAUUGUCUUGAAGGUUGUGUAGAGAGAUGGUGGAGAAACUUCUUUUGUUUUAUCUAUUGGUUAUCUUUCUAAUUGCUAGUUAACGAACAAUAAACUCUAAAUGAAACUACUAAAUUUGCAACCGAAGACAUUUUUGGGCUUGUAUCUUAGUAUCGUAAUCGUCACCCAAUUAGAGCCGCCCAUGACGGCUUCAUUAAAUAUAUAAUUUGGGGGAACCAGGAUUUAAGGCCAAAUUUCGGCAACCUUCAAGGCACUUCAUUGUUUUCUCACAAAUUUUGUUUAUUUAUUGUAAAAGAUUAACUUUAAAGUGUCCUCAAAUUUCUUCCCUAUCUUCUCUCAAACUUUACCAGUGAAAAUUGUUUGUCUUCGGGUUCGUUUGUUUCGGGUGAAAAUGUUUUCCAGAAAAAGUAUUUUCCUAAUUUCCCGUGUUUGAUUGCACAAAAGUUACUGAAAACAUUUUACAUAAAUUUUCACUCAUCUUAUGGAAAACAACUUCCCUUCCAAACUUACUGAAGUUGUUUUCCGAAAUGCAUGCAUCCCGCCUGUAGUAUGUUCCAAACUUACUGAAACCAUCUUGUAGUAUGUUCUUUUUUUUUUUUAGUGUAAACAGGAGGACUCGAACCAAGACCUCUUCCUUACACUCCCUCCCCCGUACCAUCCAACCCAACCCAACCCUCCCCCUAGUAUAUUCAAAAUAAAAAAAAACCUCAUCCUACUCAUCCUAUUCUAGUAAUUAAUUAUGUAUAAUAGGGACAUUCUUUUCUAGAGAAACUUUCAGCAAUGAUAGUGCAAGAUAUAUGUCACAAUAAGCAUUGCAUGUGAUUGAUAUUUGACACUAAAUGGCCAGCAAUUUGUUUAUUGCUUAAGGAGAUAUUUUUUAUUCAUAUAUACAUUUCUCCAAGAUUUUUUAAAGUUAAACAAUGAGAUAAAUUUUCUUAUUUUGCAUGGGAAGAAGUAUGUAGUUAUAAUGUGUAGAAAGUAAAGAUAGAGAUAAAAGUGAAAAUAUUUCAAAAGUUAAACAAACACCAAAAAAAUGAAGUAAGAAAAUAUUUUCAAUAAACUAACCAAACACCUGAAAAUGAUGAAAGAGAAAUGAUUUUCAUGGAAAAUUACUUCCACGGAAAAUAUUUUCCCAAGAAAAACAUUUUACUUCCAACCAAACAGACCCUUCAUCUCGUUGAUUGUCUCCCCCAGUGCAUACAAAUGUAUUAUGGGCAUUUUGGUGAAAGAAAGGCAUAAACUGAGUUCUGCACAACUAAAUUUUGCCAAUAGCAUAUGAAAAUAUGAAGAAGAAUAAUAAUAAAUGAAGGGUCUGUCUAAUAAGUAUUCAUAGGGAACCAUUGAAAUAUAUCUCAAGUGUCAUGUUUUUGGAAAUGUAAAAUUAAUAGAAAAAAUAAAUAAAUACAAGAGAGAGUAGAUAAAAUUAAAUAAGAAAAGUUAAUAAUUGUUAAUAGAUAUAUAUACAUAAUAGAUUAGAUGAACGUUAAAUAUGUUAACAAGUACCUUAUUAGCACCCGUUAAAAAAAGCUAUAAAUGAAAGAUGUGAUCACCAAAUCAUUGACAAAGAAAUGUGUUGAAAAUGAAACAAGAAAGUCAAACAUGAUAAGGGAUCAAAAAUGGAAUUUAAUAAUUGCAGAUACUCCAAGAAGUUGAGUUGAAAUCAGUUAUCCGAUUUCAAAUUCACAACUUCUGCUGUCAAAGAACUACAAAGGGACUCAACUUCUGCUAAUUUAUAUUAGUUUCGAAACUCUUACAAGUACCCUAGCAUCUGAGAUUAUCACCGGGAUCAACACCCAACUGGUUACAAUAUUCAGCAUAAUACUCAACACGAGCACUAACAGUGUCCGGAUUUGCACCAUCACAUUCAAGCUGUCCGUUAACGGCACGAAUUGUAGCCCCAAAACCCUGGCCAGAAGUGAUAAGAUCAUGACAAUUGUUCAUCCAGAACCACAAGGCAGUUUUGAAUGAAAUAACAUUAUCUGUGGCCACAGUUUCAGGUUCAGUUAGUCCAUCGAACCCUAUGCUUUCACCUGCUGGUCCAUAGUUAAAGUUCCAAGAUAUUUGUAUUGGACCCCUGCCGUAAUAUCCCUUGCCUGGCACACAAGGGUACUGAGUGUUGCGCUCAUCACAAUAGUCUUUGGAAGGGCCGUCUAUCUCUUCUAUAUAGCACAUAUCUGCACAAUAUAGAGAAGUCUGUAUCAAUUAUCACUGCAUUCAAUUGCUUAUAUGAAAGCCACUCAUUGAUACAUUAUGGAUUUUAGAUAUUUUUACUAUUAAAAAACCUAUAAUCUAAAUACAAAAUAAAUGAGAACAUAAAAAAAAUUAAUUAUUUAAAAUCAGAAUCUAUAGUCAGUUAUAAUAAUCAAUCAAGAACAACCCCAAAAAAUGUCAUCAAUAUUUAAGAAGGGACCAUAUGUGAUAAAGAAAUUAUAAAGUUAUAAGUAAUCACAGACUAAAUAAAUAACCAAUACAACAAAGUAGAAAAAAUUAACGUCAAAGUGGGACGGAGGGAGUAUAUGUUUUUCUUGGUAUCCUAGCAAUAUGAUAGUUGGAGCAAUAACCAUUGUCAAAUUUUGGUGUUUGAUUGUUGCUCUCAUGCUUGAGGGCAAGCAUGGUUCAGGUGUGAGGAGAAUUGAUAGGGUGUUAAUUGUUAGUAAUUUUAUUGUUAAUUUUCCCUUUUAUCCUUGCCAAAUAUUGUUUUAAUUAUUAAUAUUUACUUAUAUUUGGUAUUUGGACUCAAUUUCAGGGAAUAGAGUAGAAAACUACAAAAAAGGAGGGACUUUAUGGAGACAAUGGAGACUUCAAACAACCGGGGCCACAUGGUGCCACAAACGGAUGGCAUUUCCUUUUUACUGAUUAGGAGUUGAAGUCUUUGAUGGGCAACAGGAAACGAAAAGUAGAGAAAAAUUCGGCAGAGCUUUCUUUUUGUACUUGGACUCCCAAUUCGUUGGGGACCACAGAGAGCAUUAAGGAGUCAUACUUUUGCUUGGAAUAAAAAGAACGUAUAGAGGCUAGGGAUAGUUUUUAGCAAUAGUUUAGUUUUCUUCCUUUUUCCUUUUCAUGCAUGCCUACUGUUCGACAAAAGUCCCAACUGGAGAAAUAUCUUUCACCUCUUGAUUAUUUAGUGAAAAACCCGAUGCCUUUGCAAUCAAUUAAUUUGCGUGGAAAUUUAUUUAUGCGGCGUGGCUAAACUUUUCAUCUAGUCAAGGAUCAACUCGACGGCGCAGUCCCGAAUAUCUGUGAGAUCUAAUUAGUUUUCACGCGUUCUUAAUUUGUUAAUAAUUGCGCGUUGUCUAUUCGAAUUUCCAUGGGAUUAUUUUGUUAAUUGGAUGUCAAGGGAUCGAUGUUCAAUGUGACUUAUUAAUCUCCUGCCAAAUUAGUCAAUUAAAUCCAUAAUUGUUUGAUUGGUUAAUAUUAGUGGCAACUGGCGUGUUUACACACCAGGGGAACGUGCAAUCUAAUUUAAAUAACCCUCGUAGCGUGUUAUUGAUUGGGGUUAGGUUUUUCUAGUUAUUAAUGCAAUUGAAAAAUUAAUUCCUACGGUCGUACCUAGGAGUAUUUUCUGGUUAGGGGUAAUCAAUGGUUGUACCUUGGUUAUCAAUAAAUUAAAGAAAAAUUGGUCGUUAGAGUUCGUCGGCGACUAUAACUAGUCUAUUAAUAAAUUAAGUGAACCUCCCUUACAUCAAUGAUCGGGUAAGUGGACUAUGUUUGAAUAGUUGUAUUCUUGGUUAGAAUUUAUCUAUUCUUGAAUUAAUUCCUGUGUAUAUUCGUGUUAGUUAAUUAUUCGUUUUAUUUGAAUUGCUUAAUUAUUUGUAGUUUUAUUCUGAUGAAACACCCAUUUUACCAAUUGGAAUCUCAAAGAGACAAAUAUCCUCAAUUCCUGAGGAGACGUGUGAGAACCCGUAUUUUCCCUAAUAAUUUUCCUAGGGUUUUUCCCCUUUAAUGGCAUGUUUUCUGCAUUUUCUGGCUUAGAAAAUUUUCCUGGUGAAUUUUAUGAGUAAUUAUAGUUUUUAGAUGAUUUUUCUAGCAUUGGAUAGUUUUUGAAAAAUUACGGAUAUAUAACGGACGUGGGGCCCACUAGUGCGAAAAGUUCGGAAAAAUUCGGUCAAUAAGGUUAAGUUCCGGAUACUGAGUGAAAUUUAUCGGGUGUUAAGAGAUAAGUAUAGGAUGUGAUGUGAUUGAUGUGAGAGGAAAACAAAAGGAUAGAAAUGCAUUAAUGAAGUGACACUUGUCAUGUUGGGAUUGGUUUCACUUGUUGACAACUAUUCAUUUUUUUUGACUUUUCUUACCAAUUGAUUAAAUAUCUCAAAAAUCACAAAAAAAUUCACUCUUGUCUUCACCUUCUUGGCCGGCCACCUUGAGCUUAAGAAGGAAGAAAACUCUUCAAAAUCUUGGCUACCAUCUAGCUCAAAUCCUCCAAAACAAUUGCUUGAUCUUGUUUCUACUCCAUAAAAUCUCUCCAUUUGGUACUAGUAAGUGAUUUGGUGAAGUGUUUAAGGAAGCUAAGGUGUCCAACAACUCUCCCUCUCUUGUUUACUAGGUGAGUGGUGAUUGAACUUCCUCCUACACUUAAUGAAGCUUAAGUUGUGCUUAGUGGUAGCUAAAGUGCUGAAAUUUGUGGUUUAUUUCUUGGUUUGAGAUGAAAUGAUGAAGUUUUCAAUUUAAUGGUGUAUUUUCUGGUUUAAUGUGAUCAUGAUGUUGUGGUUAUCUAUGAUGGUUGGUAAUGAAGGGUAAUGACUCUAGUAGGUGUACAUGAUUGGUAAUUGCAAGCAAUUUUGGGUUUGGAAGGAAUUUGAGAAAGUUAGGGUUUUAUAUCCCCAAUUCUGUCCGAUUUUGUAUCUCAUGGUUAGAGGCCGAAUUGGCCUUGUCUUAAAACAUGAAAGUUGUAGGUAUUGAUGUGUUUGAGGUGCCUGUAAAAUUUCAGGUUCAUCGGAGUUGUGUAGAGUGAGAAAAGUCGAUUUUACUGUUGCUGUUCUGGGUUCUUCAGGAUGGCCGAACUGCGUCUGUAAUUGGUGGUUUUGGCUGGAAUUGCUUUGGAUUUGGUUGUUGAGGCCUUCUGAUGAAAUGUAGCUUGAUGUCUUAGCUACCGCAUGCCUUUGGUAUGAAUGAAUUUGGACUUGUAUAGACUGAGUUGGACUAAUUACAGCAUAGUGUAUUUUGUAAACCUGCAAUUAAGGUUCUGGUUUGGUAUUUUGCAUAUUUGACCUAGUUGUGCUAGGAAUUGGACUGAGUGACCUUCUACAUUGUUGUAGCCCUGUUUCUUAGCUUCGAAACGGUGGGUCUUACACCCUCAUCCGAUAAGCGUAGUGCAAUUUGUGCCAUUACCGCAAACUGAGGACAAAACUGUUUUUUUUUCAGGGCCAAGUUAGUUACAUUUCCUGAUUUUCUGGUUUGCUAUAAUGCUUAUAUAUGAAUAUGAAACCCUAUUGGGGUUGUGAUUGGCAUGGCUUUAUGACUCGUUAUCGAGUCUCAUUGUAUUUGUUUACGUGUUUUAGGACGUGACGAGGGUUCACGACGACCUUUUAACGACGGUGCAUGAAACAUCACCUACUUGAGUAGUGAGUAUACUACUCACUUGAAUGUUUAUAAUGUGGCUUUGCUAUAUGUGAUUGUGAUGCCUUGAAGGCUUGUUUGGCUAUUGGACAUGGUUAAGGUGAGGGUGUACUUGACCGCCCUCAUCCUUUUUAUCUUGUUAAUGACUGUUUACCGUUUCACUGUAAUACUGCACUUGCUAUAUGAGAUAUUGAAUUCCAUUCAUGGGAAACUGUUUGGGUGUCGGUUGGACGAGUAUCCAACGGCCCUACUGCAUUACUGAGCUCGACCCCGUUGGUAGUUACUUGAAUCGAGCCAGCGAGGGCUUGGUCGUGAAAAUUGACUAGCCACGGGGACUGAAAUGGGAAUCUUGUGGUAAUGAGACCCUUGGUUCCGGUGUACUCGAGUAUCACCUAAAGCUACUGCUUGGAGUGCGGGCCCGGUUGGGGUAUGUUGGGUGGAAGGAAUGGAAGUGAAGUGAGGUCUACGGUCGGGUAUUCUUAAACAUUGACGGAGGGUCAAUGAGGUUGGAUCAAGAAUGUAAGCGUGGAAAUGGGCUCUUGAGAGCCGUCCGUAUCCUUUUACCGACUUGUUUUAUUUCUUAAUUGCGUACUUGAGAUGAAAGUUAAGUGAUCUUUGUUGAUUAUGUGAUAGUUGCUCACUGAGCUUUAGCUCACUCCGUUCCAUUUGUUUUCCUUACAGGAAAAAUGACUAUUUUGGGAAAGGUUGUGCUAGUUGGUUGUCAAGUUGAGCUCAUGUAAAUGUAUAUUUUGAAUAGCUCCUUGAGGGUGAAAACCCUAAGUGUUUUGUUUCAACCAAUGGUUGGUUUGUAAUUGGCCAAUUGCACAUGUGUGAACUUGUUGGAUAUUUUGGUAUACCGCUUUGGCUUGUAAAUGUUAAAUUUCGAUGUAUAUAUGUUGGAUUGAUGUUUGGUUGAACUCCGGAUUCUGACAUGGCCGGUACUGUUCAUCAUCGGCUUCGAUUUUCAUAUUUUUUUUAUUUUGUGAUUUUGACUUGUUUGCGCGCGUUGGUGUGUUCCGGAACGUAGUAGAUCGACGUAAACUGAUCCGUUAGUCCUGGCGAGAGCUGGGCAGCCAGUCCGCUAACCCCUUUGGUUCGCCUUAGGGGAAGGUGGGGCUGUUACAAGACGACCCUACUUGCCACUGUCUGCCAAUUAGUAAAUUUUGUCAAAUAAUUAAUUCUGGUAUAUCGGAUUAAGCAAACUCUUCGAGAACAGGGUGAAUCAAGUAACCCAUUGCACACCUAGAGUCCCUGCUCCAGUACUUAGAAUUGAUUAUCGACUACUUUUGACGGGCGUAGGGUAUACAUAUAACAUUAAGCUCAUCCUAAUCAAGUUUUACAUUUAUAAACUCCUAAAUACCCUACACGCGAUUUAUCGCAAGUAUACGAAUCGUGAGCGAGUAUAGGGUAUUAAAAGUCGAUCUCACAAUGAAGAUUGCAAUUACCGGCACUACUAAAGCUUCUCUAUUAUUUAGACUAUCAAUGAAUUAUAACAAAUUUAACCUACUGAACUUAUGCAAGAAAAUAACAAAUGAAAGCUCCUUAAGUUGUGGUAUCCCUAACUACUCAUGCAAGUGCUAUAUUUGGAUCAUUGAAUACUACUAUCUAGGCUAGUUAUGGUGUAAUUUCCUUAAACAUGUGAAACCUACUUUCGUAGUGAAUCAACUAUAUUCAUAACUAAUCCAUACAUAUUCUCAUGGUUAUGAAAUUAGCUACAAGUUCAUUUCUUCAAUGAAAUUAAUCACUAAAAUCACAUAGGUGCACCUCUACUCUCGUGAGCGUACUCCCUAUGUUUAGCACUUCUUAAACUAGUGUUAAAUCUCAAUUUUCAUUGCAGAAACAACACCUUAAAUAAUCACAAUCAAUGGUACCAGAUUAAUCAUGAUUUAAAGAGCCAAAGUACUAAAUAACUUGCUCAAAUCAUAGCAAUCAAAUAACCAAAUAAUAAAUACUAACAAUUAUAGAAAGUUCAACCAAACCCAAGGCAUAAACGUUAGAGACACAUAUUAAACACAAAAUCCAGAACUUGCAUAUCAACUAAACUUAGAAUCCAAUACAAAAGAUAAAGAGUUGGAAAAGAGAUAACCAUUGUCACAUGAGCUUCAACUCCUCCUUUUUCAUCUCCAUUUUCAUCCUAAUCUAGCUAAUAUACAAGAAUGGAAGAGCUAUACUAUUCUAAACUAAACUAUCCUACUACUCAGAAAGUGCAAGAGCUACAUCUCUGCACUCCAAGUUUCUCCUGUAUGUCUCUCUAUUCUCCCUUCAAUCUUGCAAGCUUUGGCUAUAUAAAGGUGAAAGUUGGUCAAGAAGUGAGGUUUACACCUCCCUUUUACAGCUGGGAAUGUUUCUCACAUGUCUAGCAUCACCUGUGACUUAGUGGAGGUGAAAUUGAGUUUCCCACGUAAAGAGCAGCCUUCUCUGACCACAAUCCGGCCAGAAAUCUGGCCAAGUUCCGGCCGGAUUGCUACAGUGACAUUUUGGUGCACUUUUGUUCAAUUUCCAGCUCUGCUCCAAUUUUGUGUCAAUUUCAACUGAACUUUUGUUGAUGAUAAAAGCUGAUUUAGCUCUUGAUCAACAUAAAACUUGUAGCCCUUUGAGUUAGCUUUCCAAUGCAUCAAGAAUCACCUCAUUUGGAUCUGUGUAGGCUGAGAAAUGACCGAAAUACCUUUGACUGCUCACUGCCCUAUUUCAGCUUCGACCAAUAGAAAUUAGCUACUGUAAUUCGGCUUUUUAACCUGGAAAACCUUCAAAAUAGAUUCAGAUGUCUUCACCAAAGUUGUAGAUCUAUCUCUUAUCUUCAAAUUGGUUUAAGAAUCAUCUCAAUCCGAUCAUUAUAGCUCAAGUUAUAGCCAAAAUACGAAAAUGUGUCAAAACUGUCAAAAUGCACAAAAUCCAAGUAAAAAGUGAUAAAAACCUCAUUUAAUUACUUAAAAGCAUUUUUCACCAAUUAUAGCCAAAAUGAAUCAUUUUCUUCCAAUAAUGUAACCAAAGUGACUAACAAUAAUAUAAAAUAUCAUACAAUUAUUACAUAAAUUAGUCACUUAUCAGCUUUUAUUGGCAAUUAGGUUUAUUUUUAUUAUUGCACAGGUUCGGCACCUGUCAUUAGGAGUACUGGUUUUGCUGUGGGAUUUUUCGUUUUCUUUGUCAGCUGCGUCAGCUGCAUGGUGCUUUAGAGCAUAAGCCUUUGUUUUGUAUCGAAACAUCACGGCCAAAAUUGCCAAAAGCAUAUCGAAACAUGAACACAAAAUGAAAGAUGUGAGGAAACUUUAAUGAAGAUAUGCCUUGAGAUUUAAACACCAAAGACAAAAGCUCAAAAAAUAUUAUCAACGGAUCAAAAUAAGAACUUGAUUAUUGGUAAAACACUCCAACAAGUUAAGUCGAACCAAGAUCAACAUAAUCAAUUAUUUGAUUUCAAGAGUCAUAACUUUUGCUUGUAAAGAACAAAUAAAGUUAAACAAUUUAUUGCUUUUUUCCCCCCAGUCAGCUGUGUACCUCAACAUUAUUUCACGUCAAAAACUUGUUUUUCCUCGGAUUAAAUACCCUAGCAUCUGAGGUUAUCACCAGUCUCGACACCCAAUUGUCUACAAUAUUCAGUAUAAUACUCAACUCGAGCACUAACUGUGUUUGGAUUUGCACCAUCACAUUCAAGCCGACCAUUAAUGGCACGAAUUGUAGCCCCAAAACCCUGGCCAGAAGUGAUAAGAUCAUGACAAUGGUUCAUCCAAUACCACAAGCCAGUUUUGAAUGAAAUAACAUUAUUUGUAGCUACAGUUUCAGGUUGGCUGAGUCCAUUGAAUCCAAUGCUUUCACCUGCUGGUCCAUAGUUAGAGUUCCAUGAUAACUGUAUUGGACCCCUGCCGUAAUAUCCCUUGCCUGGCACACAUGGAUACUGAGUGUUGCUCUCAUCACAGUAAUCUCUGGAGGGGCCGUCUAUCUCUUCUAUGUAGCACAAAUCUGCGCAAUAUAAAGAAAUUUUGUCACUCAAUUGAAAUGAUUGAUAAAGGGUUAGAAUCAAAGAAAAUCAGGAGGUCUGGAAUUUUUUGUAAAUUUUUAGAUUUGAUUGUUUUACUAAUGAAUUCAAUUGGUGAGAAAAGACUUUAUCCCAUUUUGUAAAAAUUGGGUUGGACAGACCUAAAGUAAACACUCUUUUUAUGAGGUAAAAUUUUAGAAUGAUUUAACAUUAUAGGGUUAUACGAUAGAUAAAUAAAAAUUGGCAAUAGCAAGAUUAAGAAGGGACCAACAGUGAUAUAAAAAUUACAAAGGUAUCAUGGACGUCUAAAAUAUAUUUGGCUAAUAAAUUUGAACUAAUUUACGGCCAAAUUUAGGUGAAAUAGUUAAUUCUACUUGGUAAAUUGGAAGUUCGGAAACGUGUAUCUGUCAGUUGUCAUACUCAUGAGCGAGCCAAUCUUAACUUAAAAAAGAAAAAGAAAAAAAGAAAAAGAAAAAAGGAAUCCAAAAGAUAAAAGUAGAAAAGGCAUGAAUUUUAAAACGUAAUCGUAAUACCUUGUACCCGAAACAAAUAUGUGCAAUACUUAUUAAGCUAAGCAAAGCCACAUGAUCUACUCUUAGAUGCAGCAAAAUAUACAACCACCUUAAGCUUGGAAUGUAAAGGCAGAAAAACUUGCUUAUGUAGAUAUAAAAGUGACCACUACAAGAAAAGUAAAAAGAAUAUGGAGAUAAUAAUCCUUCUGUUCAUCAUGAUAAAUUAUUUAACAGUAAUAAAUCUUUCAUAUUCAAGUUUUAUUUUUUGAAGAAAAAAUUCUUGGAUAAUAGUGCACAGGAGAUUCCAAGAUAUACUAUCUAGAAAUUCACAGGAGCUACUAAAAAAGUAGAAAAUAUCUUCAAAAUUUAAUUUCCAAGCUAGUGUUAUUCAAAACUUACGUCCAGUCUCAUGAGUGACAUGAGCAAAGAAAGCAGCAAUCUCCCUUUUAGAAUCAUCAACAGAACCAGCGGUUCCAAACUGGGGAUACGAGUUCAGAGCUUCAAGAAAAGCUGAUCGAGUAUAGAACCCUUUUCCAGCACAGCUUGAAGCAGCUUGAUCAGCAAUCCCAUUAAAGAAAGCGUCCGUCACAAUAUCAGCAACUGAAACGCCACUAUUACCACUGCUCGGAGCAGCGGUGCAAGGGCCGGAUUGACAGCCAGAGCCGCAGUAGUCGUUGCCGGUACCGCAAUAGCCGAAUUUGCUGCAGCACAAGUCUGGUGCACAGCCGCAGUUUUGGCUUGAAAUCAGCUGUGGAAAGGCUCCUACAAGAACUACAAUGGAGAAAAUGAUGGUUGGAAAACUCUUCAUUUUUGGAUUUGAUAAAGGAGAGAAGCUUGUGGGCAGCAGUUGUAUCAGAAAAAAGGGUAUAUGUAGGGAAGAGAACUGAAAACUGAUCAGCUUGUGUGAAGCAUGCACAGCUGCUAUUGUUGAAAAUAUUGAAUUUGAGCAAUUAAAGAAAACAGAACAGAAGACGAAAGCGUGAAUGGUUGACUUCUAUCGAGAGUAUUGACUUUGACAUUGUCAAUGAAGCGGAAACUUUCUUUCUUGGCUUCUAGAAUGGGAAAGGUCAAAAAGAAAGAUUUUGGCCAAUUCGUAUGAACAAUUGUGAGAAUAAGGCAUGUAGACUCACAAGUCCCCACUAGAAUGUGUGCAAAAAUAUAAUUUGAAGUUGCCUAAAUCAUUUAAUUUCAUGCUUGUUAUUGAGUUUAUUUGCCUAACUGUGUUUUAGUAAUACUUCAAAAUUGUGUUUGAGUUAGAACGGAAAAAAAUAUGAGACAUUUUUUUUUUAAUUGCAAUUCCAGAAAUAAAAUCUUAUAAAACAUGUAUUAGAAAAAUUUUGAGGGUAAAUGAUAUGAAAAAAAAAAAGAAGAAAUAGUUCUAUAAAUUGACAUAAGUGUUCAUCGGCUUUUGGAAAAAUUAAGAAAGAAUAAAGCAGCCGACAUAUCUAUCAUGCAUAACAACAUUAUGUGGCUUUUGUUAGUACACGCUAUGACCAUAUAUGUUUCAUUUGAGAUGCUUGUCGGACGUGUUGAAUUGUUGGCAAUGAAAUGCUCCAAAAUGUCAGCACUAUAGUUUAUAAAUAGUAUUAGGUCAUACUGAAUUAUCGACAUAUCGUUACAUGCAGAGUCGUGAAAAUAUACAAGUCUUUCCCUAUCAUUAAUUAGUUGGUCAAAUGACAAUUUUAGAGUGGCUGCUGACUAUGUCAAGAAACAUCUUGCAGUAAAUUGGGCGAGUUAAUGUACUUUUCUUUUUCUAAAUAUUUGCACUUAAACUCUCAAAUCGACCAUAGUUUUAACUAAUUUUGCUCUGGCUUUAUUCUUGAUUCGCAAAAUUCAGAAAAACCAAAACAAACCCUUGUUACUGAAGAUAUCAAAAUGGUAACCCAACUAAGUAAUUGAUUUUGAAAAACAUUCUGAACCAAAUUUCAAGUUUUGGUUUCUUUGCUCUUUUUCUACUGAAAGGCAACUUCCCCGGGCCAAGAAAUUGAAACAAAUAGUACGAUGCUUAAGUUUUCUAUGCUCUUAUGAUCAAGUCAAACCAUGCUUAUAAUCAAUUACAUAAAAAAUUACGGGCAAUUUCGUCAUUAUUUGGGAGGAGGAGGAAUAUUAAGCAAAAAAAAAAGUUCUAUUAAGAAAACGAUUAAGCAUAUUAUUUUCCAGGAAUAAAAAAGAACGAGCAGAGAAAUACAUUAGUUUGGAUGACAUUACAACAUUUAGCAACAUGAUUAGGGAUGCAAUGGGAUGGGUGCCAAUUGGGAAUCAAUGGGAUGGGAGAAAAUGCAGGAGGGGAUGGAGGGAUUGAAGAAUAUUUCUCCUCCAACAUUAAAUGGAUACCUCCAUCCCAUCCCCUAAAACCCCUUGUUGCUAUUCCUAAACAGGAUGCUACUUAUAUCCUCUCUCUAUGAGCAUGUGUGGCUAGUGAGGAAUGCAGGAUUUUGAUUUUGGCGGGGGGAGGGUGGGGCAAAUUGACAAUCAAGAAACAAUAGAAAAAAAACCUUAGCAAAUAAAGCACACAAACUUAAAAUGAAAGUUUAAUAUACGAUAAAUAAAAUAUAAAUAUUUUUAAUAAUAAAAUACACCAUAUAAAUAAAAUGAUAGAGCAAUAAUUGGGCACCAUAAGUGCUGUUAUUUGGUCAUAAUGUUGGCUACUUAUCAUGCUAAGUAGUGCAGCUUUGCUCAUAUUUGAUAUUUGUGUAAAUUACAGGCGGUUGGUGUUGAAACUGAUCUCUCGAGGCAAAUUUUCAGAAGACUUUUUAUUUCAGAGCGUGCCGACGCCAGAAACUAUAGAGAGACUCCUCAAAGGUGGACCGCGGGACUAAUUAACUAAACUUACCUUUAUUCCUGCUUGACGCUGCUGGAAGUGCGUUAAAACAAAAAGGCAAUAAUUUCCAGCGAAUUGGGUAACAACCAAUAAGGAGGAAAAUUAGGGGCACUAGCCUACAAAGCCGGACCCGCGAGACUGGUAGACAAAGUGGGGAAUUAGGAAGUCUUCAAAGCGGCUAUUUUCUCGUGGGCUGCAGAGGUGAAAAGGACAAGUAGUUUGAGUCUUGCAGAGAGCUUUUGAGUUCUCUUACGUUUUGUCUUGCGGUAGCCACCCGGGGGAGGAUUGAAAAAGCCAUAUUCACGUGGGAUUAGGAGAUUAGCUUUAGUUUCUUGUAUCCCUGGGUAGACGAUCUGCUCUCUGCUUUGCUUUUGGCGACUUUCUUUAGACCUUUUUCUUUACUUUUCUCCGGCACGAACAGGGAACCAAAAAAGAAGCAAGACUUUUCGUUUGUCUCGUCGUUAUUUCAUCUUUCCCAACUUUUUGGUAAUUAAGUGGAUGGAAUCAAUCAAAUCACGCGAGAUUGAUGUGAUGAGGAGUGGCUAGGUUUCUCUGCUACCCAAAGGUCGACGCGAAGGCGCGGUCCAUAACAUCUGUGAGAUCUAAUCGAACUUUCACUAUUUCUUCCAAUCCGUUACUAUUCGUGCGUUUUCUGGAUUAACUGUUUAUGGUUAUUUUAUUAAUUGAGUAUCAACAGCCGGAUAUUUAAUUUAAUCUAAUAGCCUACUGUCACGUUAACUAAAUUGAAUCCGUAAUUAUUCGUUUAGUUGAUAAUUAGUGACAACCAUCAUAAUUGGCUUUAUGUUGGGAAAAACGUAAGAUCUAAUUUAGAUAAACCCUCUUAUAGCGUGUUUAUUGGUUAGGGUUGGAUUUUUCUAGCGUUAAUGCAACUGAAUAAUUAAAUUCCUACGGUCGUAUCUAGGGUUAUUUUCUGGUUAGAGAAACAGUCAACGGUCGUACCUUGGCUAUCGAAAAAGUAAGAAAAAACUAGCAGUCAGAGCUUGUUGAUCGCUAUAACCAACCUAGUGACGAAUGAGUGAAAUAUCUUUGCAUCGAUGAUCAUUUAAUUGGACCGUGCCUGAAAAGUUGAUCCUUUGGAUAGAAUUUUGCUAAUUGCUAUUUUCAGUGAAUUGUACUUGGCGAGUUAGCUUUUGAAUUUUGUUUAUUUUAUUUUCAUUUUCAUUCCAUUAAAUAUCCCCCAAUUUUGUUCUAUUGACUUGGAAAGAAACAACUUCUUACCCGUUACUUGUGGAAUCGACCCUACUUGCCAUUUUCAGAAACAACUUCUUAAUUUUAAUCCUUAUGAAACCCAGCUUCUCUCUCAAUUUUCAGAGGUUUCUUUUCCUUCAUCAUGUCAAAGUUGCUAUUAUAAUCACUGUAAUUAGACAGCUAAACCUGUCAUUCCAAUUAUACCCUUGGUCCGCCGUGGGAAAUACAUAAAAUGUGGUAGCGCUGCCCAAUAAGUCCCACAUUGGACCAUAUAAAAUUGUUUAAGGACUAAAUUGGUAAAAAAAAUCGUAAAUGAUGAAAUUGAUUUAAGUGAAAAAGUUCAAGGACCAAAUUGGCAAUUUUUCCUUAUUAUGAUUAUGAUUAUGAUUAUUAUUAUUAUUAUUAUUAUUAGUCUGAGAUGCCGAACAAGUUGUGGAGACUUAUUUCACCUUUACAAGGUCAUUGGAGGGCUUGACGAGGUGCGAUGUGGUAAGGAAAGGCACAAAAAACUCUUUUUUCUUUAUUAAAAAACAUACAAAUUGCACUAAUAAUGGCUGAAAAUGCAUCCAACAUGCAAUAGUGAAAAAUCGUUAGAUGCAAGAUAUAUAAAAGUUAACAAAAAUUAUCUUAGUACCUCUGAUAUAUUCCAAAUUCAGAUAAAUCAUCUGCCCCCAAUGAAUAUAUGUGCAUAUCAUCAUUGUCAAAAAAUAUUUAUGCAUAUCAUUGCCGUUAGAUUUUAUAUUGAAGUGGUUAAAGCUCCAAAUCUAGUAGAGAAGAAAUUCAACACUUGAGAAAAUAAGUUAAGAAAUUCAAGAUUUGACAUACAAAUCUGAAAAGCUCUCAAAUCUAACAAAACAAGAUAUAAAAUUAUCUGAAUAAAACUCUCACUAGAAUAUCUUAGUAGAGAAGAAAAUUCUCACUAGAUAGUCUCACUAUACUUUAUUAGACAUAAAAAAAAAAAAAAGAGAAGUCAAACAGAGGGAGGAAGGCAAUCCUCCAUGGAGGAAAUAAUAAUUGUCUUGAAGGUUGUGUAGAGAGAUGGUGGAGAAACUUCUUUUGUUUUAUCUAUUGGUUAUCUUUCUAAUUGCUAGUUAACGAACAAUAAACUCUAAAUGAAACUACUAAAUUUGCAACCGAAGACAUUUUUGGGCUUGUAUCUUAGUAUCGUAAUCGUCACCCAAUUAGAGCCGCCCAUGACGGCUUCAUUAAAUAUAUAAUUUGGGGGAACCAGGAUUUAAGGCCAAAUUUCGGCAACCUUCAAGGCACUUCAUUGUUUUCUCACAAAUUUUGUUUAUUUAUUGUAAAAGAUUAACUUUAAAGUGUCCUCAAAUUUCUUCCCUAUCUUCUCUCAAACUUUACCAGUGAAAAUUGUUUGUCUUCGGGUUCGUUUGUUUCGGGUGAAAAUGUUUUCCAGAAAAAGUAUUUUCCUAAUUUCCCGUGUUUGAUUGCACAAAAGUUACUGAAAACAUUUUACAUAAAUUUUCACUCAUCUUAUGGAAAACAACUUCCCUUCCAAACUUACUGAAGUUGUUUUCCGAAAUGCAUGCAUCCCGCCUGUAGUAUGUUCCAAACUUACUGAAACCAUCUUGUAGUAUGUUCUUUUUUUUUUUUAGUGUAAACAGGAGGACUCGAACCAAGACCUCUUCCUUACACUCCCUCCCCCGUACCAUCCAACCCAACCCAACCCUCCCCCUAGUAUAUUCAAAAUAAAAAAAAACCUCAUCCUACUCAUCCUAUUCUAGUAAUUAAUUAUGUAUAAUAGGGACAUUCUUUUCUAGAGAAACUUUCAGCAAUGAUAGUGCAAGAUAUAUGUCACAAUAAGCAUUGCAUGUGAUUGAUAUUUGACACUAAAUGGCCAGCAAUUUGUUUAUUGCUUAAGGAGAUAUUUUUUAUUCAUAUAUACAUUUCUCCAAGAUUUUUUAAAGUUAAACAAUGAGAUAAAUUUUCUUAUUUUGCAUGGGAAGAAGUAUGUAGUUAUAAUGUGUAGAAAGUAAAGAUAGAGAUAAAAGUGAAAAUAUUUCAAAAGUUAAACAAACACCAAAAAAAUGAAGUAAGAAAAUAUUUUCAAUAAACUAACCAAACACCUGAAAAUGAUGAAAGAGAAAUGAUUUUCAUGGAAAAUUACUUCCACGGAAAAUAUUUUCCCAAGAAAAAUAUUUUACUUCCAACCAAACAGACCCUUCAUCUCGUUGAUUGUCUCCCCCAGUGCAUACAAAUGUAUUAUGGGCAUUUUGGUGAAAGAAAGGCAUAAACCGAGUUCUGCACAACUAAAUUUUGCCAAUAGCAUAUGAAAAUAUGAAGAAGAAUAAUAAUAAAUGAAGGGUCUGUCUAAUAAGUAUUCAUAGGGAACCAUUGAAAUAUAUCUCAAGUGUCAUGUUUUUGGAAAUGUAAAAUUAAUAGAAAAAAUAAAUAAAUACAAGAGAGAGUAGAUAAAAUUAAAUAAGAAAAGUUAAUAAUUGUUAAUAGAUAUAUAUACAUAAUAGAUUAGAUGAACGUUAAAUAUGUUAACAAGUACCUUAUUAGCACCCGUUAAAAAAACCUAUAAAUGAAAGAUGUGAUCACCAAAUCAUUGACAAAGAAAUGUGUUGAAAAUGAAACAAGAAAGUCAAACAUGAUAAGGGAUCAAAAAUGGAAUUUAAUAAUUGCAGAUACUCCAAGAAGUUGAGUUGAAAUCAGUUAUCCGAUUUCAAAUUCACAACUUCUGCUGUCAAAGAACUACAAAGGGACUCAACUUCUGCUAAUUUAUAUUAGUUUCGAAACUCUUACAAGUACCCUAGCAUCUGAGAUUAUCACCGGGAUCAACACCCAACUGGUUACAAUAUUCAGCAUAAUACUCAACACGAGCACUAACAGUGUCCGGAUUUGCACCAUCACAUUCAAGCUGUCCGUUAACGGCACGAAUUGUAGCCCCAAAACCCUGGCCAGAAGUGAUAAGAUCAUGACAAUUGUUCAUCCAGAACCACAAGGCAGUUUUGAAUGAAAUAACAUUAUCUGUGGCCACAGUUUCAGGUUCAGUUAGUCCAUCGAACCCUAUGCUUUCACCUGCUGGUCCAUAGUUAAAGUUCCAAGAUAUUUGUAUUGGACCCCUGCCGUAAUAUCCCUUGCCUGGCACACAAGGGUACUGAGUGUUGCGCUCAUCACAAUAGUCUUUGGAAGGGCCGUCUAUCUCUUCUAUAUAGCACAUAUCUGCACAAUAUAGAGAAGUCUGUAUCAAUUAUCACUGCAUUCAAUUGCUUAUAUGAAAGCCACUCAUUGAUACAUUAUGGAUUUUAGAUAUUUUUACUAUUAAAAAAUCUAUAAUCUAAAUACAAAAUAAAUGAGAACAUAAAAAAAAUUAAUUAUUUAAAAUCAGAAUCUAUAGUCAGUUAUAAUAAUCAAUCAAGAACAACCCCAAAAAAUGUCAUCAAUAUUUAAGAAGGGACCAUAUGUGAUAAAGAAAUUAUAAAGUUAUAAGUAAUCACAGACUAAAUAAAUAACCAAUACAACAAAGUAGAAAAAAAAAAGGAAAACAAUAAUCCCUCUGCCCAGUUAUAAGAGACACACCCUCAUGAUAAAUUUCUUUUUUUUCUUUUUCAGUUAUGUCAUUUUAAGUUAUUUGACAAUAGAAAGUAUUUCAUAUUAAUGUCGUUAUCUUUGAAGAAAGUUCUUGGACAAUAGUGCACAGGACAACAUCCUACGUAGAACUGUACAAAGAUUUAGUAAAUAGGAUCUAAGACGUAGAAAAGUUGCUAAAAAUUUCAAAAAAACUAAAUCUCCUUGGUGGAGUUGUUCAAAGCUUACGUCCAGUCUCAUGAGUGACAUGAGCAAAGAAGGCGGCAAUCUCCCUUUUGGAAUCAUCAACUGAACCAACUGUUCCAAACUCAGAAUACAAAUUCUGAGCUUCAAGAAACGCCGAUCGAGUAUAGAACCCUUUUCCAGCACAGCUUGAACCAGCUUGAUCAGAAAUCCAGCUAAAGAAAGCGUCUGUCACAACAUCAGCAACUGAAACACCAUUAUUACCACCAUCUGAUGAAGCGGUGCAAGGGCCGGACUGGCAGCCUUUGCCACAAUAGUCGUCGCUGGUGCCACAAUAGCCCCACUGGCUGCAGCAUAAAUCUGGUUCACAGUCACAGUUUUGGCUUGAAAUCAGCUGGGAAAAGGACCCUACAAGAACUGCAAUGGAGAAAAUGAUGAUUCGAAAAUUCUUCAUUUCUGUACUUGAAGAAGGAGAAAAGGAUGUGGACAGAAAUUGUUUGAGUAAGAAGGAUAUUUAUAGCAUGGAGAACUGGAAAAGUGAUCAGCUUGUGUGAAGUAUGGAGAACUGCUAUUGUUGGAAAUCUUGAAGUUGAGCACUGAAUGGAAUGGAUAUAAAAUGCAAUAUUAGUGCUUGACUUUCAAUUAAUCUAUUGACUUUGGCACUGUCAAAAAGUAGCAACCUUCUUUCUUGGCAUUCGGAAUGGGAAUUGUGGAAAAGAAAAAUUUUGGCCAAUUGAUAUCAACAAUUGUGAGUACAAGUCACAAGUCACAAAUAUAAUGCGUGCAAAAAAGAUAACUUGAUGUUGUCUGUAUCAUCUGAUGUUAAUAAAGCCUAACUCUGUUGUAGUCCUAUUUCAGUCUCGUAUUUGAGUCAGAACACAGAUGAUAUUUGUACCAUUCUAGAUCCACGGGCUGCCCUACUACAAAUACUUUUCAUUUGGCUUAAAAAAAACAUUUUAAAGGGUGUAAGCUUUACAAUUAAAGCACGAUCUUUACCUUAUCAUGCAAAGUAUUGGACAUAUAAAAUUUUAUCAAACUGUUGUAGUGAAAAGAACUCAAAUGAUCAAAUUUUAUCCAGUUGAUAAAUAUAGAAUCCUAAAUAAAAUGCAUAGUCCUUUUUUUUUCCUUUAGAGUUCUUAUUGCAUACUAUAUGAAUUAAUUGGUAAAAUUUUGGUAGCGUAUAGGAAAUGAUACCAAUAUAAAAACUACAUUUACUACUCGAGGGCUUAUUAUGCUGCCCAAUUUUUUGGUUUCUACCAUGAGCUGAAAAAAAAUCUUUUCGAAGCAUAAGUUUCCCCAAAUUCUCAUAGACUUUACAAAUGAAAGUUAUUUGUUUCUUGUCGUUCAUUGACUCACCAUGCGUGUGCAGAUGAAUUAUUGAUUGGCCUUUUUGUGGCAGAAAGAUAAAACAGAAUUGAACCAAAGACCUCAUAAUUCCCUAAUUAGUCACUUCAGCCAGUUGAAUUAGAUCUUAUUCACAAGUUUUUUGUACUUCGGUAUAAUAGCGCUCCUGUUCCUUAGUCUCUUAUGCUUCGGUUUACUCCCAAUCUUAAUUGCCUUAACAUUGGUGCAUUUAGACCCUUGCAUUUGGUAAUUCAUAAUCUUAGUAUAGUUAUGAUCCUCAAAUAUCAUACCUUGAGAAACAUCACGGCUAAAAUUACCAACAGCAUAUUGAAACAUGAAAAGUAAAUGAAAGACGUGCAGAAACUUCAAUGGAGAGGCUUGUUGAGAGUGGAAACACCAAAGUCGAAAGCUCGACGAAUACGAUCAAGGGUUCAAAACUGGAACAUGCCUAUUCGUAAAUAGUCCAAGAAAUCGAAACAAGACCAACAAAAUCAAUUAUAUGAUUUCAAAACUUAACAACUUUCGCUUGUAAAGAGCAAGAAAGGUAAACACCUUUUGCUAAUUUUUAUUAAUUUCCAAUCAGUUUUAAGCCUUUAUAGCUCAACAUAUUACUCCCUUCCGAGCACUUUCGGCUCUCCAGAAGUACCCUAGCAUCUGAGAUUCGGACCAGGAUCAACACCCAGUUGGCGACAAUAUUGAGUAUAAUACCCAACACGAGCACUAACAGUGUUUGGAUUUGCACCGUCACAUUCAAGCCGACCAUUAAUGGCACGAAUUGUAGCCCCGAAACCCUGGCCGGAAAUGAUAAGAGAAUGACAAUGGUUCAUCCAAAACCACAAGGCAGUUUUGAAUGAAAUAACAUUAUUCCUGGCUACAAGUUCAGGUUGACUUAGUCCAUUGAACCCAAUGCUUUGUCCUGCUGGUCCAUAGUUGUAGUUCCAUGAUAUUUGUAGUGGACCGCGGCCGUAAUACCCCUUGCCUGGCACACAUGGAUACUGAGUGUUGCUCUUGUCACAGUAGUUUCUGGACGGGCCGCUUAUCUCUUCUAUAUAGCACAUAUCUGCAUGAUAUAGAGAAGUGGUAUUAGUUAUCAUUCCGUCGAAUUGCCAAAAAAGGAAAAAAUGAACGUUAGGUAAGACAAGGAUUGUCGGAUGAUAUGAUAAUGAAAAAUGUAGCAAAAUUUUAUGAGUUCUAAUAACAAUUAAUUGCAAAAUUAUAGAAUUGAAAGGAUUUAAGAAUCACAAACAAAAAUAUUUAUGUGGGAGAAAAGAGAAUAAAUAACUUAACUCAAAAUGUCAUUAAUAUUUCAAACAAAGAAGAAAAUCUCACCACAAUAAAAAUCUAAUAAAUUUUCUAUAGACUAUUUUAGGCUCUCUUAAAUUUUUAGAAAAUACUCCACCUAAUACUCUAGUGCUAAUUUAUGAGAAUCAUUGAAUAAGAAACAACACGAUUAAUUAUGAAAUAAAACACCAAUCACUAAAUAAUAAAAUUACUAGAAAUUGACUUCAAUAAAACUAAUGAUAAUUAAAUAGAAAAUUUUUGAAGCUUGGUUUAUUUUGCCAAAAAAAGAAAAGAAAAGAAGAGCCAUCAAUAUUUAUGAAUAGACCACAAGUGAUUUAAAAUUUACAAAGUUGUAAGUAAUGAUUUAAAAUUUACAAAGUUGUAAGUAAUCACAUGCUUACUAAAUUAUAAAGUUGACUACUACAACAAAGUGAAAAGAACGGAAAAUAAUAAUUUCUCUAUCCAAUUAUAAGUGGCACCCAUAUUCAUGAUAAAUUAUUACAAUAAUAAGUAUUUCUUGUUAAAAUUUUAGUUUUUGAAGAAAGUUCUUGGAUAAUAUUGCAAAGAAAAAUAGUCAAAACUUGGGGACAUCCGGUUUUCAAAAAUCCAAUAGACCAAAGUGUGCUAUACUUUCUCACCAAGUGGUUUAACACAAUUUGGACUAUUGAAUUUUUGAACAUGGGACUUACCCAAGUGUGAGUCCAGAAAAAUAAUCUAUAUAUUACUGUACCAACAUUUAGAAAAGUUACUAAAAAUAUUUUAUAGAAAGUUCCAAAGUAAUUCUCUUUGGUAGAGUUGUUGAAAACACUUACGUCCAGUCUCAUGAGUGACAUGAGCAAAGAAAGCAGCAACCUCCCUUUUAGAAUCAGCAGCAGAACCAGCAGUUCCAAACUUAGAAUACGACUUCUGAGCUUCAAGAAAUGCCGAUCGAGUAUAGAACCCUUUUCCAGCACAACCCGAAGCAGCUUGGUUAGCAAUUCCAUUAAAGAAAGCGUCUGUGACAAUACCAGCAACUGAAGCACCAUUAUUACCACCGCUGGGUGCAGCAGUGCAAGGGCCGGAUCGGCAGCCGGGGCCACAGUAGUCGUUGCUGGUGCCGCAAUAGCCGAAUUUGCUGCAGCAUAAGUUUGGUGCACAGCCACAGUUUUGACUUGAAAUCAGCUGUGGGAAGGCUCCGACAAGAACCAUAAUGGAGAAAAUGAUGGUUGGAAAAUUCUUCAUUUUUGUGCUUGAAGGAAGAGAAAUGGAUGUGGGCAGAAGCUGUUUGAGAAAAAAGGGUAUAUAUAGGGAGGAGAACUGGAAAAUGGAUCAGCUUGUGUGAAGAAGGGAGAGCUGUUAUUGUUGAAAAAAUUUAAGUUGACUAAUGAAUGAAAACAGAAAUCACGUUUGACUUUAAUUCGUGCAUUGACUUUGACAGUGUCAAUAAGUGGGAAUUUUUGUUCUUGGUUUCUAGAAUGGUAUUUGUGAAAGAUUGAUUUUGAUCAAUUGAUAUCAAUAAUUUUGGAAUUGAAUAAUGUAGACUCACAAGUCGCAACUACUGUGUGUAUUUUUAUGACUUGAAGUUGUCUACAGCAUUUAAUUUAGUGCUCAUUAAUUCAUUAACUUGCCUAACUAUGUUUUAGUCAUACUUCACAUUUGCAUUUGAGUUUAAGCACUCAAAAAUAUGAGACAGAUCAAUUUGUCAGUUACAAUUCAUGAAAUAAAAUAGUGUAGAACCUGUGUUAGAAUAAUUUUAGGUUAAAUGGUAAAGAAAAGCAACACUUUUACAUAGCAAUAUAAGUGGUAGUCAGUUUUGGAAAAGCUAAGAAAGGAUUAAAGCCCCGCUUGAUAACCUAAUUCAACACUUAAAUUUAUUGAAUUCAAAUUUUAAUAUAUUCAGACCAUUUGAUAACCAAAGAUUGAACAUCUGAAUUAAUUAAUUCGCACUGAAUUUUCUAGGUAAAACUUAUUUCCAAAAUUAAGUGAUAAGCUAUUCACUUAUCAUUGAAUAUGAUAUGCACUCAAAUAUAUUAGAUUUAAUACUUAACAACUCAAUAAUUUAACGGAUUUAAAUUUAAAUUUUCAAUUUUCAAAUUUGAGACUUCAAUUUUCACGCUUAACUUUUGUCAAACGCAUCCUAAUUAGGCCACUUGCAUAUCACGAAUGACAAAACCAUGUGGCUUCUGCUAGUACACGUUUCGACAGUAUUCCACUUCACGUGUUUGUUGGGCAUACUGGCAUGUCCAUUUGCAUCAUGUCCUAUUUCAUAACAAAAUAUUAUAUUCUAAAUAUAUAUGAAAUAUUUAAUUUAUAUAUGUUAAUUUUUUAAUACAAUAAUAUAAUGUACUUGUAAAUCAAAUAGUAUUAAGUAAAAUAACUACAUAGAAGCAGAUAAAAAUAUAACUGCAGUGCCCCUGUUAGAUUGAAUCUUUAACAAAUUGAAUGCUUUGAACUUUUUUCAUUCAGGAUUUCAGUGCUAUAAUUUAUAAACAGUAUUUCCAAAAAAGAAUUGUUAGUGAAGAUAUCAAAUUGGUGCCCCUAGUAAGUAAUUGUGUUCAGAAAACAACUAGAGUCAAAAGUCAAAUUUUCGUUUCUUUCCUGUUCUUGUCUAAAGACAAUUCUGCAGACAAAGAAGUUGGAAAAAAAAAUAUGCUCACAAUUUGGCAGGGCAAACCUCCUUGCCUAAAAAUUAAGAAAAAUCCACGCCUAAAAAUUAAGAUAAGAAAAAAAAAUCAGUUCAUUUUCUCCUCAUGUUCACUAUUAUCUUAUUAAAUUAAAGGAAACCACGCUUAUAAAUUAUAAUCACUUGCAUCAAAAUCCAACGGCAAUUUUCUCCAUUUUUUGGAAAGAAGAGGAAGGGGGAAAAAGGAAGAAGCUUCCGUAGAAAAGGAAAGAAUUGAGAAAUGUGAUAGGUACUCUGUCUCCCUCUCGGCAAGUGCGGCUUAAGCCAAGCACAGCUCACAGAAGUCCAUUGUUGAAUUAGUCUCCCUGAAAAUUUCUAGCCAUAAAAAUUUUAACUUUUCCUUUUAGUAUAAAUGGAAGAUCUCGAAGUGGGGACCUCUUAUUUACAUUUUCUCUCCUCAUAUCAUUCAACUCAUUUUUUCCCCGAAUUUCAACUUGCUACUCCAUAACUUAGCUUCAUGGAUCUAUAUUUAUGUUCUCAGAAAUGUGAUGUCAUACUUCUAGAUACAUUCAAAAGCGAUGAAUAGUCGAUCAUUUGGACAAUUGUAGUUUAAAGAACUAAGAAUUAGUGCAAAUAUCUAGUUCAUUGAAAACGUAUGGCCCUUAAUUUUUGUAUUUUGACGAUAUACAAGUCUGAAAUUCUAGAAAACAAAGAAAACUGCCAUCCUUGAACAAUUCUUUAGAGAUUUUUUGUUCUUUUUAUUUUUUGAGCAAAUGAAACAUCUUCCCGUUUAUCAUUGGAACAUAAGCUUUACAAAGGAGCAAAACCUCUUACUACAACAAAAAAUCUGGAGCGAGCUAUACCCAUUAUACAAUACUAUGCAUGUGAAAACAAACAAAACAGACAGAAUUCAACCAAGAUCAAUCUAGCAAACGUCCGUGAUCUAUCCCCCAUUCUAACAACAACUCCCAAUUUUCCUUACUACCAGGAGCUUUAGCCCAUAAGAGACAAGUCAAGUUGAACAAUUUUAACCACUGCCGAUUUAAUAAAAUUUGGAGUGAAACCCUCCAACGUGUACAGGGUUUGUCUUUCCAAAAAAACAAAAAACAAAAAACAAAACCGCUGCUGCAACUACUUCCAUUAUCAGUAUUCUGUAUACGAAAAUCAACAUUUAGUCUUUCCCAAAUUUAGUAUAUUUUAGUGCAUAAUUGAAAAAAAUUCUCUUGGCACAAGUGGAAAAUUAUAGAUUUGAAAUCAAUUACAAAAUUUCCUAGAAAAUAGACGCCCACUGAUCAACUAUGGCGCUUCGUAGUUCAGCUUUUCCAGUCUCAUACGUAGAAGUUGGUCCUAAUAGUGCAUUAAUGUUUCAUAGUUAAUCAGAAUUUUCUAUGACAAAAAAAAAGAAGAAGAUUCAUGAAGAAAAAUAAUCUAUUGGCUGUACUUUAUUUCGAUUUAGACAUCAAUAGUGCAAUGGCAAAAGGACUUUGUAGAUGAACCUAGUUGAUGUAAUGAAUUUAUGAUGAUUUAAUUAACUAAAAAGGCAAUCAAUUCGGUCUGCUUAAUGUCAUACUCAAGAGGUCAUCAUCUUUGUCAAAGGGUCUAUACAUUCCAUACAUUAGUAGUAAAUGUUAGUGGAUUUGUUACUAUUGCUGACCAUGUUAGCCACUGAUUUCUAUUAAAUCAUGUCUUUAGCUUCUUAUAAGCUUCUCUAUACCCUACCUAAUCUCAUACCAUUUUACUUUCUCUUGGAUUAUGUGGAAUGCCUACUUGACCGCAAUGUCUAUAUUUUAAUGAUACCAGUACAUUUUCAAAUCUUCAAUUAGCUUUUAAAGUAUCGAAGUUCAGUUCACUAAUUGGCCAUAAAGACAGAUCAAUAGCAAAGUUGAAAUAUGCCACUUAUCCUGAGACGUUGUAGAAAGUUGGAAUGUUAAUGUCGUCCCUUGUAAUCCGAAUAUGUGAAACUGAAGUUGUUGAAGGGUGGGGGAGAGUUGGGUUGGGUGGUACGGGGCAGGAAGUAUAAGCAAGAGGUCUCGAGUUCAAGUCCUCCCGCUUACACUAAAAAAAAUUAAAAAAAAAAAGAAGCUGUUGAAGGGUGAAUGAGUUUUUCAGUUGUAUACAAGCUGUAUAAUGGGGUUUUCAAUAAAAAGUUUAUCAUUUUCUCAAAAAAAGAAAAAAAAAAGAAGAAGGGUGAAUUGAGGAAGCUGAAUGCUAAGCGAUAUAGUUCUAUUAGUGAUAGAAUAUAACAGGUGUGUAUGGCCAGUUAUGUGAAGUGCAAUCGUUCUCCUUCAUUCACCUUUUGAUAUUACUUUACGGGCCAAAUAUAAGAAUGAGAUCUCUUGGGCUGGCCACGUCUUCUUCUUCUUCGUUUUUUUUUUCCAUUCUUCUUAUAGAUCUUUAGGCGAAUAAGCAAUCUUUGGGGAAAUAAUGUAGUAUAUUUGGACAUUGGGAUAAUUUAACAAAUCUCCAUUGAGUUUUAUGACAAAUUCAUCAUAGUUCCCCCUCAAAUUAUUGCAUUACACUUGUGUCUAUUAGCUAUUGAUUUCCAAGGUAAAUGCUGAAUUUCCCCUCUAGGUUUACCAUUGACACUUUCUAUACAAAGCGAUACAAAUUAUAUAUAAGAGAUUUGUGAAAGUGUCAUACUUCCGAGCUAUAACUCAUAAACAAAGGCAUUCGUAAAACCCUUUUGAUUCAAAUAUAUAGAUUUUUUUUUAUCCAACACCAAAAUUAUAUUGCCCAAUAAAAAAAGAAAACCUUUUUUUUUGGUUAAACCAAACUAUUAUUAUUGCAGCCCCAAAAAAGUACAAAGUUCGGGACCAGCCCUUCCCUAAGAAUACAAGCUCACACACCCUGCCCCACCUCUAAUUAACCCCUACCGCCGGCAUCUACGAAAAUUUGGAUACCCACACACAUCUAAUAUAUAGAUAUACUCACCUAUACACUUAACAAUUUAAUGUAUGCUAAAGUGAGUAGAAUAGGGUUUUGAAAAAGUACUCAAAAGUAUGCUACUUCCAUCAUUACCUUCUAGCACGCAUUGUGCAAACUCUUUUCAAAUAGAAAAAAGGGAAUGAAGAGGAGAUACAAAAAAGGGUUGCAAAUUCUUUAAAAUAUGGCAAGGGUAAGCAUGCAAGUAACAUAUAACAUGAAACAAACAUGUUAAGGAAACCUUAAAACAAGAGAGGUAACAGUAAGUUUGAAAACUUUGGUGCAGCUAAAUGAAGUCAAAAACCUAAAACAAGGUUGAUGGAAUUAUCCCUAGUAAACUCUAUGUGUCCUUCACCAAGUGAAAAAAUACUGUUCAAAAUUCUUAUUUCUAUCGGAACCAUUUCGAGGAACUCCAAUUCGGAUGUCAAUACUAAAAGAAAUUUUCCCUAUGGUACCCCUGAUUUUGAAAUUCACUAAUUAUUUGUAUAAUUGUAUCAUAUAUAUGCUUUUAUGUAUUGUGUAAUGAUUCACAUCAAAUUCAUGAGAAAUUUCGCAUCCCUCUCACAAAAGUUAGCAAAUGCAUUGUAUAUAGGAAGCUGAAAACCAAACAAGACUUUAUUAUUAGGUUAUCGAUCAGUAUUAUUGGUCCUAUCCAAGUGUCAUCACGUUUUGUUUAUUCAAGUGUCAUAAUGUUAUUGAUAGUAUAAUUGGGUUGCAUGAUUAUGGUUGAAAGUGUGGAAUAUGCGAUUAAACUCCGUGUUAGGAGUACUGGUUUUGCUGUGGGUUUUUUCGUUUUCUUUGUCAGCUGCGUGGGGGCUUUAGAGCAUAAGCCUUUGUUUUGUUUCUAAACAUCACCGCCAAAAUUGCCAAUAGCAUAUCGAAACAUGGACACUAAAUGAAAAGAUGUGAGGAAACUUUAAUGAAGAUAUGCCAAAGACAAAAGCUCGAAAAAAUAUGAUCAAGGGAUCAAAAUAGGAACAGGCGAACACCAACAAGUUAAGUCGAACCAAGAUCAACAUAAUCAAUUAUUUGAUUUCAAGAGUCAUAACUUUGCUUGUAAAGAACAAUUAAAGGUAAACAAUUUGUUGCUUUCCCCCCCUCCCCAAUCAGGUGUGUACCUCAACAUUAUUUCACGUCAUGAACUUGUUUUUCCUGGGAUAAAUACCCUAGCAUCUGAGGUUAUCACCAGGCUCGACACCCAAUUGUCUACAAUAUUCAGUAUAAUACUCAACUCGAGCACUAACUGUGUUUGGAUUUGCACCAUCACAUUCAAGCCGACCAUUAAUGGCACGAAUUGUAGCCCCAAAACCCUGGCCAGAAGUGAUAAGAUCAUGACAAUGGUUCAUCCAAUACCACAAGCCAGUUUUGAAUGAAAUAACAUUAUUUGUAGCUACAGUUUCAGGUUGGCUGAGUCCAUUGAAUCCAAUGCUUUCACCUGCUGGUCCAUAGUUAAAGUUCCAUGAUAACUGUAUUGGACCCCUGCCGUAAUAUCCCUUGCCUGGCACACAUGGAUACUGAGUGUUGCUCUCAUCACAGUAAUCUCUGGAGGGGCCGUCUAUCUCUUCUAUGUAGCACAAAUCUGCGCAAUAUAAAGAAAUUUUGUCACUCAAUUGAAAUGAUUGAUAAAGGGUUAGAAUCAAAGAAAAUCAGCAGGUCUGGAAUUUUUUGUAAAUUUUUAGAUUUGAUUGUUUUACUGAUGAAUUCAAUUGGUGAGAAAAGAAUUUAUCCCAUUUUGUAAAAAUUGGAUUGGACAGACUUAAAGUAAACACUUCUUUUAUGAGGUAAAAUUUUAGAAUGAUUUAACAUUAUAGGGUUAUACGAUAGAUAAAUAAAAAUUGGCAAUAGCAAGAUUAAGAUGGGACUAAAAUAUAUUUGGUUAAUAAAUUUGAAUUAAUUUACGGCCAAAUUUAGGUGAAAUAGUUAAUUCUACUUGGUAAAUUGGAAGUUCGGAAAUGUGUAUCUGUCAGUUGUCAUACUCAUGAGUAAGCCAAUCUUCACUUAAAAAAAAAAGUAAUCCAAAAGAUAAAGCCGCAUGAUCAUCUACUUUUACAUGCAGCAAAAUACACAAUCACCAUAAGCUUAGAAUGUAAAGGCAGAAAAACUUGCUUCUGUAGAUAUAAAAGUGACCACUACAAGAAAAGUAAAAAGAAGAUGGAGAUAAUAAUCCUUCUAUCCCCUUAUAAGGAUUAAACCUUCGUCAUGAUAAAUUAUUUGACAGUAAAAACUCUUUCAUAUUCAAGUUUUAUUUUUUGAAGAAAAAAUUCUUGGAUAAUAGUGCACAGGAUAAUUUAGAUUCCAAGAUAUACUAUCUAGAAAUUUACAGGAGCUACUAAAAUAGUAGAAAAUAUCUUCAAAAUUUAAUUUCCAAGCUAGUGUUAUUCAAAACUUACGUCCAGUCUCAUGAGUGACAUGAGCAAAGAAAGCAGCAAUCUCCCUUUUAGAAUCAUCAACAGAGCCAACGGUUCCAAACUGGGGAUACGAAUUCAGAGCUUCAAGAAAAGCUGAUCGAGUAUAGAACCCUUUUCCAGCACAGCUUGAAGCAGCUUGAUCAGCAAUUCCAUUAAAGAAAGCGUCCGUCACAAUAUCAGCAACUGAAACGCCACUAUUACCACUGCUCGGAGCAGCGGUGCAAGGGCCGGAUUGACAGCCAGAGCCACAGUAGUCAUUGCCGGUACCGCAAUAGCCGAAUUUGCUGCAGCACAAGUCUGGUGCACAGCCGCAGUUUUGGCUUGAAAUCAGCUGUGGAAAGGCUCCUACAAGAACUACAAUGGAGAAAAUGAUGGUUGGAAAACUCUUCAUUUUUGGAUUUGAUAAAGUAGAGAAGCUUGUGGGCAGAAGUUGUAUCAGAAAGAAGGAUAUAUAUAGGGAAGAGAACUGAAAACCGAUCAGCUUGUGUGAAGCAUGCACCGCUGUUAUUGUUGAAAAUAUUGAAUUUGAGCAAUUAAAGAAAACGGAAGACGAAAGCGUGAAUGGUUGACUUCUAUCGAGUGUAUUGACUUUGACAUUGUCAAUGAAGCGGAAACUUUCUUUCUUGGCUUCUAGAAUGGAAAAGGUCAAACGGGAAGAUUUUGGCCAAUCAUAUAAACAAUUGUGAGAAUAAGUCACGUAGACUAACAAGUCCCCACUAUAAUGUGUGCAAAAAUAUAAUUUGAAGUUGCCUAAAUCAUUUAAUUUGAUGCUUAUUAUUGAGUUUACUUGCCCAACUAUGUUUUAAUAAUAUUUCAAAAUUGUGUUUGAAUUAGAACAAAAAAAUAUGAGACAUACUUAUUUAUUUAAUUGCAAUUCCAGAAAUAAAAUCGUAUACAACAUGUAUUAGAAUAAUUUUUAGGGUAAAUGAUAAAGAAAAGAAAUACUUCUACAAAUUGACGUAAGUGAUCAUCAGCUUUUCGAGAAGUUCAGAAAGAAUAAAGUGGCCGAUAUAUAUAUCAUGCAUGGCAAACUAUGUGGCUUUUGUUAGUACACGUUAUGACUAUAUGUAUGUUUCAUUUGACAUGUUUGUUGGACGUGUUGAAUUGUUAGCAAUGAAAUGCUCCAAAAUGUUUUCAUGCAAGAUUUCAGCACUGUGGUUUAUAAGCAGUAUGAGGUCAUAGUGAAUUAUCGACAUAUCGUCACAUGCAGAGUCGUGAAAAUAUACAAGUCUUUCCCUAUCAUUAAUUAGUUGGUUAAAUGACAAUUUCUAGAAUGGAGCUUCAUGGUUGGCCAUGUCAAGAAACAUCUCGCAGUAAAUUGGGCGAGUUAAUAUGGUCCUCUUGUUUUACACAGGAUGUACUUUUCUUUUUCUAAAUAUUUCCCCUUAAACUCUCAAAUUGAUCAUAGUGUUAACUAAUUUUGCUCUGGUUUUAUUCUUGGUUCGCAAAAUUCAGUAAAACCAAAACAAACCCUUGUUACUGAAGAUAUCAAAAUGGUACCCCAACUAAGUAAUUGAUUUCGAAAAACACUCUGAACCAAAUUUCAAGUUUUGGUUUCUUUGCUCUUUUUCUACUGAAAGGCAACAUCCCCGGGCCAAGAACUUGAAACAAAUAGUAUGAUGCUCAAGUUUUCUAUGCUCUUAUGAUCAAGUCAAACCAUGCUUAUAAUCAAUUACAUAAAAAAAAAAAAAUCACGGGCAAUUUUGUUACUAUUUGGGAGGAGGAGGAAUAUUAAGCAAAAAAAUAUUCUAUUAAGAAAACGAUGAAGCAUAUUAUUUUCCAGGAAUAAAAAAUAACGAGCAGAAAAAAACAAAUAGUAUGAUGCUCAAGUUUUCUAUGCUCUUAUGAUCAAGUCAAACCAUGCUUAUAAUCAAUUACAUAAAAAAAAAAAUCACGGGCAAUUUCGUCACUAUUUGGGAGGAGGAGGAAUAUUAAGCAAAAAAAUAUUCUAUUAAGAAAACGAUGAAGCAUAUUAUUUUCCAGGAAUAAAAAAUAAAGAGCAGAAAAAUACAUUAGUUUGGAUGACAUUAGAACAUUUAGCAACAGGAUUAGGGAUGCAAUGGGAAGAGUGCCAACUGGGAAUCAACAGGAUGGGAAAAAAUACAGGGCGGGGUGGGGGGGAUUGGAGAUAUAAUAAAUCUAAAAUUUUGUUUCUUUAGGAAACUUACAUAAGUGAACUUAAUAUUUCCUAAAAUAAUAUUUAAAAGUUAUAUUUAUUGUAAGGAAAAUAGAUUUGCUUUAUUUUGAGAUACUUUUUAACUUAAGGAAACUAGAGUUAAUUUAUUUUAGGACACUCUUGUUAAGGAGAAAUUAAAGGAAAUUAACAAUCUAACUAAUGAUAAAUAUGUUUUUUUUAGGGCAUUCGGUUGGUGCUUGAGAACACACCCGAGUACUGCAGCGUCUGCUGGAGAUUAGAGCAUUCGGUGGAGGAGUGCAGGAAGGAUACUCAUAACGGUGCAGGAGCCUUGGUUAAGGGCAACCAACCGCAAUUUGUAUCGCAGAGUGAUACUGUUGGGGCUGUCAUGGAGGCAAAAGGCAGUUCGGUUGGUGCGUCGAAGCCGCCCGGGGGGGGGAACACUCCCAGCAGCGCUGAUGGAGGCUCCGCUCUCCAUCCCUGGUCGAGAUGGCAAAAGCCCAGCGGCAGCAGCUGCGGUAACAGGGGUGGUGCCCAGGGAGGCAGAGCUGACCCACGAGCAUCAGCCUACUCGGGUUGCUGGUGUGAGUGUGGAGCUCCUUGAGGGAAGCGGGCAGGAUGAUGGCGCGCCAGAGGGGGAGCGUUCCACAGCAAGGGAAGGAGCCUCGCUUGCGCAGGUGAAUGCUAGAGCGGAGAUAAUGGUGGAGGGGCGACGUGCGGCUGAGCUUCCAGUGGCAGCAGGCUCGAAGGACAGUGGGCAAGCUGUUGGCGCACCAGAAUGGGAUCAGGCUGAGCAGGUGGAUGCUAGAGUAGAGAUCAUUUUGGAGGGGUGCAGUGCGGAUGUCCAGACUGCAACGGGCAAUCUGUCUCCGCGGCCCAGCGCCUAUUAUGGGGAGUUGGCAGCUUCUCCCUUGGAGGCGAUGAAUGUAGAUCAGUCACGGGCAUUGGAGCCGGCUAUAAAACUCGGAAAAUCAAAGGGAAUAAGAGCGAUUUUCCCUUCCGACAGGUAGCUGCGUUCCACUUCAACAUCCUCCAAAAACGGAUUCCAGGUUCUUUCCCAUGAUUAAUAGCAUAUUUUGGAACAUUAUGGGGGUUUCCAAACCUCCUAAUUUGAGACGGUUGAAAAACCUUAUUCGAUUACAUAAAGUUCAGCUGGUAGCUAUAUGUGAACCGAAACUUGAUGUCACAAAUAUUGAGAGCAUCCGCUUAAAUUUAUCGUUUGAUGCUGCUGUUGUUAACUUGUCAGCAGAUGUUUGGGUCUUGUAUAAUUUUCCGUUAGUAUGCUCUAUAGCUGGGAAUUCUCAGCAACAUAUCUCCUUGAAUGUCCAUCAUCCAUGGCUACCUCGCUCCUUGCGAUUUUCUUUUGUGCAUGCCAGGUGUACAUUGGAAGAACGACGGGGGUUGUGGCAAGCACUUUUGGUGGACAAACCACGCGACCAGCCAUGGUGCAUCUGUGGGGAUUUCAAUGUGAUCAUAUCCCCUAGCGAAAAAAAAGGAGAUCGGCCUUUUCGUGUCUCGGAGAGGUUAGAGCUUCUGACCUUCAUGGAGGAGGCGGAAGUUUUUUAUGUGGGUUUUUCCGGCUCGAGUUUCACUUGGUGCAACAAUAGCCAUGGCCGGGCUCGGAUAUGGAAGCGAUUGGAUAGGCUAUUGGUUAAUGGAGAAUGUUCUGAAUUACCGUCAGCCGUGUCGAUCACUCACUUGGCUAGACAUCCAUCCGACCAUGCACCGCUACGAGUUUCUUUCACAUCCUGUGUAGAGAUAAACCUCAUGCGUUCCGCUUCCUGAAUGUGUGGACAUCCAGAGCAUCUUUACUUGAUGUUAUUUGAACGACUUGGCAACAGGAGUGUCGGGGUUCUCCCUUAAGGAUCUUAUGCUCCAAGUUGCUAGCAGCAAGGAGAGCUAUCCAAGAGUGAAAUAAGUCCUCCUUUGGGAAUAUAUUUGCAGUGUCUCGCGAAGCAGAGGCUUCGGUGCUUAGGGCGGAAGCACGGGUGGAAACUGAGGCAUCGGAGAAUGCUCAGAUAGAGCUUCAUAGGUCUCAAGCACAGCUCAACCGUGCUUUGUCAGUGGAGGAGGAGUUUUGGAAGCAGAAGGCUCGUGUCAAGUGGCUCCGACAUGGCGACUGUAACUCAAAGUUCUUCCAUGCCACCCUGAGACAGAGGAGGAUGCAAGGGCAAAUCCACAGGAUUAAAGAUGAGACUGGCAUAUGGGUGAAGACGGAUGAAGAUAUAUCACGUGAAGCGAUACGGUAUUUUUCUGAUUUAUUCUCUGCUCCGGCGGAAUCCUCAUCAGACUUGCUGCAUGUUAUCCCUGCCAACGUCACGGCGGAGGAAAACAUGAGCUUAGAGGCCGAUCCGUCUUUCGAUGAAGUAAAAAGAACUAUCUUUGCAAUGGACGGUGAUAGUGCAGCAAGCCCCGAUGGUUUCAUGGGUAAGCUUUUUACUUUUGCUUGGGAGGUGAUUGGUCAAGAUGUCUAUAAUGCAGUUUUGAGCUUUUUCUGUAGGGCUGAGCUCCCUCAUUUUAUUACAUCUACUUCUAUUGUCCUUCUCCCGAAGGGACCGAACCCUCAGGAUUUUUUGAUGUUCAGACCGAUUAACCUCUGCAAUUUCUUUAAUAAAGUAUUGUCCAAGAUCUUGGCUGAUAGGUUGGCUAAUAUUCUGCCAAGAAUCGUCUCACCCCAACAUACAGGCUUUGUUAAGGGCAGGAAUAUAUCAGAGAAUUAUUUUCUCGCCCAGGAAAUAAUGUCAGGGAUGCGUAGAUCGUACAGGGGUGGGAAUGUAGCAUUGAAGUUAGACAUGUCCAAGGCAUAUGAUCAUGUAUCGUGGGUAUUUCUCAUGAACGUAAUGCGGCAGUUUGGGUUUGGAGAAAGGUUUCUUGACAUGGUGUGGAGGUUGAUUUCUAAUGCUUGGUUUUCGGUUAUAAUUAAUGAAGCGUCUUAUGGCUUUUUCAAGUCGGGUAGGGGAUUACGGCAGGGGGAUCCGAUAUCCCCCGCGUUAUUCGUAAUUGGGGCGGAGCUUCUCUCACAGGCUUUAAACAAUCUCGUGUUACAUUGUGGCUAUAGGGGUUUUAAGGUCCCACGGGGGUGUCCCCAAGUCACGUACUUGGCCUUCGCUGACGAUGUAUUGAUUUUCGCUAAUGGGUUUGCUCGAGCUUUGCAGGAUAUUGUGCGGGUAUUGGAGCUUUACCAACAAUCCUCGGGUCAGUUGGUGAAUAGGCAAAAAAAUGGGUAUAUCGUCCAUCUCUCCGCCUCGAUUGCUAGACGGAGGGUGAUUGAGCAUCUCACUGGCUUUUCUAGGCAACAGGCGCCUAUUCGAUACUUGGGCUUCCCAUUGUACUUGGGCCAAAGUAAGGCUUAUUAUUACGGUGAGGUGAGUCAAGCAAUAAUCGGAAGAAUCCUCUCAUGGAAGUCCAAGUUUUUGUCUCAGGGGGGUAAGAUCAUCCUCAUCAAACAUGUUCUCUCUUCUAUCCCACUGCACUUACUAUCUGCUGCAGUAAUGCCGACUUCGGUGUUCAGGGUAAUUAAAAAGGUUUGUUCUGACUUUCUAUGGAGUUCGACGGAGAGGGGGGCCAGGUAUUACUGGAUCCACUGGGAGUUGUGCUUUUCAAAGGAGGAGAAGGGAGUAGGCUUCAGGCUUCUAAAGGAUGUUUACACAGCUUUAUCUCAUAAACCCUAGUGGAAAUUCCGCACGGGGACGUCUUUAUGGGCAAGGUUCUUACGUGCUAAGUAUUAUGGGGCUUGCCACCCUUGUCAAGUGGAGCUUAAAGUGGGCGUAUCAGCAACUUGGAAACGGAUAAUCAAUGUCAGCAGGGAGGCGGAGUUGUCUAUGCGAUGGUUGGUGAAUGCUGGGACCUGUGACUUCUGGUAUGAUAACUGGCUAGGGAAUGGAGCUCUUUUCCUUAAAGCUCCUGUUCAGGGGGAUUUAUCGUUCAGAGACUUUAUUGUUGACGGGAAGUGGAACUCGGUGGGACUUGCAGAAUACCUCCCAAGGGACAUCACAACUAUGAUCCUGCAACACUCGACCCCAGAGGGUGAGAGGCCCGAUGAGGUGGUAUGGGUGUCAACAACUUCAGGAUCAUUUUCGUUAUCCUCUGCUUUUCGUGAGGUAAGGCAAGCUCGGAAUCCCUCUUGGAUAUUUUCCCACAUUUGGCUCCCCCAACUCCCUGUAAAAGUUUCUUUAUUUAUGCUCCGUCUUUUGAUGCGGAGGCUCCCCCUGGAUGAUAUCUUGGGUAAGUUUGGCUUUCAAUUACCUUCCAAAUGUUUUUGUUCUUCCAUGGCAGCGGCGGCGGGAGAAUCUAUUGAACACAUUUUCUCAACGGGACAACUAGCGGUAGAGAUUUGGGGUGUCUUUGGAUCCUCGUGCGGUAUAUGUCUGCCGGCCGUAUCAUUGCGAGAGCGACUGGUCGCUUGGUGGUUGUCCCCGCACUCAGAUGCUCAAAGACGUCAUGUUGUUUCCAUCCUGCCAAGUUUCAUCUGUUGGCAUAUCUGGAAGGCACGGAACAAAGCAAUCUUUGAAGGGGUUGAACUGACUAGGGGGGAGAUUUGCCAUGGCAUUCUCCGGGAUAUUUUCGCAACGGUUGAGAUUAAAUUUCGUCAUGGGAUUGUAGCGCAAACAUUUGAUCAGUUUUGUGAAAGACUCUCUUAGCCGCCGCUAGUACUUCGGGUCCAGUUGGUCAAGUGGUAGGCAUCUGGAAGGGGGGUUUUCUCCCUUAAUACGGAUGGGUGCUCAAAGGGGAAUCCAGGGAUGAGUGGUGGUGGAGGAAUAUUACGGGAUUCAAAUGGUCAGGUGCUAGUAGCAUUCUCAGCCUCCCUGGGGGUCAAUACAAGCUUGCACGCUGAAGCAUUGGCACUUUUAACGAGGCUUCGCGUAUGCUUCCAGCAAGGGUUUGUACAGGUGCGAGUGCAGACAGAUUCACUGGUUCUAGUAGAUAUAUUACAACGGAGGUUCCAGUGUCCAUGGCUCAUUCGAAGAGAGGUACACCAAAUAUGGCAGCUAGUCGCGAAUCCUACACACUUUUCGCAUUGUUUUAGGGAAGCCAACAAAGUGGCUGACAUCUUAGCUAAUGUAGGUAUCUUGCAUCCGCAGGAUCAUGUAAGGGUGUAUCACCAACUCUGCUCUCUUUCACAGCUAGCAAGGGGGGAAGUUAGGUUGAAUAUGCUAGACUUUCCUUCUAUUAGACUUAUCAAAGGAUCGUCGUGAUGACCGGUCCUGGUCUCGGCUUGUAAUCUUCUGAUUGGGCAAUAAAAGUUUUUUCAAUAAAAUAAAUAAAUAAAUAAAUGUUUUUUUUGGGAGGGGGAUUGAUAAAUUUUUAAUCUGAAACAAAACUCUAUAUUGUUGUUUUGGGUGAGGGGAGGGAGGAGGGGGGACUGCCCCCACAAUAGAUCUUUUGUUUCAUUCUCUGUGUUAUUUUCUGUUUCACUUUUUAUUAUAUCAUUAUUUUUUCUUCAUAGACAUCAUAUUUUAUUUUCUUUAUUUCUUUAAGAUCUAAUAACUAUUAACUAAGUAAAAAAUAAAUACAACAAUCUAAAAAUAUAUAUAUAAUAGAAAAUUAGAAAAUAUAGCAAAAAAUUUAUUAAAAAAUCUCAUUUUUCAUGCAUUUUAAUUUUUUGAAUUUGUUAAAUUUGGUGUAUUACUCAGUUAAUAGUUAUUGGAUCCUAAGGAAAUUAAAAAAAAAAACUAAAAUAUGAUGUUUAUGAAGGAAAAAUAAUAAUAUAUUAAAAAAUGAGACGGAGAGUGGCACAAGGUGUGAGACAGAAAAUCCAUUGCAGGCUGCCCUGCUGGCCCUUUCUUAUGUCCGUCACUAUAUGGCUAGAAACAAGUACCUAUUGCUGAAUUAGUCUCUCCCUUCUAACUUCUAAGAAUUCCAAGGUUUUGUAAUGAUUCCGCAGGAAAUAAGACAAAAAUAGUUAGCCAACUAUUACCUUGCUGGAAUUGUUAUAACGGCUACCACUUGCAGAAAGAAGGUUACUGAUUAGUUAGUGGGGAAGCUUUCUAUUAAUAGGCCAAUACUAAUGUAAAGGGGCAUGCAAAUUCUGAUCAUUGAGAAUACAACUUUCCCGCUUCUUUCCCAUUCAUUCUGCUCCCUCUCUUUUCUCUCAACCUUUUUCUCUCUAUUCCUUUCUAUAUUUUUGUUCCUUAGUUGAAUCAACCAAUUCCCAACCAUUACAGUUUUUUUUUCUUGUCAAUCGACAACUUCUACAUUUAUCCUACUCCUACUCCUACUUUUUCUCCUAUUCUAACCUAUCUAAAGAAUGGCCUAACAGGGCCAAAAAUCCUAUUCCUAGUUCUAUUUCCACUCCCAUUCUAACCUAUUUAAGGGAGGGUCUAGCUGGAUCAAGGGGACCUAGAGAGAGUAGUCCCCAUCUCUAGACCAACGUCUGGAUUUGGAGGAAACUACAUACUAGUCACAAUUGCUAGAAAGUAAGAAUUGAAUUCUUGAUCUCUUACUCCAAGGCCUUUGACAAGUGACUAAUUUACACUAUAUUUGAAUGAUAUCUUAUGUUAUUUUUAGUCACUUUGGCUAUAUUAUUGGAAGAAAAUGGAUCAUUCUGGCUAUAAUUAGUUUAAAAUGCUCUUAAGUGAUUAAAUGAGAUUUUUGUCACUUUUACUUGCAUUUUGUCCAUAAUUUGUAUAGGAGUUGGAAAUAUAUUUCCUUUGGAUGAAGAGGAAGUUGACAGCUUUGACACAACUUCGUAUUUCGGCUAUAACUUGAGUUACAAUGAUCGGAUUGAGAUGAUUCUAGAACCAUUUUUAAGAUAAGAGAUAGAUGUACAAAUCUUAUGAAGACAUUGAAAUACAGUUUGAAGGUUUUCCCUAUCAAAAAUCUGAAUUAUAGUGCCAAUUUCUAUUGGUCGAAGCUGAAACAAGGCAGUGAGCAGUCAAGGGUAUUUCUGUCAUUUCUCCAUCUACACAAAUCCAAAUGAGGUGAUUCUUGAUGCAUUGGAAACAUAACUAAAAGGGUUACAAGUUUCAUGUUUUGGUCAAGAGUUAAUUCAACUUCUAUCAUCAAGAAAAGUUCAGUUGAAGUUGAGGCAAAAUUGGAGCAACAUUGAAGACUGGACAGAAAUUGCUAAGAAUGGCAGGGGAGCAAUCCGGCUGAAAAUCCGUCCGGAUUCUGGCCGGAUUCUAGUCAGAAAUAGCUGCUCUCCACUUGCACAACUUAUUUCCUCCUCCAAUAUUCAUAGCUAUUGAUGGACGUGUAACAACAACUUUGCAGCUGUAAAAGUGAUAUUUGAAGCCUUAUUUCUUGACUAAAUUAUCUAUAAAUAGCCAUGGACUUAUAAGGAUAAGGAGAGCUUGGGGGAGUGCAAGAAACACCACAAAAAUGUAGUUCCUUGGUUCUUUAGUGUAGAGUAGUGUAGGAUAGUUUAGUUUUAGAUAGUUUAUCCUUUCUUGUAUGUUAGCUAAAUGAAGAUGAAGAUGGAGAUGAAGAAGGCAAGGAAAGAGCUCAUGUGACAAGGAUUACUUUACCUUUCCAACUCUUUAUCUUUUGUACUUGAUUCUAAGUUUAGUUAAUAUAUAAGUUUUGGAUUCUAUGUUUAUUAUGUGUUUCUAAAGUUUAUGCCUUGGGCUUGGUUGAACUUUCUAUGAUUGUUAGUGUUUAUUAUUUGGUUAUUUGAUGCUAUUAUUUUGAGCAAGUUAUUGAGUACUUUACCUCUUUUAAAUCAUGAUUAACUUGGUACCAUUAAUUGUAAUUAUCUAAAGGUGUUGUUUCUUCAAUGAAAAUUGAGAUUUAACAGUAAUUCAAGAAGUGCUAAACCUAGAGAAUACACUCACGAGAGUAGAGGUUCACCUAUGUGGCUUUAGUGAUUCAUUUCAUGUAAUUUCAUAGAAGAAAUGAACUUGUAGCUAAUUUCUUAACCACGAGAGUAGGUAUGGAUUAGUUAUAAGUAUAGUUGAUUCACUACGAAAGUUGGUUUCACAUACAUAAGGAAAUUUCGCCAUAACUAGCCAAAAUAGUAGUACUCAAUGAUCCAAAAAUAACACUUGCAUGAGUAGUUAGGAAUACCAUAGACUAAGGAGCUUUCAUUUGUUAUUAUCUUGCAUAAGGUUAGCAUAGUUUUAUCUCUUUUAAUUCAUUGAUCGUCUAAAUAAUGGAGAAGCUUUAGUAGUGUCGGUAAUUGUCCAAUAUCAUUUGCAAGGGUAGUGAGGAAUUCCAUAUCUCUAGAAGCUUUCUAGUACUGAUUUUCAUUACUUUUAUAUUUAUGGUAAUCUAGAUAAUAAAGGAGUUCGAAAAACACCGGUAAUUGCAAUCUUCCUUGUGGGAUCGACCCUUAAUACCCUAUACUCGCUCACGAUUCGUAUACUUACGAUAAAUCGCGUGUGGGAUAUUUAAGAAUUAUAAAUGUAAAACUUGAUUGUGGAUAAACUUAUUGUAUAUGUAUACCCUGCGCACGUCAGCCUUUAUGGUGGCCAACAGCCCAAUAGGACAUUGGUUACAUGACAUCAUACUUCUAGUACAUGAGAAUACAUUAAAAAUCAAUCGCUUUCACAGUUCCACUUCAGACAAUUAAGAAUUACUAUCCAUUGGAUAAAACUAGUUUUAACCUUCAAAUAUCUUAUUGCAAGUAAGCCUUCUAAAAUAUGCUCACGAUUACUAUAUUUUUAGCAUUUUCACUAUGUAUAAGUCUAGAAUUGUAUGAUGAAAAGAAUUUCCAUCAAUCAAUAACUACUUAAGACUUUAUUGAGCCCAAUGACUAGCUUCUGAUAUAUUUUUGAAAGUGUACACUUUAGGUCGUUAAACCAUCAUUUUCAAGUAAAAUUACAGACCUAUUAAGCAACAGUUAAGAAAUUAUAGAUUGCACAAUACUAAAUUCACAGAAAAAUGAAAGAUUACUAAAUGAGGAUAAAUAUAUAGUUGGGAGGUGGAGCUAGAAACAAAAUUCAGUACGGAUAAACAUACUGUUAAAUUAUACUACUUUCAGUGUAUAAAAAAAGUUACAAUAACUUUUCAAAUGAAUUUCUUGUGUGUUGGGAGCACAUCAAUGAUGGAUCUAAGGGGGGGCUGGGGCCCCCCUCGACCCAUGUUUUGAAAAGUUUAAUUCAUAGUGUGUAAAUAUAUAUAUAAAAUAAUGUUGGCCCCCCUUAAUUUUUUCCAAUUUUAAUUUAUAUUAUGAGAGUUUAUAUUUAUAUAUAUAUAGUCACCUUUGAAUUAAUUUUUUUAUUCAAAAAAGUUAUUUAUUUUUUACUAAUUACUUAACUUUCAAAAAAUUAAACAUACUAUUUGAUGAUCCAUAGUAAAUUGAUCCAAUUUGACAUAUUAUAAUAAAAAGACCCAAUUCACAAUAUCAAUGGGUUAAAACAAAAAUAAUAAUUUUAUUGGCCCAUAUGCAAAUAUACAACUUAACCCAAUUGAAUGAUUGUCUAAGUAUAUACAUAGAUAGGGGUGGCAAUGGGGCGGGGAUGGGGCAGGGGACACCUCCCCCAACCCCCGCCCCCGGCUUCCCCCGCCCCGCCCCGCUUCCCCCCACGGGGGCACUCGUAGGGUUAAAAAAAUUUUAUUAUGUAAUUUCAUUAUAAUUAAAUUUGAGCAAAUAAUCAAAUAUUAAAAUAUCAACACAUCACCAAAUUAUUAUUCAUUGUAACUUCACAAUUGAAACUCAUAAAAAUAAUUAAACAAAAGUUAUUUGAAUACAAUCUAAUAUGAUAAAACAAAUAUAACUAAAAUAAUCAAGUUUUCACUUUUGAUACAAAUACAAUCACUAAAUUAUUAUUGUGUUUUUUUUAGAAAAAAGUGUUAUUGUAUUAAGUGUAGUUAGAAAUUUAACAUAAAUGUAUUAAUAAAUUUAGUAUAAAUAAUUAAUAAUUUUUAUUAAUAGACAUGUAUAAUUAGUAGUAUAAUUGAUAAUAUCAUUAUAUAUAUAAUUAUGUACAUAUAUAUAUAUAUAUAUUUUUCAAACAGGUGGCGGGGCAGGGGUGGGGCGUACUCCCCUGCCCCCCGCCCCGUUUCUAAACGGGGGGAAAAAUUCCCCCCCCCGGCCUUCGCCCCAACCCCCACCCCACUAAUCCCCCGCGGGGCGGCUGUCCGCCCCCGUUGCUAUCCGUAUACAUAGAAAAGAAAAUUGCUGAAAAAUUUAUCAUUGAUUCAAUCAUAGAUGAAUUUAGUUCUAUGAAAGAAUGUAAAGCUCAAUUUACUUUAAAAUAAAAGGUUCAAAUUUUAAGUUAUAUUAACAUAACUUUUAUCUUGUUUUAAUUGAAAAUAGAUAUAUUUAUAUUGCAUAGUUAUAUGCUUUCUUUUCUUUUUGCAUAGGUGACAUAUUGGAGUUUAUGUUCAUAAUGUGCAUCUUGGAUGGUUUGCAAUGCUAUAAGACAUUUAAUCUAAUGUUAUUUCUUGUCUUAAUUUUCGUUAUGACUAUAUUGCAUAUUUAUGAAAUAGACAUACACUUAUAAUUAAAGUUAAUAUUGGAUAUUUUUAGAUAAUAUAUAUUUAAAUAGUUGAAAUUUAUUUUGAACAUAACAUAUUAAGAUAAUUUUGUUAGAAAAUCCCCCCCCCCUCACGAAGAAAAAAAUCCUAGCUCCAUCACUGGAGCAGAGAAAAAGAAGGAAAAGAGGAAUAAACAUAAAGUUGAGUUUUUGUUAGUUAUUUUUUAUUUAUUUGUAAGAGGUGAAAUGAGUUGUUUUUUAUUUUUAAUCUAUUGAAAUGGUGAGGACAAAGUGAUAAACAAAGGAUAAUAUUAGAUACAUAUUUUAUUAGAACAUAGUGGGGAAAAUAUUAUCUAACAACGACAUGAAUUGUAUAUAAGUUAUAUGCUUUUGGUGGGUCAGUGGAGGUUAUUGUCUCCAUUGUAUCGUUUCCUAGAAUCAGUAUAUUCUAGUAAAUGAUUCUAGUUAUAUGUAAGUGAUUUAUAUUACUAAUUUUUUGUUACAAUUUUUAGAGAAUAGUUGGUUGAUUCUUAAAAAUAGAGCGAAGUCAACAACUAAUGCGCUUCAUAGUUAAUAGAAGUUUCCAAGAGGGCACCAAGUAAUAUUUUCAUAAUUGAUUAGCUUGGUUUUCAAGUGCAUAUAAAAAGAUAUCCAUGAAGACCUCCCCACCCAAGGGAAGACUGUAAGUUACGAAAACGUUUACUUUACUCUCAACAAAAUGUUGAGCAUACUUUAUUUUACUUUCGACAUCAUGCAAUGAUUAAAGGAUUUUGUAUAGGGACCUAGUUAAUUCAAUAAGCUUUAUGAUGGUUUAAUUGACUAACGGAGGAAUUUGCUCAGCCUAGUAACUCUGGUACUCAAGUAAUCAUGACCUUUAUCUAAAGAUCUACACAUUCCAUAUUGAAGUAAAUGAUAAUGGAUUUAUUACUUUUGUUGACCAAGUCAAGCAAAAAGCUGUUAUCAAAUCAUGGUUUUAGCGACUUAUAAGUUUCUUGAUAUCCCAACUAACCUCAUAGGAGGGCUACUUUAUUUCUUUUUGGUUACUUUCUAAUGCCUAGUUGCCUGUCGGAUAAAAUAUUGCCUUCACGGAUUGAUUCCAAAACUUGCUCAAAAACAUCUAUUUAUUUUUAAAAUAUUGCUUAUACUAUAUUUUGAACCAUUCAAUUGCAAAACACAAACAAUUUUUCUUAUGGUGCCUUCUUGUCGUUGAAACUAGGAAGCUAACCAAACAUUUGAAGCAAAGUGAUAAACAAUUAAUAGCAAACUAUAUUGGAUCUUCGAAAGGAAAAUUGAGGCCUCAUCUAUGAAUUUAACAUUUUCCGUUGUGAUGACAUCCGAAAUUGAUUGUGAGAAGAUUUUACAAACGCUAAAAGAGUAUCUCCAUUUAAUUGUGGAAAGGAAUUUGAUUUUGUCAAAUGCACAGAUAAUGGAAAUGACAAAAUAGCAGCACUAUCCUUGUCAUUAGGAAGCACUCAAAAGUUACGUAUUAAAUGGGAGUCUAACGUACAAGCAAUGAAACACUAUUGUAUUUGCGAUAGUAUUGAUAAAAAUUAAGAUUCUAUAGUCUUUGGAUCAUAAUGAAUUCAACGUUGGAUGACACAAUAAGUAUUCUGAAUUCUUAAAUUAUAAUAAUGUUAAAUAUUUAAAAUAGAAGCUGAUAUCGUUAUUAAGAAAUACACAUUGAAGGAAUAGUUCUCUAAGCGAUAAAAAUUUUCCAAAAGUAAAAGAAUGAAUGAUCAAAGUUUUCCAUCUUUGCCCGAUGACUCGUCUCUUUCCAUUUUACUUUCCCAAAGGAUAGCAUUUAAUAGCCUCGUGCCUGCUCUCAUUUUAAUCCUAAAAUAAGUGAUCAUGGGCUUCUUUGAGAAUGGGCUUGGUCUAAAUAUUGAACGCUCAAAACAGACUUCUUUUGUUGGAGGCGGCUUUCACUAGAGAGCGUGGGACUGAUUCAGAGUUCUUUUUUUUUUUGUAGGAAAAGGGAGACUGAUUCAGACUUCUUGCUAUCAUAGUUAUUAAACCUACCUUGGAGAGGAAUCCGGUGAAGGAGGUGGGUCAACGGAUUAUUGGUUCAAUCAGUGGAUGAGUAGUUGAAUUGGUGGGUUACUAAAUAUAUUUAAAUAUUAUGUCUCAUAAUUUUUUCAUAUAGGGUAUCUGGUUUAAACUACAAUGAACUAUACCAAGCAAAUGGUUAUUUAGGGUGUGUUUAAUAAAAUUAAAAUUUGAAAUUAAAAUCUGAAAUGUGAAUCUAUUAAGUUAUUAAAUUGUUAAGUGCUAAAUCUGAUACAUUUGUGUGUGUGUAUAUAUAUAUAUAUAUAUCAUAUUAAGUAAUAAGUGAAUAGUUUAUCACUUAUUUUUAGGAAUAAAUUUUGCCUAGAAAAUUCAUUACUAUUUAAUUAAUUCAGAUGUUCAAUUUUUUAAUAUGUUAAGAUCUGAAUCCAUUAAAUUAAAGUGUUGAAUUGGAUUAUCAAACAGGGUUUUAGUCUAAUUCAUUAUAGUCUAAUUCAUUAUAGAAUGAUUAAUUAUUAUAAAAAUCUAUAAAAUCAAAAUUAAAUUAGUAAUCCACCAAAUUUCAAGUGCAAAUAUUUACCUAUAUUUAGUGUAAUUAUUUAGUUUAUUUAUGAAUUUUAAGUGCAAGAGGUUAUUAGGAACAAUAUUUGCCUUUAAAUGAAUUGUAUACUAUGUUAUUUUUGAAAUCCAUUUCAGAACUUAUAGAGUUUGAGAAAUAAUAAAUUUUAUUAAAAUAUCCCAAAUAAUUUUUAUUUUAGAGAAAUUAUAAAAAUAAAGAAACAAUUGACUAACAUAUAAUAUAAGACAGGUGAAUAACUAGCAUGUCAGCUGUUCACCUAGCGGUAAGUACUCGUUGUUUAUAUGCAUGAGGUUUUGAGUUUGAACCAUUAAAAAAACACAAUCUUGUCUAAUUUUUCCAAUAGCAACUAAUGUUCUACCUGAUUCAACCGGUCGGAUUUUCGAUUUAAUCCGGUUGAACCAUUGAUUUGUUGACAAGUCAAUGAGACUUGUUCACAUUCAAUCCAAUUAGAGACCCGAUGUUGUUUACUGAUCAGGCUUAAUAACUAUGCUUGCUGUGUUUCCUAGGUUUGCAAGAUUGAAUUCAAGGUUAAUUGUAUUCAUCUCCUUUUUGGUUAAACCAAAUUACAAAAAUCUUUUAUAUUGUUUGACCAAAUUAAGAGUACAGGCAAAGCCCUUGACCAAAUUACAAAAAUCUACCAUAUUGUCUGACCAAAUUAAGAGUACAGGCAAAGCCCUUGAUGGCAAAACAUUUAUCAAAUGCGCCCUUAUAUCAAUAGCUGUUAAAAUUGAUGCUUACAUUAACAAAAACCACAUAUUUGAAAGCCCCAAAAUAACCUUUUACACCUUGAGUUAAUUACACUUAUCUUUAUAUUUGGCAAUUGGGUGGGUUGAACGGAUUUUGGGCGGGUUAAUAUUGGAUUUUCACUUAAAUGGAUUAUACCCAACCCGUCCAACUUUAGAUUUGGUUGAUUUUGGGUUGGGUCAUAUUGGGUUAUUUCAAACCCAUGACCCAAAAAUAACCUAUUAUAUUAAUUAAUACAUAACCUUUUUUCACAUUCAUUUUAACAUACAAAAAAGAUUUUUUUCACACAUAUAAACACAUUUUCACAUACAUAAAUGUAUUUUCAUACACACUCACUUCUUAAGUUCCUUGAAAACACAUCAUAAAUAGAAUAAUAUUUUAUAUUACUUGUAUUGUAAAUUUUAGAUAAUAAAUGAUGGGGGUUGGGUUCUGCAGCAGGUUGCGUGAUGAAGUCGUAGAUGAUGUUGGGAGUACUGGGAAAGGAUGGAUGAUGAUGAUGGAGGUGAUGAGGAGGUGGCUCCGCCAUUAUACACACAGAGUAUACAUGAAUGAGGAUGGCGCCGAUGAUGACUGCACUCACUUCUUAUUAUAUGUAUCCACAUUAAUAAUUCCUAUGUACACAUGAAACUCUGUGUGUGUGUGUAGAUACAAUAUAUAUAUAUAUAUAUGUAUGUGGCGGGACUUAAAUUAUAUAUAUAUGGGACAUAGAGCCACUGCUACUGGUCUAUAGUAUAGUUCAACAACAACAGCAGCAACGGCAUUCGACUACUCUGUUAGUGCAGUGUAUCAGCAGCUUGAGGUUAAAAAAGGUUAAAAAAGAAAUUUGUACAAUAUUAUAUGUACACGAAAUAUUGACAAACAAAAGCAAUCAUGAAAUAUUAAAAAAGAAUGCAAUUAGAAUAAAUUUAAAACUCUAUUUUACGUACACGAAAUAUUAACAAACAAAAGCAAGUAGCAACUUGAGAACAACCACAAAAAAAAAAAGAAAAAAAGAAGGAGGAAAAUAACAUACUCUUAAAAGGCAUAAUAAAUUAUUAUAAAAGUUGAGUAAGUUUAACUACUGUUAUAAAAGUAAAAUAGCUAUGAGUUUUUAUUUCAAGUUUCUUUUUUCUUUUAAAUAAAAAUUAAAAAAAUUGAUUGAAAAAAAAAAAUAUAUAUAUAUAUAUAUAUAUAUAUAUAUAUAUAUAUAUAUAUAUGAGAAUUUUGAAUACAAAUUAAUCAAUGAAUUAUUAACACAUGUCCAAAUGCAAAUAGUUAGAUAUAUGUGUAUUGAAUCUUGUAUUUAUUAUUUUCAAUUACUUUUAAACAAGUUAGAUAUUGAGUACCCAAAUAAAAAAUUCAACCCGUCCAAUGAAUAAAUUGGAUUGUUCUUACCCAACCCAAUAAAACCCAUAACCCAAUUAACCCAACCCAUCAUUUAAAAUUAAUGGACGGAUUUUGGGCUUUUUUGCUAGCUCCACUUAUCUUCCUUGGAUUUUGUCCAAACUACUUUCAUCUCUCGUGAGGGUUGUACAAAUGACAAGUAAAGCCUAUUAUUGUCCAAAUCAAUUCAAAGCUAUAAAUAACCCAAUACUUUUCAAAUACACCAUAGUCAACUUAAUUAGUUGCAACAAACUUCUAAAACAAUUCUCAAAUACCGAUUAGUUACUACCUUUUUCUUUUACCAUUUUUUCUCCUCGUAGGUUAUAGUGUUACUCCACCUAAAAACUUGAAUUCGAUUUUCGCACAUCGUUGGGCCUUGCAUGAUGUCAAAUAUCAACAGUAUUUUCGGCAAUUGAUUCUUUAGUCGCAACUGCUAUGUACAAAAUUGAAACUUUUCUCCUUGUUAGCAUGCAAAUUAUCAAAAUCCAUUUUUCAAAUAAAAGACAGUAUAAACUUAAAUCCACCUUAGCACUAAAAUUUAAGGUUUCUAUAUAAACGAUAUUUUGGAAUUCAUUAGUAAAAGUCCAAGAAAAAAUUAUCUAGAAAUUUUAGAAUAAAAGCUUAACAUCUUAAUAUGGAUAAAAAGAAGACAAUCUAAAAAGAAAGUUCCGUCUAAGCUAAGUCAAUCCUUGCUGAUGGUUCAUGAUUUUGGAGGAAAUUGCUCCAAAUGCGAGACCUGGCAAGAUGAUAUAUUCAGGCUGUAGUAGGCAGUGGGCGCGCUAUACAUAUGUGGCAGGAUUCAUGGCAUCCACAUGGACCUCUGUUACAAUACUAUGGGUAUGAUAUUGUUAAGGGUAAAAAACAAAAAAAAAAAAUUCUCCUGUAGCAAACCUAAUACAUAGAAAAGCUCUCCGUAAUUUUAAAACGUACAACAUGACACCUCAUGUUUUGAACUAAAUUGUAAAGGUGAAUGCCUUAUUGGAACCUAAAAAAAAUUUUAUACCUAAUUUUUAACAAAUAUACAUGUUCUCCCUCUUAACCCUCAAUUCUCUUUAUAUAGAAAAUAAAACGAAUGAUUUUUUUGAACUGUUUUUUACUUAAUUAUAUGAAGGCAUUUUGGUCACUUCAUCCAUUUCUGUUAAGUUUAACGGAUUCCGUCACUUUUACAAUUUAGUUCAAAGUAUGGAGUGUUGUGUUGUACAUUUUGAAAUUACGGGGAUUUUUCUAUAAAUUAGAUUUACCACGGGGGCUCUUUUGUUUUUUACCCUAUUGUUAAACAAUUUAAUAGGUUUGAGAAUGCAAGACUGGCUUCAAUUGUGAACACAAGUGCUUGGUGUUGGCCACAUGGUAGAAGAAGAACCUCUCAAGCGGAGGAUUUGAUCCAUAAACUUCCCUCUGCUUGUGUACCUCUCUACCCAGGGAAGAUGAUACCUUCUCAUGGUUAUGAGAUAAAACUGGAAUGUUACUACAAAGUCUGUUAUUGCUUCUUUGAGAGAACAUUGUAUGAAUGUCGAGUGGUAUAAACUGGGGUGGUUUAAGCAACAUAUCCUAGACAUACAUUUAUCGCUUGGCAACAUAUUCCUAGACAUGCAUUUACAAACAAGCAACAUAUUGUUUGUAAAAAUAGUUUGGCUACAAAAGAUAGGUUACUUAAAUGGGGUAUGCCAGCUUAUGUUUGGAGUAGGAUACAACAGUGCUAUUUGCUUUAUGGAGGCGUAUAUGGUUGGUCUGUAGGAUUGGCAUUGUGGGUUGGUUUCCUGUAGAAUGAUGAAUUUGUUACCUCAGUCAAAAGAUUGGCUCUUGGGGGUUUUUAUUUAUUUCCUUUGGCAUGAGCGCAAUCAAAGGCAGUUCAAUAGUAAGGUGUCGAAUGCUGAUUAUGUGAUACAGCAUAUAAUUACUACUGUUAGGCAAACUAUAAUAGGCUGGCGAAGGGUGCAAAGGACACAUAGCAGCUGGGAGUUUGGCAUUGGCUGGAAUUUUGAAUAGCAGUUUUUUUUCUUAGAUUAAUAUUUCAUGGUUAUAAUAUUUGUUUUCAUUAUAGUAUGGUGUCUUGUUCCGUUAAGCUUGUAUAGGGCAGCUUUUCUUGUUGUUGGAACCAUUCCUUGCUUAUCUAAUGAAAAGAGUUAUUUUGCCUAAAAAUAUAUAUAAUAUUCUUCUUUAUUUUUCUUACUUGCCCAACCCUUCUCACACCCUUCCCAUCCCCAAGUGCUAGGUUAUACUAUUCACUUAGGCCCUGUUUAAUAACUAAUUCAGUACUUAAUAUUAAUUGAUUCAGAUCUUAAUAUGUUCAAAUGCAUUUGAUAACAAAAUAUUGAACAUUUGAAUUAAUUAAGUGGCAUUGAAUUUUCUAAGCAAAACUUGCUUUUAAGAAUAAGUGAUAAGGUAUUCACUUAUCAUUGAACGUGAUAUACACUACAAUGUAUUUAAUUUCAUACUUAACAAUUCAAUAAUUUAAUGGAUUCAGACUUUAGAUUUCAGAUUUCAGUUUUCAAAUUUUAGUUUUAUCAAACACACCCUUAAUCUAAAUAAAUUUAUUUUUUUGAAACCAAAUUAUAUAUCUAAAAUGUAGCGGACACUUGUCAUAUGGAGAAAUUGGGUUAGGUGAGCUUCGUAGCGGCCACAAUGAGCUGUAGCAAAGAAAAAGGGGAAGAGGUUUUUUUUAAAAAAAAAAUUUUAUCUUUUAUUUGUCAUUUCUUAGUAUUGAGCAAUUAAUUAUUUUCUUUUAAUUUGGGAUUCAAUUUUUCUUGGAUGAUAUCAUGAGUUUUCUUAUGAAUUGUUUGCUAUUCAAAUGAUUAAAUUUAUAUGGCCAAACUAUAUGGUAACUCUUGUAAUAUAGACAAACGUCAAGACAAGAAAAUGUUGGUUUUUCAAAAGGCAUUUUUUGUCAUUUCGCUCAUUUUGUUGGCUGAGUUUAGACGCUGUCACUCAUGGGUAAAUGUAGAUGCAUCACGUGCAAUUUUAAGUUGACCAUAACAAAUAAAGAAAUCCAAAAACAUGAAGUUUCAAAUAUUAAUGAAGCUUUUUGAAAAUAUAAAUAUGAACCGUCACAAAAUAAUUAUUAAUACCCAUAAUACUUCAAAUACUAAUAAUUUUGGCACUCAACAAUAAGGUUUCAGCCAAUCCUCCACUAUUUUUUACUCCAUGAAAAUGACUUUAAUGAUAGACAUUUGUGUUUUUUUUAACCUCCCACCCCUCUCCACGCUCUUCCCACCCCCAACUAUCAGGGCCAAAAUUCGAACUCUCAACUUGACACAUAUGUUUAUGUAUUUGUUAAGUAUAUGGUUUACUGCCUUGGCAAAGAAAUAUAUGAACUAAUGCACAUGUCAUGAUUUUCUAAGUUAAAUUAUCUUGGCGUUUUAAAUUCUUUAAGCAAUGUGAUAAAAUACAAUUUUAUUGGUUUAAAAUAUAUAUAUUUCUUACAUAUCUGUUAUCACUUGUUGUUCAAGAUUAUUUUUAAUGGAAAUAGUUUAUUCAAGUUUUUUUCUUCCUCGUCUCUUUGGCCAGGUUUGGCAUAUAAAUUAUGAGAAAACAUAGAUUAUGUAUCUUAGUUAUUUUGGUGAAGGCAAAGUACGAAUUGAGUGUCUCAAAGUCAAUUUGGAGUUCCAAAUUCAUUGGUUCAUUGGUUCCAAGUUCCAUUAUUUUUUGGACUCUUCUAGGAUCACAUACUUUAUGCAUGAUUUUGGAACUUGCAAGUAUAAACAAAAAGUGUUACUCUCAAAUGCAAAAGAUUUUCAUAUAUAUAAUAGCCCAAGUGUCUAAAAAAUAACUUGUGGAUAUGUCUAAAUUGUAAGAAAAGGAACGAAAAAAGCAUUUAGUUUGGGAGGUUGGAAGUACUUCCAAAUCACAUGUUUGAGAAUAUGUUAUUGCCCCUCUUUUCCUACAUGAAAUUCAUAUUGGAAUUGAUAUAUCAUUUUUCCGGUGCGAUGUUUAAAUUAUUGUUCAUGCAUGCUGAUGCGUGGAACCAAAGAAGAAAUUAACAAAAAUAGCAAAAGAAACAAACUCAAACUUAAUCCAUAGUACAAUACGUUCAUAGAUAGGAUGUCAUAGAUUACACAUCUUGGUUUACAGAUCCACUCAAACUCAAGCAUAAUUACAAUACAUCAGACUUUUAUUCCCACCAUCUUGGUUGAUAAAAGCACACACAAACCAAAUAGAAACACAUGAACACUUAAUUAAGCAGAGAAUAACAGCUUCUGCAAUCUGCGUAUCGCAGCUUGAUAGUCUGAUUAGUUCUUUCCUUGAGAAAUGAAAAUGAGAUCACUUUGAGACAUCCAAUGGCAUGCUUCACUUUGGCCAGGAGAAGUUUUCAAUAUCUUCAAGGCCACAUGAUCAGGGGACCAGCCUGAAGUAUCCAUAUGACAUACCACCGUGACUGUAUUAACUGGAACUUUGGUCCUAGGUUCAACAACAUCUACUGCAUAGACUUCAAUAUUGGACAGCAAAUGGCAGAAAUAUGUUGCAAAAGGAAGAAAUAAUUGAUGACAUGCCACAGUUUUUCCAUAUUUAAGCUUUUCCACGCGUCCAACCAUCAAUUCUUUUCUAGAACCCUCUGUGUUUUUCGAUGCCAAUGCCACCAAAUUCUUGUCACCUAUGGCAGUUUUUGAAAAUUCAAUCAUUUCCUCAAGGGAUUUUGCACAGCUCUGAGGCUCUUCCUUAAGAGCAG
rnacentral:lncRNA from 1 species